CGUGAAAAGUGAUUUAAUUUCCUGCCAAAAGACGAACGAGAAGAACAUUAGAGUCAAACUAAUGCUCACAUAAAUUUCCCGUAAGAAUAUAUAUAUAAUUAGACUGGAAUGCACACCUCUAGAUUGAACAGAAUUGAAGCUGAGAAAAUAUUGAGUAUAGUAGCCCUCUUUAAAGUUAAUUUAGAAAAAGAUAUAUUCUUGAUUAAUCCAUUUUCUGAAGUUUUUUAUUUUGUAUGGUCAAUUAUACCUUCAUACUCAAAAUUUCUGAAGUUAUAAAUUAGUGCAAAUUGACAAUUUUUACUGAUGAUAUCUUCUAUUUUUCCUUUCUUUUUUUUUACUCUCAUAGAAUGUUACUGUCAUUUUACUUACAAAUAGGUUUGACUUUGAGCCCAUGAAACGAUACUUUGAUUGCCAAACCACCGUCCAAUUUUUUUAAAAAAAGAAAAAAAAUAUGUAAUCCAUGAAUCUGGUUAAUUUUGUUUGUUUGUUUUUUUUAAUCUGUUAUACAUUUGAAACAUUCCAUUAAUUGCCAAUUAUGUAAGCGAGAUAGUAAUUAAUUUUUUUAUUUAAAAAAAAGUGAAAAUUAAUCCUAUGCAAUGUGAAUAAAUUUCUUUCCUUUUUCCUUCACUCUUUUUAUUUGAUAAUUAAGUUUCAAUCUAUGUACGCAAAAUUUCUGCAACAACUGCAAAACAUAAAAAUAUAUGAUUGUUAAGGGAAACACGCAGAAGUUCAUCACUUCAAUGUUCAGUAUUUCCAAUUUUGGCAUUAAGCUCUUACGAAUAUAUUCCACUUAGAAAGCAAAAUAUUAGAAUUGUGAUUUUAAUUCAUUCAUCAUAUCUCAUUUCAAUCCCAAAAUAUUCAAGUGGAUCCAAGUUACCAUAAGACUUCAGAGGCUCGAGCCUUAGCCAGAGAUGGUUAAUUGAUAGACUAUGUGCCUGGGUCGAGCACUGGAAGCCUGCAAUGCAGACUGAUUGAUUUAUCAGUUUGACGUGUUCCAGGAAUGAAGAACUGGAAUAUCACCCUCAAGCAAACACCCUGUGGAGCAAUACCAUAGAAUGCACAAUCCGGCUUUGCAAGGUGACACUGGAGGCUUUUUGAAAAGUGCUUCACGCUCACUUGCACUGAUUGAGCAUCCCCUCUGGAUAUUGCCCUCUCUGAUCGAGUCUGAGCACUCAAAUUUCGGUCCUCAGAUGGAGCUACAGCUUUCUCUCCAAUAACCAACAAUUUUCUAAACUCAGCACCUAGUGUGAUCAGAGUUGUUGAUAUUUGCAAAUGGAGAUCCCCAUAUUUGCAAAUGGAGACAUUUAACAAAUCACCAACAUGCUUCAUCCGGUGUACAAAAUUCUGCAGCUGAUUCAAAUCUGGAACCUGAACCAGAGUCGGAGGUAAAUCUUGAGCCAUAUCUAAAGCAGUUUGAAGUUCAAGUACUUGAGCCCUUGACAAUGGUUUUGAAAUUGGAACAUCUUGGAUUACUGCAGACUUGUACCCCUUGGUUUCAAAGGUAAGGAAAGGCAUUGCUUGAGUACAAUUUGGAGGCAGCGGAUCCAGCUGCACCAACUUCAGAGCAAAUACUGACACUACUUCGAACAGCACACUGAAGAAGUGAUAUGUCUACGGCAAAGGCAAUGCAGUCCUCAUUUUGGCUUGAGAUGCAGUAAUCAUCGAAGAGAGUUUCCUUGUGAAACUGGGCAACACAUUGAAUCCCUUUGCCACUGAGAAGGUUGUGGAGGAAGUAAGCUUUCUCUCUAGUGAGGAAGAGGUGGCAUACCUUCCCCAUUUUGUCUAGGGCAGGUAGGAAUCUUUUUUCUAAGAGAUUUACUUCAUUCUCGGUGAGAAAUGCUUUGAACUUCAUCCCUCUGUCUCUAUCCUCACUUAUCAGAAAAUAAGUUGAAAGCACUACGGAGAGAGAGAGAGAGAGAAUUAAGAUAUAUAGACAAGAAAAAUAUUAGACGGUGAUCUUACAAACUAAUACUUCAAGCAGUAUCCUAGAAAGCUAAAAACUGCAAGAUGGCUUGAAAUUUGAAAAGAGCACGUGCUUUUCCUCCUUAACUUGAGAAAAUGUUUAAUAUAGUGCACCUUACAGAAGCAUUUAAGCAAUUAGAACUAUGCACAAAAACAUCACGAAGACUAAACAAAUCAGAUGCAGUGUCUUUGUCCAAGCACAAAUUGCAUUUUGUCCUCAACUUUAAUAUUUAUUGAUGAGAAUCAAUACAGGUCCCUCAUUUGUUAUAGAAAGCUUUCUUGUAGUCUCACCAGUUAAUUCACAGGUCUAUAAUCAUCUUGCAAAGUUAAGGGCAUUUCUUUCGAUCUAAAGUCUUUGCAUCACCACCUCAUCACACGCCAAGCCAAUAUUCCAUUUACCUCUACAACAAAAAGUUUUAAGUAAACAAUCCUAAUGCACGCAGCCAAAUAAAAUGCAGUAAGAAUAUUCAACUUAAAAAUCUGAAAGCCAACUUGGUGAAUUGCCUCCUUAGGUGAAGUUCCAUGCUUUACUAUAGUUGACAGAACUCAGCAAAAGCUUCCAUACAACAGAUUUUGAAAAUGAUGAUGCCAAUAGAUACUCAUUCAAUCCAUUGAAAAUCCAAAGGUUCAUUGUUAAUAGAAGUUUACAGAGUUUUGGUCAUCAAAUAGCUCAGACCUAAUCCCAAACAAAAAACGAGUGAAAAUUAGAUCACGAGCAGCUAAUUGUAAAUUCUAACUUAACUCUUCAUCUCCUUUGUAAACAAGAAACAAAAUGAAGACACGCAAAAUGAAUAUGGAGAAAAUUUGAACUCAAAUGAAAUGAGGGCACGAAAGCAAACAAAUGGCAUGCACAAAAAAACCAAGCCUCAAUCAAAAACUAAUUAACCAUUAAGAAAAAAAUUGGUCUGAGAAUGAACUCCAAAUUCAGGAGUGAAGCAAGAAGCUUUCAUUAUUUCAGAAGCUCCUGUACAAAUUAAUAAGUUAUGCUCUUUGGAAGCAAACCUAAAUUCCAAGAGAAACAGAACCCAAAAAAUUUGCAAUUUUACGCAAAGGAAGUGAAGCACAGGAUUCUGUCACACAUAGGAAUUGUAAAACAAGAGAUCGAUAUAUCGAAUUAGAAAACUCAAUUCGAAUUUAUGUCAAAAAUCAAAAUUAGAAGAUUUCACAUUUUGAGAGGAACAAGCAACAGAUGAAGUUCAAAAUUUCAGCCAUAACAUGCUAAAAAUGCUACACUUAACGGUUCAUUUUCAUGGAUUUUCUCGGGAAACAAACAGAAAAUUACGGUUCAGAGAGUUGACUGACCUUUUGGCUUUUGAAAUUGAGAAGAUCGCGCGCCAAAUUGGAAGAGGGAAAGUGAAAGUGCGAGUUUUAAUAUGGGUAUUAGAUAAGGAAAUUUAAUUAGGUUGCGAGGGUAAAAAAGGAAAGAGAUAUCAUUAUUUUAUUAUCGAUAAUUAUUAAAUUUUUUUCCAAAAAAAAGAACAAGCAAGGAUAUUUUAUUUUCAUUACUAAGUUAAAAAAAAUUGUUUCAAAAUUACUCGAGUCAUAUCCAAUGGACCAACAAAGUAAUCGUUUUUAUUUUUAUUGAUUUUUGCAGGAAAUUAAUAACUUCUUAUUUCAUAAUCCAACUCCAGUACUAAGUUAAAAAAAAUUGUUUCAAAAUUACUUGAAUCAUAUCCAAUGGACCAACAAUGUAAUCGUUUUUAUUUUUAUUGAUUUUUGCAGGAAAUUAAUAACUUAAAAAUACUGAAAGCUAUUGUAAAAAUUUUUAUUAUCAACCUCAUAGUUUUUUUUUUUUUGGGAAGAGAAUUCAAACUUUUUUUUUUUUAAUUUCCAAGAAUUCUUGACACCCGUCUUAAUUAAAAGCUAUAUUUUAAUUCAAAAGUCAUGCUAUUCAUUCACUCACAGACCAAAGGCUUUCCGCAGCAAUAUUAUUAUUUAAAUUACAACAAAGGGGAAAUCAAAUACGUCAUACAGAAGCUUAAAGCUGAAUCUACAAAAUCUAGAGCUCGCAACUACAAAAAUUACACUUGAUGAUCCUCUACAAGAUGAAGCUUGUUCAAUAUCUCAUCCAAAGCUUGUAAAGUAACCUUGUAACGAUCUUGAGAUUGCCUGCCUUCCUCGACGACCUGCACGAUGCGUUUGUACCAAUCAUCAUACCUGUGCACCGGAUUUUUAAUAUCAACGCCACUGCAGCUGUGAUCAAGAACAUAAGAGCGUUUAACAUCUUUUCUCCAUCGAGAAAGAAUGUAGUGAGAUGGGAUCUCCUCCAUACCACUCUGGUUUAGAACACAAAGAAUGUGUCUGCAUAAAUAUCCUCUGAAAUUGAACAACCCACAAACACAAAGCACCUCCAAGUCGGAGGCAUUGUACAAAACAUCGAAAGCCCUUGAAUCUUUCUCGUUGCUACCAACCUCAAAUUCUUCCUUCACUAUGUAUGUUAUAGGUCCAUCAGCACUGACAUGUUUUGUGCUAUAGCAAAGAGUACAUAGCCUCCACCUCCGUCUGAAACUUCCUUAACAUUUCAUUUGUGUACAGUUUUGAGAGUUGAAAUUCAUAGUAACAUCUUGGUUUCUGGAUACAACUUGAAUUUCUUGAAUCCAUAUCUGCCAAGGCUUCCAGUUGAUAAUUCGCCUGCAGUGCUUGAUCAGACUUGUCUAAGAAUUCUUUCAAAGGAGUAUUCUUAUCAAGAUAUCCUUCAAAGUAUGAAGUAGAAACCUCAUUCUGCAGGAACGAAAACACUCCUGAUAAAAAAGCUUCCUUCAAAUAAAUAGGAGCCCACCUUUUACGAUCUUCAUAUAAAGUUUGAAUCCAUCCGUGAUCCUUUAUUCCAUGACGUUGAUGUUGAAAAGUCAAAAGAGUUUUGGUUGAAAAAGAAAAGUGAGUAUUAAAAAAGGCGGGAACCUUUUGUUUUCCGCAGCCUUCACCAUGUUACUAUACAAAGCUGCCAGAAGUUGAAAGAUUCGACAUUCCUUGUUUUUGCUCCAAACCUCAAGUCUCUUUCGAUGGUCAAAUGCAAUGCUAUGGAAGAAAUAAUCAGCGUCGGAAAAUUUGCUGAGACUCCUGAGAUGAUGGGACAUAUAAGCCCUUUUGAAAAUCUCCAAAUGCUUGAUUUAAUAGGUUUGCCACAUUUGAAGAGCAUCUUCUGGAAGCCAUUGCCUUUCACUCAUCUCAAAGAAAUAUAUGUGGGUUAUUGCCCUAAUCUUAAAAAGAUUCCACUCGAUUCCAACAGUGCAAAGGAGCGUAAAUUUGUUAUUCGUGGAGAAGAAGACUGGUGGAACCGACUUCAAUGGGAGGAUGAAGCCACUCAAAUUGCUUUUCGUUCCUGUUUCCAACCUCGUUCCUGAGCGGUGGUCGCAAAAUUUGAUUUCUGGUGAGCGCGUUUGUCUUUUAAAAGAAGAAUUUAAAAGAAAUUUAUUCUUAUCGUUUUCUUCUCUGUUUUUAUUUCAGUUUCUCUCUCUCUCUUUGUCUUCUGCAAAUCACAAUUAAAUGUUGAAUUAAUGGAAUUAAUGCUUCAUAAAUUUGCCGGCACUGCCAUUACUUUUUUUUUUUAAUACGAAUUGAAACUUUAUUUAUUUCUUCUUAGCGAUUUAAUUUCCUGUCAAAAGACGAGCGAGAAGAACAUAUAUAUGACUUAAAUUUUUUGUUCAAGGAUUUUUAUUUCGGGUAUUAAUAAUAGUCCACCAAAAGAGGGAACACUUGGAUGCUGCUCUAAGGGUCUCUCUAAUCAAUAGCUGGAAGCAAUUGAGAAGGCGGUCGCUACUGUGUACAAAUCCAUGCAGUAUUUGCUAUUCAUCUUAAUAAUUAUGAAGCUUUGGUAAAAUUUUCAGACAAAGUUGACAUGUUAUUUUGAGAUUUGGUUCGUGAUUUUGUAUGAAUAUCGUUGUUCCGUUUGAGUUGGAUAUGAAUUCGAGUCUAAAUAUUCUUUGGUUUUCAAUUUUGAACUCAAUUUUUUUUUUCUCAAGCAUGUUAUGCAGAAAUGAUUUUUACUAAAUCAUUUUUGAUGAAUUAUUUAAAUUAAACAAUUGGAAUCAGAAUUGUAACGAUUUAUCACAAGCAUGCUAAUAUGAUAAUUCUGAAACUAUCAUUUUUUUUUUCAAUUUGCUGCAGGGAAAGCCAAAUUUUGUAUUUUUCAGUUUUAUCUGAUAUGGAAUUUAUUUCCUCUACACUAGCUACCUAAAGAUUUAUCAAAUUGCUUCUCUUCCCUGCUUCAAAUAUCUUCAUGGCAUCAUAGGAAAAGAGAGUUUGGGUUGUAUUUAUUAUAGUUUUUAUUUUUUUUUCGUUAUAAGCAAAUUUAUUUUAAAUACUUUAGUAGUAACAGUUUUUAUUGAAUAAUAAUGGGGGAUGAUUAUUAUAUGUUCAAAUAGUUGUUAGAACAUUAUAAAAAGUCUAUUUGCUAUCAAAUGUUUUAAAUUGAUGCAACAUGAUAAUUGUCUCAUAUAAUUUUUUUAUACUAUAUAUGUCCCAUAAUCUUAACAUGAAUAAAUGAUUUUCAAUGGUUAAAUUUGACACGAUUAUUAAAUAGAUCAUAUCUAUAUUAAUUCGAUUUAAAAUCUGGUCACAUUUGGAUUUAGAGUUUCUAACAUGGUAUCUUGUUUUAUGACAUAAUUUACUAAUCAAUUAAUAGAAAAUCAAAUGUUAGUCAAUUAAAUAUGUGGUACAUUUGUCAUAUUUUAAAAAUUAUUUAUUUAUAUUUGAAAUAAAUUUGACUAGACUUUGUGCAGGUAAUACUGCAUAAUUUCUAAAAAAAUGUAAUAAAAACAUGUUAAAAUGUUAUUUUUAUGAAGAAAAAUUGGAAUUUUAUUAAAUAGGAGACACAAUAAUAAAUGGAUAAAAAUUGAGAUUAUUGAUAUAAUGAUUAAAUAGAUUGAAUUGAAGUGAGUUUCAAUUUUGAGAAGAUAAUAAGACGACGCGACACAAAUACAACCAACCAGUCAACCCAAAUUGCCACCUUUUACUAUCUUCUUUGUGUUAUUUCUCUAAAAAUUUGUGCCUUCUCUUACACUUUUAAAUCUUAAGUGUUUGAACUGGAGUACACAAAUUAUCUCUCUACAAUUCCAAAACAACCAAUUUGUAACUUGGUAAAUCUUAAUCAAUGGCAGGAAGCAAUUGAGAAGGCGGUCGCUACUGUGUACAAAGCCAUGCAGUAUUUGCUAUUCAUCUUAACAAUUGUUGAGCUUCGGUAAAUUUUCAAAUAUAGUUGACUUUUUAUUUUGAGAUUUGGUUCAUGAUUUUGUAUGAAUAUCGUUGUUCCGUUUGAGUUGGAUGUGAAUUCAAACCUAAAUAUUCUUUGGUUUUCCAUUUUGAAUUCAAUUUUUUUCCUCAAGCAUGUUAUGCAGAAAUGAUUUUUACGAAAUGAUUUUUGAUCGAUUAUUUAAAUUAAACAAUUGGAAUAAGAAUUGUAACGGUUUAUCGUAAGCAUGCUAAUAUGAUAACUUGUUUUACGAACGAUUAGUUAAUCAAUUAAUAUUAAAUUGUAUAUUAGUCAAUUAGAUAUGUGUUAUAUUUGUCAUAUUCUAAAAAUUAUUUAUUUAUAUUUCAAAUAAAUUUGACCAGAGGUUACGUAGGUAAUACUACAUAAUUUCGAAAGGAUGUAAAAAUUUAAAAUUUCAUUAAAUAGGUGACUCAACAAUAAAUGGAUUUCUGCAAGAAUUGAGAUUCUUGAGAUAAUUAUUGCAUAGGGGGAAUUUUGGUUAGUUCAAUUUUGACAUGAUAAGAAGACAACACAGCGCAGAAAACCCAAAUUGCCACUUCUACUAGUAAUAAAAGAUGAGCGAAUUGCGUGGGAUAUACUUGUUUUCCCUCAAAAUACCCAAAAUAUACCUCCACAUAUUAAAAUUGCUAGCUUUACACAUAUAUACUUAAAAAGAUCAGAGAAAAUACAAAAAUAACCUUAAUAAAAAUACUCGACUUAUUUAAUAUGCUUACUCGACUCAUUUAAUAUUCUUACUCGAUUUCUUACCGGACCAUAUACUCGACUUAGUUAAUAUGCUUACUCGACUUAUUUAAUAUUUUUAUUCGACUUAUUUAAUAUUCUUACUCGACUUCUUACCCGACCAUAUACUCGAUUUAUUUAAUAUGUUUACUCGACUCAUUUAAUAUUCUUACUCGACUUCUUACCGGACCAUAUACUCGAUUUAGUUAAUAUGCUUACUCGACUUAUUUAAUAUUCUUACUCGACUUCUUACCGGACCAUAUACUCGACUUAUUUAAUAUGCUUACUCGACUCAUGUAAUAUUCUUAUUCGACUUCUUACCCGACCAUAUACUCGACUUAUUUAAUAUGCUUACUCGACUCAUUUAAUAUUCUUACUCGACUUAUUUAAUAUUCUUACUCGACUUCUUACCCGACCAUAUACUCGACUUAUUUAAUAUGCUUACUCGACUCAUGUAAUAUUCUUACUCGACUUCUUACCCGACCAUAUACUCGACUUAUUUAAUAUGCUUACUCGACUCAUUUAAUAUUCUUACUCGACUUCUUACCCGACCAUAUACUCGACUUAGUUAAUAUUCUUACUCGACUCAUUUAAUAUUCUUAUUCGACUUCUUACCUGACCAUAUACUCGACUUCUUUAAUAUGCUUACUCGACUCAUUUAAUUUUCUUACUCGACUUCUUACCCGACCAUAUACUCGACUUAUUUAAUAUGCUUACUCGAUUCAUUUAAUAUUCUUACUCGACUUCUUACCCGACCAUAUACUCGACUUAUUUAAUAUGCUUACUCGACUCAUUUAAUAUUCUUACUCGACUUCUUACCCGACCAUAUACUCGACUUACUUAUCUCUAAUUCUUACUCGACUAAAUUCUCGAUUUACCCGACUUUGUACCCGACUUCGUACCCGACUUCUUCCUGCACUGAUUCUUCAAUCAUUCAUAACUUAAAUGUAGUCUUAAAUCCCUACAUUGAAAUAGUGUGUGUGUGCAAGCACAAAAAAUGAAUAAUGUACUACUAAAAUUCAUAAAUCAUUAGGAAGUACACUUAUAAGAAAAAUAGAGAAUGGUGAGAGAAGCCCAAAAAAGAGAAGCAAUGGGAGAAGAGAGAUGUGAAUUCUUAGUUUUUUUAAGGUUAUUUUUGACUUUUUCUAUCUUCAUAAGGUAUAUGUAUGUAAUAGGAUAUAAAUUUGGCAUUUAAGGGUAAAUUAAGGAUAUUUAAAUAAAAAACCCAUAAAAGAUACCUGUUUCAAAAGUAAUUAUAAACUAUCUUCUUUGUGUUAUUUCUCAAAACUGUUAUUUCCCUGGAGAAAAGUACGAAAUACCCACUUUCACGUUGGCAGAAGCAAAGCAAAGCUAUGAGCUAUCUCUGUAUACUUGAAACGCCAUUGCUAAACGAUUCUCGAUGAUGGGUGCCACUGGGCCAGUGUUGUCGCUGAUUUGCAUGAUUUAUUAGUUGUCCAGAUGCCAGAGAAACCAUGGUGGCAUUGAAGUUACCCAGAUGGUUAGUUUUCUGAUCAUUUUUUUAUUCAAUUAUUUAUUUUUUUUAGAAAAAUGUAAGAAAUAUGUAGAAAUGUUGACAGCUAUGAUUUUGAAACUUUGCCUAAAAUUGUUAUCAUCACUUAUUUAAAGAGAAAUCCUAGAAACAUGACAUGAUUAGUAGCCUAAUUCAAAAUUAGACAUGAUUACAACAAGAGAAAAGUGGAGAGAACUUGAUAGUCGAGUGCAUUUAGAAUUUAAUUUUUCUUUUAGCUGCCAAUCAUUAAAUUUUCGAUUUCAGAAAAUUAUACCUAGAAUAUUUCAAGGAUAUACUAUGAAGAUUAUGAAGGUUUGAUUACAUGUCACUAUCAAUUGCCCCAAUCAUUUGUAGUAAAUUAAUUGAUCAUUUUGAUGCAAAUGAUUCCCUACUAAAAAAUUCAAGUCAAGGCUGAAUUGCACAGUAGUUAGUCGCGCUUGCACUUCAAAUUAAGUAUUGUAUUUUCUGCCUGGUUUGGUUGAUUAAAGUAUGUGCAUUUGCUUAUGAAAGUUGUAGUAUAGAAAUCGAAACAUUUGUUUUUCGCUAAGCCCAGAAGCAAAGUUCUUUGUACUGUACUCAUCACUUCUCUUCGUUCUCUUCAUUGAAAUUUUAUCCAAACAGCGGUUUCUUCGAAUUUGUGCCUUCUCUUACACUUUUAAAUCUAGCAAAGAACCGUUACCUGAGAAGAUUGCCAUCAGGAAUUUCUAAAUUGAUUUCACUAUAAUACCUUAAUCUUUCAAAUACUCCUCUCACUGGGUUGCCAAUAGUACUAAAAGCCUUGGUGAAUCCUACGUGUUUGAACUGGAGUACAAAAGUUAUCUCUCCACAAUUCCAAAACAACUGAUUUGUUACUUUUCAAUGCUACACGUUCUGCGAACGUUCAGUUGUGGUUAUCUUGCUGAAAUACCAGAAAAUAGGGUUCUAUUUGGUGGUAGUGGAUUCUUGGUUGGGGAGUUGCUUAGUUUAAAACGUUUAGAUGUAUUAAGCAUCACCUUAAAAGGUUUUUCUUCUGUCCAAAAACUUAUGAGCUCCCAACAGUUUCAAAGCCGUACAAAAAUGUUUGGAGCUUAUAGACUGUGAUGAUUCAAAGUCGUUUGCCUUGGCAGAGUUGAAGCAUCUUGUAAAACUAGGUUUGUCAAAUUGUGGAAAUUUGGAAGAUAAAUUACAUUUAUAAACUGUGGAUCGCCCUUUAUAAGUAUUAGGCUUAUUCCAUACUCGAGCAAUGUGGAAUACCUUUAUAAGCAUUAAGCCUCUCCCAUACAAUUUCUGUACAUGACUCUUCUUUUUUUUUUUUUUUUGAAGACCGUUCAAAGUGGUUGAUGAUCCGUUUUGUAAUAUCAUAGAGGGAUCAUGAAUUCCUUUUCUUUUCUGUGGCUAGGCAACACUUUUGGGCCAAAGUAAGGGAAUCUAUUUUAGGUCAUGUAAAAACCAGUUGUGGGAUGUAAUAGUUUAUUAUGCACUGACAAUAACUUUUUGUAUAAUUGUCAGUUUAAUGAAUACGAGAGGAACUCUGUUGGCAAAUUCAUCCAUGAUAGAUGCUAAAAUUAUACCAGUUGCCUUAACUUAUUUUUCUCAACACUGGUAUUGAACAGGAAAAUGAAUAUGCAAUUUGUAUUUGUGCCAUUGUGGAGAAUUUGGAUAUUCUUAUUUUUAGUAACAAGGAGAGUAUUGGCCUCAUCUUUAAAAAAUGAAUCUUUGAGAAAUGAGGAGUGGGUGAUUGGCAGUGUCAGAGUGUCUUCCUGUAAAUGUUCAUUUAUUUGUAUUUUGAACUAUUAGUAGAAUCUUUAUAUGCCAAAUUAGUAAUACAAAUAUUCAGAUGAUUUUUCCUGUUGAUCAUUUCAUUCUUGAGAGCCAUGUACAAUACUAGUAUACCAGAGAAACCAAGGUAGCAUUGAAGUUGCCCCAGUGGCUAGUUUUCCGAUCAUUUUUUAUUCAAAUUUUUAUGUUUUAGAAAAAUGUAAGAAAUAUGUAGAAAUGUUGAUAGCUAUGAUUUUGAAACUUUGCCUAAAAUUGUUAUCAUCACUUAUUGUUUCUUAUUUAAAGAGAAAUCCUGGAAACGUGACAUGAUUAUUCCAUACUUGUUUUUAUAUUAUUUAUUAGCAGCCUAAUUCAAAAUUACACGUGAUUAUUUGUUACUUUUAAUGCUACAUAUUCUGGGAAUAUUCAGUUGUGGUUAUCUUGUUGAAAUACCAGAAAAUAGCGUUCUAUUUGGUGGUAGUGGAUUCUUGGUUGGUUUAAAUGUAUUAAGCAUCACCUUAGAAGGUGUUUCUGCUGUCCAAAAACUUACGAGCUCCCAAAAGUUUCAAAGCUGUGCACAACCUUUGGAGCUUAUAGACUGUAGUGAUUCAAAGUUGUUUGCCUUCACAGAGUUGAAGCAUCUUGAAAAACUAGGUUUUUCAAAUUGUGGAAAUUGGAAGAGUUUAAGUUCUGCUGUGUCGAGGAUGGAAAGGCUCGAGAAUGUUUUCGUGUGAACAGCCUCCAACGAGUUAAGAUAAAGGCUUGUCAUAAAUUGAGGGAAGUGACAUGGCUUGUAUUUGCUCUGUAUCUUGAGGUUAUUCAAAUAGACAAAUGUAUGGGGAUGGAAGUAAUAAUCAGUGCAAGGAAAUUGGGUGAAGUUCCAGAGAUGAUGGCAGAUCUAAACCCUUUGGUAAAACUCCAAUAUCUUGGCCCACGAGUUCUACCAAAAUUAAAAUGCAUCUAUUGGAAUCAAUUGCCCUCUCUACAUGUCAGGCAAAUUUUGUAUCUGAAUGUCCAAUUCUCAAGAAGCUUCCACUUGGUUUUAACAAUGCAAAGGAAUCUAAAACUAUCAUUAGGGGAGAAGAACACUGGUCGAAUGAGCUGCAAUGGGAGGACAAAGUGACCCUUAAUGUUCUUCUUCCUUGUUUCGGAUCCAUUUGAGGGCAUCAACAUGGAUUGAUACUUUGCAGUGGAGAAAUUCGAAUAAAACCUGGUAAGUGCUUUUCCAUUUAUUGCAUAUUUAUAUCUAACUUUUGUUUUCCUUUGUGGUUAAACUUUGCUCUAUAUACGUUGUUGUACGGUGACAUUCUCAUAUCAAUUAUUAGCUUUUUAAUUCUCUUCUCACAUUAACUGCCCUUUUGAUCAUGUAGGAUAUGCUGAUGUCAAAGAGUCGUAAUUUGGACUGCAAAUGUAAGAAUUAGACAGAUGACCAGUUGUUUUGAAGCGCUCGAAGAAGGAUUAAUUACGUCAUUGAAAGCCUCCAAUUUUAUGACUUUUUUUUUAAUUUGUUGUUUUUCUAUUUUUAGAUAGCUUGAUUGUUAGUUGUCGUGACGUAAUGCUUUAGUGUAGAAAAAUGAUAUUCGGCCAAGACAACAUUAGGAGGGCACCUUGUGCAUGCAUACUAGUGGAUAAUUUUGGCAUGCUAAAUCCAGUUAGGGUGGAUGACCUUUUAUAAGCAUUAGGCUUCUCUCAUACCCGAAAACAAUGUAGAAUAUGCUUAUAAGCUGUGGAUCACCCAUUAUAAGUUUUAGGCUUCUCCUAUACUCGAGCGAUGUGGAAUACCUUUAUAAGCAUUAAGCUUCUCCCGGUAUCUUUAUGUUAAAAAUAAUAAUAAUAAAAGAAAUCCAUUUUAAAAUAGACUCUUUUUGCUUUUUCUAUAUAAACAAAUGCAUUCUUCAAAUCAAUUGUGGGCAGAAGAAGUUAGUAGAAAAGAACUAGUCCCCUUUCAUUCCCCCUUAAACCUCACCAAAGCCUCUUUUGUAAGCUUUUCGGAUUUUCUUUCUAUAUUGCUUACGAUCUCAUUUUUGAUUGAAUCACUUCUUUUGCAUGCUGCAUUUUUUGUUUGUUGUAUUUGGAUAUUAUCGUAUUUGGAAUGCUGUUAUGAUUGAUGGAACAAGUAAUCGAUUUUUAGUCUGAUGGAAGUUGACUUAUUUAUUUAUUGUUAUUUUUAUUGAAAUUAUGUACAAUUGCAUUUCAUUCAUUUCUUCCCCCCUAACAUAUUUGUUAUGUAUAAUUGCGUUUCAUUUGAUAUUGAUCAUGCUGUAGAUAACCAUGUGAUUGUAGGAUGGGGAUUUCAAGUUUGUUGAAUAUUCAAGUAAGUGAAGUAACUGUCAAAAUACUAGUGAAAUUGGGAGCUUUAUUCAUGAGCUUGUGGUUUUGAAAAGUACCACAGUUCAACCGAUGAAGGUUCCUUUUUGGGGUUUGUUGAUGCGAGAUUCUGGUUAUGCUCGUCCUACGACCAGGAUAUCUGCUCGAUCAACCUCACCUCGAUCAGGAUCUCUCCUCGUAUGCUUUCUUCUCCAAGUAUCCCUGCGUUCACAGAAACGAGUCAGAGCACGCCGGUUGUUUUCUCGGCGUAAACCCUCCGACGCUCAAGUCAGAUGUGAAGGUUCUGGGAACGCUUGCCACAGAUCUUAUGGCUUUUCUAUAAUCUCAGUUCUUAGAGUUCUCUUUUCUUAGUUCCAAAAUCAAAAAUUCUAAACCUUUUACCUUCGUUGGCUACCUUUUUAUAGGCUUCCUCUGAAUCCAGAUCUUCCGCAGUCCACGCCCGCCAUUCUCCCCACUUUCGGGUGUGGACGCCCCAUUACCGCCAUUGUCGGCGAAUAGAGAUGGACCUCGUGUCUUAAUUCUCGGAUAGGAAUGCACGUCCUGCCAACUGUCGUUGACUGGGUCUCCUCGCCUCGAUGCCUAGCAGGAAUGACCUUAUGCCUCUAAUAGGAGUUCGGCCUCACGAAUGGCAUAUUCGUGGACGAGCAGAAUACUCCUGCUCGUAUUCCCCUGCUACUUGGCUCUUGCAGGAUACCCCUGCUCGCAGAACCCUGCCACCAACCACCUGCUCAUCAUGUUUGGUCGCCUCGAUAUAUUUCCCUCAAACACCGGUCCCCCAGUUUCUGGUGUUGGGUAAUGUAAUGGACCAGCAGUAGAAACUCAACGGUUCUUGCUCGCGUGGGACUGGAGAAGGCUGCCAAGAGUCGUGUCGCAUUUAAUUGCGGACGAGGUGAUGUGGCAGAAAUCUGCCCCUCUAUUUGAAUUUCAAACCAACGGUUACGAGGCCCUUGGGGUUUGGUUCCGUUAAAUGCUGGCAACCUAAGAGUCCGUCCCCUUUAUGAAACCCACCUCCUUUCGUACAACAAAUUCAUCAUCCACUCCGUCUCCGUCUCCGUCUCUCCGGCAAAGAAGUUCCGGCAUAAAGGCCUCCAUCUCUGUCUUUCACCGACUGAAAAAUUACUUCAGGUACUUCUUCUAUCUCCUUGGUCUCGAAUAGUUGUAGAUAAUUUCUCUUCUCUUUUGUUCGGGUAAUAGUUGGUGGUGGCGUUGUGGUUAGCGCUUAGGGAAUGUCGAAAGGUAAAGAGAAGGUCGUUGAGGUUGACGACGAUGAGUUGGACUUCCUGCCUGGUCUGCUCACCGAUCCUGCUUUUGACCCCGGGAUCCCCUUAGAGCCCAUCAGAUCCAGUGUUGGUACUAGCGCUAGGAGGAUGUCUCCCCAAACAACCUCCUCGAGCGGAAAUAACGAUGAAGAGGGGUCUUCUGGAUCGGAGAACACCCCGAGUGAGGGUCGAGGAGAUGAUUCUGGUGAGGUGUCCCCAUCAGGAGCGUCGCGACCAGAAGAGAGGAGUACAAUAGGAGGUAGAGCCCUAUCGCGGGAUUACGCUAUUGAUUAUAUGACGUGCACGACCACGUUUGAUGAGCUCGAUGACCUCCGGCUUAGGUAUAGUAUUCCUGGUGAAAUACCUCUUAAGGUCCCAGGAAAGAAGGAUGCUCCUAGCCGGCCUCCUAGGGGAUAUGUUACCCUAUAUCUGGAUAGCUUUAAGUAUGGGCUGAGGUGUCCCUUGCAACCUUACUUUGCCCGGAUACUUGACGGGCUGAAUCUAUCUCCUGGUCAGUUGAACCCAAACGGUUGGAGAGUGCUCUCUGGUCUGUUCAUAUUGUGGGACAGAUGUUGCCAAAGCGAGCCCACAAUUGAUGAGGUGAAGCACCUGUACCAGCUAAAGAGCAGCCCCAAAGAUGCCGGCUGGUACUACUUCCAAUCUAGCACCAAGACCAGGAAACCUAUAACCGACCUCCCUUCUGGUGGUGGUGGGAAUUGGAAGAGAAAGUUCUUUUUUGCUGGGGGUCCUUGGGGUCAGGUUGCACAAAUGGACGGGAAGGAUUAUCGGGUCCCACCCCGUUUCACAGUCCCAGGUUGCCUGCUCGCUUGAGAUGUCCUGUAUCCAUAAUUGUUCUUGCUUUAUUGGCUUGUCUCUAACCAAGUGUCUGUUUGUGUUGUAGUUUCUUGGGGUGUUCAUUUCCCGCUCCAACCUGGCCAGCUCAAACAGGUUGAGGCUGUGCUAGUCAAUUCCUGCCCGAGCCGAGAGCUGUUAACUACUUACAACUUGCUCGAGUCUCGUUUGAUACUACCUGGUCAUAAGAUGGAGGACGUUGUGAUUGGGGCUCUGAACAGGAAACGUUCUCGACCUCAAACCACGAAGAGGGACCAGAAUAAGGACGCCCUUACUGCAAAGCGGGCCAACAUCGUGCAGCAGGUCUUUCCCUUGAAGACUUUACCUCCUGCUCCUGCCAAAGUCGGGGAAACUAGUGGAGCAGCCACCGAUCCUGCUUCUUCUUCUCCUCCUGUCGGGCCGCGAUCUCGCUUACCUGAUAGCCGAGCAGAACACUUGGUCCUCUAUCUCAAUGAGUUAUCUAAGCUCGUGAGCAAGAAGGACCUGGAGGACUUUGAUGGCUGCACUCUGGGCGAGCUGGUGGGAGCCAUGCAGUAUAGUGCUUUCCAUCUCAGUUGCAUGACCACCUACUAUAAGGCCAAGGUUGGCCGUUAUGACAGGAAGAUGAAGGAGGACAUUCAGUCGGCGACGACCAGAGCUGACGUUGCUGAGAAGAAAGCAGGGGACUUAAACCUCGAGAAUCUCAAGUUGAUUGAGCGAGAAUCUCUUGCUCAAGCCAAGGCUAUUACUCUCGAGGAAGAGCUGGCCAAGGUCAAGGAAGAUCUGCAGAGGCAGAAAGCUAUGUACGAGGCUCAGCUCGAAUCUCUCCGUGAUUCCCACCGGGUUCAGGUCGAGAACUUAGAGAAGGAGGCUGACAACCAGUACGACCAGGGACUUCGGCAUUCCUAUCGUUGCAUCAUGGCCGUCCUCGGGAAGCAACACCCUGAUCUAAAGAUGGAUGACCUUGCAGUUGGUGUUGCUCAACAUAUGGAUGAGGAGGCGGCCGAGGAAGAUGCUGAAGGGGUAGAGCCGAUCGUGAUUGAGGAGGAAACCUCUCCUCCUCGUGCAGUCCCUGCUGCUGUUGGCGAGGCGAGCACCCCCCCGGACGCAACUGGUGAUACCCCCCCUGCACCUGAGGAGGUCCAGACAACCGAUGCUGCUCGGCUUACUGAUCCACCAUCUUCUUAAUAUAUUUCUUGUACUGUAAUGAACAAUUUUUGUGACGAUUAUCUCUUCUGUUAAUUACUAACAAUUAAUAAAGAUGUUUUUUAUUACUUUCUUAUGUUGUAAUCACGGCUUAUUUUCCGUUUGAGAAUCUGCUCGUCCUUGUCCGGUCGAGCAAGUUCUGGCUUGGCAUAUGGUUUUGCCACAUGCCUUAGAAAAUUCUUCGAUGUUCGAGAUUCUGCUCGCCUUCGCGCGAUCGAGCAGACCCUUCCACGCUUGACUUCAUUCUCGCCAUAAACAGGCUUUGAGACUUGACGAGCCUUUGCAUGCCUUAGAAAUUUUUUCGAUGCUUGGGGAUUCUACUCGCCUUCGCGUGGUCGAGCAGAUCCUGGCACGCUUGGCUUCUGUCUCGCCAUAAACAGGCUUUGAGACUUGACGAGCCUUUGCAUGCCUUAGAAAUUUUUUCGAUGCUUGGGGAUUCUGCUCGCCUUCGCGUGGUCGAGCAGAUCCUGGCACGCUUGGCUUCUGUCUCGCCAUAAACAGGCUUUGAGACUUGAUGAGCCUUUACAUGCCUUUGAUUCUUCAAGGACUGGGAUUCUGCUCGCCUUCUCGUGGUCGAGCAGAUCCUGGCACGCUUGGCUUCUGUCUCGCCAUAAAUAGGCUUUGAGACUUGAUGAGCCUUUGCAUGCCUUUGAUUCUUCAAGGACUGGGAUUCUGCUCGCCUUCUCGUGGUCAAGCAGAUCCUGGCACGCUUGGCUUCUGUCUCGCCAUAAAACAGGCUUUGAGACUUGAUGAGCCUUUGCAUGCCUUUGAUUCUUCAAGGACUGGGAUUCUGCUCGCCUUCUCGUGGUCAAGCAGAUCCUGGCACGCUUGGCUUCUGUCUCGCCAUAAAACAGGUUUGAGACUUGAUGAGCCUUUGCAUGCCUUUGAUUCUUCAAGGACUGGGAUUCUGCUCGCCUUCUCGUGGUCAAGCAGAUCCUGGCACGCUUGGCUUCUGUCUCGCCAUAAAACAGGCUUUGAGACUUGAUGAGCCUUUGCAUGUCUUUGAUUCUUCAAGGACUGGGAUUCUGCUCGCCUUCUCGUGGUCGAGCAGAUCCUGGCACGCUUGGCUUCUGUCUCGCCAUAAACAGGCUUUGAGACUUGAUGAGCCUUUGCAUGCCUUUGAUUCUUCAAGGACUGGGAUUCUGCUCGCCUUCUCGUAGUUGAGCAGAUCCUGGCACGCUUGGCUUCUGUCUCGCCAUAAAACAGGCUUUGAGACUUGAUGAGCCUUUGCAUGCCUUAGAAAAUUUUCACAGUUUCAAGCGAAUGAAAUUCCUCAUUGAUUUAUUAUUGAGUUCGGCUUACAUGAGGUUGCUUUGAAAUAAGAAAUCAAAAAUAGAAAACAACGGACACGAACAGAAAAAAAAAACUUUAAAACAUGAAUAAGUCUUACUAGAAAUAUUUCCUGAGGUGUGCCGCGCUCCAGGGGCGUUUCACCUCGUGGCCCUCCGUGCGAACCAACUUGUAAACUCCGGGUCCAACUAGCUGCCAUUCCCGGCUUCCACUCGGGUAUCAAGGUAUGUUAUCUGCAUUGCUUCCCUUGCUGCCGAGGAGUAACAGCUUCGUGCGAUUCUCUGGUCUCCUCGUACCACUCCAACUACCCCAUUCACCCGGUACUUGAGAGCCAGAUAAUGGUUGGACAGCACCGCUUUGCUGAUCCUCAGAAAUGGCCGGCCUAGGAUCAUCUGAUAAGGACCUUCCUCAUCCACUACCACAAAGUCCAGUAUCAUUGUCCUUUCUGUCGGGGAGCUCCCAAUCGUGAUAGGCAGCUCGACCACGCCCAGAGGGACCAGCUUUCCUCCUCCAAACCCCUUCAAGGAGGUAUUGGUGUACUCCAACUUCCGGUCUGCUAUUCCCAUCUCUUCCAAGGUUGACUUAAAUAACACAUCAACUGAACUCCCUGUAUCAACCAGUAUCCGGUCACACUUCUUGCUAGCGACAGUAGCCUUGAUGACUAAAGCAUCCUCGUGGGGGUAUAGAAUUCCUUCCUCAUCUUCAUCCGUCCACAUGAUUGGCACUUGCCUGACCCUUGCUCGUUUGGCUGCUGGGGUGUUGAAGAAUACCUCUUUACUAGUCAUGGCGUAUCUAGCAUAGUUCUUCCUAGAUCUGUUGGAAUCUCCAGCCAAUGUCGGGCCCCCAGCAAUCACCCUUACUGUAGGCUGCUCGUGCCUCAAAUUUCUGCCACUCUGGUCCCCUUCACAUGUCGAGGCCACCAUCGGGAAAGUCCCAUCUACAAACUCGUCCAGGUACCGAUUUCUCACCAAAUCUUCAACUUGGGUCUUGAGAUCUUUGCAUUCUGCGGUGGUAUGGCCAUGAGUGCCAUGGAACUUACAAUGACGUCCCCUAUCCCUCCUGCCGGGUAGCUUUGUUAUUGGGGCAGGGAGGUACAUCGAUCCUUGGUCCUUUAUGGCCUCGUAUACUUCGUCCAGGGACAUCUUCAAGGAAGUGUAUCGCCCAUACUCCUGGUUCUGGUCAAUCAGGUGCACUGCUCUUUCUCUGUUUGCUCCGUUCUGAGUUGGGUGCGGUGGCAGUACCUCUGGUCUGCUCCCUCUGCUACCGUGGGAGUGUUGAUGACCACCAUAUGAUGAAUCGUGCCUUCUCCAAGGCUCCCUAGCUGGGGAGCGAGGAGGCUGCGCCCUGCUGCGCUGAUACUGUGGUGGCCUCUGAUGAGGCUGGUAAGCAAUUACCCGACCUCCUGCUCCACUAUCCGAGGCCUGGUGGUCCCUCCUCCUGAUCGGCCCAUUCCCCGGUAAUGCUUUCUUCUCUUUCCUCCCCAACCCUUCUAACUGGUCUAUCUUAAUGCGUGCUGCCUUCUCCUCUUCGAUCUCAAUAUCUCUCUUAGCCUGCUCGUAUGCGGCCGCAUACGUCUGGAUAGCUGGGCUUCUCAAGUUGUACCACAGCCUUCCUAUCUUCACUCCUUCUUUCAAUCCCCUUAACGCCUGAGGGUGGUUGAAGGCUCCCAAGUCGAGGACAGCACGAUGAAACCUCUUGAUGAAUUCCCGAAGGGUUUCUUGCUCCCCUUGUUUCAUGCUUUUCAGCUCCAUCAUGUCAUCUUCUGGUGCCAUUGCCCCACUAAAUUGCUCUGCGAAUUCCUGGCACAUCUGCUCGAAGGUUUUAAUGCUGCCCCGAGGAAGUUUCCUGUACCACUCGCGUGCACAUCCCUCCAGGGAUAGUGGGAACACCCUGCACCUUUGAGGCUGAGAUAAUCCUUGUACCCCCGUUAUGUCAUUGAAGCGUUCUAUGUGCACCAGCGGAUCAGUUCGUCCCGAAUAUCUAAGGUCCGGGAGACGGAAAUCUCUCGGAAUAACUGCCCUCAUGAUAUCUGCUGCGAGCGGUGACUCUCCGUCCAGCAUUAUCCUCCAACCAGGAGCUCUGCUCCUUCCUUGCAUAUCGUCAAUUAUCUGCGCUAGUCUGCGCACUUCCUCCUCCAGCUGCACCGCACGACCAGGGUCACGUGCUGUAACUUGAUCCCUCUCUUGCUCUACAUCAUGCAAGUGUUGCCUCAACUCUGUUUCUUUUGCAUUCGCCACCCCAUCGUCCUCGUAAAAAAUCUGUCUUGCCGGGGAUUGCUCUUCGUCUCUAUGGAAUUCUCCCCGCAGAGGUAUGUUACCUCUCUCACCACCAAGUCUCCCGGUGGUUUGACUUCUCCUUGUACCAUCGGGACCUGGUGCCACUCCACCACCUCUCACCAUUUCCUCCUGAGUUACCCUUCGUUCACUCCGCAACUCAUGCAUGAUGGUUGUCAAGGUCUCCAUCUGCUUUUCCAUCCGUUCCAUUCGGUCGAACAUGGCUUUUUCCCUGGCUUCGCUGGCUAUCUCCCUCAGCAUCACGGAAUCGUUCAGCCUCAUAUCACCCCCUUGUGCACUACUUCCUCCUGUCUCCAUUACUUUUCACUUGCUUCACUCCUCUUCUUGCUAUCAACAUAAGCUUUUUGCUCAGUUCCCCACAGACGGCGCCAAAAUAUUGAUGCGAGAUUCUGGUUAUGCUCGUCCUACGACCAGGAUAUCUGCUCGAUCAACCUCACCUCGAUCAGGAUCUCUCCUCGUAUGCUUUCUUCUCCAAGUAUCCCUGCGUUCACAGAAACGAGUCAGAGCACGCCGGUUGUUUUCCCGGCGUAAACCCUCCGACGCUCAAGUCAGAUGUGAAGGUUCUGGGAAUGCUUGCCACAGAUCUUAUGGCUUUUCUAUAAUCUCAGUUCUUAGAGUUCUCUUUUCUUAGUUCCAAAAUCAAAAAUUCUAAACCUUUUACCUUCGUUGGCUACCUUUUUAUAGGCUUCCUCUGAAUCCAGAUCUUCCACAGUCCACGCCCGCCAUUCUCCCCACUCUCGGGUGUGGACGCCCCAUUACCGCCAUUGUCGGCGAAUAGAGAUGGACCUCGUGUCUUAAUUCUCGGAUAGGAAUGCACGUCCUGCCAACUGUCGUUGACUGGGUCUCCUCGCCUCGAUGCCUAGCAGGAAUGACUUUAUGCCUCUAAUAGGAGUUCGGCCUCAUGAAUGGCAUAUUCGUGGACGAGCAAAAUACUCCUGCUCGUAUUCCCCUGCUACUUGGCUCUUGUAGGAUACCCCUGCUCGCAGAACCCUGCCACCAACCACCUGCUCAUCAUGUUUGGUCGCCUCGAUAUAUUUCCCUCAAACAGGGUUCUUCUUUUUCUAGGCUGCAAUUAGGAUAUGUACAUGUUAGACAAUCUUUUGUGGGUUUAGCAUAUCUUCUCUGAUUUUGUCUUUUAUUCCCCAAUCUUGUAAUUACACACCAUGAAUGUUGAGUGAUUGUAUAGAUAAUUUAUGUUAGAACCAAAGCAUUGUGAAGGAGUUAAGUUAGUGGCUUCUGUUUUUUUGGCAUUGAUUGGGUAGAUUAUGUGUUACAGUGAUUCAAUUUGUGAUCCAAACUUUGCUUUAAUUUCUGUUUUCCCUAAUUAUUUAUGUCAAAUUUAAAUCCAGAAGCAUGUGCUGAUUUUUUCUUUUUGUAUUAAUCUGUGAAGUUUAUUUGGAAUGGAAGUAUCUGGGUUGGGUCUAACGGAUUAAAUUAUGACAUUGGGGGGAAGGCAGUAAAGGGUUUGCUUGACACAUUUGGUUCUGUGUUUACUUUGCAAGAAAUAGCUUUUGGUUCUCGCAAUGCUGGGGGAAAUCCCGAUUUGGCCAGUGAAUUUCUUUGUGACAAAUAGGCGAACACAUCAACCUCUUCUAUCCAUCCUUCUACUCGUAAGGCAAGGGGUAAAGAGUCUUCAAAAUCAUCAAAUAGUAACAUCUCUGAGAAUUCAUUUUAUGCAAAUGGAAAAUCUUGACCUUCUAAGACAAAAUGGCGUCCUGUAUCAGGAGGUACCGUUUCAAGUUUUCUUGGUAAAAAUUAUGUUAAACCUGCACAGCCAGCUAAUGGCACAUUUCUAGUAUCAAAGCCAUUGAAGUUGGAUCCAAAGGGGUUUCCCAUGUCUCCACUUUUGUGGAGAAGAUACUAAACUGAAACAAUCAAAGGAUGACCAUUUGCAGAAGGAUAUUGAAGAUUUUCUGUUUAAAUUGCUAGGAGAAGUGUUCCAAUUUAAUACAUAUUGUCCUUUUCAAUGUUCUUUCUUUCUUUCUCUUCUUUUCUUCUUCUUCUUCUUUUUUCUUUUUGUGUGCGUGUGAUCACUAAUUUGGUAUUGUAGUUAAGUUGCAGAUAGUUGUGGAUAUGAUAUGCAAAAGGCAAGGACUAUAUCUUCCUGAUGGAGGCCUCUGCUUUUUCCUUUAUGUGUAAUUUAAUAAAUUGCAUCUUCCUUUCCGAUUGUUAGAUCAUAUCAAAGACAAGUCUUAAAUACUGCUGUCAUAUGUUAAGGUUCAACUUGCAGUUUGAUUAACAUUCAUGGCUCAAAGGCCUGCAAAAACUUGCCAGUAAUUGUAAAAUGACAUUCUUUGCUUUUAAUGCAAUAGAGGGAACAGGGAAGUAUAGCUUUGGAAGCCUGGAUUGGUAACUAUAGAGAGACUUAGUAUUUAAUUGAUAAAAAUUCCCAUAACCCAAGGGUCAAGAAAAUUUUAGAUCGUUAAAGACUUCAUUUUGUUUCGGCCAGAAAUGUUUGUUUCGAUCGAAGACUUGAACCAUUUUCAUUGAACCUGAUUAUGAUGCUUUACGUUAUGCAUGUUCCUCUUAAUCAAGAAAAGUUGAGGUGAUGAUUUUAUAUUUCUAUAUUGUAAGUUGAAAUAAUAAUUGGUCUGCUUGUUUCUGUAGCUUGAUAACAUGAAUUUUCCUUCUCAAGUUAAUUUAAUCAAUAAAGUAAUUCUUCAAAGAAAAUAUGCCCAUUCUAUAAUCAUUUUCUUAACUAACAUGUUUUUUUCUUCACUCUUCAGAGCAUGUUGAAACUAAUUGUUUCGGCAGAGACUUUGGGUGAGAAGACAAAAUUUCUCGGUAAAUCCUCUGAAAAGGUAUGCAUAAUUCCGGAGUAUUAAAUAACCAAUGGUCAUAAUUUUUGUACAGGACUCUUUUCUUGUGGAGAUGAUUAAAAGUGGCUGAUGAUCCAGUUUGUAUAUCAUAGAGAGCAUCAAUUCCUUUUCUUUUCAGUGGCUAGGCAACACUUUCAGGGCAAAGUAAGGAAAUCUAUUUUAGGCAAUGUAAAAACCAAUGGUAGGAUGUAAUAGUUUAACAUGCACUGACAAUAACUUUUUGUAUAAUUGUCAGUUGAACGAAUACAAGAGGAACUCUGUUGACAAUUCAUCCAAGAUAGAUGCUAAAAUUAUUUAUGCAUGCCAGUUGCCUUAACUAAUUUUUCUUGACACUGGUAUUGAAGAGGAAAAUGGAUAUGCAAUUUGUAUAUUGUGCCAUGUGGAGAAUUUGGAUAUUCCUAUCUAAGUAACAAGGAGAGUAUUUGCCUCAUCUUUAGACAAUGAAUCUUUGAGAAAUUAGGAGUGGGUGAUUGGCAGUGUCUUCAUGUAAAUGUUCAUUUGUUUGUAUUUUGAACUAUUAUGAGAAUCUUUUAUAUGCCAAAUUAGUAAUGCAAAUGUUCAGAUUAUUUUUUCUGUUGAUCGUGCAUUUGUGUCUGCAAACAACCAUUGUAUAUCACUUCAUUCUGAUGUGCAAGUCUCUGUAGUUUAGAAGAAAAGAAAUAAUAAUGAUAUAUUAUUGCUUGAUUCAUGAUUAUUAAAUGAUUAUGGCUUUAAAAAGCCUACAAAUUCCUUCUGUUGAUAUAUGAAUGUACCAAGUUUGCUAUAUCUUAGAUUACCAUUUCCAAGAUUACAAGUUCAAAUUUUUUCUUUAUCCUUUUCCAUCACAGUUGCAUUUUAAGUGUAAGAUUUGUUAUUAAUACCUGGUUUCCCGUCAUUAUGAUUUCAUAAACAGUGUAUGGGUAUGUGCUCUACUUUUGGAGGGCCUCCACGUGAAAGAAAAAUUGCAACAAUUGAAUUCUUCCAGAUUGUAUGGUAUUUAAUUUAUUUUCUCAACCUCUUGUAAGACUAAUAUAUUUUCCUUCAGUAGACACGGCAUGGUGGGAAGGGUUUUUUAUUGAAAGAAUUCUGAUAUUUCUUAGACUUUGUUUUGGAAGGGGGUGCAGGGGUUUCUCAUCCAUAUAUGGUUACUUGAUUAGCUUUUGACUGUAUUGCCUUAAUCAUGCAAAGGAAGAUCCAAAUACAAACGAAGGAGAAUUGUUUAGACACCCAGAAGAUGGAAAUGAACUACAGAAGGAAGUUUUUGCUGCUUUAUUUAGUGCUCCUGAGAAAUCUGAUGAAUUUCCUGAAAUUACGGUGAAGACCAAGUGUGAGGUCCAAAGCAUUAGGAAAGGUGGUGAGUGAACUGCCGGAGGAAUUGGUACAGAAUACAAGGCUAAUGUGGUGGACUUGCAGCAAGAUAACCGAAACAGUCCGUGCUCUUAUAUUAACUAUAUUGACUGGAUUUGCUAGUGUGUAUAUUUUUGUGUGUAUACUCACUUUUGUAUUUAUGCAUAUUAACGUGUGUAGGAUUCUUGAUUUCUGCCACUUACUGGAGAACUAGUGGAAAGCUUUAUACUGAUAUAUGUGCUAUAACUAAUGGAAACUAUGAUAUUAAUAUUUUCUCUCGCUUGGAGAACUGCAUAACAUAUAUACUUUGUGGCUCUGGAAUACUAAAGAUUCUGCAAUAACUAAUGGAAACUAUGAUAUGAAUAUUUUCUCUCACCUGGAGAACUUUGUAACAGUUACACUUUGGGGCUUGGAAUGUCUAAAGAAUUUUGUCUGCUUCAGUUAGAUCAAAUAUCUUUUAGUUGCAUACAUUAUAGAAAAGAUAAAGUUCUCUGAAUCUGAACGACUUAAAAUUUUGCGCAUUUCUUGAAAGGGAAAUAUCUGUAGAUACUAGUUCAUGCAUUGUGGUAGCAUCAGUGUUAAAGAAAAACAGCAGUAAGUUAUUAUAUAGAAUUAGGUUGACUUGCUUUAAAUCCUGGUCUGGUCAACCAUAUGAACCUGUAAGUGGUUCUGUAGAAAUAUAUAUAUAUACGGGGAGAAAGUAGCUAAAUUUUCCUUUCAUUUAUGGGUUUGGUCAUUUUUUCCCCUUAUUUAUGUUUUCUCACACAUUUUUUAAAUGCCCCAGACAUGCAAUUUUGUAUGUGUCAAUUGCCUUUUAAGUUUUAAAAACCAUAAAGUAAGAAUACAGUUUCUUGUCAGGCUAUUGAUGCAUUUGCUCGGGGGGAUCAUGCUCGAGCAGGAAAACUUCUAGAACAGGUAAGGUUUCCAUCUACAGCCAUUUAUUGACAACAUAUAUAUUUUCAUUCAGCAAGCACUGUUAGCAUUCAAGAUGCUGGCAGAUUCACUUGAUUCUUAUUAGUUUGUUUAGUAGCAAAGCAUAUAACCUGUAUUUCAAAGCUAAGUUGUGCUAUUGAUUAUGUUAACUUUAUUGUUCACAUAAAGUGAUAUAGAGGAAAUAAUCAAUGUAGGAAAAUUAGGUGAAGAGAUGAUGUCAAAUCUUGAACCUCUUACAAAACUCUAAGCUCUUUACUUGAAGAAGCUACCAAAUUCGAACAGCAUGUACUGGAAGGCCUUGCCAUUCCCUGAUGCAUGCAGAAUUUUUGUAUUUAAAUGCCCAGAGCUUAAGAAGCUGCCACUGGAUCUUGAAAGGGCAGGCCAAGGUAAAAUUCUUAUGAAGGGAAAGAAAGAUUGGUGGAAACAAACUUCAAUGGGAGGAUCAAGUAACUCAGAAUGCAUUGCUUCCAUUUUUAAAAUCAACCAACAAGUGAUUGAAGGGGGCAUCAUCAACAUGGAUGGAGAGAUUCUGGAGCAGAUCAGCGGGGUUUAGUACGACCUGUGGUGGUUGCUUUUUUGUGACUUUUUUCCCUUUCAUUUUUUCACUCCCUGUCAUAUUAUCAUUUCUUUGUCUCUGUUUCUAUUGCUGGUGUUGCUGCAUGCUUGCUGUCCUUGACAAAGUUAGCUAGUUUUUUUGUUUAUUAAAUUUUGUAUGUUCGGGACAGUCACAAAGUACUACUUGUUCUAUAAGGGGGUGAUGUGAAUCCACUUUUCAAUUAUAUAUUCUGUGGUAAUUGUGAAUUCAAUUCAUUUGUCUCCAGCAAAUUAUGAAGAAAGUGCAGAGUUACAAUAUGGAAAAGUUCACUGGCAAAUACUUUGUAAAAGCUUCGGAGUGAAACAGGGAAUGCACUGGCAACUAAGGACAAAUUGGUGGCCAGCUAAUGCAUUCAUUUUAUGUACAUUCCUCUUUUUAAUUAUUGAAGAUAAGUGGUUCGUUGCUUUUGUUGUAGAUAAAAUUCAGACGACCUCAAUUGUGAGAUGACAAUAUUUAAAAUAUCUCUUAAAUUAUUAUAAACUUUAAUUUAUCUUAAUUUUAUUUAAAAGAUAAAAGAAAAAUGUGGUAUAUGGAUAAAUUUUUUUUUAUCUUCUUAAUAAAAUGAAAUAAAUUAAAAUUUAUAAUAAUUUAUAAUAUUUUAAAAAUUAUUAUUUCAUAAGAGAUUAAUAUGAAAUUAAUCCUUUUUACUUUUUGAAUGUGAAAGGACAGGAAAAGAGAAAGCAAGUGUCACUGCUUUUUAUUUUAUUUGAAAUCGGAGUUAUCCCAUAUACUUUACUACUUUAGCUCUAACAUUACAAUGUUUUUAGGCUACACUUUUAUUUUUCUUUUUCCCCCUUUUUUUAUACAUGCAUGUGGAUUACUUUCCUCUAAGCGCCUUAAUAUUUAAGACAAAUCAUAAAAGCGAUUGAAGUAUAACCAGAUGAUCAAAACAUUUAACCCAAAAAAAAAAAGAAAUAAAACAUUGAAAAUGGAGAUGUUGAUUAAUUUAGAAGAGAUGCAAGUAAAAGAUAUUCCCAAAAAAAAGAAAAAAAGAAAAAAGCAACGUUAGUUCAUCCAUGUCUGUCAAUGCGUUUUUUAUGGUUUUUUUUCCAGUUGUUUGUUGUAAUAGAUUGAUUGUAAAUUGAUAUGAACUUGAUGUUGUAAUAUGUUCCCUUUUGUGGAAUUAAAUUUGAAUAUUCAAGAUUAUUCAAGUCUUAUUUAGUAUGUGUUUAGUUGUGUUGUCGAUAACUUUGCAUUCGAAUAAGUUUUCACCUAAAAUAUUAGCAUGAGUAGUAGUCCUUGAAACUUUGGUCAAAAUUAUUGUUAUUGUUUCUUUUAGAGGAAAUUUUUUUAUUAAAGCCUCGUUAACACUAUUUCUUAUUAAGAUUAUAAGUUAGUGUCGGUGUAGGAUUUGCAACGACAAAUCCUGUCUAGCCACGUGUCAAAAGUACAAAUAAAUCAAGGGAAAGCACAUGUCGCGGAUUAGGAUCCAAUAAAAUUUAAAUCCCAAGGAAAAGGACAACUGUAUCCUAAAGUUUCAAUAAGAGAUACUGAUAUAUCUUUUGACUAAUGUUAUUUUUUGGCUUCAUUAAUAAAAAGAUCCAAUAGUUUAUAACAAAUAAAAAUAUAGCAUUAAGCUAAAUGUGAUAAUAUAUACAUUUUACAUAAUUUCAAUAAAAAAACAUUUUAAUGUUUUACGAUCUAUCAGACAUAUUUUAUUAAAUUAAUAGGAAUUUUCUGAUAAAUAGCAACAUAAUAUUAAAAUAAAUUUAUAAAGAUUUAAAUGUAAAAUAAUUUUAGUAUAAUUAAUACAUGGGAUAUAUUUUGUAAAUUAUAAAAUUACUUAACCCAAUGAUUUUUAAAAAUCUUUAAAAUAAAUAAAAAUAAAUUAUUCACAUUUUGAUGUAAAUAUUUAAAACAUUUUUAUACAUUAGUCCACAAUUAUUUAUGUUAUAUUUGUAUUUAUUAGAAAUUUUGAAAGUGAAAUGUUUUUCACCUCUAUCUUAUUAGAAUUAUUGCACACAGAGAAAGAGCCAUAUAUGCUUUAUAGCUUUAAAAUCGGUUUGUUUUAUAGCUGGGAACAGAGAUGAUCAUUAUUAUAAGGAUUAAAAAAAGAUAAAGAAUAUUAAUGAUUAACGAAAUCUUUAUGGAAAUUGAAUUUAGUAAGAAAAAAUUGAGCUGAUUUUAGUGGUAUAGUCAUAUUUUAUAUAGAGAAAAGUAAAAGUUGCACCCCGAAAUGUUCAAAACUCUUUUUUAAUAAUAAUAUCCUUUUUUCUAGAUAACUUAAAAAUUUGACUCUAAUAUUUUAUAAUAAAUAAAAACAUAUAAUCCUAAAAUAAAUAAAAUAAUAUAUAUUUUAAAAUAAUCUCAAUAUUUAAAAUAUAUUUUAACAUUUUAUAGUCUAUCAUAUAUAUUUUAUUUUUUUAAAGUAAAUUUUAUAAUAAAUACCAACAUACUAUUAAAAAAGAUAUAUAAAAAAUUUAAAAUAUUUUGAAUAUUAUAUAAAAUAACUUUAAUAUUGUUAAUAUGUGAGAUAUAUUUUAUUAAUUAAAAAUUCUAUUUAACCCAAAGAUUUAUUUAAGAUAAAUUAAUAAUUAUAUUUUUGAAAUUAUUUCAAAUAUUAAAAAAUAUUUUAAUAUUACUAACUAUUAGAUAGACUAAACUAUUUAUAUUAUUUUAUAUUUAUUAUAAAAUUUCAAAGUUAAUCUUUUUAACUACUAUUCAAAAGAUAUUAUGAUAAAAACAGAAUUUUUGUGUUUUUAUUGACAAUUUGGAGUUUACAUCUAUUUUUUUCAAAUAUUCGGGGUGUAAAUGUUUUUUCCCUUUUAUAUAUACGAACGGUGGUGAGAAAGCUUGAUUUAACGUUAUUUAUUUAAAUAAAAUCUCAGUUAAAAAUGUACAGAGAAGAAAUUUCUGUUGGUAUUUUAGUCUUUUACCAAUUAUCACGAUUAGGCCUUGGCCUUGAAACAUUAAUUGUUUCACUUUUAGCGCUAGUGGCGUUGAAAGUUGUCAAGAAAAAAGCAAGACCAUAUUCCACAAAAGCAAAAGUAACGUUGGCUCUUUUAUUAAAGGCAAAGUAUAAAGUAGUCAAGAAUCGAAUAUCCUGUCGUCUACUCUUUUUUAAAUUCUUCUUUUAUUAUCUUUUAGAAUAGUUUUUGGUAAUUACAAUCAUUAUUCAGAGUUAUUGUUAUCUUCCGGGGCAGUCUCUGUUCAUCGAACUCGUUACCCUUUUUUAUAGAUUAGUUCCAGUGGUCAGCAGUAAUUUUCUUAGAACUCGGAUCUUUAAUUCGAGUUUCUGUGUGAAUUAAUAAUAAAAAAUUUCAUUACACGCAAUUUAAGCUACGAAUUACUUUUUGCAAAGUUGAAUAUGAAAUUGGAGAAAUUAAGUAAUUUAGAAUGUUGGUAAAAAUUGACGAACAUAUCUCCAAUUACAGUAAAACCUCUCUACAGUCAUAACAUUAUAAUAAAAUUAAUUUUAUUACUAUGUUGAGGUAAUAUAGGUUUAGUUACAAAAUUAUUGUUUUAAUAUGGUUAGUGUCAAGUGAUAUAAAGGUUAAGUAUGUAGUACAUUGAUAAUUAAAUAAUGAAGCGUGUCAAAUCUAAUGUAUAUAUAUAUAUAUAUAUAUAUAUAUUUUUUUUUUUUUGGUUUUGACCACGAGGUAUCCUGGGGAGGGCCCCAACUGUGGGAGACACCUUUAAGCCCGUACCACAACCCAGACUAGAAGUCCUCACUCGAAUCGAGAGGCACAGGUUCUCCCAACAAAGGCGACUUCCCUACGACUCGAACUGGGGAGCAAACCCAGUCAAGCCACUUAAGGGGACUCCAUUGCCAGUGGAGCCAACACUUUGUUGGUUAUAUAUAUUAAUGAUAUAGAUAGACAUAGUUUUAAAAAACUAAUUAAUGUAUAUUUAUGUAGUGUUAUGAAUAUGGAAAGUCAAGCCUACACUUUACAUUAUCCUUAAUUUUUUCUCUCAGUUAAAUUCUACAAAAAUUUUACAAUGAUUGGGCAAGAACUCUAAAUUAAGAAUAAAUUAUUGUCACAAAUAAUUUUAGAAAAUAUUUUAUUUCGUCUUAAACCUUUAAUGUAAGUAAACAUAUAUAUAUAUAUAUAUAUAUAUAUAUAUAUAUAUAUAUAUAUAUAUAUAUAUAUAUAUAUGUGCAUAUUUUGCAACGUAUAGAUAAUUGUUAGUAUAUGGAGACAAGUCUUUUAAGGUAGGACCUAGGAAAAUUUAUAACUUACUACACUGGGGAGUUUUUAUUCCUUUUUAUAAUUGGCUCAUAUUGAUACAUUCUUACACAAAAUAUUACCACUGACAUAUUUUAUUACAAUUAGUUUAGAACAUUUGUUAGGAAAAAAAAAGAAAAGAAAACAUCCCUUGGAUGUAGCUCUCCUGAUUAUUUAAAUCUUUUAAGGAAAAAAAGAAAAAAGAAAAACUAACACAUUCAAAUCUUGAAGCAAUUACAUUAAAACCUCUCCAUAAUGAUAGGAAUAAUCUCCAUUUAGUAAUAAAAAAUUUUGUUCGCAAUUUAGGCAUAGUUAUAAAUAAGAAUAAAAUCCUCAUUGUAAUAAGUUAUAUUUAUUAUGGAUCCCAUCCUAAGGAACUUGUCUCUAUAUAGUAAUAAUUAUUUGAAUAUUAUAAAUAUAUAUGUUGCAUUAGAUUAAAUGAACUUGUCUCCACAUACUACUUAGACAACGAGAGAAAGUUAUUAAAGAGAACACAAAUAUUUAAAGAUUUUUAAGAUUACUUUGUAUAUUUAUAACAAUAAUACAUUGAUAUAUGUAUUAGUUUUUUGAUAUAUUAGAUUUGACAUGCUCUAUUAAUAAAUUAUUAAUACGAUGCAUACUUCAUCUCUAUAUCCUUGCAAUAAAAGUAACUAAGUUAUAACGAUAAUUUUUGUAACUACAUGCUUAUUAGGUUUUAACUACUUCAUAAUAAUAAAUUAGUUUCGUCCUAAUAUUAUAAUUAUGUAGAGUUGUGGUGUAUAGACACACCCAAUUUAAAUAGUAUAUCAAAUAAAAUUGUCCCCACAAAAAAGAAAAAAGGGGUAAAGGAUUGUUAUUUCUUCAAACAUUAGGAUCACGUUUGUACAAGUGCGAUGCCUUUCUUUUGAAGGCAACGUCAGUGGGUACCCAAUAGGACGUGUGUAAAUCUUUCCAAAAUUUCUCCGGUAUAACGGACAGAGAUCAUUACUUUUCUCUUCCAUAGACCACAGCAGCUUCAGUUAAUCAGACUCAAUCAAUUUUCUUGGUUUCUUCGCUUAUCAAAAUUCCAAAGUAUGGGUAGCAUAUUUCAAAUCACAUGCGAUGGUGCUUUUUUCAAUCGUUGCUUGGAUUGCUUUCUUGGAAAAGUAGCAAACACAAGUAAGCUCCAUGAUAACCUUGUUGCCUUGGAGACUGAAUUGGGAAAACUAAUCGCAGCAAAGAACGAUGUGAUGAUGAGGGUUGUCAAUGCUGAACGGCAACAACUGAGAACGCUGGACCAAGUGCAUGUGUGGCUUUCGAGGGUGGAAGCUGUUGAAACUGAAGCUGAUGAAUUGAAAAGACACGGCUCUCAAGAAAUUGACAAAUUAUGUGUUGGAGGCUACUGUUCCAAGAACUGCGCGUCAAGCUACAAGUUCGGGAAACAAGUGGCUAAAAAGCUACGGGAUGUGCGGACUUUAAUCGACGAAGGAGUUUUUGCGGCGGUGGCUACCGAGGUGGUGCCUGAGAGAGCUCCAGAACCUGUAGCAGAUGAAAGACCCACUGAGCCAACAAUAGUAGGCUUGCAAUCACAACUUGAACAAGUUUGGAGAUGUCUUGUAGAAGAAUCAGUGGGAAUCAUUGGCCUAUAUGGUAUGGGCGGUGUUGGUAAAACUACACUAUUGACCCAUAUCAACAAUAAAUUUCUUGAGAGUCCAACCAGUUUUGAUUGUGUGAUUUGGGCCGUAGUUUCAAAGGACUUGCGACUCGAAAAAAUUCAAGAAGAUAUUGGGAAAAAGAUCGGUUUGGUUGAUGAUUCAUGGAAGAGUAAAAGUGUAGAGGAGAAAGCUCUCGACAUCUUCCGGAGUUUAAGAGAGAAGAGAAUUGUAUUGCUGUUAGAUGAUAUAUGGGAGCGGGUUGAUUUAACAAAAGUGGGCAUUCCACUUUCCGGACCAAAAAAUACUACCUCAAAAGUCGUAUUCACAACCCGUUUCGUCGAUGUUUGUGGUAGCAUGGAAGCUGACAAGAAGUUCCAAGUGGCAUGCUUAUCAGAAGAGCAUGCUUGGGAACUGUUUCGAAAAAAAGUUGGGGAAGAAACUCUUGAGAGUGAUCAUGAUAUCGUUGAGCUAGCCCAAACUGUGGCCAAAGAGUGUGGUGGUUUGCCACUCGCACUUAUUACUAUUGGUCGAGCUAUGGCCUUCAAAAAGACAGCCGAGGAGUGGAGUCAUGCAAUUGAUGUGCUAAGAACAUCAGCUUCUGAGUUUGCAGGUUUGGGAGAAAAGGUGUAUCGUCUUUUAAAGUUUAGCUAUGAUAGUUUGCAGAAUGAGACGAUUAGAUCUUGUUUCUUAUAUUGUUGUUUAUAUCCCGAGGAUUAUGGCAUUCUUAAAUGGGACUUGAUUGAUUGUUGGAUUGGUGAGGGAUUCUUAGAGGAAUCUGACAGGUUCAGUGCAGAAAACCAAGGAUACUACAUUGUGGGCACUCUUGUUCAUGCAUGUUUAUUAGAAGAGUUAGAAGGUGAUAAAGUAAAAAUGCAUGACGUUGUUCGUGAUAUGGCUCGAUGGAUAGCUUGUGAAAUUGAGAAGGAGAAGAGAAAAUUUUUGGUUUGUGCAGGUGCUGGAGUAGGAGCGGUACCAGAUGUUGAAGGAUGGGAAAAUGUGAGAAGAUUGUCAUUGAUGCAAAACCAAAUUGAAAUUCUGUCAGAGGUUCCCACAUGCCCUCAUCUCCUCACUUUAUUUCUUGACUUUAAUUAUAAAUUGGAGACGAUCACCGAUGGCUUCUUCCAAUGUAUGCCUUCUCUCAAAGUUUUGAAGAUGUCAAACUGUGGGCAUGUCAAAGUUUUGAAAUUACCUUUUGGGAUGUCAAAGUUGGGUUCACUACAACUUCUUGAUAUUUCACAUACCGGCAUAAGAGAGUUACCAGAAGAGUUAAAGUUGUUGGUAAAUCUGAAAUGUUUGAAUUUGAGGUGGACACAUAUGUUAAAUAAAAUUCCACGGCAGCUAAUAUCAAAUUCUUCAUGGUUACGUGUGUUGAGAAUGUUCGCUAUUGGCUUCGAAAAUUCUAAAGAACCAUCAGAAGACAGCGUUUUAAUUGGUGGGGGUGAAGUUUUAGUACAUGAAUUGCUCGGUUUGAAAUAUUUAGAGGUAUUGGAGUUGACCUUGCGAAGUUAUGAUGCUCUCCAAUUUUUUUUGAGCUCAAAUAAGUUAAAAAGUUGUAUUCGAUCUCUUUUCCUCAUUAAGCUGGGAGAUACAAAGUCGAUUCAUGCUACGGCAUUCGCAGAUCUAAAGCAUCUCAAUGAACUAUGCAUUCGUUCGGCAGUGGAGUUGGAAGAAUUGAAGGUUGAUUAUACAGAGAUUGCGCCAAAAAGGUCGGAACCUUUUGUUUUCCGCAGCCUUCACCGUGUUACUAUGGAGCGGUGCCAUAAAUUGAAAGAUUUGACAUUCCUCGUUUUUGCUCCAAGCCUCAAGUCUCUUUCGCUAUACGGUUGCAAUGCUAUGGAAGAAAUAAUCAGCGUUGGAAAAUUUGCUGAGACUCCUGAGGUGAUGGGACAUAUAAGCCCUUUUGGAAAUCUCCAAACGCUUUAUUUAACUGAUUUGCCAGAGUUGAAAAGCAUCUACUGGAAGCCGUUGCCUUUCACUCAUCUCAAAGAAAUGACGGUACAUGGGUGUAAUCAGCUUAAAAAGCUUCCACUCGAUUCCAACAGUGCAACAGAGCGUAAAUUUGUUAUUCGUGGAUACACACACUGGUGGAACCGUCUUCAAUGGGAGGAUGAAGCCACUCAAAUUGCUUUUCGUUCCUGUUUCCAAUCUCAUGAAAUAUAAAUUCCUGAGCGGUGGUUGCAAAAUUUGAUUUCUAGUGAGUGCUUUUUUCUGAAACUCUUACAUAUAUUCUCGUCGUUUGCUUCGUGCAACAGACUAGGUUUUUAUUUCAGAUUCGUUUUUUGUCUCCUGCAAAUCACAAUUAAAUGUUGAAUUAUAUGGAGUCAAUGCUUUAGAAAAUUUUCAAGGCACUGCCAUUUCCUUUUUCUUUUUUCUUUUUUUGGGGUCGAAUUGAUGCUCUGGCUUUUUUCUUCUUCUUGUCAAAUUUUGCUCUGUUUUUUCAAGUUGAUGAUUGAAUAGUUGAAUUCAAUUAAUGCUCACAUAAAUUUGUUUAGUUGCCGUAAAAGGAUAUAAUUAGACUGAAGUACACACUUCUAGAAUGAAUACAAAAUGUUAAGUAUACUAGCCCUCUUUACAGAAAAUCAAAUGAAAAUCAAUUUUUUGGGGCUUUGAUUUUCUAUGGUCUAUUAUAUACUCUUUUUAAUAUCUUCUGUUCUAACUAUAACCAAAUCCUUUGUUCAAGGAUUUUUAGUUGGGGUAUUGAUAACUGUCCACCAAAAGAGUGAACACUUGGAUGCUGCUCAAGGAUCUCUAAUCAAUAGGUGGAAGCAACUGAGAAGGCGGUCGCUACUGUUUACAAAGCGAUGCAGUAUUCGCCAUUCAUCUUAAUAAUUGUGAAGCUUUGGUAAAAUUUUCAAACAAAGUUGAACAUGCUGUUUUGAGAUUUGGUUCAUGAUUUUCGAUGAAUAUCGUUGUUCCGUUUGAGUUGGAUGUGAAUUCAAAAUCUAUAUAUUCUUUAGUUUUCAAUUCUGAACUCAAUUUCUUUUUCUCAAGCAUGUUAUGCAGAAAUGAUUUUUAUAAUUACUAAAUCAUUUUUGAUGAAUUGUUUAAAUUAAACAAGUGGAAUAAGAAUUGUAAAGGUUUAUCAUAAGCAUGCUAAUAUGAUAAGUUGUUUUAUGAACGAUUAAUUAAUUAAUCAAUUAAUAUUAAAUUAUAUAUUAGUCAAUUAGAUAUGCGUUACAUGUCAUGUUUAAAAACUAUUUAUUUAUAUUUCAAACAAAUUUGACUGGAUGUUGUGUAGGUAAUACUACAUAAUUUCAAAACAAAAAAAGUAACAAAAACAAGUUAAAUUUUGUUUUUAUGAAGAAAAAAUUUAAAAUUUUAUUAAGUAGGUGAAAAUAAUAAAUGGAUUCGUGUAUGGUUUGAGAUUCUUGACAUAAUUAUGAAAUAAGCCGGAUUCAACUUAGUUCAAUUUUGACGCGAUAAGAAGACGACACCACACAAACACACGAUAAGAACCGUUACCUGAGAAGAUUGCCAUCAGGAAUUUUGAAAUUGAUUUCACUACAAUACCUUAAUCUUUCAGAUACUCCCAUCACUGAGCUGCCGGAAGAGCUAAAAGCCUUGGUAAAUCUUAAGUGUUUGAACUGUACACAAAUUAUCUCUCUACAAUUCAAAAACAACUGAUUUGUUACUUUUUCAAUGCUACAUGUUCUGCGAAUAUUGAGUUGUGGUUAUCUUGUUGAAAAAUCAGAAAAUAGAGUUCUAUUUGGUGGUAGUGAAUUGUUGGUUGGGGAGUUGCUUAGUUUAAAACGUUUAAAUGUAUUAAGCAUCACCUUACAAGGUUUUUCUGCUGUCCAAAAACUUAUGAGCUCUCAAAAGUUUCAAAGCUGUACAAAAUGUUUGGAGCUUAUAGACUGUGAUGAUUCAAAGUCUUUUGCCUUGGCAGAGUUGAAGCAUCUCGAAAAACUAGUUUUUCGAAUUGUGGAAGAGUUUAAGUUCUGCUGUGUUGAAGUUGGAAAAGCUCAAGAAUGUUUUCGUUUGAACAGCUUUCACCGAGUUAAUAUAAAGGCUUGUCAUAAAUUGAGGGAUGUGACAUGGCUUGUAUUUGCUCCAAAUCUUAUGGUUAUUCAAAUAGAAAAAUGUAUGCAGAUGGAAGCAAUAAUCAGUGCAAGGAAAUUGGGUGAAAUUCCAGAGAUGAUGGCAGAUCUAAACCCUUUUGCAAAACUCCAAUAUCUUCGCUUCCGAGUUCUUCCAAAAUUAAAAAUCGUCUAUUGGAAUGAGUCACCCUUUCCACAUGUCAGGGAAAUUAUUGUAUCUGAAUGCCCAAUUCUCAAGAAGCUUUCACUCAAUUUUAACAAUGCAAAGGAAUCUAAAAUUGUCAUUAAGGGAGAGGAACACUGGUGGAACGAGCUGCAAAGGGAGGAUGAAGCGACCGUUAAUGCUUUUCUUCCUUAUUUUGGUUCCAUUUGACAGGCAUCAACAUGGAUUUAUAUUUUGCGGUGGACAACUUGUAGUAAGUGCUUUUCCAUUUAUUACAUGUUUAUAUCUAACUUUUGUUUUCCUUUAUGGUUAAAUUUUACUAUAUAUAUGUUGUUAUACGGUGACAUUCUCGCAUCAAUUAUUAGCUUUUUAAUUCUCUUCUCGCAUUAAUUGUCCUUCUGAUCAUGUAGGAUUUGCCGAUGUCAAAGAGUAGUAAAUUGGGAUACAAAUGUAAGAAAUUAGCCAGAUGACAUGUUGUUUUGAAGCUUUCGAAGAAGGACUAAUUAUGUCAUUCAAAGCAUCCAAUUUCGCUACUUUUUUUUUUCAUUUGUUGCUUUUUCUAUUUUUAGAUAGCUUGAUUGUCAGUUGUCGUAAUGUAAUGUUUUAGUGUAGAAAAAUGAUAUUCGGCCAAGACAUCGAUAGUAGGGCACAUUGUGCAUGCACACUAGUGGAUGAUUUCGGCAUGCCGAAUCCAAUUAGUGUGGACAACCCUUUAUAAGCAUCAGGCUUCUCUCAUACCAGAGCAAUGUAGAAUAUGUUUAUAAACUGUGGAUUACCCUUUAUAAGUAUUAGGCUUCUUCUAUACUCGCGCGAUGAAACAAAAUGCAUUCUUCAAAUCAAUAGUGGGUGGAAGAAGUGAGUAGAGAAGAACUAGGCCCCUUUCAUUCCCCUAAAACCUCACCGAAACCUCUCUUGUGAACUUCUCAGAUUCUCUCUCAAUAUUUCUUAUGAUCUCAUUUUUGAUAGAAUCAAUUCUUUUGCAUGCUGCAUUUUGUGUGUCUUUUUUGGGUAAUAUCUUAUCUGGAAUGCUGUUAUGAUCAAUAGAAAAAGUAAUCAAGUUUUGGUUUGACGGAAGUCGAUUUAUUUAUUUACUAUUAUUUUUAUUUGAAAUUUUGUACAAUUGUGUUUCAUUCAUUUCUUUCAUUUUUUUAAAUAUUUAUUAUGUAUUGUUGAUGCUGAAAUCUGCUCGCCCUUUGCCCAAUCAGAUCUUUCCACCAAUGUUUACGUGGCUAGAAGAGAAGGUGUCACUUUCUUCUUGUUUCGACUGUUUGCUCAAGCCGCUGGGGUUGGAAUCACCCUUCCUUCUUUUACUAAACAUGCGUUCACAAAAAUGGAUCAGAGACGCCGGUGGUUUUAUCGGCGUAAACUCUCCGAUGCCUAAGUCAGCACAAGGUGUUUAUGGGAAAACAGUGCAGUUUAGAUUUUGAGAUUGCUUAUAAUUUGCUCAAAGUUUGUAUAGAAGACGGCUUGGUUUCAAUUUGGCAGAGUUUUCCCCCCUCUCAGUUUUUCUGUCCCUUCUCCAUUGGUUUUUCCUUAUUUUUAUAGCCGUUGUCCCACGUUUCCGUUCACCCUUCAUGCCCCCCCUUUUCUCGGGUAGUGGCAACCCCUCAUGGGACUCCAACUGCUAUAUUGUGGGUAAACGUGGGACACUGUGUCUCCCUCUACGAUUUUGGGCACAGCGCAACUGGCGUGAUUUCGUGAGAUCGUGUUCCCGCUCUUUGGGGAAUGGGUAUCUGCUCGGUAUAUGUCUCUGGUCGGUGCAUUCCUCUGGCUGGUACUCGUCUCUGGUUGGCCCAUGUUUGUAGAAGGCUCAUUAUCAGUGUUCUGCUCGUACCAUUUGGCUGAGGUGAUCCCUGCCGAGGUGGGGAUGAUGGCAUGGCUGAGCUGAUGCUCUUAUUUACUUAACAUGUAUAAUUGUGUUUCAGUUGAUAUUGAUCAUACUCUAGAUAACUAUGUGAUUGUAGCUGGGGAUUUUAAGUUUUGUGAAUUCAAGAAACUGUCAAAAUGCUAGUGAAAUUGGGACCUUUAUUCAUAAGCUUGUAGUUUUGAAAAGUAGCCCAGUUCAACUGAUGAAGUUCCUUUUUGGGAUUCUUUUUUUCCUAGGCUGCAAUUCGGAUAUGUACCUGAUAGACAAUCUUUUGUGGGUUUAGCAUAUCUUCUCUGAUUUUGUCUUUUAUUCCUCAAUUUUAUAAUUACACACCAUGAAUGUUGAGUGAUUGUAUAGAAAAUUUGAGUUAUAACCAAAGCAUUGUGAAGGAGUUAAGUUAGUGGCUUCUGUUUUAUUGGCAUUGAUUGGGUAGAUUACGUGUUACAGUGAUUCAAUUUGUGAUCCAAACAUUUUUUUAAUUUCUGUUUUCCCAAAUUAUUUAUGUCAAAUUCAAAACCAGAAGCAUGUGCUGAUUUUUUCUUUUUGUAUUAAUCUGUGAAGUUUAUUUGGAAAGGAAGUAUCUGGGUCUAAUGGAUUAAAUUAUGUAAGUGGCAGAAAUUCCUACACACAUAAAUAUGCAUAAAUACAAGAGUAUACACAAAAAAAUGCACACACUCAUACAUCCAGUCAAUAUAGUUAAUGUAUGAUACCAAUUGUUGGGGAAAAAUUAGGUUUUUAAUUUUUUAUAAAACCUUUUGAAGAUCGCUCUCAUAUAAUAUAUAAGAAUUUGUAUUCUAGAAAUCGUACCUUGAAAAUCCGAGUUGGCUUUUUCCGCUGAAGUGUUUUAGGCUCCUAGAUCACGAUCCGCCACCACCGCUCCUGUUAGAUCACGAUCCGUCACCACCACGCUUGUUAGAUCACGAACAGUCUCCAAUGAUCUUCCAGGUUAUGACUCAGGUUCGAUCUGCACUUGACGUGUAGGCGCCUUUAUCACUACCAAAGCAACUAGCACGAGAAAAUUUUUCUCUCAACAAUAGAGAGAAAAAUCUUUUUCUCUGAUCUGUAUAAAGUGGCUUCUCACUUUUUCUUUAGGGAAAAAUAAGCCUUUUAUAUCACCCUUUAGUGAAAACCCUAGGCUCCAAAUAAAUGAAAAAUAAAACCCACGUUUAUUUGCUUUUUCAAUAGGGGACCCACCUUGUAAAAUAACAUAAGGCCCCUUAUACAAAAGCUAAUUAAAUGGAGCCUCCCACUAAAUGAUAUAUUUAGGCUUUUGACCCAAAUAGCUGGUUAUCUUACUUAUUAGUCCAGUAGUGGUGCAGUCAAUUAAAUGAGCUAACCCGGGGAUCAUUUGGGAACAUACAAUAGUGGCUACAAUAAUUAGGCCUGUAAUUAAACUAGCCCAAUUAUUUAAUUCCAAAUCUACUCCAUUAAAAGAUUGGAACUGACUUCCAUAAUUGUAUGCUCGAAUAAUAAUUCGUCCCAAGCCACAUUGAUUUCUUUACUGCACAAUCCUUUGUACCACAUCGUUAAUUAAAUUGAUAUCUCAACUGUCCAAUCAAUUUAAUAACAUCUUAUUCCUUGAUCCUUACUGGUUUUCUCUAAUGAUCAUUUUCAACAUACUAAAUAUGUUGACACACUCUGGCCAGAGAAUUCUAUGAUCAAGUGCCGAAAACCCAUGAAGAGAUGUGUUGUACAAAUUCUAUAUUGUUAAUCUAUAACUCCAAUACUCAUAAUUGCUCCCACCAAGAUACCGGGUAAUCUUGACCACAAGGAUGUGUCGUGCCCAUUGGUAACUCAAAUGGAAUAACAAUUACAAUCAUGAAAUCAUAAUUAACUCAAGAUUAAGAUUACAGUAAAAUCAACGCCUAUGAGAUUUAAUAAGUCUGACAGUUAUUACAAAGUUAAUUAAAUCUCAUAUGUGAUCCUGUUCAAUGUAGUCGUACUACAUCAAUAAAUUCAUACAUGAUUAAGACAAAUCAUUCAAUGAAUUUAUUACAGUCUAUACCUAAAUAAAGUGCCCAACUUUAUUUAUCAACUGCGAACUAAAUUUAUUUAAUCAUAAGAUAACAUGUAUUUAUGUCUUCUGUGAAUCCACAUGGUAAUCACAUAAAUACAUAUAAUAUGAUUAAAUGGACUUUAAUACAAGUAUUAAUGCAAUUAAGAUAUUUGAAUAAAAUACCUCAUUUAUUUUAUUAAUCAGAAAAAUAGUUUAUUACAAUUAAAUAAACAUAUAUGCUUUUAAAGAGCAUAUUUUCCCAACACAUACCGGUUUGGUUAUCUUGCUGCAAGUGCACCACAUUAGCCUUGCAUUCUGGUGCCAACUCCUCCGGCGGUUCACCCACUACCUUUCCCAAUGCUUUGGACCUCCAUUCGGUCUCCAUCAGAUUUCUCAGGAGCACUAAAUAAAGCAGCUAAAACUUGCUUCUGUAGUUCAUUUCUGUCUUUCGGGUGUCUAGGCAAUUUUCCUUCGUUGGUAUUUCGAUCUUCCUUUACAUGACUGAGGAAAUACAGUCAAAAGCUAAUCAAGUAACCAUACAUGGAUGAGAAAUCCCUCCACCCCCUUCCAAAACAAAGUCUAAGAAAUAUCAGAAUUCUUUCAGUAAAAACCCUUCCCCCCAUGCUGUGCCCACUGAAUGAAAUAUAUUAAUCUUAUGAGAAGUUGAGAAAAUAAAUUAAAGACCAUACCCUCCGGAAGAAUUCAAUUGUUGCAAUUUUCUUUCACGUGGAGGUCCUCCAAAGUUAGAGCACAUAUCCGUACACUGUUUAUGAAAUCAUAAUAACAGGGGACCAUUUAUUAAUAACAAAUCUUGACACCUAAAAGUCAACUGUGAUGAAAAAGAUUAAAAAGAAUAUGAACUUGUUAUCUUGGAAGUGAAAAAUAUUUGAGAUGCUUGAAUAUGGUGAAAAUAGUAAUUGUUUUUGUUACUUCUACAAUUCUUGAAUUUUACAAAUAUAUAAAGACAUUCAAGAUGCUGUACAAGGAAAGACAAUAUUUACAAUAAUUAUAAUAAUCAACUAGCCGUUGUGAUGAAUCCACCAUGACAUGUGCUACUAUAUUCUCCAUCAAUUAUGGCUUAGACGAGAUGUUGGAAAUCCUCUUGCCAUGGCGGUACAAGCUACCAUAUUUGUUGCUUGUGACUUGUCCUUAUCAGCCCCCUUUAAGCUAGGCAGUGACAUGCGAUGAACACCUAGCUUGGUUCGUAGCGUGAGAAAUUGAUGCUUCCCCAAAGGUUUUGUAAGAGUGUCUGCAAUCUGAAGAUGAGAAGGCACAUAUCGUGUAAAUAAUGACCCUUUAGCAACCUUUUCACGAACAAAAUGCACGUCAAGCUCAAUAUGUUUCAUUCUAGCAUGAAACACUGGGUUCUUAGUCAUAUGAAUUGCACUCAAAUUGUCACAGAGAAGCGUGGGUGCUUUCGGAAUACAGAACCCAAUGUCAUUAAGUAGAUAUGUGAGCCAUGUUAACUCGGCAGCGGCAGAGGCCGUGGACCUAUAUUCGGCUUUGGCACUUGAGCGAGAGACUGUGUGUUGUUUCUUGGAGCUCCAAGAGAUACAAUUGCUUCCAAGAUAAAUGCAAAAUCCUGUUGUACUUCGUCUUGUUAUUGGACAUCCAGCCCAAUCGGAAUCAGAAAAGGCAUAGAGCUUGAGAGAGCUUUGAGACAAAAAUCUAAGGCCAAAGUCAAGGGUACCGUUAAGGUAACGAAGGAUCAUUUUCACGUCCUUGAGGUUGGCUUUUGUUGGCGCUUGGAAGUGUUGAGAGACUCAAUUGACAACAAAUGUGAUAUCGGGCCUUGUGUAGGUGAGAUAUUGAAGGCGUCCAACAAGGCCUCUAUAUUCGGUUGCAUCCAUAGGUUCAUUAUCAUCCGAACAUGGUAUUGAUCGUAUAGCCAUCGGCGUGUUGAUAGGAGAACAAUCCUGCAUUCUUGCCUUGGAAAGAAGGUCUUUAGUGUACUUCGCUUGAGAUAGGAAGAUGCUAUGCGUGAAUUGUUGAACUUCAAUGCCUAGGAAGUAAUGUAGGUUGCCAAGAUCUUUUAAAGCAAACUUUGAGCUCAGAUUGUUGAUGAUUGAUUGAAUUUCCUUCUCAUUAUUUCCUGUAAUGAUCACAUCGUCAACAUAAAUUAAUAUAAGUAUAAGAAUGGAUUUGUUAUUAAAUAUAAAUAAAGAACUAUCAGCUUUGCUACUAGAAAAUCCAAGAGAAAUUAAGGCUUGAGAAAAACACUCGAACCACGCUCUAGGUGCCUGUUUCAGGCCAUAGAGCGAUUUUUGAAGCUUGCAAACAUAUGUUGGAUGACGUGAAUUGCGAAACCCGGGAGGCUGCUCCAUGUAGACAAUCUCCUUUAGUAGUCCAUGAAGAAAAGCAUUGCGAACAUCCAGUUGCUUGAUAAGCCAUUUUGAGCUCACAACAAUUGCAAGGAUAAGGCGAAUAGUUGUGGCCUUUAUAACGGGACUGAAGGUUUCAUCGAAGUCGACUCCUGGAACCUAUGUGAAUCCCUUGGCAACUAAUCGAGCUUUAUAGCGAUCAAUGGUUCCAUCUUCUCUGUAUUUGAUACGAUAUACCCACUUCGAUUUGAUGACAUUAACAUUGUUAGGCCGCGGCACAAGGACCCAUGUAUGAUUUUGAUGCAAUGCUUGAAGCUCUUCUUUCAUAGCUUGAGUCCAAAGUGGAUUCUUUAAGGCAAUUUUGAGUGUUUUGGGUUCAAUUUCUCUACUGUCGCUGGCUUGAAGGGCUAAUUUAGGAUUUUGUUUGAGUUUAUUGCGUGUCAUCAUGGGAUGAGUAUUUAUGCUUUGCAGUUCUGCAGCUGUGUUUGGUAUCUUAAGUUCCACAAAUAAGCGAUUGGAUAUGUCAGGAUAAUCUGGUUGUGAAUUUGUGGCAGGGCUGUUGUCCGUAUUUCUGGACAAAUUAAGUGGUUCAGUUGCAUGUGAACUACUAGAAUUUGAAUCAUUUGUAGUCAAAUGUUGCAUUGCAUGUGGAGACUCCAAAAUAUUUGGAAUUGCUUCUGACUUGUCGUGUGGAGUUGCUGAAUUCAAAUUGUCCUCUAAAUUGUCUUGUGGGAAAUCUAAAAUAAUUGGAGAAGUGGCAUUUUAGUUGUUGUCCAAGUUCACGUCCUUGUGGGGCAUGAAUUGCACAUGUGGUGUUGAUAUUGUAGCGCCUUUACAAUUGUUUACUUUGACAGCACGUGAAUCAUUAAGAUUCUCACAAUUGGGAGAAUUCUUUGGGAGCCACUCAUCUUGUUGAGGGAAGGUGGUCAAUGUACUAUGUUCCUGCACAUUAAAAAAUGAUGUUAAAAUUUUUGAAUGGUAAAUAAUUUUCAUCAAAUACAACAUGCCCAUAUAUAUAUACACGAUUAGUCUCAGGUUGUAGACAACGACAUCCUUUAUGGAGGGGACUAUAGCCUAUGAAAACACAUGGAUAUGAUUUUUUUAUCAAAUUUUGUUUUACUGUAAUCCUGAAGAUAAGGAAAACAUCUACAACCUAGGACUUUUAACCCUCUAUAAUCCGGUAAUUUUUUGAAAAGAAUUUCAUAAGGGCUUUUAUUUUUUAAAGGUGAAAGAGGCAGCCUGUUAAUGAUAUAAGUGGCUGCAAGAAAAGAAUCCACCCAUAAUUUGAGUGGCAAAGAAGCAUGAAACAUCAUCGUCAAGGCUGUCUCAUUGAUGUGCCUAUGCUUUCUCUCAGCAACACCAUUUUGCUCCGGAGUGUAUGGACAAGAAAUUUGUCUUGUGAUGCCGCAAUUUUCAAGAUGUUUGAUGAAGGCCGUAUCCAUCACUUUGAAAUAUUGUGAUCUUUUUGUCCAAUUGUUUUUCAACUUGUUUCUGAAAUUUCAAGAAGCACUCCAAGAAAUCAGAUUUUUGUUUUAAGGGAUAUAACCAACUAAAACGUGAGUAAUCAUCUACAAAUAAUACAUAGUAACGAAAAUGUUGAGUAAAAGUAAUGGGAGCUGGACCCCAUAUAUCACAAUGCACUUUUUGUAAAGGAAAAUCUGCUUUAUUAUUAGAUAAAUUAAAAGAUUUCCUACAACUCUUGCCUAAUUGGCAAGAAACACAAAUAUGGGGUGCUUUAGACCAACUAGAAAAGUCAAUAAAAUUAUUGCGUUUUAAGGCCUCCAAGAUUUUAGGAUUGGCAUGGCCAAGCCUCUUGUGCCAUAAACUAAAACCGCUAGAUUCUCCUUGAAUUGUGUUGAAGGCAGCAUGAAAGUCUCAUUCCAAUGUGUAUAGCUUCCCUUGCUUACUCCCCUUUGCUAGAACCUUGUUUUCCUUUCUCUUCACAAUAAAACCAUCAGUGUUAAAUUUAAAAACACAUUUAAUAUCAUCAAUGAGUUGUCCAACUGAUAAGAGAUUCUUUUUGAGUUUUGGAACAACUAAAAUAUUAUUUAAGUGCAAAGAACCGUGAUUUGUAUUUAAAGAAGCAGAACCAAUAUGUGAAAUAUUUAAAUCUUGACCAUUGCCAACAAUUAUUUUGUCAUUACCUCUAUACGGCCUUACAUGAUCAAGAUUAUCUGUGUUAUUUAUCAUGUGUGAUGUUGCUCCAGAAUCCACAUAGAACUGUUGAUCAUUAUUUUCUUGAAGAUUCAUCGCAGCUAGGGCAUGUGGAUCCUCUUCAUUGUCAUAGUCGUAUCUGUACCAACAUUCAGCAGCACUAUGUUUGCGUUUGUGACAGAUUUGGCAAAUAACUUCUUCAUCUGAGGUAUUAUUUUCUUUAUUUGGUUUUUGAGGCUGCUGUUGUGGUUUACGGUUGUUGCCAUUGUUGUAGUUGUUGGGGUAAUUUCUACCACCUGAGUUGCGUUGAGAUCCUCUGCCUCGGUAUGGAGGUCUUCCACCUCUUUGAUUUCUGCCUCUUCCACCUAUAUUAUGGAAAAGAUAGAGUUCUCUGAAUCUGAAAGACUGAAACAUUUUGCAUAUUUCGUGAAAGGGAAAUAUUUGUAGAUACUAGUUCAUGCAUUGAGGUAACAUCAAUGUUAAAGAAAAACGGCAAUAACUUAUUAUAUAGAAUUAGGUUCACUUGCUUUAAAUGCUGGUCUGGUCAACCAUAUGAACCUGUAAGUGUAUCUGCAGAAGUAUGGUCAGCCAUAUGAACCUUUUUGGGGGGCAAAUUAGAAAAAUUUUCCUAAAAAAGUGAAAAAAAUCAUUUUUUUUUUUUUAAAAAAAAAAAACUUUAAAAAUUUUUUCAAAAGCUUUUUUUUUUUUUUAAAACCAAUGGUUUGAGGCUGCUGUUGUGGUUACGGUUGUGCCAUUGUUGUAGUUGUUGGGGUAAUUUCUACCACCUGAGUUGCGUUGAGAUCCUCUGCCUCGGUAUGGAGGUCUUCCACCUCUUUGAUUUCUGCCUCUUCCACCUAUAUUAUGGAAAAGAUAGAGUUCUCUGAAUCUGAAAGACUGAAACAUUUUGCAUAUUUCGUGAAAGGGAAAUAUUUGUAGAUACUAGUUCAUGCAUUGAGGUAACAUCAAUGUUAAAGAAAAACGGCAAUAACUUAUUAUAUAGAAUUAGGUUCACUUGCUUUAAAUGCUGGUCUGGUCAACCAUAUGAACCUGUAAGUGUAUCUGCAGAAGUAUGGUCAGCCAUAUGAACCAUAUGGGGGGACAAAUUAGCUAAAUUUUCCUCUUAUUUAUGGGUUUGGUCAUUUUUUCCCCUUCAGCUUUCCUUCUCCUGAAGUAUGUUAACAAUUGCAGAUAAUGACGAAGAGGACCGCUUCCAGGCUCUUCGUAGAGCUGCGAUGUAAUAUAGGGGCACAAUGAAGGAACAUUGUAAAGCUGUAGGUUCUUUUUCUCCUGUCAUUUAUGUUUUCUCACACAUUUUUUAUAUGCUCCAAGCAUCCAAUUUUGUAUGUGUCUUUGCCUUUUAAGUUUUAAAAACCAUAAAGUAAGAAUACAGUUCCUUGUCAGGUUAUUGAUGCAUUCACUCAGGGGGAUCAUGCUCGAGCAGGAAAACUUCUAGAACAGGUAAGGUUUCCAUCUACAGCCAUUUAUUGACAACAUAUAUAUUUUCAUUCAGCAAGCACUGUUAGCAUUCAAGAUGCUGGCAGAUUCACUUGAUUCUUAUUAGUUUGUUUAGUAGCAAAGCAUAUAACCUGUAUUUUAAAGCUAAGUUGUGCUAUUGAUUAUGUUAACUUUAUUGUUCACAUAAAGUGAUAUUGAGGAAAUAAUCAAUGUAGGAAAAUUAGGUGAAGAGAUGAUGUCAAAUCUUGAACCUCUUACAAAACUCCAAGUUCUUUACUUGAAGAAGCUACCAAAUUCGAACAGCAUCUACUGGAAGGCCUUGCCAUUCCCUGAUGUAUGCAGAAUUUUUGUAUUUAAAUGCCCAGAGCUUAAGAAGCUGCCACUAGAUCUUGAAAGGGCAGGCCAAGGUAAAAUUCUUAUCAAGGAAAAGAAAGAUGGGUGGAAACAACUUCAAUGGGAGGAUCAAGUAACUCAUAUUGCAUUGCUUCCAUCUUUAAAAUCAACCAACAAGUGAUUGAAGGGGGCAUCAUCAACAUCAUCAACAUGGAUAGAGAGAUUCUGGAGCAGAUCAGCCGGGUUUAGUACGACCUGUGGUGGUUUCUUUUUUGUGACUUUUUUCCCUUUCAUUUUUUCACUUCCUGUCAUAUUAUCAUUUCUUUGUCUCUGUUUCUAUUGCUGGUGUUGCUGCAUGCUUGCUGCCCUUGACAAAGUUAGCUAGUUUUUUUGUUUAUUAAAUUUUGUAUGUUCGGGACAGUCACAAAGUACUACUUGUUCUAUAUGGGGGUGAUGUGAAUCAACUUUUCAAUUAUAUAUUCUGUGGUAAUUGUGAAUUCAAUUUCAUUUGUCUCCUGCAAAUUAUGAAGAAAGUGCAGAGUUACAAUAUGGAAAAGUUCACUGGCAAAUACUUUGUAAAAGCUUCGGAGUGAAACAGGGAAUGCACUAGCAACUAAGGACAAAUUGGUGGCCAGCUAAUGCAUUCAUUUUAUGUACAUUGCUAAUUUGUAUGUUAAUUAUUAGAUAAUCAAUUAUUUGGAUAAUCCCUUGUGUUUUAUCUCUAAUUAGAACAUCAAUCUUCACAAUAUCUACAAUGCUACAAUGGCUAUAAAACAAAACCUGUUUGCAAAUUGUCAAGGAUACUUAUCCUUUCGCUUGACAAGUCAUUUGGAAAAAUAUUGUCCCUUGGCGGCUCCAUGUCUUCUCUGCCCCUCCUUUUGGUCUUAAUGUACGGUUGCAUAAUGAUAGUUUAGGCCCUUCAGGGACUACUUUCCCUGGUGUUGUUAAGUCUUAGCUUGUGCUAGGCUCGUUUUUCUUACCAAAAGAAAAGGAAUACUUCUCCUAUAAGAAAUAAUCUCUAUAUAUAGGGUAGUUGGAUUCACUUGUUUACAUAACAAAUCAAUUAGUUCUCUGUAAGUAGAGAGUUUCAAGUAUGAGAGAAACGGUAGGUCUAUCGAGAGAUUAUGUGUUAUUAGGAUUUUGGUUGUGAAGAAAAGUACUAGAGUGAUUGUGUUAAUUUUCUACAUAGUGGAUUUUUCUAUCGUCAUCUUUGUGGCUGUGAUUUUUCUUUUAUAUAGAAGUUUCCCACGUAAAUUGUUAUGUUAUGUGAUUAGUUUUAUUCUCCAUCUAUUUUUUGUUUAUUAUUUGUUUGAUAUUUUAUUUGUAAGAUGUUGGAUGGGAUUAAAAUUCCUUAACAAAUAACGGAUUAAAAAUAUUGAAGAAAAAGCUCAAGAGAUCUUCAAGAUUUGAAGUGUGAAAAAGUUCAUAUUACUGCUAGAUGAUAUAUAGGAGCGGGUUGAUUUAGUAAAAAUGGGUGUCCCUCUUCCUAGAUCAGAAAACAACACAUCCAAAGUGAUAUUUACAAACCCGUUCUGAGGAAGUUUGCGGCUUAAUGGAAGCUCGUAGGAGUUUUAAAGUGGCGUGCUUAUCAAAUAAAAAUGCUUAGGAUUAUUUCGAUACAAAGUUGGGGAAGAAACUUUGAACAAUCAUCUUGAUAUCCUUGAGCAAGCACAAUAGUUGUUAAGGAGUGUGGUGGUUUGCCACUUGCACUUUUUACCAUCGGCCGAUCUAUGGCGUGCAAGAAGACACAGCCGAAGAAUGGAGAUAUGCUAUUCAAGUGUUCACUUCGUCCGCUUCCUGUUUCCAGGUCUGGAAGAAGGGAUAUAUACUCUUGUAAAAUUCAGUUAUGAUAGUUUACCCAAUGACACAAUUACACCUUGUCUGUUAUAUUGUAGUUUAUAUCCAGAAGAUUGUUGCAUUUCUAAAGAGAAUUUGGUAGAUUGUUAGAUCAAUGAAGGAUUUUUUAAUGAAAGUGAUUGGUUUGGAGAAAAAAUCAAGGAUACUUCAUUUUGGGCAUUCUUCUUCAUGUUUUUUUUUGGAAAAGGGAGGAGAUUGUGAAGUGAAAAAUGCAUGCAUGACGUUAUUCGUGAUAUGGCUUUGUGGAUCGCAUGCGACUAUGAGAAGGAGAAGGAGAACUUUUUGGUUUACGCUGGUGUUGGUUUAGCUAAGGUACCGGAUAUUAGAGAUUGGGAAAAGGUAAGGAGAUUGUCAUUGAUGAAAAAUAAAAUUGAGAAUCUAUCUGAGGCUCAUACAUGCCCUCAUCUCCUCACUUUCUUUCUUGACGAUAAUGAGUUUCGGAAGAUCCCCGGUGAUUUCUUCCAGUUUAUGCCUUCUCUCACUGUUUUAAACUUGUCAUGUAUUAAACUAAAGUCAGUUCCUUUAGGGACUUCAAGGUUGGUUCCACUACAACAACUCGAUCAUUCAUAUUCAAGCAUAAAAGAGUUGCAAGAAGAGUUAAAUGCCCUGAUUAAAGUUAAAUGCUUGAAUAUAGAUCAUGUAGAGGAGCUAAUUACAGUUCCACAACAACGGAUAUUUAAUUUUUAAGGUUAUAUGUGUUGAGAAUGUUCGAUACUAUUAGUUUAAAUUUUCAAGAAGCAUUAAAUAAAGACAGCAUUUUAUUUGGUGGGGAGGAAGUUUAAGCAGAGGAGUUGCUCGGUUUGGAAUAUUUGGAGGUAUUGAGCUUCACUUGAGAAGUGUUCGUGCUCUCCAAUUUAUUUUGAGCUCACAUAAGCUACGAAGUUGUACUCAAGCGCUGUUCCUCCAAUCCUUCAAUAAUUCGAUAUGGCUUGAUAUUUCACUUUUGGCAGAGUUAAAAGCACCACUGCAGAUUUAAGUAUUUUUGGCUGUAGAAAAUUGGAGGACUUGAAGAUGGAAUAUACAGGGGGAGCGAAAAACAAGCGGCAACCUUGUGUUUUCUAAGGCCUACAUACAGUUCACAUAGAGGUUUGUUCUAAAUUGAAGGACUUAACAUUCCUUGUUUCUGCUCCAAAUCUCAAGAACUUGGAAAUACAAAAUUGCCCUGCUGUGGAAGCAAUCAUCGGUGUGGGAGAAUUUGCGGAAGCUCUAGAUGUGGUGGAAAAUCUAAACCCAUUUGCAAAACUCCAGUUUCUUGGACUAGAAAAUCUGCCAAAUGUGGAGAGCAUCUAUUGCAGGCCUCUGCCCUUUCCAUGUUUGAAAAGAAAUGACUGUGGAUAGUUGCGGUUGUCUUAAAAAGCUUCCACUCUACUCCAACAGAGUAAAAGAGUGUACAAUUGUUAUUUCAUCAUUCGGAGAGUUAAUGGUGCAAUGAGAUUUGGCAGUUAACUCUCGUGGGAAGAGCUUUAAUGGGAAGACGAAGCCACUCGAAUUGCUUUUCAUUUCUGUUUCAAAUCUCUAAUUGGAUUGGAGAUUGCAUUUCGCCUCAGGUUCGUACUUUUCUUGAAUUUUUCUUGUUAACUUCAUUUGUUCAUUUAUCCAUUUUUUUUUUAAAGGAAUCAGAAGGGUUAAUAUUUUUGGUUGUGUUAGGUCGACUUCUAAUCACGAGGCAGAAGGAGCUGAGAUGAAGUUUAAUUUUGGUGGAGAAAUUGUUUGAUUUAAAAAAUUUAAAUGAGUUGACCAUCAUUCUUUAGCAUAUUUGUAUGAACAGGAGUGUGUAAAUAUGCAAACUGUCCAGCUGUAUGUGUAUAACGUAAUAAUUUUGAGGAGUUAAAACAUUGAAGAAUAUUGAUGUUUCCAUUGUCAAACCAAAUAUACUUAAUUACUUGAGGAUAAUGAUUACUGCUAAUACAUUUGCAAAGAAAAAAACAUGCCUAUUGAAAAACUCAUCUUAUUAGCAACAGCAUUAUAAGUAGUAUCCAAUCAUAGUUUCAUGCAAGAUUUUGAGAUUUUUCAAAUGCUGAUUCCGGGAAUGGAGAUUAAUAGAUAAUGGAGACAGGUUGACUGCAAUGGCUAAUUGCAAGAGGGAAUUUUAGUCGUAAAAACAGACCAACUAGCAAAGCAGAUUCCAAAUCUUGGAAUGAAGUAGCAAAAAAACGAAACAAACAACUGGCAAGAGGAAGUGACUAUACAAUAAUAACAUCGACUUGCAAUUCAACAUUUAUAUAGUUAUACACACCAAGAAAAGAGAAAAUUACAAUAGCAAUUUGGCUACUAGAAGAUGUUCAUUCAUGCUUAUGCCUGUCAUAUGGAUUUGAAACAAGGAGUAAAAGCAUUUAGAGUGGCUUUAUCCUUCCACUGCAGCUCAUUCCACCAGUGUUGCUCUCCCCUAAUAACAAGUUUGCGUUCCUUGGCGCUGUUGUAAUCGAGUGGAAGCUUCUUGAGGUUCGGGCAUCCAGAUACAAACAAUUCCAAGAGAUUUGGAAAGGGCAAUGCAUUCAAACAGAUCUUCUUCAAAUUUCUUAGAACUUGCAACCGAAGAUAUUGGAGUUUCGCAAAAGGUUUUAGCCCUGGAACUUCUUCCACUUUCCAAACACUGAUUAUUUCUUCCAUCUCAUAACAACGUUCUACAUGCACCAUCUUCAGAUUUGGGGCAAAAACAAGCCUUGUCAUCUCCCUCAAUUUACUGCAAUAGUCUAUGGUAACACUUUGAAGGCUGUUGAAACCAUAAGUUCUCUUGUUGUUUGAACUUCUGCAUAGUCAACCUUUAGCUCUUCCAAACUUGUACAAUACACAAAAUCUAGUUUGUCAAGGUACUUGAGAUCUGCUAUGGACAAAAUAUUCCAUGACCUUGAAUCCUCACAGCGGCGAAGCUCUAAAGCAUAUUUACAACUCUUGUACUGUUGGCAGCUCAAAAGUCUUCGUAGAGCAUAAAAACUUCUUAACGUGACGCUUAAUACAUUUAAAUGUUCCAAAGUAAUCAACUCCUCUACCAAAAUUUCACUACCACCAAAUAGAACGCUAUCUUCUGGUACUGUAUUAGCAGAGCCACAAUCUAGCAUCCUCAACACCUUUAACCCAGAAAAAUUACAAAGCAGUUGCCGUGGAAUCGUAUGGAGAUAACGCAUGUACUCCAAGUUCAAACACUUUAGAUUUUUCAAGGCUUUUAAUUCAUGUGGUAACUCUUUGAUGAAAGUUUCUGAAAGAUUAAGAUAUUGUAGUGAAACCAAUUUUGAAAUUCCUGAAGGCAAUUGACUCAAGGAGCGAUUCUUUGAUAGGUUUAAAACUUUUUUUUUUUUGGUGAGAGGGGGCUCGUCAAAACGAGCUAAAUAGAAACAAAACGGGGUUGAGUAACCCCAAACAAGUCUUGCGAAAUGAUAGAAUAUAUACCCAUAGGAGGGUCAGAGAACACUUGCAAUCCAAGAGGAGCUGAAUGAGCCAUAUUAGCCAUGAAGUCCGCAGCUGAGUUUGCUUCACGAUAGAUAUGGGUGAUAGCAAUCUGCCAAUUUCUACUUAAUAAUUCGUGGACAGCUACUAUUAAAGCAUGGAACACAUUAGGAACGACCACCUGCUUAGAGAUUAUUUGUGUAAUACAAAGACUAUCCACUUCCACCAACAGCCGUUUUAUGCCUACAUCCCAAGCCAGAAUUAGACCCUGAUACAGCCCCCAAAGCUCAGCCAUAAGCACUGAACUCUCCCCAAUUCUCAUACAAAAUCCGGAAAUCCAAUGACCGACUGAGUCUUGAAUGACACCUCCUGCUCCUGCUUCCCUGUCAUUUUUACGAGAGCCAUCUGAAUUUAAUUUGCACCAUGGCCAUGGCGGCGGAAUCCAACGAAUAAAAAUCUCCUUUCUCCUCGGCUGUUGACUUAUACCGGAAUUAUAAACUUUGUAAAUUUCAUUAGCUCUAGCCAUAGCAUCCAUAUAGACUGUUACACCAUCCACCAACUUCCCCGCAAACAAGAAAUGGUUCCUCCAGAACCACAGCCUCCAAACCACCACUCCAAAGAUACAAUCCCAAGGGAGGGAAGAUGCAAUCUUCCAUUUGUUCUGCAAGUUCCCAGUAAUCCAUUCACGUAGAUUCGAAUUGAAGAAAGCGUUAUGAGUUGCCAUUGGGACAAGCUUACGCCAAACCUGAUUAAUACAGCAGUAAUCUCUCAAUGCAUGGAGAAUAUCUUCAACCGCACCCCCACAUCUAUCACAGCCCUCAGGAGCAUUGAUAUGGCGCCUAGCUAGCUCAACAUGAGUCUUUAAUUUCCCAUGCAUCAGCUGCCACAGAAAAAGACGGAUGGAUUGAGGCCCCUUCCAACUCCACGGAAGCUUCCAAAUUCUGUCAUGAUCAGCCAAGUGAUGAUAGCAAAGGGAUGCAUAAGCUGAACGAACCGUAAACAUGCCGCUCGGAUCCAGACCCCAGUAAAUUUUGUCAGACCCAAAAUGCGGUCUCGGAGGCAUGACUGAUGCGAUCUGCAUGAGAGUAUAAUGUGGCAGCAAAUGCUCAAAGCUCGACCAAUUCCAUCCCCCCUGACCAUUCGUAAACUCACUCACGGUGGCGUUGAUAAGCUCCUGAGGAAUCGGCUGGAGAGCUAGGCUGCUCAAGGGAUAUUUCGUAGCCCAACAAUCUAUCCAAAAGCGAGCUCGACCUCCAUCGCAAACAGACCAGCGAGCUCCCUGAACUAUUGUCAACCACUUGCUACGAAUAGCUCUCCAAAUCUGAGAACCCGGUUUAUCUGGAAGGGACAUCGGUAAAUUUGCUGGAAUCCAAUCCAUAUUUGGAACAGAAAACUUUCACCCACAAUUUAUCCGAGCUGGACACAAUCUCCCAGCUCAAUUUCAUUAUCAGCGCCUGGUUCAUCUCGUCCAUUUUUUUGAACCCCAGACCUCCAUAUUGUUUCGGCAUGCAGAUUUUGCUCCACCCCACCAUACUCAUCUUAGGACUCUUUGAAUUCCCAUCCCAAAUAAAUCGCCGACAAGAUUUGUCUAUUUUAUGCCUCACUGGAGAAGGAAGAAAUGUCGUUUGCAUGGCAUAAAUAGGCAUUGCUUGCAGAACUGAUUGAGCCAGGGUGACGCGUCCAGCAAAAGAGAGAUGAGUCGCAUUCCAACCAGUAAGUCGGUUAUCGACUUUAUCAAGGAUGGACUGAUACGUGGAUUUAUUAACCCGCGUGUGAAUUAAUGGCAUUCCAAGAUAAUCACCCAAAUUAUUUGUGGCCGAAAAACCCAAAGUAGAGCCUAUGAGAUUGGCAUCCCGAGUAUCAACAUUUUUUGAGAAGAACACCUUGGUUUUCAACUUAUUUAUUUUUGCUUCAGAGCUCCUACAAUAGUUUUCCAGAACAACAUCAACCACAUAAGCUUGGUCAAUUGAAGCUUCCACAAAUAAAAGCAAAUCGUCUGCAAAAAAGAGAUGAGUUAAGGGAGUUCCAUAUUUGGCCAACCUAAUAGGCCUCUAUCUCCCAUCCAUUACCGCUUGGGUUAUCCCAUGACUCAAACGCUCGAUACACAGAACAAAAAGAUAAGGCGAGAGGGGAUCUCCCUGACGAAUACCUCUCCCUGGAGUGAAGGUCCCUGUAACCUCACCAUUCCACAAAAUACUCAUACUAGCUGAAGUUACGCAAUCCAUGAUAAGUCUAGAUAAAUGAGUUGGAAUACCAGUCUGUUGAAGCGUAUCAAAAAUGAAAUCCCAAUUAAGCCAGUCAUACGCCUUCUCUAGGUCAACCUUAAUGGCCAUAAAUCCUUUCCUGCCAGUUUUUCUGCGCAUUGAGUGAACAACUUCCUGAGCCACAACAAUAUUAUCUACGAUAUUCCUCCCUGGAACAAAACUUGUCUGAUUGGGGCCUAUUAGAUUGGGCAACAGCGAUUGCAAGCGAGUGGCUAUAAUUUUAGUCACCGUCUUGUAAGCCAUUGUGCAUAGGCUUAUGGGCCUAAACAUCUUUAAGCUAGUAGGGUGCUCCUCUUUUGGAAUCAAAACCAGGAGGGUAGUAUUUAUCUCUUGCGGCACUUUGCCCGUGGUAAAAAUAUCAUCAAUAAACCUGCAAAACGACGGACCCACAACAUACCAUUGGGAUUGAUAAAAAAUAGCAUGCAACCCAUCCGUAUCUAGAGCUUUCAGCGGCUUCAUACUAAAAACGGCACUUUUAAUCUCCUCCCUCAAAAUUGGGGCUGCGGCACCAUCAACGUCAUGAGAACUCAAGUCUGGAAAAAAAUUUGGCACAUGGUAGUUCUGAUAAAUAGCAUUUUCUCUUUUAAAUAAUUCUGAAAAAUACCCCACUGCAUGCCUCUUUAUAUCUUCCUCAUCAUACAGCCAAUUCCCUGAACUGUCUCGGAUAGCCUCGAUUCUAUUCCGCCGCCUUCGAGCAAUAGUUUUUUUAUGGAAAAAAUUCGUAUUUCUGUCUCCAUGUAAAAGCCAAUCCUUUCGAGAUUUCUGGAGCCACAGAAUUUCCUCCUGGCUCAUCACCAUUUCGAGCUCAUUACGCAAUCGGGCCUCCAAUCGCCUCAAACUGCGAGAGCUAUAUUUCUCUAGGGUGGCUUGAAUUCCAUUAAUCCGAGCCAUAAGCCGGCGUUUCCUCUGAAAGAUAUUCCCAAACACAUCUCGAUUCCAAACUUGAACCUCCUGAACAAAAUGAGAAGCUGCUGCACUAUAGUGGGAUUGCGGAUUCCACAUCCGCUUAACAAAAUUGUUAAAGUGCUCAUGAGUUAACCAAGCAGCCAAGAAGCGGAAAGGCCUGGUGUUGAGUGUUAGAAAAUGCAUAUUUAUAAAGGAGAAAACCGUCAUUUUACAUUUUAAGUCUUACUAACAACCCUUACUUUUAUAUAUUUAACCUUCUUGUGAUUUAAUUACAUGUGUUUUAUUUUAAUUAAGUAUUUUAUGUAUUUUAGGGGCAUUAUAGUCAUUUCACAAUAAAGGAGAGAUCAGACGGCAAAACGGACAUCACUUUUGAACUCAGGACGGUCGAAAACCUUAGGAGGAGCAUAAAAGGAAAAAUGGCACUAUUCACAUGUACGGUACUAUUCACGUAUACGGUACUGUCUACGUUACUGUUCACGACACUGUUCACAUAGACGGAUCGAUGACGUGGCAUUGACCGAUGAUGUGGCAUUGACUGAUGAGGUGUCACGAUCCUGUUGGGCUAAAAUUCUUAUGUACUGUUGAUGGUGACGUGGCAGCAUAUCAGUGGACGAAAAAUCUCGUGUACGGUGCAUGCAUCACACAGGAUUAUUUUCAACCAAACCGCGUUACUGUUCAUCCGGGUCAAACCGCGUUACUGUUCAAAGUCGGGUCAAACCGUGUUACUGUUCAUCCGCGUGGUCAAACCGUGGACUGUUGACUGAUGACGUGGCGCAAUCCUGAGCGUCCAAACUGUUUUUAAUCCGAUGGCCAUGAUUUACUCCAUGUAUCUAUAAAAAGGGGGCCUCCCCCCCCUAAUUUGAUAUCUCUGAAUCCAUUUUUGGGAUCCAUUUUCUGUAAUUCCUUCUCCAUCUUGUAUUUUCUUCGUAUUUUAAUAAAUUCCCAUUUUGCCCCUAGUUCAAUUAUGAGUGGCUAAUUUUCUUUCAAGCUUGGGUUGAAGGUGAAGUCUCAACAUGUGUCAUGGGCUUAAUUUGGUAAAUUUAUUUUCUCUUCCCCUCUAGUUUUUGUGGAUGUUUUGACUUCUCGUCGACAAAUAAUACUAAUCUUGUCUAGUACCGCCUUGGUUUCACCGGCUCUCUAGUAUAAGGUUAUUAUUAUUUGGCACGAUAAGCCCUUAGCACCAUAUUGAUUAGAGCGUGGUUCAUGCGGUGUGGAUUCCCCCCUCAUGAUUUAAUUGGUAUUAAUAAGGAAUAUUUAGCCUAUGAUGCAUGUUGAUACGGAUCCAGAUACCCAAGUACGUCAUUUCAAUAGAAUUCUCUUCAAUUUAUUCUCACCAUUUCAAUACCAAUUUUAGAAUUUAUUCUCUCCAUUUUAAUUUAAGUUUUAGCAUAUUCCAAUCAUUUCCACCACAAAUCUAAUCACCCAUUCACAAAAUUAAUUCUACACAAUUAAAAUCCACCUCCUCGUGGGAUCGACACUCGUCACCAUUAAUCUAUACUACAACAGAUUCGUGCGCUUGCGAGUACAUUAAAAUUUGCACAACAAGUUUUUGGCGCCGUUGCCGGGGAGGUAAGUAAUUUUAAUUCAUAGAAUUAAUUUUUGUGAAUAAUUUCUUUUAUUUGUUUUCUUGUAUUUUUUUUAUUAUUAAAAAAAAAGAAAAAAAAAGUGAAUCUACAUUUAAAGGUUAGUAUUUCUUUUCUUUUUCUCUUCUUUAAAAUUCUGUAAUUUAAUUUUCAAUUUAUUUUUUCUUUGUAAUUUUUGUUUAUUUUAUUAAUUUAAUUUUUAGUUAAUUUCACGUAUUUGUUUUUGUGUAUUUUUAUAGUAAGGUUGUAAUAGCGCAAUAAGGUUAGUAUCGUAAUUUCUCCCUCUUCUUUAUUUUUAUUUGUUUUGUUCCCAUCUUUAUUUUUUGUUUUGUUUGCAUCUUUAUUUUUAUUUUAUUUAUUUGCAUGCAUGGUCGUAGGUCAUUAUUACCUAAUCUUGAACCUAUAGACCUUGAAUUAGAAAAAACACUUCGCACACACAAACACGUUAAAAAUAAAAUGGAUUUACAAGCACCACAGGAGAGGCCAUUUAAGGACUAUUUUAGUCCCUUAGCUAAUUUGAGCACGUCAUGCAUAAGAUACCCAAAUGUAGCUGCUAGGAGUUUUGAAUUAAAACCUAGUGUGUUAAAUUGUCUCCCUACAUUUUAUGGCCUAGAAAAUGAGGAUCCAUAUAAUCAUUUGAAUGAUUUUCAUGCCAUUUGUCAAACAUUCAAAUAUGAGAAUUUUUCAGAUGAUGAUGUUAAACUUAGACUAUUCCCAUUUUCUUUAAAAGAUAGAGCUCGUUCAUGGCUUAAUACAUUGCCUGCUAAUAGCAUUGCAUCAUGGGAACAAAUGGUAACGAAAUUUUUGAAUAAAUAUUUCCCAGUGCAUAAAACCAAUGCUAUUCGCAGGGAAAUCUCAGAGUUUACUCAGAGAGAGGACGAGCAGUUUUUCGAGACAUGGGAGCGAUUCAAUGGGCUACUCUUGAAGUGUCCACAUCAUGGGUAUGAGAAAUGGCAUCAAUGCCAAUACUUUUUGGAGGGAUUACUACCGAAUGUGCAAGAAUGGCUAAUGGCAACAAGUGGAGGAGAGCUAAUGUCAAAAAGUGCAUCAGAAAUUUGGGAGUUUUUCCAGCGACAAGCGGACAAUUCCCAACAACGGAGUCGAUCACUCAGGAAUACUAGAAGGAUUAAAGGAGUGAAUGAGGUUCACAUUGGCGAGUCAACUUCGGGAAUCAAAGAAGUCAAGGAGAUGGUUGAAGGUCUUGCUCGACAAAUAGCAUCAUUAUCGAUUGCUAAAUCAACAGAACCACAUGACCAUGACUCAUACUCAGAUCAAGCCAAUGCCAUAGGUGUAAUGAGAAAGCCAUCAAAUUACAACCCAUACUCCAACACAUAUAACCCUGGAUGGAGAGACCACCCUAAUUUUUCAUGGUCUCAAGGAUUCCAACAGAAUGGACCAGCAGCUCCAGCUCCACCAAUUCCACAAAAUCCUCAAGCCUCUCAGCCAUCAUUUAGACCAUUCAAUCAGAACCAUAAUUAUUCUCAACCCAGACCAUGGGAGGAUGCAUUUCAGAAUUUCAGGAAUGUUACUCACUCCACGAUUGAGCAACAGAACCGCACCAUUGAUGGAUUACGAAAUGAGUUGAAAGCGGGCUUCAACUCACAAGCCCAAUCAGUUUCAAGCCUUGAGAAGAUGGUGGGACAACUUGCUUCUUCAGUUCAGACCUUGGCAAUGACCGUUGAGAAAGGCAAAUUUCCAAGUCAACCAGUACCUAAUCCUAAAGGAGUGCAUGAAGUAAGUACCAGUUCACCACAGCAGCAUGGAGAGGUCAAAGCAGUAAUGACCUUGCGAAAAGGAAAGGAAGUCGACAACAAAGUGGAGAUGCCGGUGACAAAAGAAAAUCAAAUUGUACCUGUGAAUGUUGAGGACUCAUCACCGGAGGAGAAAGAAGAAACUAACCCACGAGAAUAUGUUCCGAAAGCUCCAUUUCCCCAGAGGUUAGCUAAAGGCAAGAAGGGAAAAUCCACAGGUGAGAUUCUCGAAAUCUUCAAACAGGUAAGUGUUAACAUCCCUUUACUUGAUGCUAUUAAACAAGUUCCAUCUUAUGCCAAGUUUCUUAAAGACCUUUGUACUAAAAAGAGAAAUAUGCAUGUUCAAAAGAAGGCAUUUUUAAUAGAAAACGUUAGUUCUAUACUCCAACAUAAAAUUCCUUUAAAAUGCAAAGACCCAGGCUCCCCCACUAUCUCAUGUAGUAUAGGGAACCACACAAUUGAGAAUGCUUUAUUGGAUUUAGGAGCUAGUGUAAAUCUUUUGCCUUACUCUGUAUUCGUGAAACUUGGACUUGGAGAAUUACACCCAACUCCAGUGGUGUUACAACUUGCAGAUCGGUCCACAAAAAUACCUCGUGGUAUUGUGGAGGACGUGCUUAUCCAGGUAGACAAGUUUUAUUUUCCUGUUGAUUUCAUUGUAAUUGACACUCAACCAAUACAGGAUUCAAGGAAGCACAUCCCCAUUAUUCUAGGCCGACCUUUCUUGGCAACUGCGGAUGCUCACAUUCAAUGCAGGACUGGAAAUAUGCAGUUGUCUUUCGGCAACAUGACUAUGGAGCUGAACAUCUUCAACAUUGCCAAACAACCUCACAGUGCAGAUGAUGGAAUUGUUGAUGUGGAUUUAAUAGAAACAAUAGUUGAUAAUACUUUUCUUUCAAACCUUAGUGAUGAUCCUUUACAAACAUGUUUAACUCACUUUGGUUUGGAUUUUGAUAUUGACAGAUCAGUCGAUGAGGUCAACGCCCUGCUUGACUCAACACCAUCCAUGGACACUAAUAAAUGGAAGUCAAGAGUUGAACAACUAACACCAUCAGAGAAGAAACUCAUCACAUCAUCAGAAUCACCACCGAAACUCGAGCUCAAACCAUUGCCCAACACAUUAGAAUAUGCGUUUUUGGGAGAAGAAAGUUCUCUGCCGGUAAUCAUCUCAUCAUCCCUUAAUGACGAACAAAAAGGUAAGUUGUUGGAUGUUUUGAAAGAGCAUAAAGGGGCAUUAGGAUGGACCAUAGCAGACAUAAAAGGUAUAAACCCUGCAGAUUGCAUGCAUUACAUUCACCUUGAUGAAAAUGCUAAAUCUACUAGGGAAAUGCAACGUCGGUUAAAUCCUAAUAUGAAAGAAGUUGUUAGAACAGAAGUCCUUAAGCUAUUAGACGCAGGUAUCAUUUACCCAAUUUCUGAUAGUUCAUGGGUCAGUCCUGUACAAGUUGUCCCCAAAAAGUCAGGAGUCACAGUAGUUACGAAUGCAGAUAAUGAAUUGAUACCCACUAGAGUAACUACAGGAUGGCGUGUACGCAUUGAUUAUAGAAAAUUGAAUUCUGUCACACGUAAAGACCAUUUUCCUUUACCAUUUAUUGAUCAAAUGCUUGAUAGAUUAGCAGGCCAUGAAUUUUAUUGCUUUCUAGAUGGUUACUCAGGAUAUAAUCAGAUUCCCAUAGCACCAAAAGAUCAAGAGAAAACUACUUUCACUUGCCCUUUUGGCACAUUUGCAUAUAGGAGAAUGCCAUUUGGAUUAUGUAAUGCACCUGCUACAUUUCAACGAUGCAUGUUGAGCAUUUUUUCUGAUAUGGUGGAACGAUUCCUUGAAGUCUUUAUGGAUGAUUUUUCUGUCUUUGGUGACUCGUUUGAUCAAUGUUUACAUCAUCUAACACUAGUUCUGCAGAGAUGUAUCGAGAAGAACUUGGUCUUAAAUUGGGAGAAAUGCCAUUUUAUGGUAAAACAAGGUAUUGUUCUCGGUCACAUCAUUUCGAGCAAAGGUAUUGAGGUUGACAAAGCCAAGGUGGAUCUCAUUUCUAAUCUUCCUCCACCCAAAACAGUCAGAGAAGUAAGAUCUUUCCUUGGGCAUGCUGGUUUCUAUAGACGUUUCAUUAAAGAUUUUAGUAAAGUUUCUAGACCCUUAUGCAAUUUGCUUGCUAAGGAUGUACCUUUUGUCUUUGAUGAUUCAUGUCUUGUUGCGUUUGAAAAAUUAAAGCAUUUGUUGACAUCAUCACCCAUCAUUCAGGCCCCAAACUGGAACUUACCAUUUGAGCUAAUGUGUGAUGCAUCUGAUUAUGCAGUAGGAGCAGUAUUAGGACAAAGAGUUGAUCGAAUUCCCCAUGUUAUUUACUAUGCUAGUAUGACAUUGAAUGAUGCACAGUUGAACUAUUCAACUACUGAAAAAGAAAUGCUAGCAGUAGUGUUUGUAUUGGAAAAAUUUCGAUCAUAUCUCAUUGGUUGUAAAAUAAUUAUAUUCACAGAUCAUGCUGCUCUUAAAUAUCUUCUCACAAAGAAAGAUGCAAAAGCCAGACUAAUUCGUUGGGUGUUACUUUUGCAGGAAUUUGACUUGGAAUUCAAAGAUAAAAAAGGGACAGAAAAUGUUGUGGCGGACCACCUCUCUCGUCUCCAUUUUGACACAAUAAUAGAACAAUUACCAUUAAAUGAGUCAUUUCCAGAUGAACAAUUAAUGAGUGUGGAAGUAUUACCUUGGUAUGCUGAUAUAGUUAAUUAUCUUGUUACAGGUAAACUUCCAGAGCAUUGGACCAAGCAAGACAAGGCUAAAUUCUUUGCAGAGAUAAAGAAUUUCUUUUGGGAUGACCCGUAUUUGUUCAAGUAUUGUGCGGAUCAAAUUGUUAGACGAUGUGUCCCAGAAAGUGAAAUUCAGAAUAUCCUUUCAUUCUGCCAUGAACAAGCUUGUGGAGGCCAUUUCAGUGCUAAGAAAACAGCGACUAAAGUUUUACAAUGUGGUUUCUAUUGGCCAACACUAUUUCGAGACGCUUACACUUUUUGUUCUUCAUGUGAUAGGUGUCAACGAAUGGGGAGCAUUACACGAAGGAACAUGAUGCCACUAAAUCCAAUUUUAGUGGUUGAGAUUUUUGACGUAUGGGGUAUCGACUUCAUGGGACCCUUUCCCCCUUCUUUUGGCCAUCAAUACAUAUUGGUUGGUGUUGACUACGUCUCAAAAUGGGUAGAAGCAAUUCCAUGUAGGACCAAUGAUCACAAGGUGGUGAUAGGAUUUUUGAAAAGCAACAUUGUCUCGCGCUUUGGAUUCCCUCGAGCAAUAAUCAGUGAUGGUGGUGCCCACUUUUGUAACAAAGCAUUCAAAGCUCUUUUGACAAAGUAUUCAAUCACGCACAAAGUGGCGACCCCGUAUCAUCCGCAAACCAGUGGCCAAGUUGAGAUCUCCAAUCGAGAAAUAAAGCACAUAUUAGAAAAAACGGUGAGGCCGGACAGAAAAGAUUGGUCAUUAAGACUUGAUGAUGCCUUAUGGGCAUAUAGAACGGCUUUCAAGACCCCGAUUGGGAUGUCACCCUACAGGCUAGUGUAUGGAAAAGCUUGCCACCUACCUGUGGAACUCGAGCAUCGUGCGUAUUGGGCCAUCAAGAAAUUCAAUUUUGACAUGCAGCAAGCCAGCUCAGAAAGAAGAUUACAGCUGGCAGAACUUGAAGAAAUUCGCAAUGACGCGUACGAAAAUGCCAAGAUUUACAAGCAACGAAUGAAAGUCUUCCAUGACAAGCAAAUUAUGAGAAAAUCUUUCACCCCAGGUCAGAAAGUGCUUUUAUUCAAUUCUCGCUUGCACCUAUUCCCAGGUAAGUUACGCUCUCGAUGGUCUGGCCCAUUUAUUGUUCAUACUGUUUUUCCACAUGGGGCAAUUGAAAUUAAAGACCCAAAGAACGGUGUCACGUUUAAAGUUAAUGGUCAAAGAUUAAAGCCAUAUCUAGAGUACCAACCACAUGAAGAAGACACCGAAAUAAAUUUGAGUGACCCACCAAAUUUGAAUUGAUUUUUUUUUUCUUUUCGUUGAUUUGAUUUUUCUUUCUUUCUUUUUAUUAUUAUUCUUUUGCUAAUUGAAAUUGUUUUUGCAUAAGUGUGUUUAUUUUACCAUUAAGUUUUCUCUUAUCAUUUUUAAUCAUGAGUCUCAUACUUAGACCGUUCCUCCUGAACAUUCUUAAACCACUUCAACGUGUCAAAACUCAUCUCAAAAGACAGAUUCAAUUUUGUAAAACACAUCGCAUUUGGGCUCUACAACCACCAGAGUUAGUAGCCUAUGUUGAGGGUUUAGAACACCAACUCAGAGACAUUGAGAGAAGUGUUUACGACAUCCAGUUGGAGCUUGAGGUAAAUUCAAUAAGAGGACGAUUUUAAUUUUCUUUGUGUGUUUUAAUUUGUUUUUCUAUUUGUGUGCUUUAGUUUGUUACCCCGGUGAAAUGGCGGAUAACGGUACUCCGUGACAAUCAAGUCGGUUACUUCAGUCUCCCAUAAUAACUGAUAUUCUGAGGCGAAGGUAUGGACAGAAACGAGAUUCUAGCGAAGCUUCACAAGCGAUUCCCUUCACUUCCUCAGAAUGCCCUCCUUACGAUCUAUAAAGCUCGGUCCGAACGCAUGCGAUUACUCAUGAGGAAUAACAUACCUGCUGACAUCCGUUGGUUAAUCGAGGCUAAAGUACGAUCGGCAGGUGAGUUACCUCCAAAAUUUAUUGCAUACAUGCCUGGUUGUGGUAAAGGAAAUUAUGCAAGAAAACGACGAGCUCGAAGAAUUUCUGUUGCUUGUCAUAAGUGUGCCAGAAUGAGUUGCAAUAAAAACCCAUGUUCUUUAGGAAUGGUGUCUGAUAACAGGGAAGAUAAGAUUCAAUUCAUUAGGGAUGGCUUGAAUAAGGAGUCAUUGGAUGAUAUCCUUUUGUCUCUUGAAACGCAUCCCAGUGGAUAUGUGCAAGGAGCGAUUCUCCAGUUAUGGCCAUUAUUCCAGAAAGAGCAUGCACGAUAUAGUCUCGGGAAUCUGACUAUAAACGACCCUGUUUGCCAGUUUAUAAGAAAAUUGGAUAGGAAGCCUAUCCUCGACCCAUAGAGGGCGUUCAAGCCGUUUCUGGACGUAAAACCAGAGGAAGAUGUGAGCCACAGUCGCAACUACCUGUAAAUAUUCUUUUACUUUAUUAUUUCACUAUUGUCUUAUUGUUUGCAUUAUUGUCUUUAAUAAUUUUAUUACUGUUUGCUUUUUUUCUUUUUACUGUUUUCUUUUUGACUCGCGAGCCACGUGCUUUACGCGUUAUUUGACAUGGACAUGUGACCUCAUACACAACUAUGACCCAUUAUCACCAAGACUCUUAAAUGUGAUUUUCUUUGUCAAUCACUCACAAAUUAUUUUUGCGAAGUAUCACAAUGGCAGCUACUCCCAAUAGACAAUUCAAGAACAUUUGUGUGCUUUCUGGAUUUACAUAUGGCAAACAUAAAGAGUUCGUUGAGGCAGCCAUAGAUCUUGGUCGAAGCAUAGCAGCGAGAAAAUUACACUUGGUGUAUGGAGGAGGUAAUCGAGGGUUAUCAAAAAUGGUCUCAGAAGCAGCUCUUAUCAGAGGAAGUCAAGUGUUAGGCAUCAUCCCAAGAGUCUUAAAACCAUUGGGCAGUUCGUCUGACUCAUCAACUGGAGAAGAGUUAGUCGUCUCAAGUAUGCAGGAAAGAAUAACUGAAAUGCUUAAUCAUGCUGAUGCUUUUAUUUUCCUUCCAGGAGAUCUUGCAACACUAGAGGCACUUAUGACACUAGCAUCUUGGGCCCAUCUACACAUUCACCAGAAACCCAUCGGUUUGUUAAAUGUCAAUAACUUUUAUGAUGGCUUUAUCGCAUUUCUUAACCAUGCAAUAAAAAACUAUUUCAUUCCCUCUAAUGCGAAAAAACUCUUUAUUUGUGCUCACACUGCUAAUGAGCUACUUGAUAUGUUACAAGCUUAUCGACCGGAGCCAGACCCCUGGACCUUUGUGUUGGAGCGUCCAAAUAAUGAUGGUAACAGUAGCCGCAGUAAGAAGUACAAAUUAGAUUUAACUCUCCGCCUGUAAAUAUUUUCUUCUGUGUUGCACCACCCAGGUGAUGUCUUCUAAACUCUACUUCUUUCAUUUCAAACAUUGAGGACAAUGUUUCGUUCUGGUUGGGGGGAGGGAAUAGUCGACAAUUGUGGAAUUUUGGUUAAGUUUUUACUAAUUUUUUGUUGUAGAAACUAACUGUUGCUAACUUUUUGUGUUGAAGAUGGCUGAAUAUGGAGUGUAGUUACUCUAGAAACGCAUCUUCAUUGUUUGAAAAAAAAAAUUCAAAAAAAAAAAACAAUUCAGACAUUUUCUUUUUCUUUAUUAUGUGUUUAUGUUUAUUUUUCUUCUUUAAUUUCUCCUCUAUAAAUAUAAAUUUUCCAACUUUUGAGUCGAAGAUGGCUGAAUAUGGAGUGUAGUUCCUCUAGAAACGCAUCUUCUUUUAAAAAAAAAAAAAUCAUUUUCGUUUUCUAUCAUUUUACGUGUAACUUUUCUAAUUAGUUUUUAUACAUCAUUUUCACAUUUCUGCAUGCAUAUUUUCCUUUCAUGUUUAGAAUAGGUUGGGGGGUAGAAUGAUGUUUAAAAAAAAAAAUGUGUGAUUUGUUUUAACAUUGGAUGACAUGAUUAAUUUCAAAUUUUAGUAUUUGUAUUAUCUUUGGUCUUAAGUGAUGUUACGCUAUGUUUGCUACUUUACAUGUUGAUGUCGGAGACAAAUGUGAGUUGCUUGAAGGAAUGAAUAUGUCAUAAUAAGUACCAAGUGAGUUUUUGAGCCUAUUAUUUUUCUUGGAGAAUAACCCUUUUGCCCACUCUUUAUACAGCUUAGCAGUUUAUUAUUUUAUACACGAUCUCUAAAUUACUUUUGAGUUAACCCUUAAAAAAAAAAUUGUAAAAUAAAAAAAAAGAGAAAAAAGAAAAAGAAAAAAGAGUGUGUUGCUACAUUUGGAGGCCCAUCUAACUAGUAGAUAUGGAAGAUUAUUUAGAGCCCUAAAAGACGAUGGAGAGGCCAUCUUUGAUCCGUUUGAGCCUUUCAAGCCAUCCCUUUUUAAUAUCCAUAGUUAACCCUUUUGAGCCUAUAAAAAAAAAAAAAAAAAAAAAACCUUUUCUUUGUCAACUUAUCAUCUUGACCCACUCCGAUUUGGAGUAUUACCCGAUAUCUUAUAAGUUCCAUCACCUAUUUAUGUUUGAGAAAAUGUAAAUAAUUAUUUUGUUCAGUGAAGUUAUGCCAAAUAAAAAAAAAACAAAAACAAAAGUUGUUGUUUCAAAAGAAUAAAAAUAGGUGAAAUCCACCUUGCAACUUCCAAAAAAAAAAAAAAAAUUCUCUGCAUUUUUCUCAAACAUACACUUUGUUUUCCUUAUUUUCCUUCUUUGUUAGCCAUGUCCCUAGCCUACGUUUCGUCCUAAUAAAAGUCCUUCUUGAUUUUAGGGAACUAUAGUUUGAAGUAGAAGCUAGUUAUAUGGGCUAAAAAGAUGUAGUGAUGCAUAAUUAAAAAAAAAAAAAAAGAUAAAUAAAGUGGGUUGACUAACAUUUUAUUUGACUUGAGAUCGUAUUAUUUCUAAGCUGAGGGCAUAUUUAUUUCAUCUUGGUGAGAGCAUGUGAUAUCACUUCUUUAUUAUUUUCUCUCUCAAUUACCAUUCAUUGGAGUGACUAUUUUUAUUGGGAUUAAUUUAUUUGUGAGAGUGUCACUACUUCCAGUGAGAUUUUGGGGUUUGACAUUUCAUUCUUGAGAGUAGCUAUAACAAAGUCUACUGGGCUAAUUCAUGUGGAUGGUUGAUGUGGGUGUGAUGUUGCUUUAGACUGGAGAUAAUGCUUAUACUUUUAUUUGAUUGCUAUCAUUAAUCUGAUGGAAUAAAUACGAGUGUUUCUAUUAAAAAAAAAAAAAUUAUUUUGAAUUUGAAUUUUGUUUUCGCUUUAUUUGCUAGGGACUAGCAAUAAGCUGGUUGGGGGGUGUGUUGAGUGUUAGAAAAUGCAUAUUUAUAAAGGAGAAAACCGUCAUUUUACAUUUUAAGUCUUACUAACAACCCUUACUUUUAUAUAUUUAACCUUCUUGUGAUUUAAUUACAUGUGUUUUAUUUUAAUUAAGUAUUUUAUGUAUUUUAGGGGCAUUAUAGUCAUUUCACAAUAAAGGAGAGAUCAGACGGCAAAACGGACAUCACUUUUGAACUCAGGACGGUCGAAAACCUUAGGAGGAGCAUAAAAGGAAAAAUGGCACUAUUCACAUGUACGGUACUAUUCACGUAUACGGUACUGUCUACGUUACUGUUCACGACACUGUUCACAUAGACGGAUCGAUGACGUGGCAUUGACCGAUGAUGUGGCAUUGACUGAUGAGGUGUCACGAUCCUGUUGGGCUAAAAUUCUUAUGUACUGUUGAUGGUGACGUGGCAGCAUAUCAGUGGACGAAAAAUCUCGUGUACGGUGCAUGCAUCACACAGGAUUAUUUUCAACCAAACCGCGUUACUGUUCAUCCGGGUCAAACCGCGUUACUGUUCAAAGUCGGGUCAAACCGUGUUACUGUUCAUCCGCGUGGUCAAACCGUGGACUGUUGACUGAUGACGUGGCGCAAUCCUGAGCGUCCAAACUGUUUUUAAUCCGAUGGCCAUGAUUUACUCCAUGUAUCUAUAAAAAGGGGGCCUCCCCCCCCUAAUUUGAUAUCUCUGAAUCCAUUUUUGGGAUCCAUUUUCUGUAAUUCCUUCUCCAUCUUGUAUUUUCUUCAUAUUUUAAUAAAUUCCCAUUUUGCCCCUAGUUCAAUUAUGAGUGGCUAAUUUUCUUUCAAGCUUGGGUUGAAGGUGAAGUCUCAACAUGUGUCAUGGGCUUAAUUUGGUAAAUUUAUUUUCUCUUCCCCUCUAGUUUUUGUGGAUGUUUUGACUUCUCGUCGACAAAUAAUACUAAUCUUGUCUAGUACCGCCUUGGUUUCACCGGCUCUCUAGUAUAAGGUUAUUAUUAUUUGGCACGAUAAGCCCUUAGCACCAUAUUGAUUAGAGUGUGGUUCAUGCGGUGUGGAUUCCCCCCUCAUGAUUUAAUUGGUAUUAAUAAGGAAUAUUUAGCCUAUGAUGCAUGUUGAUACGGAUCCAGAUACCCAAGUACGUCAUUUCAAUAGAAUUCUCUUCAAUUUAUUCUCACCAUUUCAAUACCAAUUUUAGAAUUUAUUCUCUCCAUUUUAAUUUAAGUUUUAGCAUAUUCCAAUCAUUUCCACCACAAAUCUAAUCACCCAUUCACAAAAUUAAUUCUACACAAUUAAAAUCCACCUCCUCGUGGGAUCGACACUCGUCACCAUUAAUCUAUACUACAACAGAUUCGUGCGCUUGCGAGUACAUUAAAAUUUGCACAACACCUGGUCCUCUGGUGGCCAGCCACAUCUCUCUCAAAACGAACCAGCACCGGCCUGUGAUCCGAAGCAAUUUUCGGGAGAUGGAGCACAUAAUUAUUCAUAUAUUUAAGCAGCCAUUCACUAUUACACAAAGCUCUAUCAAGCCUUUUAAAAAGCAAUCCACGUGACCAAGUAAACCUUGGACCCUUAAAUUUCAAGUCAAAAAGUUUAUGCCCAUCAAACCACUUCCGAAACAGAUUACACACUCCUGAGUUCCUGGCCACACCCCCUUGCUUUUCUGAGGCGUAUAAGAUAGAGUUGAAAUCCCCACCUAUCAACCAAGGCUCUUGAAUUAAAGGCGCAAGGUUCUCCAUAUGGCACCACAGCUGUCUCCGCAACAUUGGGUUUGGACUGGCAUAAACAGCCGUUACCCAAGACACAAAAACAUUGUUCCUGCAAAUUUUAAAAUGGAUGAACUGCCUGUGAUUAAUUGAGACCUCCACCUCUAUAGAACUUCGCCAAAGAAGCCAAAUUCCUCCAGAAAAACCCACAGCUUCCACCCGGUGCGAGUAAUCAAAUCCACUUUUCUUUAUAAAUUCAUCGGCUUUCACCCCACUAGUACGAGGUUCCAUUAAUACCACCAUCGAUGGGUUGUAAUUUUUAAUAAUAGUCCUAAACGAGCACCUGAAUUCCCCCGAGGCUGCCCCUUGGACAUUCCAGAACAUAAUACUGACUGUCAUAAAAAAUAUAAGAAGAGAGAACAUGAGGCUACUGUUGCUAUCCAGAGACAUCAUCCAUCAAUGCCAACGGCGUUUCCUGAACCAUCGAAAAUUCAUCAUCAGUCAUCCCAUCUCCAUCUAUACCACUCAUAGGAACAUCUGGAUGGUUACAAACAUGUCCACCUUCUUUCACCCGAGAAGUGUUAUGGUUAUCAGGAGGGUCUGCUAAGGGUUGCGGAUCCGAUCCCUGCAUCUCUAUAUGAUCCGUGGCCACUUCCCUUACAUCUCCAUUAAGAAGUGUUGGGGGAGAACAAAAAACCAUUGUGUGUUUAGUAGGAUCCAAGGUGGAUUCGAAAGAAACCACACGUUGGUUACUAGAUACUUUCUGGGGGAAACUAUGUGAAUUGGAUUUUUGGUUGGCAUGGGGUAAGAGAGUUAUAUCCUCAUCUCUGAUACUUAAAUCACUAGGCUGGAAAGGGUUACUAGUAGGGACCACUGGAGCAUUUAGCUUUUUGCUCUGAUUCCUUAUUACCACGGUCUUAUUUUGCAGCUUUCGACGAGCUAAAAUCUGUACUGUGUUAUUUGUUUUGGCUGUAAAUGUAGGGUUUGAGGCGGAUAUGAAAGGCUACCGUGAGGUGGAGGGGAAGUCUGUGCAAGCCUCCUGCACUUGGUGUCCUCCUUCAUCCGGGACUUGGGAUAGAAUGUGAAACCUUGAGGUACCAGCUCCAGUAAACUCCCUAUUCCGAUUUAAGUCUCUAGUAUUCAUCCUUCCAUUAUUAGGCUUUCUUCCUCUCCUAGGAGCCAUCAUCCAGGGACCAAAUGGUUCCACAGUGCUGUCGCCAUUACAACCUUUAGCCUGUUGGCCAGGAGCCUCGUUUCCCGGCAUUGCCUGAUGGGAUUGACCAGCUUCUUUAGAGCUUGUCGAGUUCUUAGCAUCUUUGCAAUUAUUACUAUUGUGCCCGUAAAGUCCACACUUAUAACAAAUUACUGGCAAGCCCUCAUAUUCGACCUUCUGUAUCUUCCCAUCCAACUCAAACUGAGACACCAGUGGCCUAGUUAAAGAGAUACUCACUGCAAGGCGGGCAAAUCUUCCACGAGAUGAGGAGGCUGUAUUCAAAUCGAUUGUAAUCACGUUCCCCACUAACUGACCCAGCUUUUGAAGAACUUUUCGAUCGUAAAGAUGAACAGCAAGGCCAGGUAAUCUGAUCCACACCGUGACCUGUUCAAGAGCCGUGUUUGUGAAGUCAAAGGAUGGCGUCCAUGGCUGCACCGUUAAAUAGUGACCCAUGACAAGCCACGGCCCCUUGGUUAAUGCAUCCAUAGCAUCCCCUACCGAGCGAAACCGAACCAGAUAAUAGUUAUUCUCCAAGUCUAUCACUGAAAACCCCAUGGCUGAUUUCCACAUGCCAUUCAAUCUUGCACAAAGGGCUCUAUAGCCAAUUGUGCGGCCAAGCAACUUUACAACAACCGAGUUCUUCCAAGGCUCACUUAACUUAGCAUGAACCCUAGCCGAAAAAGUGAUGGAUGGCAUGGAUCCCUCGUUACUUUCAGUAACGUCCCCUUCCUCAAAAUCCCAGUCAUCUAGUCCACCUCCAACUCCUUGCUCCAUCGCUUGCGUUGCAUUCACUAGGGUUUCUUUGUACGAUACCUGAGCAGUGGGAUCACCAGCAUGUUCCUCAUCGCGAAACCUCGCUUUUUUAGUCGUUCUAGCCUCCCUGAACGGCGGGGGAAAAAUCCCUCCGGAGAUAGGGUUUCCUUCACAUCCGUGGUUUUCGGAGCUUUCCAUUGAAUUUCGCUUGAUUCACUAAAAAAAUUAACGUUUUUAUGAAGGCUCGAACCAUUGCACUCAACAUUGUAAGUGCAUAUUGGAGUUAUUGGUAAAAUCACAAUUUUAUUUCUCAUCAACGAUAUCCUUCUCUUAUCUUCCCAUUGUUUAACCUCGGGUGGUUCAGUUAAUUCAAUACCGGCAGAAACCAAAAAGUUUUCAUUCUCCACUUCACAGGCUAUCCACAAGGUCAUAUCACGAAUCACAUCAUGCAGUUUUACAUAAUCUGAUCCUGCUUCUUCCAAUAGGCAUGCAUGAACAAGAACACCAAUAAUGUAGUAUCCUUGGUUAUGUACUCCAUUAAUUCCUUUAUAUUCCUUUAGAAAACCCUCACCAAUCCAACACCCUACCAAUUCAAUUUUGCUAAUUUGAUAAUCCUCAAGAAAUAAACUACAGUAUAACAGACAAGAUCUAAGGACGUCACUAGACAAACUAUCAUAACUGAAUUUUAAAAGACGAAACACCUCUUUCUCCAUACCUGGAAAUUCAUAAGCUGAUCUCCUUAACAUCUGAAUUGCAUAGCUCCAUUCUUCGGGUGUCUUCUUGCUGCUCAUGGCACGACCGGUGGUAAUAAGUGCAAGUGGCAAACCACUACACUCCUUUGCCACAGUUUGGGCUAACUCCGGAAUAUCGGGAUGACUUUCAAGAGUCUCUUCUCCGACCUUCUUUAGGAACAAUUCCCAAGCAUCUUGAUCUGCCAAACACUCCACCUUGAACUUUUUUUGAGCUUCCAUGAGGCCACAGACGUCCACAAGACGAGUCGUAAAGACUAUCUUUGAUGCAUUUCUUGAACUCCCAGGAAAAGGGACACCCACUUUGGCUAAAUCAAUUCUUUCCCAUAUAUCAUCUAACAAUAGCAGAAAUUUCAUUUUGCUCAAUAAAUUGAAUAUGCCUGAUGCUUUCUCUUCAAAGCUUCUAUUCUGAAGCCAUCCUAUUCUUUCUCCGAUUUUCUGUUGAAUUCUCUCAAGUUGCAUGUCUUUUGACACCACCACCCAAAUCACAAUAUCAAAAUAAUUUGGUGUAUUAAGGAACUUGUUGUUGAUUUGGGUUAAUAGUGUAGUCUUGCCGACUCCCCCCAUGCCAUAAAGUCCGAUGAUUCCAAAUUGUCCUUCUACAAGACAUCUCCAAACUUGAUCAAAUGAUGAUUCUAGGCCGAUUAUUGUUGGCUGAAGAGGCCUUUCAUCCACUGCUGGUUGUGGUACCUUUUCAGCUACCACUGCAAAAGCUCCAUCAUCUAUUAAAGUAGCCACAAGCUGCAGCUUUUUAGACACCUUUUUCCCAAACUUGUAGCUUGACUUGCAGUUCUUGGAGCAGUAGCCUCCAAGACAUAGUUUUUCAAUUUCUUGAGAGCUGUCCCUUCUCAAUUCACCUACUUCAGCUUCCACAGCCUCCAACCUUGCACUCUGUUCAGCCGUCUUAGUUGUUGUUGCUCAGCAUUAGCGACCCUCAUCAUCACAUCGUUCUUUGUUUCAAUUAGUUUCUGCAAUUCGGUCUGGACGGCAACCAGAUUAUUUUCAAGCUGGCUUAGAUAUGCUGCUUUUCUGCGGGUACAAUUGAUGAAGCCAGUGGAAAGGGCAUCACAUGUAAGUUGGAUUCCCAAAAUAUUACCCAUAGUUUGUAUGAGAUUCAGAGUACAAUAGAAGGAAUGCAACACAGUAUGUAUUCGGUUGUGGUGUCUAUGAUUUUACAGUCGCAGAAGCUUAUUCACCUUGUGAGGGCUGGUCAGGUGGGCACCAUCACUCUCCUUACUCUUUAUAGAGAGCGAUAGUCCAUGUGGUCAGAUCUCAUUCAGAUAACUAGCCAAGUGGGCAAUCGCUCCACCUUAUCAAAAUUCUUCAUCUUAUAAUAAUAUCAUGAGUAGGCCUUGAAUUUUUCUUUUAAUUUUAACAUUUAAAAGGUAGAGGUGAAAAAGUCUACAUAGUAUUUUUGUCCUCGUACUUUAAUAACAUUUCUUGAAAGUCACUCGAUCUCAAAAUUUAAUUAAGAAGAUAUUAUAGAUUUAUAAGCCCUUAAAUUUUAUUUGCAAGUAAGCCCAUAAGACUUACUAAAAGUCGUCAACUCGUCAUGACCAAAAUUGAAAAUUCGUCCGCGCGUGAAAUACGGCAUGCACAGUCGUAUUAAAAGCAAAGGCCAGCUAUGAUAGUCUUCGUAUACUUGCAUUCCCUAUCAUCUUAUUAAUAAUUUCAGACACGUAGUUCGUUGCUUGUGAUUUUUCAUAUGCAAAAGCACAGUCAGUGUUACAUUUUACAAUUACAAUUGAGUGCCACCUAUAUACUCCUUCAUUCUUUUCAAAAUAUGUUGUAGGAUGGGUAAUUGUGACAAAAGUGAUUUUUAAAAAAAAUUAACUUUUAAUUUUUUUUAAAUUACUUUUGAGAUUUGUGAAAAAAAUCCUAAACGGGUCUCAGAAGUAUAAUUAGCACCGCGAAUUUAUAAAAUGAUCAAAGGAAUCCAUCGCCUAAUAUUAUAGUACGCAAUUGAUUGCUAUAAACUAAAUUGCUAUGAUCUCACUUCAUAAUAAUUUAUUUUCAAUCUCCAUCAUGGUAGAAAAAUUUCAUCAAUCAACAUACCCUACCACCACCCAAUAGUCGACCAUUUAUCAUCUUCUAUCCGUAAAAAACCGAAAAAAAAAAAGAAAAGGAAAAAUUUAGUCCACAAAAGAAUAUAUCGCAAGACCAAACAGAGAGAGAAAAUAGAAAAAGCAAAGAGCUGUACUGAAUACCGGCGGUGAUGGCUCCGUACUUGACCAUUUAGGUUUGAUUCUGCAUUCACAUAAUAUUUUUUCUACACUGCAGUCACAUCACAACCAUUGAAUAGUCGUGAUCUAUUUUUCUAAAGCGAAUAAUAUUAUCUUCUCGUGUCGGUGGCUUGAUCAUAUAACAAAAUAGACUAAUAAUGUUUCAAUAGACAUUUUGGUAAAUGGAAGAAGUUAUGAUCUGUCCAUUUUUAUGUUACUUUAUUUUAAUUUGUUAAUUACUAUUAAUAUCUUUGAGUGGGAUAGAAUCUUGACCUAAGAUAUGACUAGGCUCCACAUGUUAUAUAUUAAUUUGAUUAAGCCUAGCUAAUUGUUAAUUAUUAAUUUGAUUGCGGCUUUUUAUUUUACCCACAUUUUUUAUGCGUGAAAUCUUUCUUAGUGAAAAACUACACGUAUUUGCAAAUAUUCGGAAUGGACAUUUUCGAAAAAACAAGUAAAAGAAAAUGACUAAAAAGUAAAAGAAAAUAGACACCCAAUUGUAAUUGCGAGGACAAUAGAAGGAAUGCAACAAACAGCUCUCUCCUUACACUCUUAUAGAGAGUUAUAGUCCAUGAUCUCAUUGAGAGAACUAGCCAAGUGGGCAAUCGCUCCACCUGAUCACAAUUCUUCAUCUUAUAAUAAUAUCUUGAGUCGGCCUUCAAUUUUUUUUUUCAAUUUUUAUCUUUAAAAGGUAGAAGAAGUGAAAAAGUUAAAUAAUAUUUUUGUCCUCCUAUAUAACAUUUUUUGAAAAUCACUCGAUCUUAAAACUUAAUUAAGAAAAUAUUAUAGAUUUUUAAGUUAGUGGCCCUUAAAAUUUAUUUGCAAGUAACAAUUAGAGAAAAGUCGUCAUGCCCAAAUGACUUACUAAAAGUCUGCAACUCGUCAUGACCAAAAUUCUUCCGAGUGUGAAAUACGGCAUGCGCAGAUGCAUUAAAAACAAAGGCCAGCUAUGAUAAUCUUUGUAUACUUGCCUUCCCUAUCAUCUUAUUAAUAAUUUCAGACGCGUCGUUCGUUGCCUGUGAAUUUUCAUAUGCAAAAGCACAGUCAGUGUUACUUGCAUUCCCUGUCACCUUAUUAAUAAUUUCAGACACAUCGUUGGUUGCCUGUGAUUUUCAUAUGCAAAAGCACAGUCAGAAUUACAAUUUACAUUUGGAAUUGAGUGCCAUCUAUUUAUUCUAGCUGGAUCUAAAAUGAUAUUGCAGUAUUGCACUGACUUUUCAGUCACAGCGUUUCUCUAUGAAUUCCUUAAAGUUUAGACCCAUCAUGGAAUAAUUAUUUUCUUAAAGACCAAAUUAACAUAAUUCUUAAAUCAUCUUCCGAGUGUCAAAUACGGCAUGCGCAGAUGCAUUAAAAACAAAGGCCAGCUAUGAUAUUCUCUGCAUACUUGCAUUCCCUGUCACCUUUAUUAAUAAUUUCAGACACGUCGUUGGUUGCCUGUGAUUUUCAGACACAUCGUUGGUUGUCAGAAUUACAAUUUACACUGAUUUUUUAGUCACAGCGUUUCUCUAUGAAUUCCUUAAAGUUUAGACCCAUCAUGGAAUAAUUAUUUUCUUAAAGACCAAAUUAACAUAAUUCUUAAAUCAUUUAUAAAACAACAUUUAUCAUAUAACAGAUCGUACAUGAAUAAAUUUACCUUGAACCGUAGCAAACAAACAAGAAUCUCAACCACAUCAAUAUCAUAAUCCCUUCUGACCUUAACAAUAAUUUUAUUCGUCCUUAAUUCAUAGGUAUAAGUAUCCCAAUAUAUACUUGAUGUCAACCUUUACAAUUCUUUACAGAAUUGCAGCAGACCAAAUUUGUAUGCAAAACUGAAAUCAUACAGUAAUUGAAUACAGUGAUAGUAAUUAGUAUAUAUAAAUAUCUUAAUAAUUUAAAAGUUUCUUAAACUGCUUUUACAUAUCUGAAAAAUUAUAGAAAUCGGAACUGCUGCAGAAAUCAUAAUUUCCCAGCGAAUGUGUUACAACUUCAGAAACUCAUAAGAAAUUAAAUUCUUGGGAUCACAAAAUAAUUCAAUAGAAAGCUUAAGAUGUCUAGUUCAUAAAAUCUGAAUUUUUUUUUAAAAAAUAAGAUCUUUGGAAUUUAAGAGAUUCAGCAGUACUUUUAUUACAUCAAUUCUUCAAACAAUCACCAAUCUAACAUUCAUCAAAAUUAAGUCAUAAAAAUCAUGUGGUUUAUAAAAAGAAUUACCUGAAAAAGAUUAGCCUUCCCCUUUCAAAAGCAACGUGAAACUCCAAAAACUCUUCUUCCAUUGCCUAUUCAAACAUGAAAAAAAAAAUUAGUAUAUCUUCUUUAAACGCGUGAUGAGUGUGCUCUGUUUUCUCUGUUCUUCUUCUUCUUUUUUAGAUUUCGAAAACGUAAAGAGUGUUGGAGUCUUUAUUUUCUAAAAACAAGACUUUUCCAUGUAUUCAGUUAAAUUAAAUUAUGUCCUAAUGCUAUGUCAGUUCCAUCAUUAGCAUUUUUUUUUUUGGCUUUUAACACCAACAUUAGCGUAUGUUAAGUAUCAUAAUCCAUAGUUGGACAAUUUGAAAUCUCUUCGUGGUUUAUCUCAAAGUAGAGCUUCAAUCAAUUUGUACCUCAUAAAUUUACAAUAUCUAUGAGGGCUAAUAAGACCAAACUCUGGCAUAUUGUCAAAUGUGCUUAUACUUUCGCUUGACAAGUCAUUUUAAAAUUGUCUUUCAAUGCCAAAAAAACCACAUCAACUAAUGGUCCACUACUUUAAUUUGAAAGCAUGCAUGCGAUCGCCAAUAAUCAAGGAUGUUAGGGUCAUGCUACAGAGUAUAGAAUAUGAUUUUAUGGUAUAGCCUUCUUUCUUUAUAAUUUUUAAAUUUAAUACUGUUACUUAUGUAGCACAUAAGUUGGAAAACAUAACAUAAAAUUUGAAAAAUGUAUAGUUUUCGUUCCCUUUUUUCCCCUCUAAAAAUGGGAAAAAAGAACGUAAUUUUGAUUUAUUUAAAUUACUGUUGUGAUAACAAUUUUUAUUUUAUUGAUUAUUUACCCAUUCAUGUGGCAAAUUUUUUAAGAUAAGGUGAAGGAUGAAGCUCAAAAACAUAAAUUAUAUAAUUAAUUACCCUCUCUAGUAAGUUUAAAGUUUAUUAUUUUGAACUACAUGUUUAUAAUUUAUUUUUAUUAUGUGUUAAUAUAUAGAUCUAAAUUCACUUUGGAACCAUAUACAUAUUUAGACCUAAUGUGCAUGUUAAUCUAUAGAUCUAAAUUUACUUCUAAAUUCACUUUAGAUCUAUAUGAGUAUUUAGACAUAACGUAUUGCAACCAUAUUGGCAUGUUCUCACUAUAGUAUUGGUGUAUUGACAUUAUAUCUAAUUGUCCCUAUAAAUCCAAAAAUAAUCUAGAUAUACAAAUUAACAUAAAAUAAAGAUAAUUGGUAGAAAAUGCAAAUUAUAAACAUAUAAUUGAAAACGAUAAAUUUAAAUUUACUUAAGAAAGUAAUUAAUCACUUAUUUCUUUUUUAUAAUAUGACAAAUAUUAUAAUAAAUAUUAAUUAAUAAUAAUUAGAAUAACAAACUAAAGAUAUUUUAGUAACUUAAAAUAAUUCAUUUUGAUUUCGAGACAAAAUAAACACAUCAAUCGCAAUACAACUCAUUCUGAUUCCACUCAUUCAGAUUUCAACAUAUUUUAAUUAAUUCAAGUGCUCUCCAUUAUAAUUGAAGCCGCUGCCCCAUCCCACUCGUGAUUCCAAACUUUAUCUUUUUCCUUUUUUAAAUUAAUGCAAGCAGCCGCUGUCCUUUUUGUUAAUUAAUUAAUUAAUUCGGCCGCCCACAUUUCUUUUCCUAAUGUCUUCGGCUUUCGAUUUUCUUUUAUUUUCUUUUUAUUCUUAAAAUAGACUUAUAAUAAUAAAAUAUAAAAAUAUAAAAAAAAUUAACAUAAUCAAAAUAUAAUUUAACAGAAAAUUAAGAUAAAAAUGUGAAAAUAAUAUAUAAAUUAUGAGCGUAUCAAUCAAUAAAUGAAAAAUAAUAAUUUUUAUUUUUAUUAAAUAUAUAUUUUUCAAUAUUAAUCAGUUAUCUAAAUAACUAAAAUCAGUUAAAAAUAAAUAAAUAAAUUAUUCUUAAAAAAAAAAAACUUUUUAUACCACUCACUAUGCUGGCUGUCAAGGGUAGAAGCUUUGGGGACUGAAGUUGGUAACUUCUACAAGUAGUCUUAAGUUGACUGGCAACAACUAUAUUGGCAUUUGGACAUAAUGUUCUGCAACCAUAUUGGCAUGUUCAAUUGUUCUCACUAUUGUGUUGGUGUGUCGAUAUUAUCUCUAACUGCCCUAUAGAUCCAAAAAUAAUCUAAAUUUAUAAUUUAACAUAAAAUAAAAUAAUUGGUAGAAAACAAUUAUGGUUCAUUUACUUAUCAGUAAUUAGAAUAGACUGAAAUCAGAAUGAGUUGUACUGCCGUUAAUGUGUUUAUGUUGUCCUUGAAUCGGAAUGAAUUAUUUUAAUUUACUAAAAUACCCUUGGUUUGUUAUUCUAAUUAUUAUUAUUUAACAUUUAUUAUAAUAUUUGUCGUAUUAUUAAAAAGAAUUAAUAAUGAUGAUAAUAUUAUCAUUAUUGUUUGUUAUAUUAUUAUUAUUAUUUAAAAAGUUAUUGUUAAUAACAAUAAUAACUUUAUUUCAAUAAUAAAAAUGAUAAAAUUAAUAAUAACAAUCAUGACAACAACAAUAAUUAUUUAUUAUGCCAAAAAUAACAAUAAUAAUAAGAAUAAUAAUCAUCAUCAUUUCAAAAAAAAAUCAUCAUCAUCAUCAUUUUUGUAGUGGCUGCCUAUCGGCUGUUGCUUUCAUGCGAGAUUAACUUGCGACGCUUCAACUGCUAUUAUUUCUGGCAAUGUCAGGUGUUGUUGUUUCAAUGGGGGGAGAAGCUGUUUCGGUGCACUAACGAUGGGAGGUGUUGUGGCUGCGAUUCGAGGAGCUACUGGUUCAGUGCACUAAUGACGGCAGGUGUUGCUGCUCAAUGCAAGGUCCAUGGCCAGUUGUCUUGUUUUACACCCAGCUCUUGUAGGAAAUUCUUUAUCAAAAAUAUUUUUUUUGUAACCUUCAAUAAUUGUAAUAUCAUUUGCUUCCGUGGUAGAAAGGACAACUCAUUACUAAGUCUAGAUUGUGAUGAGACUGCUCUCCCUACAAAAGUGAGCAAAUAUCAUUGUAGGGAUUUUUCAGAAUCAACAUCUCCUGUCAUAUCUACACACUUGUAACACAAGUUUGUCACCACCAAAAUAUAAACAUAUUCUGGAAAUGCCUAUAAGAUAUCUGAGAAUUCAUUUCACUGUUGUCCAGUGCUCUUUGCCGAGAUUGAAGAGAAACCGACUGACUACACUGACUGCAUAGGCAAUAGCUGGUCUUGCACAAAUCAUGGUGUACACCAAACUGCCAAUUGCCUAAGCAUAAGGAACUCCUCUCACUGAGAAAUGGGUUUUGCUCUUGAGAUUUUUGGGAACAUGAAGAAUAAAGAUGUAAUUUCUUGGACUACCAUUGUGUUGGGGUAUAUAAAUAGAAGACAAGUCGAUAUAGCUCGACAGUAUUUUGCUCAGAUGCCAGAACGAGAUUAUGUCUUAUGGACUGCCAUGAUUGAUGGGUACCUUCGAGUGAAUAGGUAUAGAGAGGCUUUGACACUUUUCCGGGAGAUGCAAACUUCAAAUAUAAGGCGAGACGAGUUUACCAUUGUUAGGAUUCUUACAGCUUGUGCGAAUCUGGGGGCACUAGAACUGGGAGAAUGGAUAAAGACUUACACUGACAAAAACAAGGUCAAGAAUGAUAUAUUUGUGGGGAAUGCUUUGAUAGACAUGUACUGUAAAUGCGGAGAUGUUGAGAAAGCUCAAAGGGUAUUCAGGAAGAUGCUUCGAAAGGACAAAUUCACAUGGACGGCCAUGAUUGUUGGCCUUGCCAUCAGUGGCCAUGGUGAUAAAGCUCUUGAUAUGUUUUCCCAAAUGCUUAGGGCUUCGAUCAGACCAGAUGAGGUAACUUAUGUUGGUGUUCUGUCUGCCUGUACUCACAAUGGUAACGAAAAUUUUGUGAUAAACAGUUGCAACUUAAGGUGAGAAUUGGAGGAAACGAAAUAGACUGAAGUUGUUCAAUCAUCGGUGGUUGCUAUUUGAUUUUAAGUUGUUCAAUCAUCGGUCGUCUCUAUUUGGUUUUCUCCAAUAUCUCAUCUCCAGUUUUGACUCAGAUUCUGUCUUACCACUAGUAAUUACAUAGACUUGUUGCCAAAGGUAAGAAUGGGAAUAAAUUAAAUAGAUUAUGUCGAUAACGAAAUAGAUUUACUAUUGCUAUGUGCAUUCUAUUUGGUUCCUGCAAAAUAUUUUCUCCUGCCUAAAAUUUUUUGAAUCAGUAAGUUUUUACCUUAUGCAAGAAUUGUGCUAAGAGUAAUUCCAGUCUCUCUAUGUUUCAAUGAAGACGUAAAACUUGUGUUUUAGAGCACCAAUGUUAUGCUUCUUACAAUUGGAUUUUAAUUUACUUCGUAGAACUUUUGUCAAAAAGUACUAAGAGUGUAUUUGAAAUUGAUGUACUGUAUCUUUUAAGCUACAGCUGCUGUGGAAAAAAAAACUGUAACUAUGAAAUAAAAGUUAAUAAUAUAUAGUAAAUAUAAAUUUUAAAUAAUAAUUUUGAUAAAAUUAUUAAAGAUAUAAUAGUUUUUUUAUUAUACAAGUGAAAAAUUAUAUAAACAUAGUUUUCAAGUUACAGCAGCUAGUGUUUAUCAAACACUUUAGUACUGUAUCUUUUAAGUUACAGUUGCCCGAGUUCAAUCUCAAACGCAACUUAACGAGUAGUGCACCAAACACCAACUUUAUUACAGAGAGGACUUUGGUUAAACUUUAAGAAAAACACUCAAAGGAAGAGUUAUAAAUUAUUAUAGAAAUAUUUGACAUAAAUAAAAGCCAUUCCACAAUGCGAAGAUCUUGCUAUCAUCACCAGAAACCAUCGGGAGCUUUCAGGGUUUCCAUGAAAACGCCAUUUCAUUCCAAGAGUCAAUGGUGGGUAGAAAGUGGUGCAAACGAUACUCAUUGUUAAUGCUAUAAGUUUUUGCUAAAUUAUGUCUUACCCAAAAUGAUGAUUUAAUUUCCAUUCUCAAUUAAUUUUCAAAUUUCAACACUUUUCUUUGUAGCAUGACAUUGGAAAGAUCUUGUACUACUAAAAGCUAGCACCACACGUUAAUUAUUGUUAAGUUCUUUUUCAACGUGAAAUAAAGGAAGUAGUCCUUCGUUAAAACCAUUAUAGCCAAAUUUCAUGUAAUUGGACACUUACAGACUUUCAUUUCAAGCUGGAAUUUGGUCCAACGUUUCAAAGUUGACCCAACUAAUUGUCUGGUCAAGUCCUACACAGCUAAGACCCUCAAUGAAUGAGGGUGAGACUGCUAAAAAUUACGACAGUUGAUAUUAUUAUUAUUUUGGGAUAAAUCCUCACCAAGGUGAGUGAGGAGAUUUUAUCAAAAUAAAAAUAAAAAUAUAACAAGAAAACUAGCUAAAUUAAAAUAUUACAAAAGCUAGAUGAAAUGAAAGGCAGCCUAAAAACAACCUUAUGCAAAAGAGAAGCAACAUGCUAGUAUUCCAAGCUUCUUGUUAUAAAAGUGUAGAAUGAAGUAGGUGAUGUAGUUUUAAAUUACACCUCCAUGCCCAAUCACAAUAUCAAAUAAUGCUUAAAGUAGUUAUAUUAACUCUUAAAUUUAUAAAUAAUUAAAUUUUUAAAAGUUUGGAUUUAUAUUAAAAAAUUUCUAUAUAAAUAAAUAAUCUAUGCAUUUUUACAACAUAGUCUUUAAAUUUAAACUUUUCUAGAAAAAUCUUCUGGAUAUCUUUUCUAUUAAAAAAGAGAUUCUCAAAAUUUAUAAAAGUAACUUAAAGUUUUGUCUUCCCUUUUCUUUUAGCUUAUACAUAUGUGUGUGUAUUCUUUUAUAGCAAUAACUAACGUUAUUUAUUUUUAAAUCAUAAAAAAAUUAUGAAAAAAAAAUGUACCAAAUUUAAUUGGACCCAGCACAAUGCACAUGCAUAGAACACAUUCUGAAAAGCCAUGCUAUUCGGAAAUUGACGAAUGGAAAGUGAAGAGGCAGCAGUCAAUGCUAUUUCGGCUUGGCCCAAAAUUUCACCAGUUUGUUAAUCAGUGUUCUGCAGCUCUUGCUGCUUUCCUAGAGAUUCUACAUCUUUUGCAAUCUGAUAGAUUUAAAAAAAAAAAAAAAAUUAGUGGCCAUUUGGAAUGGAGGAGAGAUUUGUGUGAAUGGUAUAGGUGAAAAAUUGGAUGAAAAUAAACAGGCAACCGUCCGUAUAAAACAACAAUAACAAUAUACAAAAAGAUAAGUAAUUCACGAAAGGAAAUUUACGGUUGUUUCUGGAAAACAUACAUAUUAAUUUCACUUAUACUCUAAGAUUUGCCAUCAUGACUGGACUUGUGAGGAAUUUGGAAACAUGUAUGCUGUAGAAAUGCUGAAGUAGCUUGAACCCGAUAAAAAUUGAUUGGUAGAAUUGUUAAAAAGUCUAAAUUUUUAGUUCAAACCUAUUGCAUAUUUAAGAAAAUCUCAAAUGAAUUGCUUAUUGCUAUCGUCAUCAUCAUUGCCCAUAUAAUUAUUAUUAUUAUUAUUAUUAUGUCUUUAUAAUUAUUAGUAUCGCUGUUAUUAUUUUUAUGGGUAAAUGGUUUUUCUAUCCUGGCAAUUUAAGCCAAUUACCUAACUAAUCCACGUAAUUUUAAAAAUGUUUCAAAAGAUCUUUAUUUUAUAUAUGUUUCCACUACAAUUUAUUUAAUGAUUCUUUAUUUUUCAAUUAUUGCAUGUUCGAUAUUUUUGAGUUCUAAGCUAUAUCAAUAGAAAUGUUAUCUUAUCCAUAAAAAGUUAGAUCCAGCAAUUAUGAAAAUUACUAUAGAGCUGCUUUGAAUAAUUUUAAAAAAAUACCACAAGCAAAUAAUAAUUAGUUUAAAUAGUGGAGACUAAAAAGCAUUCACCCUUAUUCUUUAUCUGUUAUUUGUUUUUUUUUUUUUCCGUUAAUGCACAUAUUAUACAUUUUAAACAUUCCGUUAAUUGCCAAUUAUGCAAGCGAGAUAGUAAUUUAAAUUUUUUUAUUUUAAAAAAAAGUGAAAAUUAAUCCUAUGCAAUGUGAAUAAAUUUCUUUCCUUUUUCCUUCUCUCUUUUUAUUUGAUAAUUAAGUUUCAACCUAUGUACCCAAAAUUUCUGCAACAGGUAAAAAAACAUAAAAAUAUAUGAUUGUUAAUGUAAACACGCGGAAGUUCAUCAUUUCAAUGUUCAGUAUUUCCAAUUUUGGCAUACGAAUAUAUUCCACUUAGAAAGCCAAAUAUUAGAAUUGUGAUUUUAAUUCAUUCAUCAUAUCUCAUUUCAAUCCCAAAAUAUUCAAGAGGAUCCAAGUUACCAUAAGACUUCAGAGGCUCGAGCCUUAGCCAGAGACGGUUAAUUGAUAGACUAUGUGCCCGGGUCGAGCACUGGAAGCCUGCAAUGCAGACUGAUUGAUUUAUCAGUUUGAUGUGUGCCAGGAAUGAAGAACUGGAAUAUCACCGUCAAGCAAGCACCCAGUGAAGCAAUACCAUAGAAUGCACAAUCCGGCCUUGCUAGGUGACACUGGAGGCUUUUUGAAAAGUGCUUCACGCUUACUUGCACAGAUUGAGCAUACCCUCUGGAUAUUGCCCUCUCUGAUCCAGUCUGAGCACUCAAAUUUCGGUCCUCAGAUGGAGCUACAGCUUUCUCUCCAAUAACCAACAAUUUUCUAAACUCAGCACCUAGUGUGAUCAGAGUUGUUGAUAUUUGUAAAUGGAGAUCCCCAUAUUUGAAAAUGGAGACAUUUAACAAAUCACCAACAUGCUUCAUCCGGUCUACGAAAUUCUGCAGCUGAUUCAAAUCCGGAACCUGAACCAGAGUCGGAGGUAAAUCUUGAGCCAUAUCUAAAGCAGUUUGAAGUUCAAGUACUUGAGCCCUUGACAGUGGUUUUGAAAUUGGAACAUCUUGAAUUACUGCAGACCUGUACCCUUUGGUUUCAAAGGUAAGGAAAGGCAUUGCUUGAGUACAAUUUGGAGGCAGCUUCUUCACCAAUUUUAUUUGGAGGCGAUUGGCAGCGGAUCCAGCUGCACCAAUUUCAGAGCAAAUACUGACACUACUUCAAACAGCACGCUGAAGAAGCGCUAUGUCUAUGGCAAAGGCAAUGCAGUCCUCAUUUUGGCUUGAGAUGCGGUAAUCAUCGAAGAGAGUUUCCUUAUGAAACUGGGCAACACAUUGAAUCCCUUCACCACUGAGAAGGUUGUGGAGGAAGUACGCUUUCUCUCUAGUGAGGAAGAGGUGGCAUACCUUCCCCAUUUUGUCUAGGGCAGUUAGGAAUCUUUUUUCUAAGAGAUUUACUCCAUUCUCUGUGAGAAAUGCUUUGAACUUCAUCCCUCUGUCUCUAUCCUCACUUAUCAGUAAAACAGUUGAAAGUGAUACAAGGAGAGAAAAGGAGAGUACUAAGAUAUAUAGACAAGAAAAACAUUAGGUGUCGAUCUUACAUGUUAAUACUUCAAACAGUAUCCUAGAAAGCUAAAAACUGCAGAAUGGCUUGAAAUUUGAAAAGAACACAUGCUUUUCCUCCUUAACUUGAGAAAAUGUUUGACAUAGCGCGCCUUACAGAAGCAAGCAAUUAGAACUUUGCACAAAAACAUUCAAGAAGACCAAUAUUUCAACUAUUUUACUGAUGAAAAUCUCAAAGCACAAAUGGCAUUGCAUUUUGUCCUCAACUGUAAUAUUUAUUGAUGAAAAUCAGUACAGGUCCCUCAUUUGUUAUGGAAAGCUUUCUUGUAGUCUGACCGGUUAAUUCACGGGUCUAUAAUCAUCUUGCAAAGUUACGGACAUUUCUUUCGAUUUAAAGUCUUUGCAUCACCACCUCAUCACACACCAAACCAAUAUUCUGUCUACCUCUACAACAAAAAGUUUUAAGUAAACGAUCCUAAUGCACGCAGCCAAAUAAAAUGCAGUAAGAAUAUUCAACUUAAAAAUCUGAAAGUAUCUUGGUGAAUUGCCUUCUUAGGGGAAGUUCCAUGAUUUACUAUACUAGACAGAACUGAGCAAAAGCUUCCAUACGACAGAUUUUGACAAUAAUGAUGCCAACAGAUCCUCAUUAACUCCAUUAAAACUCCUAAGGUUCAUUGUUCAUGGAUGUUUACAGAGUUUUGGCCAUCAAAUAGCUCAGACCACAAUCCCAAAGAAAAGACGAGUGAAAGUUAGAUAACGAGCAGCUAAUUGUAAAUUCUAACUUAACUCUUCAUCUCCUUUGUAAAAAGGAAACAAAAUGGAGACGCGUAAAUUCUAACUUAACUCAAAUAAAAUGAGGGCACGAAAGCAAACAAAUGGCAUGCACAAACAAACCAAGCAUCAAUCAAAAACUAAUUAACCAUUAAAAAAAAUAAAAAUUGGUCAGAGAAUGAACUCCAAAUUCGGGAGUGAAGCAAGAAGCUUUCACUAUUUCAGAAGCUCCUGUACAAAUUAAUAAGUUAUGCUCUUUGGAGACAAUCCUAAAUUCCAAGAGAAACAGAGCUCAAAAAAAUUUUGCAAUUAUGCGCAAAGGAAGUGAAGCACAGCAUUCUACCACACACAGGAAUUGUAUAACAUGAGAUCGAUAUAUCGAAUUGGAAGAACUCAAUUCUAAUUUGUGUCAAAAAUCAAAAUUAGAAGAUUGCAUAUUUCGAGAGGAACAAGCAACAGGUGAGGUUCAAAAUUUCAGCCAUAACAUGCUAAAAUUGCUACAUUUAACGGUUUAUUUUCAUGGAUUUUCUCGGGAAACAAACAGAAAAUUACGGUUUAGAGAGUUGACUGACCUUUUGGCUUUUAGAAUUGAGAAGAUCGCGCACUGCAUUAGUCCAUAGUAUAAUUAUAGACAGUUUUGAGUCAAAGUGUAGUUUCAGUGAACAGUAUUACUGUAGCAAAAUUCAAAAAUAACGGUAAUAUUACUGUUCCUGAGCGGCUAGCCGGAUAAUCAAGCGGCUAACCGCUUGAGCACGGGAUUUUGCCUAUAACGACUAGUUUUUGGGCUUCCACUAUAAAAACUCAACUCAAACUUCUUUCUAAGGACUAAUGCACGCAAAUAUAAGAUCAUACAACAUAUAUUGAGCUUCCAAAACGUAAAUCAUAAUUGAUUGAAUCAUUGUUGAGCUAUUAGUUGCAUAUCCACUCUUAAAGAGAGUUUUUGUUGUAAUUUUCAUUUCUUAUCAAAUUGUGAGUGUGUAAGUGUGGGAAACACUUGGGGUAAAGAGAUUAGGGAGAUAAUCUCUUGGUUGUAAAGGUUCAUUGACACCUUGGAAGGCAAUUGUAAAAACUUGAAGCCUUGGGAGGCUUGGAUAGUGAAAUCCUCGAGCUCGGUUGGCUUGGAGGCGUGGACGUAGGCGGGGAUUGCCGAACCAGAUAAAUAUCCGCGUGUUUGCUUUUCUCUUCCGUAACUCUUUUAUUUUUAUGCUUGCUUGAAUUUAUUGUUCUCCAUUUCAUUAAGGCGUUAGAUUGAUUUUAUUGUGCGAAUUGUAUUGCAUUAAUUUUAAAAAUCCAAUUCACCCCCCUCUUGGGUUGCGUUACUUAUAUUUCAUUUGGUAUCAGAGAUUGGUUCUCUUGUUAGGACUUAACCGUCUAGAGUAAAAGAUCUAUGGCAAUCCAAAUUGAUUCAACCUUUAGGGAAGGACAAUCCACAACUAGGCCACCGUUCUUUGACGGAAAUGACUACCCAUAUUGGAAAACUAGGAUGAGAAUUUAUUUACAAGCAUUAGAUUAUGAAAUUUGGGAAGUUGUAUGUGAUGGUCCUUUUAUGCCUUUGACUAAAAACGAAAUUGGGGAAGACAUUCCAAAACCUUCACGGGAAUGGAAUGAAUUGGAAAAGAGAAAAGCUUCUCUAAAUUCCAAAGCCAUAAAUGCCUUGUUUUGUGCACUCGAUAAGAAAGAGUUUCAUAGAGUGUCUAGUUGUGAAAGUGCUAAUGAAAUUUGGCACAACUUGAAGUUGUUUAUGAAGGCACGAAUCAAGUGAAAGAGUCUAAAAUUAGUAGGUACACUCGGCAAUAUGAAUUGUUCCAAAUGGAACAAAAUAAGAGUGUGUAUUCUAUGUAUACUAGAUUUACGGACAUAGUAAACACUCUAGGAGCCCUAGGAAAGACGUUUUCAAAUAGCGAGAAAGUUGAGAAAAUCAUUAGGUCAUUACCUAAGGAAUGGAGACCAAAAAGGACUGCCAUUGAGGAAGCUAAAGAUUUGAAUAUCUUACCUACUGAUGAUUUAAUUGGUUCUCUUAUUUCUUAUGAGAGAGAUUUGGCAGCUGAAUGAGGAAAUGAGGAAAGAAAGAAAAACAUUGCUCUCAAGGUCACCAAACAUGAGAGUGAUGAGGAAAGUGAGCCGGAUGAUGAGGAGUUGGCUAUGCUAGCAAGGAGGUUCAGAAAAUUUUUCAAGAAAACUGGUGACCAAAGAAAAUUCAGAAAUUUCAAAAACCAAAAGGAGAAGAAAGAGGUAAUCAUAUGCUAUGAAUGCAAGAAGCCUGGCCAUAUAAGAUCGGAAUGCCCACUUAUCAACAAACUCAAGAAGAAAGCUAUGGUUGCUACUUGGGAUGAUAGCGAUGAAGAUUCAAGUGAUGAAGAUGAGUCACAAGAAGUAUCAAACCUAGCAUUUAUGGCACUAGGAGAUGAUGAUGAUCUCAAUGAGGUAAGUGAUCCAACCUAUGAUGAAUUGUAUGAUGCUUUUAAAGAAAUGCAUGAUGAGUUGAUGAAAAUUGGUAAAAAGAAUGCAUGCCUUAAAAAGAAAUUGCUAGAAUCUACAAAUGAAAAGGAUACCAUGCAAAAAUGCAAUGAGCCAUUGAAUGAGAAGACUAAAGGAUUAGAAUUAGAGAAUAAAACCUUGCAUAAUAGAGUUGCAUUAUUAAAUGAAAAAUCUAGCACUUCACAUGAGCAUUUAGAGUCACAUGUACAUGAUUUGAAAAAGGAAAAUGAAAUGCUCAAGAAAAAGAAUAUUGAACUUAGUAAUGUUGUUCUAAAAUUUACAAAUGGACAAAAGAUGUUGGAUAACAUGCUUAACUCCCAAAAAUGUGUUUUUGAUAAAAGAGGACUUGGGUAUAAGCCUAACUUGAAGUAAAAGUAUUAUAAGAAUUAUUUUGUUAAAGCUACCUCCACAAAUGAUCAUAAGAUUGUUUGCGAUUAUUGCAAUCAAAAUGGUCACAUGAAAUAUAGAUGUCUUGUAAAAAGGAAUGCAUAUAAUGGUGUCAAAUGUGUGUGGGUUCCAAAAGGAACCGUUGCUAACGAUCAAGGGCCUAAAAAGGUUUGGGUACCUAAAACAUAAGAUUUUCUUUGAAGGGCUUGAAGAAAAAGAAAAAUAAAUGGUACUUGGAUAGCGGAUGUUCUAGGCAUAUGACCGGAAACUAUGCAUGGUUCUCAAGUUUUACCAAAAUCGAAAAUGGUGGAGAUGUAUCUUUUGGAGAUAACUCAAAAGGAAAAAUUCUCGGAAUUGGAAAUGUUGGUAAAAUUUCUUCAACUCUAAUUGAAAAUGUAUGUUUGGUUGAAAAUUUGAAACACAAUCUGAUUAACAUUAGUCAACUAUGUGACAAAGGCUAUAAAGUUAUUUUUGAUAAAUCAAGAUAUGUUAUUGAGAAUGCAUGUGAUGGGAAAAUUUUGUUUAUGGGAAAUAGAUGUGGCAAUGUUUACACGAUUGAUAUAGAGUGUGCAUCUACUCAUGAUAAAUGUUUUUCGGCAUUGCAUGAUGAUUGAUGGGUGUCGAAGCCAACAAAAAUAAAUUCCUACUCUAAAUAAAUUGUGUAUAGUGAUUGAGCAGGGUCGUGUCCACAGAGAUCGGUAAUUAAUUAAAUCCUUUUGAAACGUAAAACGUAAAAUGGGGGAAUUGUUGACAAUAAUAAAAAUCAAAUUAAAAUAACAAGAAUACAAAUUAAAGUUGUAAUUCAAAUUAGAGAAAGCUCUGGUUGAAGGAAUUAACUCAGCUUGAUUCGACUACUGAUCAUUGAUUCAAAUAUAGAUUAUUAUUACUCAUGAAUAGACCGGUUAUAGCUACUGAGACCCUCUAAUAGCCAAUCUCUCCUUAACUAGUCGAUAACCAAGGUACGACCGUUGGUUAUUUCCCUAAUCAAUAGACAACCCUAGAUACGAUCAUAGAAUUUAAUCAAUUGACAGCCUGAAAAACCAGAGAGACCCAAAUCCUAAUCAACACAUAUGAUGAUUCAUUUAAAUUAGAUUGUUUAUUCUCACAACACAACUCUCUGCUAUGUUAUUUGUCACAAGCAUUAAAUUCUUUAUACGAUGAAUCCUUUAAUUGACAAUAGAUUAAGUUGAUAAUUAAAUAGUGGCCAAUUACCUAAUUAACAAACAUAAUCAUGAAAAUAAUUCAGAGAAUAAACAAAUACCCAAAAAGUAAUAAAACAAUUAAAGUAUAAGAAAGAUCUCACAGUAGUGAUGAAUCAAAGCUUCAUUAUCCUUCAACCAGAAAAAUAGGUUUAGUUCUUCAUAAAGAGAAGAGAAAAAUUAAGUCUAGGGUUUCUUUCUUUCUCCAAUCCCCCAAAAAAUCCCCAUUUUCCACAAUAGAUUCCUCCCUUAAAUACUCUCUCUCUCUUCUCUUUUAGAAUUCUAUUUAAAAUAAAAUCCUAAUAUCUGAAAUAUUAAAUUCGUAAUUACAAAUAUAGCCAAAAAUAUAAAACACGUUAAACUAAAAACUGCAGGUCCGCAGUUGACAGCACGCGCCCACGCCUUAUCAACAAAGUUCUUCUGCCGCUCAUAAUUUCUCCAAGGGAACAAUCAUCCCUAAACAUCAUCUUGUAGCUCAAUUUUAUCACCAAUCAAUAGAAUUGCACCUACAAAAGUAAAUCACAAGUAAAUCACUAUUAUUAAGUGCAAAACAUCGAUAUUAAGAGAAGUAAACAAUGCAAAACUAGUGCAUAAAUUGCACUCUAACAAUGAUGGUUGGUUAUGGCAUAGAAGACUAGGACAUGCUAGCAUGGAUUUAAUUUCAAAAAUUUCGAAAAAUUAUUUAGUUAAAGGUCUUCCAAAAAUUGGUUUUCAAAAGGAUAGAAUUUGUGAAGCAUGUCAAUUUGGAAAACAAAUCAAAACCUCUUUCAAAAACAAGAAUCAUAUCUCUACUUUAAAACCUCUUCAAUUACUUCACAUAGAUUUGUUUGGACCCUCUAGAUAUGCUAGUUUAAGUGGCAAAUUUUAUGCAUUUGUAAUUGUAGAUGAUUAUUCUAGAUACACAUGGGUAUUAUUCUUAGUUAAUAAGGAUGAUGACAUUGAUGCAUUUAAAAUUUUCUGUAAAAAGGUUCAAAAUGAAAAGGGUUAUUAUAUUACUUGUAUUAGAAGUGAUCAUGGUGGAGAGUUUGAAAAUCAUGCAUUUGAAAAUUUUUGUAAUGAUUUUGGCAUUGAGCAUCAAUUUUCAUCACCUAGGACUCCACAACAAAAUGGAGUUGUUGAGAGAAAGGAUAUGUCUAUUCAAGAAAUGGCUAGGACCAUGUUAAAUAAAAAUGCAUUACCGAAAUAUUUUUGGGCCGAAGCCGUCAACACCGCUUGUUAUGUUUUAAAUCGGGUGUUGAUUAGACCUUAUCUCAAUAAAACUCUCUAUGAGCUUUGGAAAGAUAGAAAAUCCAACAUUGGUUAUUUCAAAGUUUUUGGAUGCAAAUGUUUUGUUUUAAACACAAAAAAUAAUCUUGGUAAAUUUGAUCCAAAAUCUGAUGUUGGCAUCUUUCUCGGGUAUUCAAACUCAAGCAAAGCUUAUAGAGUUUAUAAUAAAAGAACUUUAGUUGUGGAAGAAUCCAUGCAUAUUACGUUUGAUGAAUCUAACCCCUCCUCUGCUGAGAAAGGAGUUGUUAAUGAUGAUACAAAUGGAGAGUUACAAGAAGAAUCAUCAAAAGAGAAUCAAGAGAAUGCACCAUAAGAAAAUCAAGAGGAUAGACAAGAAGAACAAACAAAUAUGGAGCUGGAGCAACAGGAAGGUAGUUCUCAAACACUCCCCAAGGAGUGGAGGUAUGUUUCCUCUCAUUCUAAGGAUUUAAUUGUAGGUGAUCCUUUAAAAGGUAUCACAACUAGAUCGUCACUUAGAAACACAUGUGAGCAUGCUGCAUUUAUUUCUCAAAUUGAACCAAAAUCUUUUGCGGAUGCGGAAAAUGAUAAGUUUUGGAUUAUGGUAAUGCAAGAAGAGUUAAAUCAAUUUGAGAGAAAUAAAGUAUAGGAAUUGGUUCCUAAACUGGAACAUCAAUCCAUUAUAGGCACUAAAUGGGUAUUUAGAAAUAAAAUGGAUGAAUUCGGUAUGGUUGUAAGAAAUAAAGCUAGAUUAGUGGCUCAAGGAUACAACCAAGAAGAAGGAAUUGAUUUCGAUGAAACAUUUGCACCUGUAGCUAGAUUAGAAUCCAUUAGGAUGUUGUUAGCAUUUGCAUGUCAUAAAGAUUUUAUUUUGUUUCAAAUGGAUAUCAAGAGUGCUUUCCUAAAUAGUUAUAUUAUGGAGGAAGUUUAUGUGAAACAACCUCCUGGUUUCGAAAAUGAGAAAUUUUCAAAUCAUGUGUAUAAGUUAUCAAAAGCAUUGUAUGGAUUAAAACAAGCACCUAGAGCAUGGUAUGAUAGACUUAAAAAUUUCUUGUUGGAUAACGAUUUUUUGAUGGGAAGAGCGGAUACUACCCUCUUUAUUAAAAAUAAAAAUCAAAAUAUAUUUGUUGUUCAAAUUUAUGUUGAUGAUAUUAUUUUUGUUCUACUAAUGAAUCUUUGUGCAAAGAAUUUUCCUCUUGUAUGAGUAAGGAAUUUGAGAUGAGCAUGAUGGGAGAAUUGAAGUAUUUUCUUGGACUUCAAAUCAAACAAAACAAUGAGGGGAUUUUCAUCAACCAAGCUAAGUACGUCAAAGACUUGCUCAAGAGAUUUGGUAUUGAUGAAUCAAAUACCAAGAAUACUCCAAUGAGUACAACAAUCAAGCUUGAUAAAGAUGAGAGAGGUAAAGAGGUUGAUAUUAAAAAGUAUCGAGGUAUGAUCGGAUCCUUACUUUACUUAACUGCAAGUAGACCCGAUAUCAUGUUUAGUGUAUGUUUGUGUGCAAGAUUUCAAUCAUGUCCCAAGGAAUCUCAUUUGCUUGUUGUUAAAAGAAUUUUUCGUUAUUUAAGUGGAACCAUAGAUAUUGGCCUUUGGUAUCCUAGAGGAACUCAUAUAGAUUUAACUUGUUAUUUAGAUGCCGAUUUUAAUGGUCACAAGGUCGAUAGAAAGAGUACUAGUGAAACUUGCCAUUUUCUUGGUCAUUCACUUGUUUCAUGGUUUAGUAAGAAACAAAAUUUUGUGGCACUCUCAACUACUGAGGCGGAAUAUAUUGCCGCAGGAAGUUGUUGUGCACAAGCACUUUGGAUGAAACAAACACUUAGAGACUAUGGUAUUGUUCUUGAAAAAAUUCCUAUCAAGUGUGAUAAUACUAGCACCAUAAAUCUUUCAAAGAAUCCCAUUCAGCAUUCUAGGACCAAGCAUAUAGAGAUUAGGCAUCAUUUCUUGAGAGAUCAUGUUCAAAAAGAUGAUAUUGCAUUAUAAUUUAUCUCUACGGAAAAACAACUUGCCGAUAUUUUUACAAAACCCCUUUGCGAAGAACAAUUUUCAAAAAUUCAGCAUGAACUUGAGAUGAUGAAAUUUUCGCAUUAACAUCUCUAGUUAUGUUAUUUAAUCUAUUAAAAUUGUUUGGAAAACAAAGGAUUCGUUGAAAAUCCCAAGUCUGCACAAGCUGUAAUGAAUUGGUCAUAACUCCUUCUAGAGAACUCCAAAUCCAGCUCUAUAAAAUUUAUUGGAAAGCUAACUUAAUUAUCUUUCCAACGGUAUAUAGUUUGCACAUUACUUCUGGCUCAAUCAAUACAGUUUUUAUUCCGAAUUUGACAUUUCUGCAUUUUAUUAAGUUUUGAAUGCUUAUAUGCUUCAUGAUUGUAUGCUUGUUGGAUGGAUUAUUUGUUUGAAUUAACUAUCUUUUGGAUGUUUAAAAUCAUGAAUCAUGCAUUAAAUUGGCUCUUGAGAUGUUUCGGGAUCACAAACUGGUCACGAAAUUAAUUAAAAUUGGCCGAAAAUUAACUAAGGUACAGCUGGACAACAACCAGGAGGCUAGCCGCUUGGAAAUGUCCCCCCAACCCGAGAGCAAGCGGCUAGCCGCUUGGUCACGGGUGUGGCAAUUGUUUUUUGCUUCUUCUUCUUCCUUUGUUAAUUUUCUGCACAUGCUUUCUCUCUCACUCAAAACCGUGAGCAACCCAUCCAUUUUCACCUCCAUUUUCUUCCUUUUUCAUCUAUUUUCAUGCCCAAAUCAACCAUUCAAACUAAUACCCAUGCAUUUCAUCUUCAUUAAACACUUCUCCAUCAUGAUUUCUUCAUUUGUUUUUCAUCAUUUCAUCAUCAUCUCUCACGCGUGAACAGUACCUCUCCAUUUCUCUCUCAAAAUUCUUCAUUUUUCACUCACUUUCUUGUUAAAAUCAAUCAUCCAAAUCAUUAUUCAUCCAUUACUCCUUCAAUUUUCGUUCUCAAAACUUCAUUUCAUCAACUCUCCACAUAAAACCCAAAAUCAAAAAACCUAACUCUACCCUUUCUCUCUCUACAUUUUCAAGCUUCCUUUAGCCCAUUUUUGAUCCAAUCUACAUCAUAUAUUAGCUUCAUUCAUCUCUAGGAUCAAUUUUCUUGGCUCAAACAAAUCCAUUUCACUCAAUUUUUGUAAACCCGAAAUUGCAUAUUUAAGCUCUUUUUAGUCCACUUUUGAUCCAAUCAACACCAUCCAUUAUCUUAAAUCAUCUCUUGGAUCAAUAUAAUUGGUUUAAAAUCAUCUAUUUCACUCAUUAUUUUACAAAAUUAAAUUUGUGCAUUUUGGGUAUAUGCACCUACAUUUUCAUAUGCAUAAUUGUUUUAAUUGUGGAUUACGGAUGAUGGUUGUUUAAUAUUAAGAUAAUUUAUAUUUGGAUGAUAUUUUCUGAAUUCUUAGAAUGAAUAUGACUCUUUAGUUAAUUGCACGCUUAAUUUUUAUAUGCUUCUUGAUUAAUCAUUGAGAUAUUCUUUUUGGUAUAAACAUGGAUUUAUAGUACUUUUGAUGAUUGAUGAUUAUAUGUGUGUUGCUUGAUGAAUUAAUGGAGUUGUUGGUUUGUGUUACUUGUUUAAGUUCAUAUGGAAGUGUUUUUAAUCACAUUGUGUAUUUGAGGAUUUGUUCAUUUUUAAGGGGAGACUCUGCCGAAAUUUUUACUCGCACACAAUUGGUAAUAUCUUCCUUGAAUCAUUUUUUAUGAUCUUGCUUCAAAUUGCAUUUUUCUAUUUUUUAUGAAAUGGGAGAUAAAUAUGAUAUGUUUUUGGAUAAUAUUAUUUUGGUUAAAUUUUUUAAUUGGCCAUAUAUUUAGGGGGAGCAUACAAUAUGAUUUUGGAUAAUACGCAUUUUGAGCAUUCUUUUGAUGGCAUAAUGGUUCAUGAUCAUUUAAUGGUUAAUUGGAUGUUUGGUUAUUAUAUGUUUCUUGAUUAACCAUUGACAUAUUAUCGAUCUUCGGAUGAAUUUCUAGUAAUUUUGAUGAUGAAGGGGGAGAAGUCAUGUAUUUUGAAUAUGAAGACAUGUAAUACAUAUUUUUGUAUUUCAAGUAUUUAUGCAUGUUUUUGAAAUAUUAAGGGGGAGCUUUCAAAUUAUCAUAAAUCAAAUAUUCAGGGGAAGUUUUUGAUUUAUAUAUGCCAUGUAUUAAGGGGGAGUUUAAUGUCAAAAUAAAUGAGAUGUUUGUCAUCAUCAAAAAGGGGGAGAUUGUUAGCCUAAAGGGCUAUACAUAAUGUAAUUUUGAUGAUAACAAAUAUAUGUAUUAAGUGAUUUAAUAAAUAUUGUAUUUCACAUUUUCACUAGUUUUUUAAGGAUAAUAUUUAUGCAAGUGAAUCAAAUGAAAUCAAGAUUGAAGACACUCAACGGACAACGGCGACAUCAAGAAUAGUCUAGAGCUCAACGAACAAAUUAGUGCGAUAAAUUCUUAUAAAGCCGGUAUGAUUUAAUUGAUGCAUGAUUUAGCAUUUGAGAAGCUCAAGAGAUUAAUUAAUUAAAUAUUUUUCAUAAACUAAAAUGUUUUAUUUUUAAAAAGUAAAGUAUUUUGUGGAUUUGAGUAAAUUGGACUUAAAUGUUAAGAUUUAUAAUCUUUGAGUUUAAUAAAUAUUAUUUUGAAAUUCAAAUUUGGACUUAUUUGCAAAGGUUUGAAACGUUUUGAGGCAUAUUAUAAUUUAUGAAAGUUUGAGGACCCGAAUGUAAUCUAGACACUUGAAAUCCAAAGUUGGACAGAGAGGAAGCGGCUAACCCCCUGAGCGCUAGCGGCUAGCCGCCUGAGGGAAAUCUCAUAUUUUCAAUUUUUGGACUAAAGUGAAAGAUUUUGAUAACUUUAAAAAAUAUGGGUAUUAUGCUAAAUUUAAAAAGGACCUCUUUGAAAAAUAAUAAUAUCUUUGGGGCUAUAUCAUAAUUUUAGAAAGUUUUGGAAAGAUAACUAAUCUUAAGUAAUUCUAAAAUUAGAUCUAUUUGCAAACUUUUCUGACGUUUUGGGUCAUAAUAUAAUUAUAGAAAGUUUUAGGUCAAAGUGUAGUUUCAGUGAACAGUAUUACUGUAGCAAAAUUCAAAAAUAACGGUGAUAUUACUGUUCCUGAGCGGCUAGCCGGAUAAUCAAGCGGCUAACCGCUUGAGCACGGGAUUUUGCCUAUAACGACUAGUUUUUGGGCUUUCACUAUAAAAACUCAACUCAAACUUCUUUCUAAGGACUAAUGCACGCAAAUAUAAGAUUAUACAACAUAUAUUGAGCUUCCAAAACGCAAAUCAUAAUUGAUUGAAUCAUUGUUGAGAUAUUAGUUGCAUAUCCACUCUUAAAGAGAGUUUUUGUUGUAAUUUUCAUUUCUUAUCAAAUUGUGACUGUGUAAGUGUGGAAAACACUUAGGGUGAAGAGAUUAUGGAGAUAAUGUCUUGGUUGUAAAGGUUCAUUGACACCUUGAAAGUCAAUUGUAAAAACUUGAAGCCUUGGGAGGCUUGGAUAGUGAAAUUCUCGAGCUCGAUUGGCUUGGAGGCGUGGACGUAGGCAGGGAUUGUCGAACCACGUAAAAAUCCGCGUGUUUGUUUUUCUGGUCCCUAACUCUUUUAUUUUUACGCUUGCUUGAAUUUAUUGUUCUCCAUUUCAUUAAGGCGUUAGAUUGAUUUUAUUGUGCGAAUUGUAUUGCAUUAAUUUUAAAAACCCAAUUCAUCCCCCUCUUGGGUUGCGUUACUUGUAUUUCAAAAAGUGCGUGUGAAGUGUAAAAUUAGGGUUGGUCUUUUGGCUUUAUGUGUUAUGCUUAAAAUUACAAUAUUAGUUUUCAUAUUUUAAAAAGUUUCCAAAUUAAUUUAAGGAUAAAAAAGUAAUUUAAUUAAACAAAUUUUAAAUGAAUCGACCUAUAUUUGAUUCGUUUAUAACUCGUUUAUUAAAUGAAUUUUAAACAAAUAAAUGAAUCAAAAUCUUCUAACCUGCAAUUUGUUUAAUUAGCGAAUCGAAUCGAAUCGAAUUCAUCCAUUUAUUAAAUUAAUUAAUUUUUUCAAACUUAAAUUUAUUUAAUUCACAUCUAAUCGAAUUAAAUAAAUAAAUCCUUACCCAUAUUAGUACCCGUAAACGGAUCAUUAAUGUUACCGGUCUUUCCUAUAUUUUAUUGCAAAUUGAUGCUAACAAGAAAAAGCUAGAUCAUAUUCCACAAAAGCAAAAGUGAUAAAACAACCAGCUGGAUUCUUUUAUUAAACUACAAAUUAAAAUGGACUUUUUUUUAAUAAACUAUAUAUGAAACUGGAAUCUUUUGAAUAUACGUGGGGUAGGUUCCCUUUCAAAAAAAAAAGCGGGGUAGGCUCUUUUAUUAAAGACAAGUCACAAGACGAUUAGGGUCUUUUAUUAAACUACAAAUUGUAUAAUAUUUUUCAAAUUGUACAGACAUUUAUAAAUUGGUGGUCCCUUGGAAAUUUAAUGCCAAUCAGAGAAAAGUCAUCAUGCACAAUCUUCAAUAAUUGUUUCGAUAUUUAUAAAUUGGUAGCCCUGCGUCUUUAAUAAAUGAAAUCAUGUUACGAUUGCAUAUAGUCGUUAGAUGCACUUAAAUUAGUGAGAUUUAUUAAUAUCUAAUAAUUAGAUAUAAUUAUAACCCAAUACAAUAGUUACACCAAAGUUUCCCCCAAUAAUUAUUCGGAUACUUAUAAAUUGGUGACCCCUUAGUAAUUUUACAGCAGCUUGCAAGUGCCAACUAGUGAAAAGUCAUCAUUCACAAUCUUCCAAGUGAAACAGGGGAUAUACAAAGAUUAAGACAUGUCAUUUUUUUUUUCAUUCCGUUUCAUGUAACUUACACCCAAAUAUAUAAAUAAUAUAAAAUGAAUGGAGAGAUGCCGGAGCAGAUCGGCAGGGUUUGAAUAUGACCUUUGGCGCUUGCUUUUUUUUGUGAUUUUUUUUUUCAUUUUUUCCUUCCUGUCAUUUUAUCAUUUCUUUGGCUUUGUCUCUGUUGCGGGUGUUACUGCAUGCUAACUGUUGCUUGACAAAGUUUGCUAGCUUUUCCUUUUGUUUAUUAAUUUUUUUAUGGUCACAAAGUAUUACUCGUUCUAUUUGACAGUGAUGUGAAUCAAUUUUUCAAUUUUAUAUUUUGUGGUCAAUGUGAAUUCAAUUUCAGUUGUCUCCUGCAAUUAUGAAAAAAUUGCAGUCAUAAUAUGGAAAAGUACGCGGGCAAAAAUUUUGUAAAAGCUUCGGAGUGAUACGGGGAAUUCACUUACUACUAAGGACAAUUGGUGGCAAGCUAUUCCAUUCAUUUUAUGUCCAUCCAUCUAUUUAGUUAUUGAAGACUAGUGGUCUAUUUAUAAAUUUCAGAUUGUUUCUCUCUCUCUCUCGAAAUAACAAUAUUUAAAAUAGAGUAAUGAUACAGCUACAAACUCUUGUACAAACUUAUUUUGUACAAACUGACGUGACAUUAAUUCAUUGGUUGAAUGAAAAUAUAAAUUAAUAAAAACAAAUCAUGUGGGACAAGUGAUAUUUAAUUCAACCAAUCUUAUCAUGUCAUAUCAGUUUGUACAAAAUAAGUUUGUAUAAGAGUUUGUGGCAGUAUCAUUACUCUUUAAAAUAUCUCUUAAAUUAUUAUAAAUUUUAAUUUACUCUCGAUUUAAAAUGGAGCAUGUCAAUAAAUUUUUUUUCUUCUUAAUAAAAUUGACGUAAGUUGUGUUUACAGUAGUUUGAAGUUUGAAAUAUUUUAAAGAUUAUUAUUCUAUAAGGGAGUAAUAUGAAAUGAAAUUUACUUUUCAUGUGUGAAAUGAAAAAGGACGAAGCAAGUGUCCCUGCUUUUAUUUUAUUUCAAGGAGGAGUCAUCUCACAGACUUUAGCUCUUAACAUUACAUUUUUUCUGGUUACAUUUUUAUUUUUUAUUUAUUUUUACACAUGCGUGUGGGUUGCUUUUCUGUAAGCUCCUUAAUAUAUAUUUAAGACAAAUUAUGGAAGAGAUGGGAUUAUAUCAAGAUGAUCAAACCAUGUAAAAAAAGAAAAAAGAAAAAAAAUUAAGAAGUAAGACACUGAAAAUGGAGAAGAGAUGGAAUCAAAAGAUAUUCCAAAACAAAGCAAUCUGUCCCCUUUCCAGGGCAGACUUAUCAGGUUUAAAAAAGUACAUGCUUUGGAUUGGUAGUUGCAAUCAAUUGAAAAUAAAUAGGAUCCAAUGAAAUUUAAAUUUCGGAGAAAUAAAAUAAUCAUGCAGAUUUUUAAGAUUUUAAUAAGAGAUACUAAUAUCUUAUUUUGAUUAAUAAUAUUCUUUCACUGUGUUAACUCAAAAAAAUAUAUUUUAAAGUUUUACAGUAAAUAAAAAUAUAAUAUUAAAAUAAAUGUGACAAAUAUAUAUAUAUAUAUAUAUAUAUAUAUAUAUAUAUUAAAUAAUUUCAAUAAAAAAACAUUUUAAUGUUUUACAAUCUACUACACAUAUUUUAUUAAGUUAAUAUAAUUUUUCAAAUAAAUAGGGACAUAAUAUUAAAAUAAAUUUAUAAAAAUUUAAAUUAUUUUGAAUUUAAAAUAAUUUUAAUAUUAUUAAUAUUUUAUAUAUGUUUUAUUAAUUAUAAGAAUUAUUUAACCCAAAGUUUUUUUAUAAAUAUUUUCAGUGGAUAUAAAUAUAUUAUUUAUACUUUGAUUAUUUAACCAUUAUUAGUCUACAAUUAUUUAUAAUUAUAUUUUCAUUUAUUAGAAUACAGUUAAAGUCAAAUCUUUUGCACUUUUACCUAGCUAGAAUUAUUGCACACAGAGAAAUAAACAUAUAUUCUUUAUAACUUUAGAAAUCGGUUUUUUUUAUAGCUGGGAACAGAGAUGAUGAUUAUUAUAAGGAUGGAGAAAAGGAUAAAAAAUAUCAAUGAUUAACAAAGUCUCUGUGCAAAUUGAUUUUAGCAGUAAAAUAGUGAGCUGAAUGAUGUACGCGAUUAGUGGUAAUAGAAAUCUUCUCAUAAAUCUCCUUUUUGAGUUAUAGUUAUUUUAUUUCCGAAAUAUCCUUUUUCUUCUUUAAUACACUUCUAAUUUUUCAUUUAAUUUUUUUAUUGUUAAACUCAAAAUAUUAUUGUGAUAUUUUUCGUGUCUUUUGCAAUCUUAUUAUUACUCUACACACGAAUUAAAAAAAUUUUUUAGGUGAUGAACUUUUGAAUGUUAAUCUUGGCUUAAAUUUCACAUAUUUUACAUUAUAAUAUAAAAUUAAUUACAAAAAUAUUUAAUCAAUAAAAAUUAUAAAAAAUAAAUUAUUUUAAAUUUAUACAAUUUAUUUUAAUUAGAUAAGCAGUAACAACUACAAAAAGGAUUUGGUUAUGAAAUUUGUUGCAGCUUAAUAUUCCACAAAAGCAAAUCGUAAUAUUCCACAAAGGAGUACGAUCCACAAAAGCAAACAACCAGCUGGAUUUUUUUAUUAAGCUACAAAUUAAAGUGGAAUCGUUUAUUAAACAACAAAUUAAAGUUUGAAUAUUUAAGUAGUAGUGCGUUAGAUGNNNNNNNNNNNNNNNNNNNNNNNNNNNNNNNNNNNNNNNNNNNNNNNNNNNNNNNNNNNNNNNNNNNNNNNNNNNNNNNNNNNNNNNNNNNNNNNNNNNNCUUGUAGCUAAUUUGUCAAUAAUAUUAAACUACAAGUGCUGACAACAAGUGCGAUGCUCUUUUUCUAAAGAGAAUUAAAGUUGGUCCCGAAUAGGACGUGCCUAAAUCUGUUUAAAUUUUUUCCAGUAAAACUAACAGAGGUCAUUACUAGAAUUAUUUAUAUUGUUUUAUAUUUAUUAACAAAUUUUAAAGUCAAUCUUUUUAAUUAUUAUUCAAAAGAUAUUAUAAUUAAAAAAUAGUGUCUACUAUUAAAAAUUUAGAAAUUUACAUUACCGUUCUCUUAAAUCUCUAAAUAUUUAAGAUGUAAUUGUUAUUUUCCUUUUAUAUAUAUUAGGAAAUAGAACCGCGCUUCGCGCGGUUUGAGAAAAAAAAAUUAGUAUUAUUAUUUUUUCUCACUUUGCAUUUGAUGAAAUUGAUAAAAAAUUAUGAAUUAUUUUUUUUAAGAUGAGACAGCCUCAUAAAACUAAUGUCAUUUAUGAAAUAAUUAUUUUUUUUGUUAACUUUUAAAAUAUAUAUUAAUAUGUAUAGUGUAAGUGUACAUACCUUAUACCUUUUGUAGUUGUUGAUAAGUUCCAAGUUAUACUCAACUUGCUAAUCUGUUAGAACUUUUAUAUAUCUUUUUUUUUCUAACUAGUUCCAACGAUCUCAAUAUCACCCACACUACAUAAACUUCUGACAACGUCUGUAAUAUUAUGAAAAAAUAAUAUAAAUAUGUUAAAACAUAAGGAUCAAUAAUUUCUAAUAUACACUUAAAGAUUAACGAACAUUAAUAAUUUAAAAAUAAUAUCUGAGAGGAUUGUAUUAUCAUUCACACGUAUAUCAAUCAAAUUCAGAGAUAUGAAUUGAAAUCUAUUAAUCGAAAUCUUAACAGUUCCUUCUUCUAAACUCUUAAGUGAAGUUAUAAGCAAGAAAAUUAAUUUUAUACUGAUUUGAAAGUAGUCUGUACUCGCCUGUAGUUGAAACAACUUUCAAAUUCUUGACACUAUACAAAGAACCAUCACUCAACAUGUGCCUAAACCUUGUCACUAAAUUUUUCUUAGUUGUUGCAUGCAUUAGAAUGUCCUAUAAAAAAGAAAAACAUGCUACAUUAAGCGUAAAACAAUUGGGAAAAAAAAGAGAAAAUAAGGGGAGAAUGAAUUUUUUAUACAACCUUUUCAUCAAUAAAAAUUAUGUUCACACUAAUCAAUUAUCCAUUCUUUUUAGUAUUAACAGACUCCCACAUCCUAAAAAACAUAAUCCUUAUCAUCUAACUAUCUUUAUCAUUGUUCAACUCAUGAAGAAAAUAGUACUUCAUGAAGCACACAAUACAAAAACUUUAAAAAGUCAAAAAUAAAAUCAUGAGGAUAUUUUUAAAGAGGAUAUUGGUUAAAUAUUUAAAAAAAACUCAAACAUAACAAAUAUUAAAUACUUAAUGUUUAAAGAGUUUUAAGAAGUCAAAAGACACAAAACAAAAUGUUGAAUAAUUAAAUAUGAGAUUAUUGCAUUAAAAUUAUACUCUAAUGCCAUUGGUGAGAGAAGAUGAAGGAACCUUCCUUCAUUUAAUAAUUAGUUUAUGUAUUUUAAGCCACUAAAGUUUAGUUGUUGGCUUAAUAAAAUAAAUGAAUGUUUCAAGACUUAUAAUUAAUUAUUAUUAAUGGUUACAUAUUGUUGAAUUUAAUAGAAAGAUGAAGAGACAUGUAAUCUUUUGCAAUCUAAUAAUUAUUUUCUAUUUUUAAUACUUUGUAAUGUAAUUAUUUUUUAAUUGCAACCAAUUUAUUAAAUAAUAGAGAAUAUAAGAAGAUGAGAAAUGGUGAUGCCACAUCACCUCCUGUAGUCCCAGCUUUAUAUAUAUACUAGGAAAUAGAACCGCGCUUCGCGCGACUUAAAAAAAAUUAAUAUAAUUUUUUUCUUACUUUGCACUUGAUGAAACUGAUAAAAAUUAUGAAUUAAUUUUUUUAAAGAUGACACAACUUUAUAAAACUAAUAUUAUUUAUGAAAGUUCAUUUUUUUGUUAACUUUAAAAAUAUAUAUUAAUGUGUACACAAUAUUUUCAUCAAUAAAAAUUAUGUUCACAAUAAUCAAUUCUCCAUUCUUCUUGAUAUUAACAGACUCCCAUAUCCUAAAAUCUAACCUUUAUCAUCCAAUUAUCUUUAUCAUUGUUCAACCCAAGAAAAUAGUACUCUAUGAAGCACACAAUACUAAAAUUUUAAAAAGUCAAAAAAUAAAAACACAAGAACAUUUCUAAAGAGGAUGUUAGUUAAAUAAUAAAAAAAACUCAAACAUAAUAAAUCUUAAAUACUUAAUGUUUAUAGAGUUUAAAGAAGCCAAAAGACACUAAACAAAAGGUUGCAUAAUUAAAUAUGAGAUUAUGACAUUACAAUUAGGCCCUAAUGACAUUGUUGAGGGAAAAUGAAGGAACUUUCCUUUCUAUAUUAAUUAAUUGAUGUAUUUAAAACACUAAAGUUUAAUUAUUGGCAUAAUAAAAUAAAUGAAUGUUUCAAGACUUAUAAUUAAUUAUUAUUAAUGGUUACAUAUUAUUGAAUUUAAAUAAACAGAGGAAAGGACAUGUAAUCUUUUGUAAUCUAAUAAUUAUUUUUUAUUUUUAAAAUUUUGUAAUGUAAUUAUUUUUUUAAUCUCAACCAAUUUAUUAGAUAAUAGAGAAUACAAGAAGAUGAAAAAUAGUAAUGUCACAUCACCUCUUCUAGUUAAUUAAUUGAUGCAUUUAAGCUACUAAAGUUUAGUUGUUGGCUUAGUAAAAUAAAUGUAUGUUUCAAAACUUAUAAUUAAUUAUCAUUAAUGGUCACAUAUUGUUGAAUUUAAAUAGAAAGAGGAAGAGACAUGUAAUCUUUUGUAAUCUAAUAAUUAUUUUCUAUUUAUUUUUUAUUUUUAAUAUUUUGUAAUGUAAUUAUUUUUUAAUCUCAACCAAUAUAUUAGAUAAUAAAGAAUAUAAAAAUAUGAGAAAUAAUGAUGCCACAAAUCUUAAUUACUUAAUAUUUAUAGAGUUUGAAGAAGGCAAAAGACACUAAACAAAAUGUUGCAUAAUUAAAUAUGAGAUUAUGAUAUUAAAAUUAGGCCCUAAUGGUAUUGUUGAGGGAAGAUGAAGGAACCUUCCUUCCUAUAUUAAUUAAUUGAUUUAUUUAAGCCACUAAAGUUUAAUUGUUGGCAUAAUAAAAUAAAUGAAUGUUUCAAGACUUAUAAUUAACUAUUAUUAAUUGUUACAUAUUAUUGAAUUUAAAUAGAAAGAGGAAGAGAUAUGUAAUCUUUUGUAAUCUAAUAAUUAUUUUUAUUUUUAAAAUUUUGCAAUAUAAUUAUUUUUUUAAUAUCAACCAAUUUAUUAGAUAAUAGAGAAUGCAAGAAGAUGAAAAAUAGUGAUAUCAUAUCAUCUCAUCUAGUCCUAACUUUAUUAUCUAUGUAAGAAAAUAAAAAAAUAGUAAUGGCACAGCACCUCCCCUAGUCUCAUCUUUAUAUAUAUAUAUAUAUAGAUAUAUAAAAACCACGGUGGUGAAACUUUAUUUAAUAUUAUUGAUUUAAAUAACAAUAUCUCAAUUAAAAAUGAACAGAGAAGAAAUUUCGGUGGGUAUAUUAGUCUUUUACAAUUAUCAUGAUUAGCCCUUCCUCUUGUAACGUUGGUCAGAAAAGUUUUCUUUUACUUUUAACGUUAGCGGCCUUCCUUAUAUUUUAUUACAAAUUAAUCCUAACAAGAAAAAGCGAGAUCAUAUUCCACAAAAGCAUAAGUGACAAAACAACCAGUUGGAUUCUUUUAUUAAACUACAAUUUAAAAUGGUUUUAAAGUGGAUUCUUUUGAAUACAGGUGGGGUAGACGAUUAGGCUUUUUCAAAUUCUUGUUUUAUUAUUUUUCAAAAACUAGUUUUUGGUAAUUACAAUCGGGUCAUUAAUCAUUAUUCAGUGUUAGUUUUAUCUUCGGGGGCAGUGGGUAAAAGGCUAAAUGAUAAUUACUACCUGUUUUUCCUUCAAAAGUUAGUGGCUCGUGUUUUGCAAGUGUGAACGUGCGAUGCUCUUUGUCUAAGGGCAAUUACAGUGGGUCCCGAAUCGGACGUGCCUAAAUCUUUUAAAAAAUUUUCCGGUAUAACGGACAUAGGCCAUUACUAAAAUUUCUCUUCCACAGGCAAUUACAGCAGCUCGAGUUUAUCAAACUCAACCAAUUUUCUUUCUUAACAAAAUCCAAAGAUGUGUAGCAUUUUUCAGAUCACAUGCGAUGGUGCUUUUUUCAAUCGUUGCUUGGAUUGCUUUCUUGGAAAAGCAGCGUACAUAAGCAACCUCCAAGAUAAUCUUGUAGCCUUGGAGACUAAAAUGGGAAAUCUGAUCGCAGCAAAGAACGAAGUGAUUAUGAGGGUUGUCGCUACUGAACGGCAACAAUUGAGAAGGCUGGACCGAGUGCAAGUGUGGGUUUCCAGGGUGGAAGCUGUUAAAAUUGAAGCUGAUGAACUUAUCAGAGACGGCUCUCAAGAAAUUGACAAAUUAUGUGUUGGAGGCUACUGUUCUACGAACUGCACGUCAAGCUACAAGUUCGGGAAACAAGUGGCUAAAAAGCUACGAGAUGUGGAGACUUUAAUCGCCGAAGGAGUUUUUGAGGUGGUGGCUGACAGAGCUCCAGAGUCUGUAGCAGAUGAAAGACCUACUGAGCGAACACUAGUAGGCUUGCAAUCACAACUUGAACAAGUCUGGAGAUGUCUUAUAGAAGAAUCAGCGGGAAUCAUUGGCCUAUAUGGUAUGGGCGGUGUUGGUAAAACUACACUAUUGAUCCAUAUCAACAAUAAAUUUCUCGAGAGUCGAACCAACUUUGAUUUUGUGAUUUGGGUAGUAGUUUCAAAAGACCCGCGACUCGAAAAAAUUCAAGAAGAUAUUGGGAAAAGGAUAGGUUUGGUUGAUGAUUCAUGGAAGAGUAAAAGUGUAGAGGAGAAAGCUCUCGACAUCUUCCGGAGUUUAAGAGAGAAGAGAAUUGUAUUGUUGUUAGAUGAUAUAUGGGAGCGGCUUGAUUUAACAAAAGUGGGCGUUCCACUUCCCGGACCAAAAAAUACUACCUCAAAAGUCGUAUUCACAACCCGUUUCUUCGAUGUUUGUGGUAGCAUGGAAGCUCACAGGACGUUCGAAGUGGCAUGCUUAUCAGAAAAGGAUGCUUGGGAACUGUUUCAAGAAAAAGUAGGAGAAGAAACUCUUAAGAGUGAUCAUGAUAUCGCUGAGCUAGCCCAAACCGUGGCCAAGAAGUGUGGUGGUUUGCCGCUCGCACUUGUUACUAUUGGUCGAGCUAUGGCCAGCAAAAAGACAGCCGAGGAGUGGAGACAUGCAAUUGAAGAGUUAGGAAGAUCAGCUUCAGAGUUUCCAGGUUUGGGAAAAGAGGUGUAUCCUGUUUUAAAAUUCAGUUAUGAUAGUUUGCCGAAUGAGACGAUUAGAUCUUGUUUCUUAUAUUGUUGUUUAUAUCCUGAAGAUUAUGGCAUUCUUAAAUGGGACUUGAUUGAUUGUUGGAUUGGUGAGGGAUUCUUAGAGGAAUCUAACAGGUUUGGUGCAGAAAACCGAGGAUACUACAUUGUGGGCACUCUUGUUCAUACGUGUUUACUAGAAGAGAUAGAAGAUGAUAAAGUAAAAAUGCAUGACGUUGUUCGUGAUAUGGCUCUAUGGAUAGCUUGUGAAACUGAGAAGGAGAAGAUAAACUUUUUGGUUUGUGCAGGUGCUGGAUUAAAGGAGGCACCGGAUGUUAAAGGAUGGGAAAAUGUGAGAAGAUUGUCAUUGAUGCAAAACCAAAUUAAAGUUCUGUCAGAGGUUCCUACAUGCCCUCAUCUCCUCACUUUAUUUCUUGACUUUAAUAGAGAGUUAAUGAUGAUCGCGGGUGGCUACUUCCAAUUUAUGCCUUCUCUCAAAGUUUUGAAGAUAUCAAACAUUGGGUAUUUCAACGUUUUGAAAUUACCUUUGGGGAUGUCAAAGUUGGGUUCACUAGAACUUCUCGAUAUUUCACAUAGCAGCAUAGAGGAGUUACCAGAAGAGUUAAAGUUGUUGGUAAAUCUGAAAUGUCUGAAUUUGAGGUGGACAGAUGUGUUAAAUAAAAUUCCACGGCAACUAAUAUCAAAUCUUUCAAGGGUACGUGUGUUGAGAAUGUUCGCUACUGGCUAUGAUCGUUUUCAUGAAGCAUCAGAAGACAGCGUUUUAUUUGGUGGGGGUGAAGUUUUGAUACAGGAAUUGCUCGGUUUGAAAUAUUUAGAGGUAUUGGAGUUGACCUUGGGAAGUUAUCAUGCUCUCCAAAUUCUUUUGAGCUCAAAUAAGUUAAAAAGUUGUAUUCGAUCUCUUCUCCUCUUCGGGUUCAGAGGUACAAAGUAUUUUAUUGAUGCUACGGCUUUCGCAGAUCUAAAGCACCUCAAUGAAUUACAGAUUCAUGAUUGUAGGGGGUUGGAAGAGUUGAAGAUUGAUUACACAGAGAUAGCACAAAAAAGGCGGGAACCUUUUGUUUUCCGCAGCCUUCGUCGUGUUACUAUGGUUUCGUGCCAUAAAUUGAAAGAUUUGACAUUCCUCGUUUUUGCUCCAAACCUCAAGUCUAUUUCGCUAGGCGAUUGCGAUGCUUUGGAAGAAAUAAUCAGCGUUGGAAAAUUUGCUGAGGUUCCUGAGAUGAUGGGACAUCUAAGCCCUUUCGAAAAUCUCCAAAAUCUUGACCUAUCGUAUUUGCUGGCUUUGAAGAGCAUCUACUGGAAGCCAUUGCCUUUCACUUAUCUGAAAGAAAUGGUGGUAAAUGGGUGUGAUCAACUUAAAAAGCUUCCACUCGAUUCCAGCUGUGCAGAAGAGCGUAAAUUUGUUAUUCGCGGAGAAGCACACUGGUGGAACUGCCUUGAAUGGGAGGAUGAAGCCACUCAAAUUGCUUUUCGUUCCUGUUUCCAGCCUUAUUCCUGAGUGGUGGUUGCAAAAUUUGAUUUCUGGUGUGGUCUUUUAUUCUCUGUUUUUAUUUAAGUUUCUUUUCCUUUCCUUUUCCUUUUUUUUUUUAAUUUCUCCUGCAAAUCACAAUUAAACAUUGAAUUAUAUGGAAUUAAUGCUUUAUAAAUUUGCCGGCACUGCCUUUUUUUUUUUUUGUCGGAGUGAUACUCUAGCUUUUGACUUUUGGUUGUCAAAUUCUGCUCUGCCUUUUUAAAUUGAUGCUUUAUUUAUAUUUUCUUAGUGAUUUAGUUUCCUGUCAAAAGACGAACGAGAAGAACAUUUGAAUUAAAUAAAUGCUCGCAAAUUUGCGGUAAAAAGAUGUAAUUAGCCGAGAAAAUAUUAAAUAUAGUAGCCCUCUUUACAGAAAAUCAAGUGGAAGUUAAUUCAGCAAGUUAUAUUCUUGAUUAAUUCCUUUUCUGAAGUUUUUAUUUUCUAUGGUCAAUUAUACCUUCAUACUAAAAAUUGCUGCUAUUGGGUGUUGAGUGUUAUGCUAAAAUUUUGCCCUAUUUUGGGCCAAUAUUUUAGAAGUGAAACAUACUUCAGAGUUGAAGUAAACUUUGAAAAUAGAGAUAAUGAUUAAUUUAGAAGAGAUGCAAGUAAAAGAUAUUCUAAAAAAAAAAAAGCAAUAUGUCCCUUUGGAGGGCAAACUUGUCAGUUUGAAAAAGUUACAUGCUUUGGAUUGAUAGUUGCAGGAUAUUUGUUUUGUCACUGUGUAUUAGGUGCGUUUGGAAUUGAAGUGUUGUAGUUUUUAAGUUAUAAUUGUUGUAAAAAAAAAUUGUAACUAUAAAACAAAAGUUAAUAAUAUAUAAUAAAUUUAAAUUUAAAUAAUAAUUUUAAUAAAAUUAUUAAAGAUAUAAUAGAUUAUUUAUUAUACAAGUGAAAAUUAUAUCAACAUAUCUUUCAAGUUACAAUAGUUAUUGAUUACUAAACACUUUACUGUUGUAACUUUUAAGUUAUAGCUAUUUAACCUCAAUUCCAAACGCAUCGGAGAAGUCACGCCUAGUGAAGAAUGUUAUGAAAGAGCAAAGGAUAUUCCUAAUCGAGCUCUAUUUGAUUAUGUAUCCAGUGAAUGGAUGUGUUGUUGGAAGAUAUUUGAGUGCAUUAGUUCAUUUGUGUCGGUCAAUGUGCUUUUAAUGAUUUUUCCACUUGUUUGUUGUAAAAGAUUAUUGUAAAUUGAAAUGAAUUGGAUGUUGUAAUAUUUUCUCUUUAGUGGAAUUUCACCUUGUAUGUAUUCAGUUGUGUUGUCUAAAAUUUUACAUUCGAAUAAGUUUUCACCUAAAAUAUUAGCAUGAGUUGUGGCCCUUGAAACUUUGGUCAAAAUUAUUGUUAUUAUUUCUUACUAGAUGUAAACUUUUUAUUAAACCUCGUUAACAUAAUUCUUAAUUAAAAGUAUAGGUUAGUGUCGGUGCAGAAUUUGCAACACCAAAUCCUGCCUAGGCAAGUGUCAAAAGUGCAAAAUAAAUGAAGAGAAAGCACGAAUACAUGAUUUAGAUUAGGAUAGAAGGAAACUUAAAUCCUAGAGAAAAGGAUAGCUAUAUCCCAAGAUUUAAAAAAAUAGUCAUGUAGAUUUUUAAGAUUUCAAUAAGCGACUAAGAUUUUCUUUUGACAAAUAAUUUCCUUUAGCUCUAUUAACAAAAAAAAUAAAGACUCAAAUAUUUUAUAAUAAAUAAAAUAUAAUAUUAAAAUAUAUGUGAUAAUAUAGAAAUUUUAAAUAAUUUCAAUCCAAAUAAAUAGUUAUGUUUUACAAGCUAUUAAACAUAUUUUAUUAAAUUAAUAUAAAUGUUUUAUAAAAUAGGAACAUAAUAUUAAAAUAAAUUUACAAAAUUUUUAAGAAUUUUGAAUGUAAAAUAAUUUUAAUAUAUUAAUACGUGAGAUUUUUUUAUUAUUAUAAAAAUUAUUUAACUUUAAGAUUUUUUAAAAUCCUUACAAUAAGUAUAAAUAUAUUAUUUACAUUUAAAAAUAUUUAAAUAUUAUUAACCUACAAUUAUAUUUGCAUUUAUUAGAAAAUUUUAAAGUCAAAUAUUUUGCACUUCUACAUUAUUAGAAUUAUUGAACACAAAGAAAGAAACAUAUAUGCUUUAUAGCUUUAGAAAUUGUUUUCUUUUACAUCUGGAAACAAAGAUGAUGAUUAUUAUAAGGAUAAAAAAUGGAUAAAGAAUAUUAAUGAUUAACGAAAUCUCUGUGCAAAUUGAUUUUAGUAGAAAAAGAGUGAGAUGAAUGAUUUCUUUUACAACUAGAAACAAAGAUGAUGAUUAUUAUAAGGAUGAAAAAAAGAUAAAGAAUAUUAAUUAUUAAUGGAAUCUCUAUGCAAAUUGAUUUUAGUAGAAAAAACGAGCUAAAUGAUUUAGACAUUCAUUCUGUGUUUAUUUUUGUGAUUAGCAUUAAAAAUUGUUUAAUUAUCAAACGAUAAUAAUGUUAUUUUGUACUUAUGUUAUAAUUUAUAUUUGUGUUUAUGUAAUAUAUUAGAAAUUAUUAAUUAUGUUUUAAAUAUAUCUAAUUUUGAGUAUAUUUGUGUGUUUAUUAGGAAAAAUAUUAAUUUUAGAUAAAUUGAGGCUCCAAACAAUUAAACGGAGGUCAAAUUUGGAUUCCGGAGGUUUGAAAACCUUAAGAUCAGUCAAGAUCGGCUUAAAAUUAGGUUUGUGUAAAAAGAGUUGACUUUUUCUGCUGACCGAGCACUGAUUGGAUGAUGAAAUGAGCUUACAAUAGAUAUGAGUGCAUGGGAUAACUGGCAAUUUUGACUAAAUCUCAACCGUUCAUGAUUCAAUGGCCAUGAUUGUGCCAUGUGGUAGUGGUUGAUGAAGCAAGUUGUAGGAUCUGAAUCUUUGUAUACGGGUCGACCUGAUCCGCCCAUUAACUCGCCAAAUCACAACCGUUCUUUGGCCAAAUCGGACGAGUCAAACGAUGCCACAUGUGAAGUUGACUUUUGAAGUUUGACCAGCCAUUGGAUCUUGAUCUAAAGGUUGUGAGAGCAUGAAGCUUAUGGAGCUUAUGAUGGACCGCAAAACACUGGAUUAUAAAUUUAUUUUUCUAUAAAUAGAGCCUCAUUUUUAUGUUUUUAAUUAUCUCUACAUCUCUCUUCUUCUCAAAUUCUCUCCAUCUCCCUGUAAUAUUUUGUAUAAUUAUUUUAUUAAAUAAAUUUAGUUUUAUUUUCAAUUUUAGUUGUUUUUAUUACUUUUAAUUAUAAGUAAUUAAAUUUUAAUAUUUCUUUUUAUUUCAAUUAUGCUUAACUAAAUAAUAUUAGUUGGGGUAAGGUGAAACUCUUAGGAAAUAAAUAUGAUUUAAUCAAAUUUUAUUUUUAAUUUUAUAAAUUAAAUUAUUUUCUAUUUAAUUUUAUACAUAUUUUAUAUUUUAAAAUUUUGAUUUAUUGUAGACAAACAAAUAAAUUUGGCACAAUAAAUUCUUAAGAUCUUAAUAUAAGGUAUGGUAAAAUGGUAUUUUGACUUAUUGUAGACAAAUUAAAUUUUGACACAAUAAAUACUUAAUCCAUCAUAAAAUUAGAGGGAAAAUAAUAAUAAUUUAUAUAAUUAAUCUUUUGGGCAAUAAAUUUAAAAAAAUAGCAAAAAGAAUUUAUUGAGUUUUAUUUACUACUAAGAGUGGAUCCACAAUCCUAACUAGAUCAAUUUCAUAAUUUCAUUUAAAUUAAGUUGUUUUUAUUCAAGUUUUUAUUUCAAUUUUUAGAUAAAAUAAAUUAAAUUAAUUAAAUCUUUUCUCUGUAGAUCGACCUCAGACUCACCGAGGACUGACCAAGGUAUAAUACAACAAGACACUCUUAUAAUUAAGAGUUUAAAAUUACUUUUAAGUUGUGUCAUUUUGGAUUGGUGAAUUAGAAUUAUUGACAACGCUAACUUCAUCUUCACAAUUUGCAAUCCAAUAGCAGCAAUUGUCACCGAUAAUGAUAUCUCCAAUGAUAAUGACGAUUUUAUUAUUAUUAUUGAUAAAAAGUAUUAUAAUUAAUUAAUAUAUUAAUGUUAAUAUUAUUAUUAUUAAGAUUAACAAUAAUUAUUAAUAAUAACAAUUUUUUGAAUAAAAAUAAUUACAAUAAUUUAAAUAUAAAUUAAUAAUUAUGACAAUAAUUAAUUAAUGUCUUUUUAAUAAUUUACUGAUUAUCACAGUUCAAGUAAACAAAUUAUUAUGAUUCCUAUUCUCCAUUUCCAUUUCAGCUCACUCCGAUUCCAAUCCAUUUCGACUUCUGCCUAAAAAACUCACCAUUAGUGCUAUAGUAAUAUUUCAUAUAGAGAAAAGUAAAAUCUACACCUAAGAUUAAGGUAAAGGACUUCAAAACUCUCUUUUGAUUAUAAUACCUUUUGUCCUAAUUAACUUAAAGAUUUUGAAUCUAAUAUUUUAUAAUAAAUAAAAAUAUAUUCCUAAAAUAAAUAUAAUAUCAAUAUUUAAAGUAUGUUUUAAUAUUUUACAAUCUAUCAGACACAUUUUAUUAUAUUAAAGUAAAUUUUAUAAUAAAUACAAACAUACUAUUAAAAUGAAUAUACAAAAAAGUUUAGAGUAUUUUGAAUAUUAUAUAAAAUAAUUUUAAUAUAAUGCGUGAGAUAUAUUUUAUUAAUUUAAAAUGCUAUUUUACCUAAAAAUUUAUUUAUGAUAAAUUAAUAAUUAUAUUUUUAAAAUUAUUUUAAAUAUUAUAAAAAAUUUAAUAUUAUUAGUGUUUUAGAUAGAUUAAAUUAUUUUAAAAUGCCUUAAUUGUUUUUACUUUUAACGUUACCGGCCUUUCUUAUAUUUUAUUGCAGCUAACAAGAAAAAGCCAGAUCAUAUUCCACAAAAGCAAAAGUGACAAAACAACCAGCUGGAUUCUUUUAUUAAACUACAAAUUAAAGGAUCCCAUUAUCUUACAACUAAUGUAAGAUACAUCCCUCACAUAAAUAGUAUAUAAACUCCACAUAUAUACUGUUCAUGUGAGGAAAUGUACCUUACAUUAAGAUAGUGUUUGCCCAAAUUAAAAUAGAUUUUUUCGAUGAACUACAAAUUAAAGUGGAUUCUUUUGAAUAUAGCUGGGGUUAGGGUAGGCUCUUUUAUUUAAGGCAAGUCUAGAGUAGUCAAAGACGAUUAGGCUCUUUUAUUAAACUACAAAUUGUAUAGUCUUUUUCAAAUUGUUCAGAUGCUUAUAAAUUAGUGGCCCCUUGUAAAUUUAACUGGAAGUGCCAAUCAGAGAAAAGUUCAAUUCUAAAUAAUUGUUCCGAUAUUUAUAAAUUGGUGGCCCCUACAAUCCUCAAUAAUUGUUCCGAUAUGUAUAAAUUGAUGGCCCCUACAAUCCUCAAUAAUUGUUCCUAUAUUUGUAAAUUGGUGGCCCCUUAGAAAUUUAACCGCAAGUCUGCAAGUGACAAUCGGAGAAAAGUCAUAAUUUACAAUCUUCCAAGGGAAGUAGGGAACCAGGGGAUAUACAAAGAUUAAGACAUGUCAUUCAUUUUUUUGGCUGCAUUCCCUUUCGUGUUCUUAAUAAUUGAAGACAGGUUGUUCAUUACAUGCUUACUUUUCAAAUGUGGAGCCGCAGCUAAUGUCGCUACUUUAAUUUGGGAUUAAAUUAGGGAAACAUUAUAUUGUAGUAUGCACUAACUUGAUGUUUAUCUAAACUCCUUAAAUUUAAGACAGAUUAUGGCAUAAAUAAGAAUAUAACGAUAACAAAAGAGUAUAUAAAAUAUUUAGAGUAUUUUGAAUAUUAUAUAAAAUAAUUUUAACAUAAUGCAUGAGAUAUAUUUUAUUAAUUUUAAAUGCUAUUUAACCUAAAGAUGUAUUUAUGAUAAAUUAAUGAUUAUAUUUUUGAAAUUAUUUCAAAUAUUAAAAAAUUAAUAUUAUAGACUAAAUUAUUUAUAUUAUUUUUUAUUUAUUAAAAAAUUUUUAAGUCAAUCUUUUUAAUUACUAUUCAAAGAAUAUAAUGAUUAAAAAAAUCUUUAUGCCUUCAUUAAAAAUUUAAAAAUUUACAUAACGAUUUCUAUAAAUAUUUAGGGUAUAUAUGAAGCACGGUGGAGAAGCUUUAUUUAAUAUUAUUGAUUUAAAUAAUAUCUCAAUUAAAAAUGUACAGAGAAGAAAUUUCGGUGGGUAUUUUAGUCUUUUCAGCAAUUAUCAUGACCAGAUCUGCCUUUGGCCUUGAAACGUCGGUCAGAAAAGUUUUAAAGUGCUUUAAUUGUUUUUAAGGCCGCUAAUAACUCUGCUCGUGCAAGUUGAGGAUAAAUGUUAAAUUAAUUACAAAAGCAAAAGGCUAAUUUAUUGAAGACAAGUAAAGCAGUCACGAAUGGUACAUGCCUAAUCUUUUCUAUAUUUACAGAAACACAAUUUUUUUUCAAUCCGCCGCAGCUUCUGUUAAAAUUAUCUUGGUUUCUCGUAGUUGAUUUCUAUUAUCCCAAAAAAAAAAAAAAGGUAACUGUUGAUGCCGAAAAAUGAUUUCAACAGCUGAAUUUAUUUUUUUUGGAGAAUUACAGUGUGAAUCCAAGCUCAAACGCAAGUCUGAUCGCAACUUUCUAUAUCUGCUAAUCAGAAAACACAGUUAGGAUACGCCGGUGGGGUUUCGGCUAGACCUUCCGAUACUUAAGUCAGAAAUUAUGUAUAAAAGGAGAAAAAUGAGAAUGAAGAAUUAUGAAUGAGUUAAAGUCAAGUAAUUUUCCGGUAGAGGGGUUGAAAAUCUUGUAGAAGCUUUGGUUGAUUUUGCUAACCCCUUCACCUGAUGCGCUCUUCAGUUUAAAUAGACUCUUGGUCGUGUACGGUUACCUCCUUAACUUCAGAAGUUGCAAGUGGUUGUCAGUUGGAGGUGGUUUAAAUAGAUCGUGGCACACAACUUCCUUAUAAAUUAGGCCACGUUCUCUUAACUAGCAAUUUUCCAUGUCAAGCUAAUUCUCAGGUCGGACAAGAGAAUUUCAAGGUCGGAUUACUUCACUUUCAGAUUAGACAGAUGAAUUUCUCAGUCGCUCAUAUAACGUUAAGGUUGUAUUCUUAAACUAAGUCAUUCACAUAGAUCUUAGGUCGUACUUAUAAACCAGGUCGCCAACAUAGGCUCCAGGUUGUACUUAUGAGGUUAGCUCAACAACAAUAAGUUUUGAGUAGAUUAGGAUCGACUAUAUUUUGAGACACUACCAGAAAAAUCCAACCCAAACACCAGUCCCCUAAUUUUCAAUACUGGAAAGUCAUUGCCAGUGUUGGAAACUAAUGGAAAACAUUUCUCAAAACCCAAUACCAGUCCCCUAGUUUUCAAUACUGAGAAGAUAUGAACGGUAUUGGAAACUAAAAUAAUUAAGAAAGAGCAAUAUAGCCACAAGCAAAAGAAAGACGGUGUAGAGCGGAACAAUGAGCAAAGAGAAGAGUAAAAAGAAAACUUCAGGUGUGGACCAAGAAAAUAACCAUGACCAAAUGCCUCGAGGUGAUAGAGUCGGGGUUGAGGGUGAGGUCUUCCUAACUAGUAGGGUUGUUGAAGACCAAGAGAGAACUUCCUAAAUUUAAUUAUUACAAUGCUUGCCCUUUUUUGCAAUAUGAACUUGUGUAGACCGUAUGCUACUGAACUUUAUUUUGCCUUUGUAAUCGGAUAAUUAUUAUGCUGACCUUGCCUUUUUUACUCUUUAUUUACUAGGGUUGGUUAUGAAUUGCAUUCCGUAGACUGAGCCCAUUUAAGACUCUGUUGAGGUCAAACAAAUAGAUAUGGUCAACUUUGGUAGCAAUAACACCAAGCAAUGACCUUGAAUUCACCAAGAUUCUAUCAUUUCGAUAUCAAUCUUGAUAAGGAAAAUGUUGACCUCACGAAAAUAUCAACUUCAACAAGAUAAAUUGUUGACCUCAACAAGAUAAAUUGUUGACCUCAACAAGAUAAAUUGUUGACCUCAACAAGGUUAAGUGUAGAGCUAAAAUGCCAACCUCACGACAAGGAAAAUGUUGACCUCACGAUAAGGAAAAUGUUGACCUCACGAAAAUGUCAACCUUAACAAAAUAGAUUGUCGACCUCAACAAGGUUAAGUGUAGAGCUAAAAUGCUGAACUCACGAUCUCACGACAAGGAAAAUGUCAACCUCACGAAAAUGUCAACCUCAACAAGAUAGAGUGUUGAACGCAAUAAGGUUAAAAUGUAAAGCUAAAAUGCCGACCUAAAAAAAAAUUGAAAAUUGGAGAACUUAAAUGUUAAGCUUAUGAUCAACCUCAACAAGGCAAUGACUGACCUCAAUAAAAUUGAAAAUUGGGCAACGACCUCAACAAGGCAAUGGCCGACCUCAACAAGGCAAUGGCCGACCUUAAAAAAAAUUAAAAAUUGUAGAACUUAAAUGUUAAGCUUAUGGCCGACCUCAACAAAAUUGAACAUUGUAGAACGUAAAUGUUAAGGCUAUGGCCAAACUCCACGAGGCAAUGACCAACCGCAAUAAAUAGAAAAUUGUAGAUUUUAACUUAUGGCCGACCUCAAUAAGGUAAUGGUCGACCUCAACAAAAUUAAACAUUGUAGAACGUAAAUGUUAAGGCUAUGGGCAAACUCCAUGAGGCAAUGACAAACCUCAAUAAAUAGAAAAUUGUAGAAUUUAGCUUAUGGCUGACCUCAAUCAGGCAAUAGCCGACCUCAACAAAAUUGAACAUUGUAGAACGUAAAUGUUAAGGCUAUGGCCAAACUCCACGAGGCAAUGAGCAACUUCAAUAAAUAGAAAAUUGUAGAACUUAGUUUAUGGCUUACCUCAAUAAGAAAAUGGUCGACCUAAAUAAAGUAAAGGCGAAUUUCGAUAAAAUUGAAAAAUGUAGAUCUCAACAAGAUAAAAGUUAAGGCUAUCUAACCACAAGGUAAUAGCUGUCUUCAAUCUCAAAAAGGCCGAAUUACAAUUAGACCUCAACAAGGUCAAAAUGACAAUCUCGAUCUCAAUAAGAUUUGAUAAAUUUUUCAGGUAGGACCUCAACAAGGCAGCAAUGUCGAUCUCAAUCUCAAUAAGAUUGGAUGAAUUUUUCAGGUAGAAUCUCCACAAAGCCGAAAUGCCGAUCUCAAUCUCAAUAAGAUUGGAUAAAAUUUUCAGGUAGGACUUAAAUAAGGCCGCAAUGUCGAUCUCAAUCUCAAUAAGAUUGAAUGAAUUUUUUUCAUGUCAGACCUCAGUAAAGUCGUCAUGUCGAUCUCAAUCUCAAUAAGAUUAGAUAAAUCUUUUCACGUUGGACCUCAAUACGGUCCAAAAAUGCCGAUCUCAAUCUCAAUAAGAUUGGAUAAAAUUUUCAGGUAGGACCUCAACAAAGCUGCAAUGUCGAUCUCAAUCUCAAUAAGAUUGGAUGAAUUUUUUCACGUUGGACCUCAGCAAGGCCGCCAUGUCGAUCUCAAUCUCAAUAAUAUUGGAUAAAUCUUUUCAUGUUGGACCUCAAUACGGUCCAAAAAUGCCGAUCUCAAUCUCAAUAAGAUUGGGUAACUUUUUCAUGUUGGACCUCAAUAAGGUCACAAAGUUGAUAUCAAUCUCAAUAAGAUUGAAUAAAUAUUUUCACGUUGGACCUCAAUACGGUCCAAAAAUGCUGAUCUCGAUCUCAAUCUCAAUAAGAUUGGGUAAUUUUUUCACGUUGGACCUCAACAAGGUUGCAAUAUCGAUAUCAAUCUCAAUAAGAUUGGAUAAAUUUUUUCACGUUGGACCUCAAUAAGGUCCAAAAAUGCCAAUCUCAAUCUCAAUCAGUCUGGAUAAAUUUAUUUCAUAUUGGACCUCAAUCAAGUCCAAGUGUCGAUCUCGAUCUCAAAUAAGACCGGUCACAAGUAGAUAAGAAAUAAAGUUGCACUUUUAAAUAACCUCAUUGAUACUAAUAUAACAGAAGUUAUAGAAUUGAACGCAUAACAAAUUGAAAUAACAAAGAAACAAACUUUCUUAGCAUAUUUAAAGAAAAUAAACAAACAAUAUUUAAAGAAAAUAAACAAACAAGGACAUCAUAAAUAAGAUAUAUCUUAACUGAUAGUAUUUUCGCAGGUGCUCUGCAUUCCAUGCCUUGCCAACGACCCUGCCAUCCUGAUAACUUAAUUUAUAUGCCCCAUUAUCAAAUUAGGGUAGCACUUUAUAUGGUCCUUCCCAGCUCGGCCCUAGAACUCCAUCAAUAAAUCUGAAGCUCAUUGGAGAUGUCAUCCAUCAUUUUUGUUCCCACUCUUACCACCCUGCUCGGAUCAACCUCACUUAUCGGCAUGUUUCAUUUCUUCAUUAGGUCACUGUUGGCACAAUCUAUUCUCAGCUCGUGGGUCGAUACUCGUGAUCUGCAUGGAUUCUCUUGCAGCUGUAGCGUAACAACUUCGAGCUAUUUGUUGCUGGCCCCUCAUCACUCCAACCCCAUAUUGAACUCUAAACUUCACACGUUGCAUGUGGGUUGAGCUCACGGCUCUUACUAUCCUAUUGAAAGGUCUACCCAAAAUAAAUUGAUAAGGGUUGGGCUCAUCAACUACCACCCAUGUCACCAUCACUGUCUUUUGUAGUGGGUUGGACUUUAUUAUCAGUGGCAAGUCAAUCAUCCCAAGGGGAAUCAACUCAGCUCCGCCAAACCCUUUUAGUGAUGUUCUGACGGGAUCAAGCCUAAGGUCCCCUAUUUGUAGAUCUUCCAGGGUUUGCUUAAACAAAAUGUCGACUGAGCUUCCUCCAUAUAUAAGAGCUCGGUUCAAAUCCUGCCCUACCAAGGUAACCUUCACUAUGAGCGCAUCCUCAUGUGGAUGUGCGACCGCUUCCUCGUCCUCGUCUGUGAACAUGAUCGGCACCCUUUGAACCCGUUGCUUCUUUGGUAUUGAAACAUUAAAAUUCAACUUAUAACUUUCUAAUGACUAUCUACUAUAAUUUCUCCUUGAACGAUUUGAGUCUCCUACUAGGGUCGGCCCUCCCAUAAUCAUCAUCGCUACAUUAUCUCUGAUGUCUCCUCUUCUCCCACCUAUUCCUUGGUCAUUCACAUACUCCUUUAGAUAUUGAUUUUGCACUAGCCACAAAAUCUGUUCUUUCAAGUCUAUGUAAUCUGCAGUUCCAUGUCCGAACACAAUGUGAAACUCGCAAUACUUGUGGUGAGCACUUCUGCCCAGACUUCUUACAAUUGGCUUUGGCGGUUUAAGUAGCCCCUUCUUUUCUACUACAACAUAUAUUUCCGCUCUGCUUUUGUUCGAUGGUGUGUAUCUUCCACUCUACUCUAAUAAGUUCACCCCAUGGUCAGAUCUCGAUACUCUCUGUUCUAUAGGCAGUGGCAACCUAUUGUAGUCUCUUGCUCGGUUCUCCCUUUAGUUCAUCUCAUAAUUAUUUCCUCUAUCUCGGCCCCAUCCCAUUAAUGAGAUUUAUCUCAUUUCACGAUUUCUUUCCCAAUCUCGACCCGACCUUUCUGGUCAUCUGUAAUUGAACAACUCUCCGCCGUAAUGACGUCUAUCAUCCGAGUUCCUCCUCGAGCUAUACUCGAGGUUAUCACUUGACCCUCUCUCUGCUCUUCCAUUCUCCUAUUUUCUUCCUCUGCAUCUUCAGUUUUCAUAUCUAAUUUUGUCUAGUCGUACGCCUCAGCGUAUGUUGUUAUCCCCUUGUUAUAUAAGCUAUUCCAUAAUCGAUUGAUUCUCAACUCCUUCUUUAAUCCCUCUAGAACAUCUGGAAGAUCAAAGGCCCCUAGAUCGGUAACCUCUCUAUGAUACCUGGUCACAAAACUCGUCAAACUUUCAAAUUCUCCUUGGACCAAUUUUGUCAAGCUGCUCAUAUCCUGCUCUGAUAUGCAUGAACCUCUAAAAUGCAUAGCGGAAAGCACACAUAACUCCUUGAAAUUUCCUAUGCUUCUAUUCUUUAAUCUCCGGUACCAUUCCCAUGCUUGUCCAUCUAGAGUUAAGGGAAAAAUACGGCACCUUUGAAAAUCAUUCAAACCUUGAAUUACAGUCAUCUCAUUAAACUUCUCCACAUGAUGAUUUGGGUCAGUUUUUCCUUCAUACACCAAGACUUGAACCACAUACUUGGGUGGCAAAGUUACUGCCAUCACUUCAGGUACCAAGGGGGACUCGUCAUCGAGUAACAGCCUUCCUACCACUUUCUUGCCCUCUGUUUUCGCCUCUAAUACCUCUAAGGUUUUUUGAAAUUGCAGCAUUCGUUGCUCAAGCUCAUUUGCCCGUUGGGGUCUCUCAGCUCUUCCCUCUCUCUUUCUUGAUUCAAGUCAUUGAUUCUCCCCCUCAACUCAUUCACUUGUUCUCCUGCACUUCUAUUCUUUUGUCGUACCCCAACUUGUGGUAGUCCCAUUCCGCUCUGCUGUUCACCAUCAAGCUCUUCCCUCUCUCGCGCUCCACUACAUUUUGGAUCACUAGCUCGAACGUGAGCCUCUCUGACUUGGGCAUCAACCAGCCCCCGAUCAUCUUCUCAAAUCUCGCCAUUUGCCUCUCAAUCCCUUCUCUCCAUCUCUUAUCUGCCGUGGCAUUCAUUUCCUCAGCCAAUUGGCGCAAGGUCUACGUAUCUUCAUCCUUAUCAUCUAUCACUAUUUUGUAAUCCGAUAGCUUCUCCUUCUAAAUCUUCAAACGUAUGGCUUUUCGCACUGAUCCCCACAGAUAGCGUCAAGAUGUUGAUGCUGAAAAACGACAUGAACAGCUGAAUUUGUUUCUUUUGGGGAAUUACAAUGUGAAUUUAAGCUCAAACGCAAGUCUGAACGCAACUUUCUAUAUCUACCAACCAGAAAACACAGUUAGGAUAUGCCGGUGGGGUUCCGGCGCAGACCCUCCGAUGCUUAAGUCAAAUUAUGUAUAAAAGGAGAAAAAUAAGAAUGAAGAAUUAUGAAUGAGUUAAAGUCAAGUAAUUUUCCAGUAGAGGGGCUAAAAAUCUUGUAGAAGCUUCAGUGAAUUUUGCUAACCCCUUCACCUGAUGCGCUCUUCAAUUUAAAUAGACUCUUGGUCAUGUACGGUUACCUCCUUAACUUCAGCCCGCUUUCUUCAGUAGUUGCAAGUGGUUGUCAGUUGGAGGUGGUUUAAAUAGAUCGUGGCACACAACUUCCUUAUAAAUUAGGCCACGUUCUCUUAACUAGCAAUUUUUCAUGUCAAGCUAAUUCAUUGGUCGGACAAGAGAAUUUCAAGGUCGGAUUACUUCACUUUCAUAUCAGACAGAUGAAUUUGUUAGUCGCUCAUAUAGCGUUGGGGUUGUAUUAUUAAACUAAGUCAUUCACAUAGAUCUUAGGUCGUACUUGUAAACCAAGUCGCCAACAUAGGCUUCAGGUUGUACUUAUGAGGUCAACUCAACAACAAUAAGUUUUGAGUAAAUUAGUAUCGACUAUAUUUUGAGACACUACAAAAAAAAUCCAACCCAAACAGUAACAUUUUGCAAAUCUCAAUCGACGGUGCUAUUUUCAAUCGUUGCCUGGAUUGCUUUCUUGGAAAAGCAGCAUCUAUAAGAAACCUGCAAAAAAAUGUUGUAGCCUUGGAGACUGAAUUGGGAAAACUAAUCGAAGCAAAGAACGAUGUGGUGGCGAGGGUCGUCAACGCUGAAAGGCAACAAACGAUGACAAGGCUGAACAAAGUUCAAGGCUGGCUUUCGAGGGUGGACGCUGUUAAAGCUGAAGCUGAUGAAUUGAUAAGACAUGGCCCUCAAGAAAUUGAGAAACUAUAACUUAGAGGCUACUGUUCCAAGAACUGCAAGUCAAGCUAAAAGUUUGGCAAAAAAGUGGCUAAAAAGCUAAGAGACGCCGGGACUUUAAUGGCCAAUGGAGCAUUUGAAGUGGUAGCUGAGAGAGCUCCAGAAUCAGUAGCGGAUGAAAGGCCUAUCGAGCCCACAGUAGUAGGCCUGCAAUUGCAACUCGAGCAUGUUUGGAGAUGUCUUGAAGGAGAAUCAGUCGGAAUUGUUGGCCUAUACGGCAUGGGCGGUGUCGGUAAAACUACACUAUUGACCCAUAUCAACAACAAAUUUCUUGAGAGUCCAACUAAUUUUAAUUAUGUGAUAUGGGUCGUAAUGUCAAAAGACUCGCGACUUGAAAACAUUCAAGAAACUAUCGGGGAGUAGAUUGGUUUGUAAAAAUUUGCCAAUUUACACAGCAAACAAUUUCCACCCAAUUAAUGUUUUUUAGAAAAUUGUAAAAAUUUGGAGUUAUGAAAAUAGAAACUAUAUAAUAAGAAGAAAUAAUUUAAGAUUUUAAGAUUUAUAUAUAUUUUAUAAAUAAAACAUUAAAAGAGAUGCUUGUUAUUACGAUGAAAUUUUAUGAGUAAGAUGAUUAACUUUAAUAUAUGAGUUUGUAUUUUAUAAAUUAAUCAGAGGUAUUUUAGAAAAUAAAUUCAAAAUGGGAGUUAUAAGAGUUUUAGAGUGGUGUUAAAAGCUCAACUCUUUUGAAUUUUACUGCCCAAUUAUAUAGUACAUUAGCGUGAUUGUUAUGUAUUCAUUUUUUUCAGAUACAACAAACGAGCUGCGUAGUGCUCAAAUAACAAAAAUUAAUAAUUUCACACACCCAUAUACAUAUAUGUAUACAUAUAGAUACAUAUUAUAUUUAAUUAAGCAAAAGAAAGAACCCCCUGUACGACGCCAGUGAGAAGAGAGAGAGAGAGAGAGAGAGGAAGAGAGCUUUUUGUGUUAUAUUUCAUAAUUUUUAUUUAAUUAAAAAUAUUUGUAGUUUGGAUUUGGGCGCCCCAAAGAAUUUCUAAAUCAAAACCUUAAUUUUUAUUAGGUCUUGAGCCUAUUCUCGAAAUAGAUCCUAUUAUAUUCUUAGGUGGUGUUUGGUUUUAAGAAAAUGGAAGAGAGGAGAGGUGAAAAAAGAAGAUGAACGGAGAGGUGAUGAGAGGAAAAGAGUGUAAAAAUUAAUUGUUAUUGUUUGGUUUCACAUUAAAUUUGAAAGGAAAAGAAAUUACAUAUUUUUUAUUUGGACGAAUAUACCCACUAUUUUAAUGCUAAUAUUGUUAAUAAAUUAAAAAAUAAUAAAACUAUGAAUUAAUUUAAUCUAGAAAUUACCUAAUUAAAUUAAAAAAUUAUUUUUUAAAAAAAUACAGCAUUUGGCCAUGGACAGCCUCCACGUUGACCACCGUUGACUGGCGAAUUUGACUGUCGUUGACCGUCAUUUUUCAUCGCGUUAAAUGCAUAAUAAUAAUAAGAAAUGAAUGAUUUAUUCAUUGGAAGUGUUAAUUUUGCAGAAAAUACACUAUAUAGUAGGAAAUAUGAGAGUUAAAAUUUUCCCAAGCAUUUAAACAAGACUUGAGGUAAAUAACAAUGUAUAUUAGCAUUUUUAAUCUCAUAGCAUUGUAGAUGGACUCAUGAGGAUUCCAUUGAUACCGGUUUUGAUGAAAAAGUGCGUCUCCGGCGAAACUCCGACGAGUCACUUUACUGUUUUUUCUUUUUUCAAAUAAGUUUAUCCUAUUAAUUUAAGAAAAUAAAUAUAAAUUAUUUGUACUUUAAUUUAUUUAACAUUGAUUUUGUUUAGAGGAUAAUAUUGGAAUUUUUGUGUUUAAAUAGAUAAGAAAUUUAAAAUCUUUAGUCAUUGAUAAGAAAUACAAAUUCUUCAAAUUGAUGGAAAUUCAAUUCCAUUAAACUUGGUCCAAGUAGAAAAGAAAUCAAUUUUUUUUGGCUCUCCCCACUUCCCUACCCCUAAGCAAACAUGGCCUUAUGGUUUUUGAGAACUCAUACCAAAUUCAAAUUAAUCAGGAGCCCACGGGUCCCGGGGCUCGCGGGAAAGUUGCCAUCCCUACCUUCAUCUGACGGAAAGUCCCUACAAACAAAUGUUUCUUUAUUUAUUUAUUUUUAUAAAAGAAAUUUCAGUUUGAAUGUCUUUUGGACGUUUCCAAUUGUCAUGAUUAGCCCUUGAACCUUUGGUCAAAAAAGUAUUAUCACGCGUUGAUUGUUUGUAUCGCAAAUGCUAGUGGCAUUUGAAAGUUGAUAUAAUUAAUUACAAUCUACAAAUGUUUAACAAAAAAGUGGGAUGGAUAUGGCACAAAAGUAAAGCAAGCAGGAUUCGUUGAAAAAGCUAUUUUGACACCUACUUCGGUUAUAAAAUUUUCAAAAAAAAAAAAAAAUUUUGAUUAAAAGUAAAUUGUAUAGGUUCAACUACCGUGCACUUGGUGCAUGGGACAUGUAUUUUGUCUAUAUAUAAGUUACCCGUCAGAUAUAACAUAGAACUUGCUUCAACGGCAUAGAUGUAUUCUCUUUAGUUUUUAACAUUGACAUCUAUGUUGUUUUUCAAAAAAGAAAAAUAGUGAAAGGUUUGACACAUAAUUUUAGAUUAUUUUUAAAUUUUAUAUUUUAAUCAAUUGAUUUAAUUUACUGUUAAAAUUAAUGACAGUAUAAGCGUAAUAACUUGAAAAAACUUUUUAAUACAUAAUUUUUUUUAUUUUUUGAAAAUAAUAUAAUAUCAAUUUAAUCUAUAAUAAAUAAUUUUAACAUAUAAUUAAAUUUUAAUUUAUCAAUAAUAAUAUGACCAAAUGACAAUGUUAAAGAAUUUCAUUAUAAUCAACUAUGAUUUAGUAUUCAAAUAUAAAUAAUAGAAAUAUACUCUAAGUGUAAAUAAUAGAAAUAUAUCAAACUUAUAUGUUAAAAUUUCAAAACUUUUAAUUUUUUCACUUUUCAGCAAACAAGAGGGAGUAAUUUACCAAAAACAAGGGGUAUCGUACACCUGGGGCACCAUAGCUUCCUCCAAAUUGUAUAAAAAAUAGAAAUAUUUUUAGUCUCCAAAUUGUAUAAAAAAGUAAAAAUAUUUUGACUAAAAGUAAAUUGUGCGUAACUACUUUAAUAUUUUAUUUCUUUCAUAACUUUAUCAAAAUCUUGUCAUCAAAUAUUUUAUCAAUGUAACGCUGUAAACAGCAAAUUAAAGUUUAAUUAUUUAAUUACAACUGGCAAAAGAGACGUUUAAUUAUUUAAUUACAAGCGGGAUAGUCUCUUUUGUUGAAGGAAAUUAAAGUUUAGUUAUUUAAAUCGAGCACGCGUAAUCUUUUCAAGCACAAACAAAAGAGAUCAUAAUUCAAAGUUGAUGUUCUCUUCACAGCAGCUUCUAUUCAUCGAACUCCAUCGUUAAAAUUUCCUUGGUUUUUCCUGGUUGAAUUCUCAUCCAAAAUAUGGGUAACAUUUUCCAAAUCACAUGCGACGGCGCUCUCUUUAACCGUUGCCUGGAUUGCUUUCUUGGAAAAGCAGCAUAUAUAAAAAACCUCAAACAAAAUCUUGCAGACUUGGAGACUGAAUUGGGAAAACUAAUCGACGCAAAGGAAGAUGUGAUGAGGGAGGUCAACGCUGCUGAAAGGCACCCAAUGAUGAAAAGGCUGACCAAAGUUGAAGGCUGGCUUUCGAGGGUCGAAGCUGCUAAAUCCGACGGUGACAAAUUGAUAGCAUUUGGCUCUCAAGAAAUUAAGAAACUAUGUCUUGGAGGCUACUGUUCCAAGAACUGCAAGUCAAGCUACGAGUUUGGCAAACAAGUGGCUAGAAAGCUAGGAGAUGUCAAGACUUUAAUGGCUGAAGAAGCUUUUGAAAAGGUAGCUGAGGAAGUACAACCACCUUUGGUAGAUGAGAGACCCACCGAGCCAACCGUAGUAGGCUUCCAAUCACAAUUUGAACAAGUCUGCAAAUGUCUUGAAGAAGAAUCAGUCAGAAUUGUUGGCCUAUACGGCAUGGGCGGUGUCGGUAAAACCACACUAUUGACUCAUAUCCACAAUAACUUUCUUCAGAGUCCAACUUUUAAUUGUGUGAUAUGGGUCCUAGUGUCAAAAGAUCUGCGACUUGAAAACAUUCAAGAAACUAUCGGGGAUCUGCGACUUGAAAACAUUCAAGAAACUAUCGGGGAGCAGAUUGGUUUGUUAAACGAUACAUGGAAAAAUAAACGAAUUGAACAGAAAGCUCAAGACAUCUUCAGGAUUUUGAAGGAGAAGAAGUUUUUGCUGUUGCUAGAUGACUUAUGGCAGCGGGUUGAUUUAACAAAAGUGGGCGUCCCUCUUCCUGGCCCGCAAAAUAAUGCAUCCAAAGUGGUAUUCACAACCCGUUCCGAAGAAGUUUGUGGUUUGAUGGGAGCUCACACGAGGUUUAAAGUGGCGUGCCUGUCAAAUAUCGAUGCUUGGGAAUUGUUUCGGCAGAACGUUGGAGAAGAAACUCUGAACAGUGAUCCCGAUAUUCUUCAACUCGCCCAAGCAGCAGCCAGAGAGUGUGAUGGUUUGCCACUAGCACUUAUUACCAUUGGCCGAGCUAUGGCUUGCAAGAAGACACCUGACGAAUGGAUUUACGAUAUUGAGGUGCUAAGAACAUCAAGUUCUCAGUUCCCAGGUUUGGGAAAUGAGGUUUAUCCUCUUUUAAAAUUCAGUUACGAUAGAUUGCCGAGUGACACAAUUAAAUCAUGUCUCUUAUAUUGUAGUUUAUAUCCAGAAGAUUAUUGCAUUUCUAAAGAGAAAUUGAUAGACUGUUGGAUCGGCGAGGGAUUUUUGACAGAAAGGGACAGGAUUGGAGAACAAAAAGAAGGAUACCAUAUUCUGGGCAUUCUUCUUCAUGCCUGCUUACUGGAAGAGGGAGGAGACGGUGAAGUAAAAAUGCACGACGUGAUUCGAGAUAUGGCAAUAUGGAUAGCAUGCGACAUUGAAAAGGAGAAGGAGAAUUUUUUUGUUAAUGCUGGCGUUGGAUUAGUUGAAGCACCCGAUGUCACAGGAUGGGAAAAGGCGAGGAGAUUGUCACUGAUGCACAAUCAAAUUACGAAUCUAUCAGAGAUUCCUACAUGUCCUCAUCUCCUUACUUUUUUCCUUAACAAAAAUAGGUUUCAGAUGAUCCCCAAUGACUUCUUCCAAUUUAUGCCCUCCCUCAAAGUUUUAAAUCUGUCAUACAGCAAACUAACCAGCUUACCAUUGGGGAUUUCAAAGUUGGUUUCACUGCAACAUCUUGACCUGUCAGAAUCCGACAUAGAAGAGUUGCCAGGAGAGUUAAAGGCAUUGGUAAAUCUUAAAUGUUUGGAUUUGGAAUAUACAGGGAAUUUAAUUACAAUUCCACGUCAACUAAUAUCUAAUCUUUCAAGGUUACAUGUGUUGAGAAUGUUUGGUGCUGGUCAUAAUGCCUUUGAUGAAGCAUCAAAAGACAGCAGUUUAUUUGGUGGGGGUGAAUUCAUAGUAGAGGAACUGCUUGGUUUGAAAUCUUUAGAGGUGAUUAGCUUCACCUUGAGAAGUUCUCAUGGUCUCCAAAUGAUUUUGAGCUCGGAUCAGUUACGAAGUUGCACUCGAGCACUCUCAUUCCAAUGCUUCAACGAUUCGACAUCGCUUGAAGUUUCAGCUUUGGCAGAUCUGAAGCAACUUAAAAUGUUGCGGAUUGCAAGGAGUGAAAUAUUGGAGGAAUUAAAGAUGGAUUGUGCAGGGGAAGUUCGACAGUUUGUUUUCCAUAGUCUCAAUAAGGUUGAAAUAUACGGUUGCAGUAAAUUGAAGGACUUGACAUUCCUUGUUUUCGCUCCAAACCUCAAGUCUAUUAAAGUAACAGGUUCCCAUGCUAUGGAAGCAAUCAUAAGUGUGGGUAAAUUUGCAGAAGUUCCAGAGGUAAUGGCAAAUUUAAACCCAUUUGCAAAACUCCAAAAUCUUGAAGUAAUUGGUGCGAUAAAUUUGAAGAGCAUUUACUGGAAGCCCCUGCGCUUCCCACAUCUGAAAACAAUGAGUUUCUUUCAUUGCAACAAGCUUAAAAUGCUUCCACUUGAUUCCAAUAGUGCAAGAGAGCAUAGCAUUGUUAUUCGUGGAGACAGAAUGUGGUGGGCACAGCUUCAAUGGGAGGAUGAAGCCACUCGAAAUGCUUUUCUUCCCUGUUUCAAAUCUUGAGCAGAGAUCACAUUUGAAUAAUUUCUGGUGCGUGCUUUUUCUUACAUUAUUCUUCUUGUUAAUUUCCUUCAUGCAGACAUCUGCACCUAAUAACUCGUUACUUCAAAUAUUCUCUAAAUUAUUUGAGGGUACUCGCCCCUGCACAUAAUGUAUAUUUAUAUCUAAUUAAAUUUUUUAAAAAGUCAAUAUUAUAUUUUUUAUGUCAUUAAAUAAAGUCUUGUUAUUUUAUCGAAUUAUAUUCAACUUGAAAAUAGUUCUAGCUUUUAGAUAUAAGUUAUGUAAGUACAAGUUCAAAGUGUAUCAGCAUUAAAUUACUCAUAUUCAAUCAUUUAUAAUCUGAUGUUGAAAAAAAAAUGUCAUUCAAUCAUAUGCAUUUAACUAAAUUCAAAUAUAAUCUAAAUUCAGAUACGUUAAAAUUAUUUGGGAAAAAAAAGCGCCACAACUCUAUAUUGUUUAUUGAGUAAACCAGAUAUUAACUCUAUCAUGAACGUAAUAGCCUCCAGCAUUUUUUAUUAUCUGUUCAAACCAUAUUUUAUUAUUUUAAUUUAUUUAUAUUCAUUGCAUUUCAAUUAGGUCAUGUUUUCUUUUGUUUUCUGUUUUAUAUUCUUUGAUCAUUUUGGCAACAUGGAGUACUAUGAUUAAUCAUUUUGUACUGGUCUCAAAUUUCAGUCGGAUUAUCUGCGGAAAAUAUCUCUGAAGAUGCUUUCAAUGGAGUCCAGUACUCAGAAUGCGAUGCCUAAUCCUUUGCAAUCCAACAAUGCUAGCAGGAGCAACGAACCCCCUCAUCCAGGUAGUGACGUGGAAUAGUAAAUGCAGCUUCACUUUCAAUUUGUCUCUGAAACCGCUCCCUAUAAUCAAUCCUAGCAUUCUUAUGUGUUCUUAACUUCUGCAGCCUGAAUAUUUCUUCCUCGACAAUCAAAGUCAUAACAGUAUGAUUGGCUGGAGUAGCUUUCCUCCAGACCCCUCAUUAUAGUUAUAAAUAAUUCCGAUAUUUGAUAUCAUGAUCGGGGAUUUCAGAGCUUAGAAAAUAUGAUUUGUACCCAUAUGUGUCUGAUCAUGAGAAGUUUGAAAAUAUACAUCAAAAACUGUAUGGAUUGGAAAAAUAUAAUCUUAUUAUGGUGUGUUAAAUCGUCAUUUGAUGAACGGAUUUGGGAUACAUUAUAAUAUGAUGUCAUUAUUAAUUAGGGUGUGUUUUUGGAAGUGCUUAAUUAUAUUCGUUUAAUGUGUAUUUCUUUUAUCACUUUUGAAAAGAAUUCUUAAAUAUUUAAAUAUUUCAAUGUUUAUAUCUUAACUUCAAAUAUAAUAAAAUAAAAUAAAAUAACUGUUCUCCAAUAUGAGGGUCCGAACUAAGGGUCUACGUCAAUAACAUGAAAUAUAAUAAUUUUUGUAAAUUUUUCUUAAAUUCAAAAUAAAUUUUGUUACUGAUUCAAAUGUUUAACAAAAUGUGGCAGCUUAUCUGUAAUUGCCACAUCAAUUGAGAUUCAAAUUACUACUCAAAUCCUGAAAUUCCUAAAGGUCCCUAACAUUAAUAUUUUAUUAAGUCAAUAUUGAAGUUGAACUAUGGGGUUCGUCGGCUAUUUCACACUAACAGAGGAAUCAUUUUAUCUUCUACAAAGGGUUCAGUUUUCUUGCACUGUAUGAUAUGAAGUAAUAUUGUCAUAUGUUGUUCUGAAUUAAUUUUUUUCUUCUCUCGUGCGAAUCAGAAAGAAAUGUUGUAUUUAAGAUGUGGAAAGUAUAAGAUCUUAGGAGUUUUACAGUGUAUAUAUAUAUAAAUUUUUUUUUGACAAACAGAGAAAUUCAGUCUAGAAUAUGAGAACAAACUAAAAGCUACGAAAUACAUUGGCAUUUUUGAGAAGUAGGAUAAAUAUUAUUUUUUUUUUUGAAAAAAAAAGGACUUGGCACCUCAAUGCUUUAAUAACCUAAUGUUAUACUUUUGGUUUGAUUUUUCUAUGUACUCUCUUCCAAUGGUCAAUUUAGGCUAUGUUUGGUAUUGAGAUAUUAUAACUAAAAAAUUUUAGGAUUUAUCACUUAAAAGAUAGAGUAGCCGUGGGAAAAAAGAGAGAGAGAGCUGAAAUUAUGAAAUAAAAUUAUUAAUGUAUUGUAAAUAAGAUGUUCAAAUAAAAAAAUUGACAAAAAUAGUAAAAAUACAAUACCAAACAAGAAUUUAUUUAGGAUACCGAUUCCAGGUCUCUAAAGAUUUGUUUUUAUGCUUUGCAGUUAUUUUCUUCUAGCUGACUGAUGAAUUAUUGUGAAAUUGCUAUGAAAAUUACUAGGGAAAUUAUCAGUCAUACACUCUUAAAUGACACCCGUAUCAAAUAUGCUACAACAUUUUUCAAGUAUAUCACUCGUAUACUCUAAGUUGACAAAACACUUCUACCGUCCACCAAUAUGUUAACUUCUAUUAGAAAGUUAAUAGAAUUGUGGCAAAUUGACUAUUUCGUCCUUGAAACUCAAAAUGAGAUUAAAAAAAAUUUACCCAAAAAAUUAAAGUAAAUUUUCAAUACAUAAUUUUUUUUAAUUUCGUUAUUAACAAUACAUUUUUUUAUUAAAAAAUAUGAAUUAUUAAUGGUACAUAUUAUUAACAAUUAUCCAUAAAAAUAUCCAUAUUAUACCAUAAAAAAUUAUUAACAACAUAUUAUUUACAAUUAUACAUAUUAUACCAUAAAAAACUCCAAUUGGAGCUUGGAGGAGUAGAUCUUAAAAAAUUUAGGUUAAAUUUUGGAUGAGUAGAUUCGGUUGUAAAGUAGUUGUUUUUUUAUAUGUAAUUAUUAACAAUUAUCCAAUAAAUGGGAUGACAUGUCAUUUUAUCAAUAUAUAUCAUAUGACAUGUCAUUGCUUAAUAGGAAAAUGGGAUGACAUGUCGUUUUUAAAAAAGACUAUAUUUACCCUUAUGAUGUCAGCACUUGCAAACGGCAGUUAACGGAUUGGUGAACGGUAGAAAUGUUUUGUCAACUUAAAGUAUACGAGUGAUAUACUUGAAAAGUGUUGUAUCACGUUUGAUAUUAGUGUCAUUUAACGAUAUAUGACUGAUAAUUUUCCAAAUUACUACUAUAACUUAUGGCAAAUUGGCAAUUAAAAAUCAUAAAAGUCUUUCCUCUUGAAUGAGAAAGUGGGUUAUUUUCGUUUACUAUAUAUAUAGUGUCACAAUCAAGAUUAGCAAAGGUUUGUUCACAAACCACCAUCUAUGAAACUAUGAUGACAAAUAUUAUUUGCUAUUAUCAUGUCACUGCAUUACUCUAAUGCCAUUAUUUGCCUAAUUAAAUAUUCAUGUCGGUUUUAAGAUGAAUUUCAAGACAUUUAACUAACCAUAUCUAUUGUAUUUUAUUAUGGUGCUCUAGCUAGCUGGUUGCCAGCUUUGCCUUUCAAUGGGGUUUGAUUAAUUACUCUGCAUAUAGACCAUUAUAUACUAGGACGGCCAAUGGUUAAUGUAAUAUAAACACAAUAAAUUUUAAUCAAAUAUGAAUUUUCUGAAUAAUUGUUUCUUUAUUUUAUGAAUUUUAUUUAAACGAUAUCCCAAUUUAAAAAAAAAAAAGAAAGAAAGAAAAUCAGCGCGUUUGUCUCCUCCCCAUUGUCAUGAUCAACCUUGUUGGAAACGUUGGUGAGAAAAGUAAUACUAUACGUUAAUUGCUUUUAAUAUUUUAAUCGUUGGUGGCACAACCGCACAAGAAAGUAAAAGUUGUUAUAUAUAUAUAUAUUUUAAAUAAAAGUUUAGCUUUCAAUAAUUCAACUUUGAAAAAGGUACAAAAGAUGUGUAGGACAUUCGUUGAACCACAUUAUUGGUUGUACACUUUCUAAAGCUACUUUGGCUAUGGAAUAGGCCAUGAUUAUGAAGCCGAGAAGUAUGUUGCAGUGUGGGGUUGUGUAGUUCCUUUUAGCUUCUUCUUACAAAUUAAUGCUGACAGAAAAAGCAAGAUCAUAUUCCACAAAAGUAAAAGUAACAAAACAACCAGCUGGAAUCUUUUAUUAAACUACGAUAAACUACAAAUUAAAGUGGAUUCUUUUGAAUACAAGUGGGAUAGACGAUUGGCUCUUUUAUUAAAGGCCAGUAGUCAAGAAUCGAAUAUCUCGAUUGCAUAGUCUUUUUCAAAUUCUUGUUUUAUUAUUUUUCAAAACUAAUUUUUUAUUAGUCUACAAUUAUUUAUAAUUAUAUUUUCAUUUAGAAUACAGUUCAAGUCAAAUCUUUUGCACUUCUACCUAACUCGGGCUAAUACUAGUCCACUCAUUAUUCAUGUGAGAGAGUUGUAAGGUACAUGCAUGUAACUUCUCUAACUCGAAUUAUUCCACACAGAGAAAUAAACAUAGAUGCUUUAUAACUUUAGAAAUCCGAUCUCUUACAGUUGGAAACAGAGAUGAUGAUUACUAUAAGAAUGAAGAAAAAGAUAAAAAAUUGUCAAUGAUUAACGAAGUCUCUAUGCAAAUUUCUCUAUGCAAAUUGAUUUUAGCAGAAAAAUAGUGAGUUGAAUGAUGUAGGCGAUUAGUGGUAAUAUUUCAUAGAGUUAGAGUAUUGGCAACCCUUCAAUCUUCUCAUGAAUCCCCUUUUUGAGUUAUAGUUAUUUUAUUUCGAAAUAUCCUUUUUCUUCUUUAAUACACUUCUAAUUUUUCAUUUAAUUUUUUUAUUGUUAAACUCAAAGUAUUAUUGUGAUAUUUUUCGUUUCUUUUGUAAUCUUAUUAUAAUUAAAAAAACCAAAAAAAAAGAUUGGCUAUGAAAUUUGUUGGAAAAAAUCUAUGUGCGUUUAAUUUUUGUUUGUCUUUGACUGUAAUUUAUUUGAAGUGGGGUUUUAUAAGCAUAAUGAAGGGAUCAAAGGAUGCCCAUAACUUCACUCUAUUUUAUAUGGAGAAAAGUAAAAGGUACACCUAAAGUUAAUGGAAAGUACUUCGCAGCUUUCUUUUGAUUAUAAUAUCCUUUAAUUUAAUUAACUUAAAAAUUUUGACUUUAAUAAUUUAUAAUAAAUUAAAUUAUAAUCUUAAAAUAAAUAUAAUAAUAUAUUUUAAAAUAAUCUCUAUAUUUAAAAUUUAUUUAUUUUCACAUUUUAUAUAAAUUUUAUAAUAAAGACAAACAUACUAUUAAAAUAAUAUAUAAAAAAUUUAAAAGUAUUUUGAAUAUUAUAUAAAAUAACUAUAACAUUUUUUAAUACAUGAGAUAUAUUUUGUUAAUUUAAAAUUCUAUUUAAUCCAAAGAUUUAUUUAAGAUAAAUUAAUAAUAAUAUUUUUGAAAUUAUUUGAAAUACUAAAAAAUAUUUUAAUAUUACUAGUCUAUUAAAUAAAUUAAAUAUAUUUAAUAGACUAGUAAUAUUCUGAAAAAUAAUAAAAGAAGAAUUAAAAAAAGACUAGACAAUAGAGAUAUUCGAUUCUUUUAAAGCAAAUCGUAAUAUUCCACAAAGGAGUAAGAUCCACAAAAGCAAACAACCAGUUGGAUUCUUUUAAAGUGGAAUCGUUUAUUAAACAACAAAUUAAUGUUCAAAUAUUUAAAUAGCAGUGCAUUAGACGAUUAGACUGUCUUAUUAAAGGCGAGUAUAAAGUAGUCAAGAAUCGAAUAUCUCUAUUGUCUAGUCUUUUUUUAAUUCUUCUUUUAUUAUUUUUCAGAAUAGGUUUUGGUGAUUACAAUGGGUUAUUAUUCAGAGUUAUUGUUAUCUUCCGGGUCAAUUUCUGUUCAUCGAAGUCGUUAAUUCAAAUUUUAGAACUUUUAUCAAAAGAAUGUUUUUCGUUAUCUUUUUUAUGGUCUAAUUCCAAUUGUAAGAAGUAGUCAUUUUAAAAUUUGGGUCUUGAAUCGAAUUUCAGUGCAUGAAUUAAUAUUAAAAAAAAAUCACUACACACAGUUUAGGCUGCAGACUACUUUUUGCAAAUUUGACUCUGAAAAUUGGAGAAAUUAAGUAAUUUAGAAUGUUUGCAAAGAAAAAGACUAACAUACUUCCUAUUACACUAAAUCUCUAUUAUCAUAAUGUUGAGACUAAACUAACUUAAAUACGUUUUAUUUGAAAAGCUAUAUUAAAUGCAGCCUAAUUUUAUUAACCUGAAGAGCUAAUAGAAGUGUAGUUAUAAAAAUUAUAUUCUGACUUAAUUAGUACAAGUGAUAUAAAGGUUAAGUGUGCACUAUAUUUAAUAAUUAAUUAAUGGAGCAUGUUAAAUAAAAUGAUAAUUUAUAUUUAUAUAAUGUUAGGAAUAUGUAAAGUCUAAGUCCACAAGUUGCAUUAUCUUUAAUAUUUUCUCUCAAUUAAAUUCUAAAAAUACUUUACAAUUAUUUAGUAACAACUGUAAAUUAAGAAUAAAUUAUUGUCCCAAACAACAUUAAAAAAUAUUUUAUUCCAUUUGAAUCCUUUAAUUUUUUUUACAGUAUAUAGAUAAUUAUUACUAUGUGAAUGUAAGUUUCUUAAGAUGGGACCUAUAACAAUUUAGAACUUAUUACAACGGGGAGUUUAUUAGGACCAAAAUUUUUUAUGAGUACAUAAAGUUAUCUUGUAUAGAAUAUUAGUAUAUAGAUGUUUUACUGUAAUUAGUCUAGAACAUUUAAAAAAAAAAAACAUAUACCGUCCCUUGGAUGUAGCUCUUGGGUGACCAUGAAUGUUCUUUGUUCCACAUACGNNNNNNNNNNNNNNNNNNNNNNNNNNNNNNNNNNNNNNNNNNNNNNNNNNNNNNNNNNNNNNNNNNNNNNNNNNNNNNNNNNNNNNNNNNNNNNNNNNNNACCCUCUAUGGGAAUAAUCUAUUUAGUUAUAAAAAAUUAUGAUCCCAAUUUAGACUAGUUAUAAAUAACAACAAAUUCCACUUUGUAAUAAAUUAUAUUUUUUCUAUAUCUUAUCUUAAGAAACUUAUCUCUACAUAGUAAUAAUUAUUUGUAUAGGUAAGAAUGGAUCAAGAUCCUCUCCUGAUCUGAGCACUCCUGAUCUUUUACAGAUCUUAUACCACCUGUGUUUUACUGUUAGUGGAUGAUUAUGAUUUGACUAUUUUUUCUUUUUAAUUUAUUAAUCACCAAUUAUAUUAAUAAAAUUUGCUCAGAUGAAGAUCAGAUCAAGAAAGGAUCCUGAUCCAAUAAGAAUACAUGUUAUAUUAGACUAAAGGAACUUGUCUGCACAUAACGAUUAGACAACGAGCGAAAAUUAUUAAAGCGAAUGCAAAUAAUUAGAAUUUUUUAAGAUGACUUUGUAUAUUCACAAUAAUAAUUGAUAGAUACAUGUACCAACGUUUUAAUAUAUUUGACAUCCUCCAUUAAUAAAUCAUUGAUGUAAUAUAGACUUUAUCUCUAUAUCCUCACACUACGGACAACUAAGUCAUAAUAAUAAUUUUUGUAACUACAUCUCUAUUACUUCCUCAUAAUAAUAAGUUAAUUUGAUCUCUACAUUAUGACUAUGGAGAUUUUAUUGUAUAGGGACACCCAAUAUAAAUAGUAUCCCAACUAAAAUUGUCCCAAAAAAAAAAUCGCUAAAGGAUAAUUAUAAUUUUUUUUCACUUCUCAAACGUUGGUGGCAGUUGUAAGCUAAGUUGUCAAAUAUAUUAAACUACAAGUGCUGCCACCAAGUGCGAUGCUCUUUUCUAAAGAGAAGUACAGUGGGUCCCGAAUAGGACGUGCUUAAAUCUGUUUAAAUUUUUCCAGUAUAACUAACAGAGGUCAUUACUAGAAUUAUAUUACUAGCCUAUUAGAUAGAAAAAAUUAGUUAUAUUAUUUUAUAUUUAUUAAAAAAGUUUAAAGUUAAUCUUUUUAAUUACUAUUUAAAAGAUAUUAUAAUAAAAAAAUAGUGUCUUUACUAAAAAUUUAGAAAUUUAUUUGACCGUUCUCUAAACUUUAUUUAAUAUUAUUGAUUUAAAUAAUAUCUAAAUUAAAAAUGUACAGAGAAGAAAUUUCGGUGGGUAUAUUAGUCUUUUACUUUUAACGUUAGUGGCCUUCUUAUAUUUUAUUACAAAUUAAUCCUAACAAGAAAAAGCUAGAUCAUAUUCCACAAAAGCAAGAGUGACAAAACAUGAAAACAACCAACUGGAUUCUUUUAUUAAACUACAAAUUAAAAUUGUUUUUUUUAAUAAACUAUAAAUUAAAGCGGAUUCUUUUGAAUACAGGUGGGACAGACUUAAGCUCUUUUAUUAAAGGCAAGUAUAAAGUAGUCAAGAAUCGAAUAGUCUUUUUCAAAUUCUUGUUUUAUUAUUUUUCAAAACUAAUUUUUGGUAAUUACACUCGGGUCAUUAAUCAUUAUUCAGAGUCAUUGUUAUCUUCGGAGACAGUGGGUAAAAGAUAAUUACUGGCUGUUUUUCCUUCAAAAGUUAGUGGCUCAUGUUUGCAAGUGUGAAUGUGCGAUGCUCUUUUUCCAAAUGCAAUUACAGUGGGUCCCGAAUCGGAGGAUAAAAAUCCUUUUAGUUUUUGUAUUUUAAGAUUAGUAUAUAUUUAGUCUUUAUAUUUUUAAAAAUACCUCGAAACAUUCAUGCCGUUAAAGUAUUGAUACCACUACCAUUACUUUUCAUUUCUUUUAACUUAAUUUUACAAUAUUACCCUUUUAUAAUAAUUUUUUUAGACAUUAAUAAAAAAUAAUUAAAUCACUAAUUUAACUCUAAAAAAUAAAAAAAUUAUAUUAAUUUUUUUGCAAGCACCGUUUGCACACUUGGUAGGUUGCAUACAAUUUUUGAUAAUUAAAAAUUAAUAUAAAUUUUUAUUUUUAUUUUUAGGGUUAAAUUGAUAAUUUAAUUAUUUUAUUUUUAUUAAUGUACAAACAAAAAAAUUAUUAUUAAAGGGUAAUAUUGUAAAAAUAAGCCAAAAGAAAUGAAAAAUAACGGUAGAAGUAUCAAUACUUUAACGACAAGGAUGUUUCUAGAUAUUUUUAAAAAUAUAGAGAUUAAAUGAAUACUAAUCUUCAAAUACAGGAUUAAAUAGAAUUUUACCCCGAAUCGAACGUGCCUAAAUCUUUUUAAAAUUUUUGCCGUACAACGGACAGAGGUCAUUACUAAAAUUUCUCUUCCACAGCCCACAUCAGCUUCAGGAAUCAGUUUAUCAAACUCAAUCAAUUUUCUUUCUUAACAAAAUUCCAAAGAUGUGUAGCAUUUUUCAGAUCACAUGCGAUGGUGCUUUUUUCAAUCGUUGCUUGGAUUGCUUUCUUGGAAAAGCAGCAUACACACGUAACCUCCAAGAUAAUCUUGUGGCCUUGCAGACUGAAUUAAUGAAACUAAACGCAGCAAAGGACGAUCUGAUGAGGAGGGUCGUCAAUGCUGAACGUCAACAAAUGAGAAGGCUGGACGGAGUGCAAGUGUGGGUUUCGAGGGUGGAUGCUGUUACAACUGAAGCUAAUGAACUUAUCAGAGACGGCUCUCAAGAAAUUGAAAAAUUAUGUCUUGGAGGGUUCUGUUCCAGGAACUGCACGUCAAGCUACAAGUUUGGGAAACAAGUGGCUAAAAAGCUACGAGAUGUGGAGGCUUUAUUUGCCGAAGGGGUUUUUGAGGCGGUGGCUACCAAGGUGGUGCCUGAGAGAGCUCCAGAGCCUGUAGCAGAUGAAAGACCUGCCGAGCGAACAGUAGUAGGCUUGCAAUCACAACUUGAACAAGUCUGGAGAUGUCUUGCAGAAGAAUCAGCGGGAAUCAUUGGCCUAUAUGGUAUGGGCGGUGUUGGUAAAACUACACUAUUGACCCAUAUCAACAAUAAAUUUCUCGAGAGUCCAACCAACUUUGAUUGUGUGAUUUGGGUAGUAGUUUCAAAAGACCUGCGACUCGAAAAAAUUCAAGAAGAUAUUGGGAAAAAGAUAUGUUUGGUUGAUGAUGAUUUGUGGAAGAGUAAAAUUUUUGAAGAGAAAGCUGUAGCCAUCUUGCGGAGAUUAGGAGAGAAGAGAUUUGUAUUGUUGUUAGAUGAUUUAUGGGAGCGGGUUGAUUUAACAAAAGUGGGCGUUCCACUUCCCAGACCAAAAAAUACUACCUCAUAAGUCGUAUUCACAAGCCGUUUCAUCGAUGUUUGUGGUAGCAUGGAAGCUGGCAGGAAGUUCCAAGUAGCAUGCUUAUCAGAAAAGGAUGCUUGGGAACUGUUUCAAGAAAAAGUUGGGGAAGAAACUCUUGAGAGUGAUCAUGAUAUCGUUGAGCUAGCCCAAACCGUGGCCAAGAAGUGUGGUGGUUUGCCACUCGCACUUAUUACUAUUGGUCGAGCUAUGGCCAUCAAAAAGACAGCCGAGGAGUGGAGACAUGCAAUUGAAGUGUUAAGACGAUCAGCUUCAGAGUUUCCAGGUUUGGGAAAAGAGGUGUAUCCUCUUUUAAACUUUAGCUAUGAUAGUUUGCUGAAUGAGACGAUUAGAUCUUGUUUCUUAUAUUGUUGUUUAUAUCCUGAAGAUUAUGGCAUUCUUAAAUGGGACUUGAUUGAUUGUUGGAUUUCUGAGGGAUUCUUAGAGGAAUCUAAUAGGUUUGGUUGUUAGAGUGCAAUUUAUGCACUAGUUUUGCAUUAUUUACUUCCCUUAAUAUCAAUGUUUUGCACUUAAUAAUAGUGAUUUACUUGUGUUUUACUUUUGUAGGUGCAAUUCUAUUGAUUGAUGAUAAAAUUGAGCUAUAAGAUGAUGUUUAAGGAUGAUUGUUCUCUUGAAGAAAUUAUGAGCGUCAGAAGAACUUUGUUGAUAAGGCGUGGGCGCGUGCUGUCAACUGCGGACCUGCAGUUUUAGUUUAACGUGUUUUGUAUUUUUGGUUAUUUUUGUAAUUACGAAUUUAAUAUUUCAGAUAUUAGGAUUUUAUUUUAAAUAGAAUUCUAAAAGAGAAGAGAGAGAAAGUAUUUAAGGGAGGAAUCUAUUGUGAAAGGGGGAUUUUGGAUUGGAGAAAAAGAAACCCUAGAUCUAAUUUUUCUCUUCUCUCUAUGAGGAACUAAACCCAUUUUUCUGGUUGAAGGUUAAUGAAGCUUUGAUUCAUCACUACUGUGAGAUCUUUCUUGUGCUUUAAUUGUUUUAUUACUUUUUGGGUAUUUGUUUAUUCUCUGAAUUAUUUUCAUGAUUAUGUUUGUUAAUUAGGUAAUUGGCCACUAUUUAAUUAUCAACUUAAUCUAUUGUCAAUUAAAGGAUUCAUCGUAUGAAGAAUUUAAUGUUUGUGACAAAUAACAUAGCAGAGAGUUGUGUUGUGAGAAUAAACAAUCUAAUUUAAAUGAAUCAUCAUAUGUGUUGAUUAGGAUUUGGGUCUCUCUGGUUUUUCAGGCUGUCAAUUGAUUAAAUUCUAUGAUCGUAUCUAGGGUUGUCUAUUGAUUAGGGAAAUAACCAACGGUCGUACCUUGGUUAUCGACUAGUUAAGGAGAGAUUGGCUAUUAGAGGGUCUCAGUAGCUAUAACCGGUCUAUUCAUGAGUAAUAAUAAUCUAUAUUUGAAUCAAUGAUCAGUAGUCGAAUCAAGCUGAGUUAAUUCCUUCAACCAGAGCUUUCUCCAAUUUGAAUUACAACUUUAAUUUGCAUUCUUGUUAUUUUAAUUUGAUUUUUAUUAUUGUCAACAAUUCCCCUAUUUUACGUUUUACGUUUCAAAAGGAUUUAAUUAAUUACCGAUCUCUGUGGACACGACCCUGCUCAAUCACUAUACACAAUUUAUUUAGAGUAGGAAUUUACUUUUGUUGGCUUCGACACCCAUCAUUGGUGCAGAAAACCGAGGAUACUACAUUGUGGGCACUCUUGUUCAUGUGUGUUUACUAGAAGAGAUAGAAGAUGAUAAAGUAAAAAUGCUUGACGUUGUUCGUGAUAUGGCUCUAUGGAUAGCUUGUGAAACUGAGAAGGAGAAGAUAAACUUUUUGGUUUGUGCAGGUGCUGGAUUAGAAGAGGCACCGGAUGUUAAAGAAUGGGAAAAUGUGAGAAGAUUGUCAUUGAUGCAAAACCAAAUUGAAACUCUGUCAGAGGUUCCCACAUGCCCUCAUUUCGUCACUUUAUUUCUUGACUUUAAUGGGGAGUUGAAGAUGAUCGCGGAUGGCUUCUUCCAACUUAUGCCUUCUCUCAAAGUUUUGAAGAUGUCAAACUGCUGGAAUUUGAAAUUUCUUGUUGGGAUGUCAAAGUUGGGUUCGCUACAGCUUCUUGAUAUUUCACAGAACGCCAUAGAAGAGUUACCAGAAGAGUUGAAGUUGUUGAUAAAUCUGACAUGUUUGAAUUUGAGGGGGACAGGCCAAUUAAAUAAAAUUCCACGGCAACUAAUAUCAAAUUUUUCAAGGUUACGUGGGUUAAGGAAGUUCAUAACGUGUGCAAGCAGUCAACUCAAGGUUAGCACGUGGGAGAAUUUGCUGAGCUAAAGUUAGUUAAAUAAGCAAUGCCAGCUCAACAAAUUCAGUCAAGGUUUACUGAGAUUUUAUUCCUAUUGUUUUCUUUUCUGUUAACAAUGUAUAAAGGUGUUCUUUGUACUCAUUUGAUCAUUAAGAAAAAAAGAAAUAAAAUCUAGAAUAUUCUCUGAAGUUUUCUCAGUAAAACAGAGUAAAUUUUCUCAGUAACUAAACAGUAUAUAUCAGUGGAAUUUACGUUUUAUAACAUGGUAUCAGAGCCAAACAGUAACCAGCAAACAAUGAUGAGAAAUCUAGCAAUCAAUAAUACACAUCAACACACUCAAAUCAAUUUCUCUUUCACGAAUCCAAUUAAACUAGAUCGAUCAAACUACCUGCUCUGGCGUUCACAAGUUCUGGCUUCGAUUAGAGGUAAUCGACUAGAAGACUUCAUAACUAGAAUCAAAUCAACAUCUGAAGAAAAUAUUUUGUUAGCUGGAGUUGAUGGAUCUACACAACAAAUUGAGAAUCCUGAGUAUCAGAUCUGGAGAUCACAAGAUCAAAUUCUUCUUGGUUGGCUACUGUCAACCUUAAGUGAAGGUAUCCUUAGUCUUGUUAUUAACUGUAAAAGCUCAUUUUCUUCAGCUCAGAUAUGAACUGAACACUCUUAAAAAGGAGUCUCUUAGUAUUGAAGAUUAUUGUGUUAAAAUGAAAGCAAUAGCUGAUAAGCUUGCUAGUGCUGGUAGCUCGAUAACAGAAAAGGAUCUAAUGCUAACCAUACUCAAUGGAUUAGGAUCAGGAUAUAGUGAUAUUGCUACUUUCAUAACUGGUUCACGAAUGGAAUUUGAUGAUACUUAUGCAUUAUUGCUCACUCAUGAAACUAGGUUGGAACAAGAUCAUGAUGAUAAGAGUAUGUUCAAUGCUAACUAUGCAUAUACUAAUGCAUUUCAUCCUAAGGUUUAUUAUGCACAGCCUAGAGGAAAUUUUAAGAGAGGAGGUUAUUAUGGUGGUAGGAAUGUUUUCUCUGGUAGAGGGAAUAUGAAUUUUUCUCCAAGAAUGUUUAAUGGAGGUUUUAGAAGUGGUUUUGGUAGAGGAUAUUAUGUUGGUAAUCCUUUUAAUGGUAAUAAUUCUUUAGCACCAAAGAAUUCAUCAUCUGUUAUCAAGAAUGGAUCACAGAGAACUUUUAAUAACAAUCCAGGGGACUCAGUAUGUCAGAUUUGUCUCAAACUUGGUCAUACUGCUGAUAUUUGUUGGCAUAGAUUUGUUGAAGAUUAUGUGCCAAUGCCAAGGGGUUUUUAGAAAAGGAAAAGCACCCAGAGCAGCAUCACUACUAGAAAAAUAGCUUUUACUGAUACUUGUCUUGUGAUACUUUUCUAAAAAGUAUCAGCAAUUACAUAUAUUUGGGCCAUUUUCCGUGUUUAACAAACAAGUGUCACAAAUUACUGAUUCUAUGAUGUUUGUAUAUUAAACAUCAGAGAUCGUCGACACUAAGGUAUCAGAAACAACAAAAAAAAAUAAAAAAUCUAUUUUUGUUUUAGUUGCGACUCGAACCUAGGACCUCAAAACUAAAGUGCUUUAUGUUCAACCAACAAACCACCAUGCCAAAUUCAUAAAUUAGUUUGUGUUGAACAUGUUGAAAUUAUCAAAUUAAAUUAAUAUAGAAAACAAAAAUAUAAAAGCAAAAGAAAAAAACCCUAAAUCAACAUAAACAUAAAAUUCCCUAACUCCUAAAUCCAUGGCCAGCCGCCUCAUCUCUCUGGCGAUAUCCUUCUUCUUCUUCAUACCUCUAAAACUUCGAGCCCUAAAAUUCAAGGGUCCAUGUCAUAAGAAAUCCUACCACCACUGCUCAAAUUCUAACACCCAUACCAUACGAAACCCUAAUGAUCUACAUUAUGCAAAACAUCCACCAUGCCGCUAUGCCACAAGCUCACAAGACCCGCUUUAGAUCUCCACAUUUUGCUCACCCUACUCGAGUGCACACCGCCCCUCUCGCUUCGACUUCUCGGGAUUUCUUGUUAGCUGAAGUUUUGUUUUCUUCCGCUAAUUCGAUCUUCGAAAGGUCUCGGAGCUCCAAGUAACUAAGUAAGCUCGGUUUUCUUCUAUUCUCUCAGAUACUUGCUUACACAUUCCUUUUUUUUUCGUGUUAAAUUUUGUUGUUUCGUUGUGUUAUAUGGAUCGAUGAGAGUCACAGACUUUGACGAGACAAUGACGAUAUUGUUUUGGAGUUUCGUUUCGUAGAUCUGUGAUAGAGUCUCCUUUUUCAGAUAUUUCCUUUCAUUUACCAUAUUUGCACAAUUUGUUUUGUCAUUAAAUUAUUUGCGUUUGAAUGUACAAUUUUUGUUUUCGUUUUAUAUUUUCAAAUACUGUUUCUUGGAGCGAAUUAGUGGAGGAAUUUUUGGUUGAAGCAGAGGAUGGAUAACUUUUGUAUUUUGAACUUUGUAUGUUAUUUAUUAUUUGAACUUGAAGCUAAAAGGUGACCAAAUUUUCCAAAGGUUAGGGUUUGGUUGGCUUAUGUGAAAAUGCCGAACGAAUGUGUAUUAUUCAUACUCCAAUAUUGUAGGUGCGUCAAUGCACCUCCUUGCGAUGGUUGCAGCAACGAAACUGUAGGUCAAGGUUUGGGUACCCCAUUUCCUUCAAAGAUCCAAUAUGGAGCAACUCGAGUCGAGCUUUUUCGGUCAAUUUAAACAAAACCUUUACUCCUAAUUUAUUGUCUUUUGCUUUCUGUUUGUACCUGUAGGAGUUCAUAUUUUGUAAUGUUCCGUAAGUGUCCAAUAACUGGUUAAAUUAUGACUUAUGCUAGGUGAAGAUUUUGUGUUACAAUCCCCUUCAAUAGGCAAUCACUCUUUUUGUAAAUGUUCAUGGGUAAUUGCUUUGCCUUUGCUUCUGUUGUACUUUUGUUUUUGUGGGGUUUUAGUUAAUGGAUGUUGAGUUAUAUUUCAAUCAGUUUGAUUUCUCUGCAUAUUUUUCAUAUUUUAGUAUUAGAAGAGGUAUUUAAUCAAAUGAAGACAAAAACAAUUGUCGGCCAACCAACAAACUCACUUUAGUUUGUUGUGAAAUGAUUUUCUCUCUCUCUCUCGAUUUUCACUGGUUCUGUGGUUUUUUCCCUUCCACAAUGUGAUUUAGUUCUGUUCUAUUUAUGGAUGUUACCAACAUUUUAGCUUUUAAGAAACAGACAAAAAGAUUCUGAAGUUUGUUUCUUGUUUCUUACUCUGAAUUUCCAAGGCAUCUUAUUUGGAGAAAUGCAUUCUGAAUGGAGAAAUUUCUCCAAAUUUAUGAGAUGUGGUUCUGUCUUGCUGAAUGAACAUUGUAUUUCCUUCAAUGGUUUGCGAGCCAUUAAGUUAUUUGAGCAAACAAAAUUAGCAAUAUGGAAUCCUGUUUCUACAGGAUUAUAGUUGUAGGACUCUAGAAUUUAGUCUAGGUAAUGUUUUUACCAUUGUAAAAAGUAUCUGACAUUGGUGAUGUUUAAGCAUAUGUGUCAUUUCUUUUGGGCUUCACUUUGGAUCCUUUUUUUCUUUUUUUACAAACAAUGGAUGGUUAAAACCUAAGAGACUGAUUGAUUUUUGUUUUAAAUCCAGUGGUUAUGCCUUGUAAACUUUUGAGUUGUAUCAAUUUCUUUUCCUGGCCUAACUUGGCUAAAUUUAUGCUAUAUAAUUGAAUUCUACAAAUUUUGGCUAUGUAUGAUGUAAAGGUCAUAAGUCUUGUAUCUUCAUUUGUUCACCACAGGCUUGAUACUUCACAACUACCAUAAGUUAUGUCAUGCCAUGUCUUCUUUAGCAAUAUUGUGUGGCUUUGAGUAGUAUUAAUGUUUUUGUUUGUUAAUUCACGACUUAAUGGAACCAUUUUCCUUAUAAUCGAGAACCUUCGUGCGAGUGUUGUGGAGAAAUCUUAUGAUUCAUGUGUAGGUGUGUUUGCUUAAUGUGAUGACUUUUAUUAUGUGUUGUAGUUCUUGUGUCUAUAAGAGGAACCUUUGCUCCUAUGUCUAUUUAUCUCCGACUUUCAGUUUAGGCGUAAAUAGGUUACUCUUCUUUCUUUCUCAUUUUUUAAUUUCUAUGUUCUCCUAUGUCUAUUUACAUGGACUGCUUUGCUGCUUCUCUGCAGUGAAAACAACCCUGGUAAUUUACAGGAGCUUUUUUCACUUCAGAACAAUAGCAAGACAUCCCCUGCAGAUUUUUUAUUGAUUUUGCAUAGAUUGGUUUGUUGCUUUGGGUUGGAAUGCUACUGGAUAUAUGUCAGAAUUAUAGCGCUAUUGGAAGAUGGUGGGUUGUUGCAUAUGAGUUGGAGUGUUCCUGGGUAUGUAGCUAGAAUUAGAGUGCUGUUGGAAGAUGGUAUUGCUACUGGAAGUUUUGCUCAAAAACUUGUCGUUGGAAUACUUGCAUUAAUUUUUGGAAAUUUUAUUGGGUAACUUGGCUAGGUGGCUGAAAUUUUAAUUGCUUUUGUGUAUUGAAGCAUUUGGAUUGUGUAAUAUAUAUUGAUAAUAUUUAAAUGUUAUGAAAGGUUUUGAUAAAUAAAUUGAUUUUUGUUCUUAUUUCUCACAGCCUUUUAAUUCUAUCAACAAAUCAAUGGGUAAUGUCAUUUUGUAUAAUUAUUUUUUUAAAUAAUACAUAAAGUAGUGAUACUAUAGUAACAGUAUCACAAAUACUAAUAUAGUAUUGUAAUAUUUUGAUACCAUGGUGUUAUGAUUUUAAUGAUACUAUAGUAAUAGUAAUUACUGACACCACUUACAAGUGUCACUAUUUUUCUGACUGCCAGAUUACUGACACAAUUAGCAAGUGUCACUAAAAGUAAUUACUGACACUAUUCUAAUGUCAGUAAAGACCAUUUUUCUAGUAGUGCAUAUCUGUCAAAUUUUGAUGGUUCUGUUUCAAAUCCAAACUUUGAAGAUUAUGAGAACUUCAACUAUAUGCCUUCAGCUUAUAAUCCUAUGUCUGGCAAUAGCUAUUAUUCUGGUUUUGAUGCUUGUACUCCUGGAGUAGCAUUUAUGGCUAACUUUGAAGGAGUUGCUAAUGAUGAAUGGUACUUGGAUAGUGGGGCAACUCACCAUCUGGACAACAACAUGGAGAGCUUGCAGAUCAGUGAGGAGUUUAAGGGUACUGAUUAGCUCAUAAUUGGUAAUGGUCAAGGUUUGUUUAUCACUAAUGUUGAUUUUGCAUUUCUGUCACAAAGAGCAUCAAAUUACUUAUCUGCACAUUCCAGAAUAGCACUUAAGGAUAUAUUACUUGUUCCAUCAAUUACCAAAAAUCUACUAAGCAUUUCCAAAUUGACAUCUGAUAACCCUAUAACUGUUGAAUUUUGUGGGAAUGUUUGUUUUGUGAAGGACAUGAAUAGACAAGUUCUGCUGCAGGGACUUGCCGAAAAAGGUCUAUACAAGCUGCUGCUGAGUUCUAAUUCCUCUUCUUCAUUUCCUUCAUCUCAUCUUUGUCAUACUCAACUAAAUAAUUAUGUCUCAAUGUUGUCUAGCUUUCAAAGCUUUGAUAAUCCUUCUAAAGUUUGUUAUCAUUCUGUUUUCAAUAAAUGCAAAACCAAAUAUGAUGUAAUGACAUUGUUACAUAGAAAAUUUGGUCAUCCAAGUUCAAUGAUUCUGAUGCAUUUAGCUAAGUCUUGCAAGCAAUUAAAAAUCUCUCAAAAAGAUAUUCUAUCUUGUACAAAUUCUUUGUGUGAGGCAUGUCAGUUAGGCAAAGUUCACAGGCAAAGUUUUCCAGCAACUGAAACAAAAACAAAAGGAGUAUUAGAACUGAUUCAUACUGAUAUCUAGGGACCUUCACCCACUGUAUCUAGAAAUGGAUACAAGUAUUACAUUAGUUUUGUGGAUGAUUACACUAGAUACACCUGGAUCUAUCCACUUAAGCUUAAAUCACAAGCAUUUGAAGUUUUCAAACUGUUCAAGGCACAAGUUGAAAAUUAGUUUAAUACCAAGAUUAAGGAAUUACAAUCUGAUCUGGGGGAGAGAGUUUAGAGUAUUCAGUAAUUUCCUAAGUCAAAAUGGAAUCAAGUUUAGACAUUCAUGCCCUUAUACUCAUCACCAGAAUGGUCUUGUUGAGAAGAAACAAAGACACAUAAUUGAAUUAGCAUUAACACUCUUAGCUCAAGCUAAUCUCCCUUUUCAGUUUUGGUGGAAAGCUGUUCACACAGCAACAUAUCAUAUUAAUAGGUUACCAACACCUGUUCUUAAGCUUUUAUCUCCUUAUGAAAAGCUCUUUAAACACAAACCAGAUUAUUCAUUUCAUAAGUGCUUUGGUUGCCUAUGUUAUCCAUAUAUGAGAGAUUUAAAUAAACACAAAUUUGAUUUUCACACCACCAAAUGCAUCUUCAUUGGCUAUAGUCAUUCUUACAAGGGUUAUAAGUGUUUAACAAGCUCAGGAAAAAUUCAUAUCCUAAGGCAUGUUAUCUUUGAUGAAAAUACAUUCCCUUACUUAACAAACAAAGUCUUUCAUUUAUCCGAGAACAGUUCAAAUUCUGAAAUAUCAGUGUCAAACUUUUCCCAGUAACAAAUUUAUCAUCUCUCCACAUUAUCCUUAACUGACAGCAGCUUGGAAGAUCUUCAAUCAGCAAGUUCAGAAAGCAAUGAACAAGUACCUUCUGUUUCUGCACACACAAAUAAUCUGCAUCAACAAGAGCAUUCUCAAGAGCAUUCCUCAUCAACUAUACCAUUAUCACCAACACAACAACAAACUGAAUCACAACCACAAAAUGAACCACAUCUAUCUACUUCCUAGCACAUAAAUCAAACUCAAACUAGAAACCUUCCUUCACAACCAUCACAUUCAAUGGUAACCAGAUCGAAAAUAUGGAAUCUUCAAGCCAAAAGUUUACAUAACCACCUUAACCAACAAAGAACCCAGUACUGUUCAAGAAGCUCUAAGUGAUCAGAAUUGGCAUCAAGCUCUGAAAGAUGAAUAUGAAGCUUUGCUUAGGAAUGAAACAUGGUCACUAGUACCAUUUUCAGAGGUAUACAAGGUUGUUGACAGUAAAGGGGUUUUCAGAAUUAAACAAAACACAGAUGAGAGUGUAGCUAAAUACAAAGCCAGGUUAGUUGCAAAGGGUUUCCAGCAAACUAAUGGUGUUGACUACUUUGAGACCUUUAGUCUUGUGGUAAAGGCCUGCACAGUAAGAAUUAUUUUUAGUUUGGCUGUGAUGAACAAGUGGAAAAUAAGGCAAGUGGAUGUCAAUAAUGCAUUCUUAAAUGGAGAAUUGACUGAAGAUGUUUACAUGUAUAAGCCAGAAGGUUUCAUUGAUGAGAAAAAGUCCAGUUAUGUAUGCAAGUUGAAGAAAGCCCUGUAUGGCUUAAAACAAGCUCCUAGAGCUUGGUAUGAUAAGUUGAAAAACCGUCUGAUAAGUUGAAAAACUGUUUGAUAAGUAAUUGGGGUUUUCAAAAUUCCAGAGCUGAUACUUCUCUCUUCUUCAAAGAGAUUCAAGGCUCAAUAAUACUUGUGCUUAUAUAUGUGAAUGAUAUACUUAUUACAGGGCCUGACAUUGGAGAAUUAGAGAAGUUUAUCUUAGAAUUCAGUAAGACAUUUGCUUUAAAGGAUCUAGGAAUACUAUCAUACUUUCUUGGGAUAGAAGUCUCUUAUGCUGAUGGUUGUAUGUACUUAUCUCAGAGAAAGUAUAUUAAUGAUCUCUUGUCUAAAGCUGAUAUGUUGAACUGUAAAGGGUGUGAUACUCCCAUAGCGAUUGGACUGAAACUUCAAAAGGAGGUUAAAGGUUGUUUAGGUCAGUAUGUUGAGGAUGCAACCAGUUACAGAAGUUUGGUUGGAGGCUUGCAAUAUCUGGUGUUAACCAGACCAGAGAUAGCCUUUGCUGUGCACAAACUCAGUCAAUAUGUGACAGCUCCAACAUUGCAGCACAUAAUGGCCUGUAAACGAGUUCUAAGAUACCUAAAGGAAACCAUGGAUUAUGGUCUAAAGUUUUCAGCUGGUGGAGAAAUGGAAAUCACAGGUUUUAUAAAUGCAGAUUGGGCAUGCGAUAUUGAUGACAGAAAAUCUAUAGGUGCAUACUGUAUCUAUUUUGGAAAUAAUCUGGUGUCAUGGUCAUCUAAGAAGUAGUCUGUGGUGAUAAGGUCUAGUGCAGAAAGCGAAUACAGAGCUUUGGCUUCUGCAAGUGUAGAAAUAGCAUGGAUUCAAUCUUUGUUCAGUGAGCUAAAUAUAAGAUGUGUCUCAGUACUUAUCAUCUGGUGUGACAACAUGAGUGCAACAAAGUUAAGAUAAAAAUCUAGUCUACCAUUCACGUACCAAACACAUUGAACUGGAUAUGCAUUUUGUUAGAGAUAAGGUUUUAGCAGAGGAGCUGAAAAUUAACUUCAUUCAAAGUGAAGAACAGAUAGCCGAUGUCCUAACAAAACCUCUCACAUUCAUUCAUUUUAAUUAUUUCAUAAACAAACUCAAUGUGCAGCCAUGCCCCUUGAGUUUGAGGAGGGCUGUUAAGGAAGCUCAUAACGUGUACAAGCAGUCAGCUCAAGGUUAGCACGUGGGAGAAUUUGCUGAGCUAAAGUUAGUUAAGUAAGCGAUGUCAGCUCAGCAAAUUCAGUCAAGGUUUACUGAGAUUUUAUUCAUAUUGUUUUCUUUUCUAUUAACAAUGUAUAAAGGCAUGCUUUGUACUCAUUUGAUCAAUAAGAAAAGAAGAAAUAAAAUCCAGAAUAUUCUCUGAAGUUUUCUCAGUAAAACAGAGUAAAUUUUCUUAGUAACCAAACAGUACAGAUCAGUGGAAUUUACGUUUUAUAACAACGUGUGUUGAGAAUGUUGGGUAUUGGCCAAUUCAAUUUUCAUGAAGCACCAGAAGACAACGCUUUAUUUGGUGGGGGUGAAGUUUUGAUACAGGUAUUGCUCGGUUUGAAAUAUUUAGAGGUAUUGGAGUUGACCUUGGGAAGUUAUCAUGCUCUCCAAAUUCUUUUGAGCUCAAAUCAGUCAAAAAGUUGUAUUCGAUCUCUUCUCCUCCACAAGUUUAGAGGUACAACGCCGAUUAUUGAUGCUACGGCUUUCGCAGAGCUAAACCACCUCAACGAAUUAUUUAUUAAUAAUAGUAUUGAGUUGAUAGAAUUGAAGAUUGAUUAUACAGAGAUAGUACAAAAAAGGCAGGAACCUUUUGUUUUCCGCAGCCUUCACCGUGUUACCAUAUUUAGGGCCCGUUUGGGAGUGAGGUGCUGUAGCUUUUAAGCUGCAGUUGCUGUGGAGUAAAAGCUAUAGAUGUGGAAUGGAAGUUGAUGGUGUUUGGUAAAAGUGUUGUAGCUUUUAAGCUGCAACUACUGAUGGUGUUUGGUAGAGUGGAUGAAUAUUUGUAAUAAUUAAUUUUAAAUAACAUUAUUUUUAAUUGUUAACAAAUCAAUUAUUUUUCAUUCUUCAAAUUAUUAUAUUGACAUACAAUUACGAUUUAUUCCGUUACAAAUUAAAUUAAUAUUUAAUAAAUCAAAUUUAUUUUUUUGCACAAGUUGUAAUAAAUAAUUUAUAAAACACAUCAUGGGGUCAAUUAUAAAUAAUUUUAAAUAACUAUUAUUGACAAUGCCAACCGGGCAGUGUACAUGAUAUGCUUCUCCAAAUUGCUUCGGUUUGUACCUGAUAUGAUUAAUCGAGUAUUAUUUACAAUACCAAAUAUAUCUAAUAAAAAUCAUACAACAAAACAAAAUAAAAUUAAAAUGUAAUUAAUUACAAAAUUUGUAUAAAUAUUUCUAUUGUUGUGCCUCCAUUAAACUUGCAGCAAUGCCAUCUUUCAAGAUUAUUAUAUCUUGAGUUGUGCUAUCAAUUGUUUCAUAACUUUCUUCAUGAGAUGCAAUAUGUUCGCUAAUACUAUGACUUGGUUCAUCCGUCAUUUCAUCAAAAUGAUCAUUAUUUUGUGAAUAUCUUCUGAUAUAAUUAUGCAAGGCCAUGGUAGCAAUAACUAUUUUCACCUGCUUCUUGAAUGGAUAGCUUGGCAUACUUCGUAAAAUCUUCCAUGUAUUCUUCCAAACCCCAAAAGUACGCUCAAUAACACUUCUCAAGGAAGAGUGCUUGUAGUUGAACAAUUCUUUAUAACCCAUUGGUUGGCUACCUCUACGAAAUUCAGGAAGGUGAUAUCUUUCACCCUUAUAUGGUCCUAAGUACCCACAUAACUCCGGAUAUCCUGCAUCUACUAAAUAAUAUUUUCCUAAAAAUAAAAAGAAAAAUACAAAAUAAAUAAAACAAUCUAAUCAAUUGAAUAUGUAUAUAUAAAAGAAAAAUUAGAAACACAAACCUGGAGGAGGGUUUGGAAAAUUGAAUGCAGGAUUCGUAAUAGUUGUUUGAAAUACCCUUGCAUCAUGGGCACUGCCUUCCCAACCAGCCACUGCAAAUAUGAAUUGCAUAUCAAAGCUACAUACAGCCAUUACAAAUUCUUUUCCCACCAUUCCUCACUUGCAUCAACUGUCCUCAACCUAUGAUUCCACCCUAAACCAGUUUCUUUGCCAAUCAAAUUCUUCCACAAUUUCCAAUCAGUUCUAAGAGAAUCCCAUUUAUUUUUCAUUUGAGUUCUGUUGUAAUCUAAUCCAGUUUCUUUAGUGAACUCCUUAAUCAAAUUUUCAUAUCCUUGGGAAGUCAAAUGAGUCCCUGGACGAUGUCCGGCAUCCACCUCUUUAACGCAUAAGUCACAAAAUACAUCUAAAGUCUGGGGGUUCCAAGUAGCCUUACUAGUUGAGCUAUUAGACACAAUUUCAUACACUUAAACCUAGGAAAAAAAAUAUUUCUUUAUCAAACAACAAUACAGAAAAAAUAAGAAUAUAGAAGUUAAGAAAAUUACUAGAAUCUUGUUAUGGAUGGUGGAAGGAAAAAUAAUUCGAUAUUAAAAAAUUAAAAAAAAAGACAAACCAGAACAAGUUACCUUAGUUGUUACUUUACUUGAAAUACUUUUCCAGCAAACAAUAAUGAUCAUAGCCCACGAAUAGAAACAAUUACAAGCAAGUCAAUAAAGCAACAAAAGACAAACCAGACUAGGAAACAAAGAAAUUCAACUAAACAAUCAUUAGGUACAAACUGCAAUUGCAUUUAGCCUCACAAUCUCAAAUUUGCUACGUGCUUUGAUAUUUCCUGUACUAUUCUUUUGGCCCAUCCUAAGACAUAUACAAUUGCAAUUGCAACACUUUCUCCCUUCUUUUUUCUGUAAUUCGUAUGGCGACUUACGUAUAUAUAACCUAAUUAAUUGAAUUAAAUUGAUGAUGGGUUAGAAAAUCAUUAGGCUUAUUAAUUAUACGCGUCAAAAGAAUGGUCGGCCAAUAAUUAGGUGUCCUGCUUAUACUCCUGUAAUUUAGUCAUUCUCUAGUAAAUAUUAUUAAAUAAAAAGAAACACAAACAAUUAAGCUUAUUGGUAACUGAACUGGUGCCCAAAAAUAACAAGAGCAGGAGAAAGCAAACACACCCAAGAAUUUGACAAACUUCAACUUGAAAUCCAGAAUUUGACAAACUUCCUUUUGUUUACUGAAGCAUAGUAUUUCAUAACGAAGGCAUGCAUUUUAUUAUUUAAUGUCUUGUAGAACUGGAAACUCAAAUCAAACAGGGGUUGUGCAUGUUUAUAAAAAGCAACUACAAAAAUAAAAACUACAAUAAAAACAAUGGUUACAAGCAAAUAAAUCACGCAUGACCCAUCACCCAUCAAUUUAUUCUAACAAAAGCCCCAACAUUUUAUGAAUGAAAAGGAAGAAAAUGAAAAAUUGCUUGAAAUAGAGUAAAGGAGUACUCAAAAAUGAACAACAGAUAGAGGAAAAGGCACCACUGACAGAGGCGUAUGAGAGUGGCCGGUGUCGGAAUCGCGCCGAUGAGAAUUUCGGUGUCAGAAUCGCAUCAAUUGGAACUCCCACAGUCGGAAUCGUGCUGAUGAGAAUGGGUGUUUAGGGUUUGUUUAAAAAAAUCGAUUUGAAAUAGAACUCCCACUGACAUGACUGUUUGAUAAAAUGAAAAUGGAAUAAUAUAUAAAGUUAAUUUAGUAAUUAAACUUGCAGCUGGGAAAAAAAAUCUGUCAAGUUGUCAAAACACAACUAUAAGUGGUACCAAACACUUUGGUGGCUGGGCUGCUCACCACACUCCCAAACGGGACCUUAGUUGCGGUAAAUUGAAAGAUGUGACAUUCCUCGUUUUUGCUCCAAACCUCAAGUCUCUUUGGCUAUUCGAUUGCGGUGCUAUGGAAGAAAUAAUCAGCGUCGGAAAAUUUGCUGAGACUCCUGAGAUGAUGGGACAUAUAAUCCCUUUUGAAAAUCUCCAAAUGCUUAAUUUAAUGGAAUUGCCGGAGUUGAAGAGAAUUUUCUGGAAGCCAUUGCCUUUCACUCAUCUGAAAGAAAUAUCUGUGGGUUAUUGCCGUAAUCUUAAAAAGCUUCCACUCGAUUCCAACAGUGCAAAAGAGCGUAAAUUUGUAAUUCGUGGAGAAGAAGACUGGUGGAACCGACUUCAAUGGGAGGAUGAAGCCACUCAAAUUGCUUUUCGUUCCUGUUUCCAACCUCGUUCCUGAGCGGUGGUCGCAAAAUUUGAUUUCUGGUGAGUGCGUUUUUGUUAACGCUUAUGUUUUUAUUCCAGUGUGUUUUUCUUCUGUCUUCUGCAAAUCACGAUUAAAUGUUGAAUAAUAUGGAAUCAAUGCUUUAUAAAUUUUCCGGCGUGGCCAUUUCCUUUUCCCUUUUUUUUUUUGGGGGGGGGGGGGGGGCGUGGUUCGAUUGAUGCUCUGGCUUUUUACUUUUUGUCUUCGAAUUUUGCUCUGUUUUUCAAAUUGAUGCUUGAAUAGUUGAAUUCAAUUAAUGCUCACAUAAAUUUGUUUAGUUGCCGUAAAACGGUAAAAGGAUAUAAUUAGAUUGAAAUUCGCACUUCUAGAAUGAAUAGAAUUACAAUAGAGAAAAUAUUAAGUAUACAAGCCCUCUUUACAGAAAAUCAAAUGAAAAUAAAAUUUUUUGGAUAUUUGAUUUUCUAUGGUCUACUGUAUACGCUUUAUAAAUUCCUCUGCUUUAACGAUAACCAAAUCCUUUUUUCAAGGAUUUUUAUUUGGGGUAUUGAUAAUAGUCCACCAACAUAGUGAACGCUUGGAUGCUGCUUAAGGAUCUCUAAUCAGUAGCUGGAAGCAAAUGAGAAGGCGGUCGCUACUUUGUACAAAGCCAUGCAGCAAUUGCUAUUCAUUUUCAAACAAAGUUGAGAUGUUAUUUUCAGAUUUGGUUCCAGAUUUUGUAUGAAUAUCGUUGUUCCAUUGAGUUGUAUAUGAAUUCAAAUGUAAAAUAUUCUUUGGUUUUCAAUUUUGAAUUCAAUUUCUUUUUCUUAAGCAUGUUGUGCAGAAAUGAUUUCUACUAAAUCAUUUUUGAUAAACUAUUUAAAUUAAACAACUGGAAUAAGAACUGUAAGGAUUUAUCGUAAGCAGACUAAUAUGAUAAUUCUGAAACUAUCAUUUUUUUUUUUUCAAUUUGUUGCAGGGAAAGCCAAAUUUUGCGUUUUUCAGUUUUAUCUGAUAUGGGCUUUAUUUCCUCUACACUAGCUACCUAAAGAUUUAUCAAAUUGCUUCUCUUCCCUGCUUCAAAUAUCUUCAUGGCAUCAUAGGAAAAGAGAGUUUGGGUUGUAUUUAUUAUAGUUUUUAUUUUUUUUUUUGUUAUAAGCAAAUUUAUUUUAAAUACUUUAGUAGUAACAGUUUUUAUUGAAUAAUAAUGAGGGAUGAUUAUUAUAGGUUCAAAUAGUUGUUAGAACAUUAUAAAAAGUCUAUUUACUAUCAAAUGUUUUAAAUUGAUGCAACGUGAUAAUUGUCUCAUAUAAUUUUUUUAUAAUAUAUAUGUCCCAUAAUCUUAACAUGAAUAAAUGAAUUUCAACGGUUAAAUUUGACACGAUUAUUAAAUAGAUCAUAUCUAUAUUAAUUCGAUUUAAAAUCUGGUCACAUUUGGAUUUAGAGUUUCUAACAUGAUAACUUGUUUUAUGACAUGAUUUACUAAUCAAUUAAUAGUAAAUCAAAUGUCAGUCAAUUAAAUAUGUGGUACAUUUGUCAUAUUUUAAAAAUUAUUUAUUUAUAUUUGAAAUGAAUUUGGUGCNNNNNNNNNNNNNNNNNNNNNNNNNNNNNNNNNNNNNNNNNNNNNNNNNNNNNNNNNNNNNNNNNNNNNNNNNNNNNNNNNNNNNNNNNNNNNNNNNNNNAUAAGACGACGCGACACAAAUACAACCAACAAGUCAACCCAAAUUGCCACCUUUUACUAUCUUCUUUGUGUUAUUUCUCUAAAAAUUUGUGCCUUCUCUUACACUUUUAAAUCUGAAGUGUUUGAACUGGAGUACACAAAUUAUCUCUCUACAAUUCCAAAACAACCAAUUUGUUACUUGGUAAAUCUUAAUCAAUGGCAGGAAGCAAUUGAGAAGGCGGUCGCUACUGUGUACAAAGCCAUGCAGUAUUUGCUAUUCAUCUUAAUAAUUGUUAAGCUUUGGUAAAAUUUUCAAACAUAGUUGACAUCAUGUUGUUUUGAGAUUUGGUUCAUGAUUUUGUAUGAAUAUCGUUGUUCCGUUUGAGUUGGAUGUGAAUUGAAACCUAAAUAUUCUUUAUUUUUCAAUUUUGAAUUCAAUUUCUUUUUCUCAAGCAUGUUAUGCAGAAAUGAUUUUUACGAAAUCAUUUUUGAUGAAUUAUUUAAAUUAAACAAUUGGAAUAAGAAUUGUAACGAUUUAUCAUAAGCAUGCUAAUAUGAUAAGUUGUUUUACGAACGAUUAAUUAAUCAAUUAAUAUUAGAUUAUAUAUUAGUCAAUUAGAUAUGUGUUACAUUUGUCAUAUUCUAAAAACUAUUUAUUUAUAUUUCAAAUAAAUUUGACCAGAGGUUACGUAGGUAAUACUACAUAAUUUCUAAAGGAAUGUAAAAAUUUAAAGUUUUAUUAAAUAGGUGACUCAAUAAUAAAUGGAUUUCUGCAAGAAUUGAGAUUCUUGAGAUAAUUAUUACAUAGGGAAUUUUGGUUAGUUCAAUUUUGACAUGGUAAGAAGACGACACGGCGCAGAAAACCCAAAUUGCCACUUCUACUAGUAAUAAAAGAUACCUGUUUGAAAAGUAAUUAUAAACUAUCUUCUUUGUGUUAUUUCUCAAAACUUUUGUGGCACAAUGUUAUUUCCCUGGAGAAAAGUACGAAAUACCCCCUUUCACGUCGGCAGAAGCAAAGCAAAGCUAUGAGCUAUCUCUGUAUACUUGAAACGCCAUUGCUAAACGAUUCUCGAUGAUGGGUGCCACUGGGUCAGUGUUGUCUCUGAUUUACAUGAUUUAUUAGUUGUCCAGAUGCCAGAGAAACCAUGGUGGCAUUGAAGUUGCCCAGAUGGUUAGUUUUCUGAUCAUUUUUUUAUUCAAUUAUUUAUUUUUUUAGAAAAAUGUGAGAAAUAUGUAGAAAUGUUGACAGCUAUGAUUUUGAAACUUUGCCUAAAAUUGUUAUCAUCACUUAUUUAAAGAGAAAUCCUAGAAACAUGAAAUGAUUAGUAGCCUAAUUCAAAAUUAGACGUGAUUACAACAAGAGAAAAGUGGAGAGAACUUGAUAAUCGAGUGCAUUUAGAAUUUAAUUUUUCUUUUAGCUGCCGAUCAUUAAAUUUUCGAUUUCAGAAAAUUAUACCUAGAAUAUUUCAAGGAUAUACUAUGAAGAUUAUGAAGGUUUGAUUACAUGUCACUAUCAAUUGCCCCAAUCAUUUGUAGUAAAUUAAUUGAUCAUUUUGAUGCAAAUGAUUCCCUACUAAAAAAUUUAAGUCAAGGCUGAAUUGCAUAGUAGUUAGUCGCGCUUGCACUUCAAAUUAAGUAUUGUAUUUUCUGCCUGGUUUGGUUGAUUAAAGUGUGUGCAUUUGCUUUUGAACGUUGUAGUAUAGAAAUCGAAACAUUUGUUUUUCGCUAAGCCCAGAAGCAAAGUUCUUUGUACUGUACUCAUCACUUCUCUUCAUUCUCUUUGUUGAAAUUUUUUCCAAACAGCGGUUUCUUCGAAUUUGUGCCUUCUCUUCCACUUUUAAAUCUAUCAAAGAACCGUUACCUGAGAAGAUUGCCAUCAGGAAUUUCUAAAUUGAUUUCACUAUAAUACCUUAAUCUUUCAGAUACUCCCGUCACUGGGUUGCCAAAAGUGCUAAAAGCCUUCGUAAAUCCUACGUGUUUGAACUGGAGUACAAAUGUUAUCUCUCCACAAUUCCAAAACAACUGAUUUGUUACUUUUCAAUGCUACACGUUCUGCGAAUGUUCAGUUGUGGUUAUCUUGCUGAAAUACCAGAAAAUAGGGUUCUAGUUGGCGGUAGUGGAUUCUUGGUUGGGGAAUUGCUUAGUUUAAAACAUUUAGAUGUAUUAAGCAUCACCUUAAAAGGUUUUUCUUCUGUCCAAAAACUUAUGAGCUCCCAACAGUUUCAAAGCUGUACAAAAUGUUUGGAGCUUAUAGACUGUGAUGAUUCAAAGUCGUUUGCCUUGGCAGAGUUGAAGCAUCUUGAAAAACUAGGUUUUUCAAAUUGUGGAAAUUUGGAAGAUAAAUUACAUUUAUAAACUGUGGAUCGCCCUUUAUAAGUAUUAGGCUUAUCCCAUACUCGAGCAAUGUGGAAUACCUUUAUAAGCAUUAAGCCUCUCCCAUACAAUUUCUGUACAUGACUUUAAAAGUGGUUGAUGACCCGUUUUGUAAUAUCAUAGAGGGAUCAUGAAUUCCUUUUCUUUUCUGUGGCUAGGCAACACUUUUGGGCCAAAGUAAGGAAAUCUAUUUUAGGUAAUGUAAAAACCAGUUGUGGGAUGUAAUAGUUUAUUAUGCACUGACAACAACUUUUUGUAUAAUUGUCAGUUUAAUGAAUACGAGAGGAACUCUGUUGGCAAAUUCAUCCAUGAUAGAUGCUAAAAUUAUACCAGUUGCCUUAACUAAUUUUUCUCAACACUGGUAUUGAACAGGAAAAUGAAUAUGCAAUUUGUAUUUGUGCCAUUGUGGAGAAUUUGGAUAUUCUUAGUUUUAGUAACAAGGAGAGUAUUUGCCUCAUCUUUAAACAAUGAAUCUUUGAGAAAUGAGGACUGGGUGAUUGGCAGUGUCAGAGUGUCUUCAUGUAAAUGUUCAUUUAUUUGUAUUUUGAACUAUUAUUAGAAUCUUUAUAUGCCAAAUUAGUAAUACAAAUGUUCAGAUGAUUUUUCCUGGUGAUCAUUUCAUUCUUGAGAGCCAUGUACAAUACUAGGAUACCAGAGAAACCAAGGUAGCAUUGAAGUUGCCCCAGUGGCUAGUUUUCCGAUCAUUUUUUAUUCAAAUUUUUAUGUUUCAGAAAAAUGUAAGAAAUUUAUAGAAAUGUUGAUAGCUAUGAUUUUGAAACUUUGCCUAAAAUUGUUAUCAUCACUUAUUGUUUCUUAUUUAAAGAGAAAUCCUAGAAACGUGACAUGAUUAUUCCAUACUUGUUUUAAUAUUAUUUAUUAGCAGCCUAAUUCAAAAUUAGACGUGAUUAUUUGUUACUUUUAAUGCUACAUGUUCUGGGAAUAUUCAGUUGUGGUUAUCUUGUUGAAAUACCAGAAAAUAGCGUUCUAUUUGGUGGUAGUGGAUUCUUGGUUGGUUUGAAUGUAUUAAGCAUCACCUUAAAAGGUUUUUCUGCUGUCCAAAAACUUACGAGCCCCCAAAAGUUUCAAAGCUGUGCACAACCUUUGGAGCUUAUAGACUGUAGUGAUUCAAAGUUGUUUGCCUUCGCAGAGUUGAAGCAUCUUGAAAAACUAGGUUUUUCAAAUUGUGGAAAUUGGAAGAGUUUAAGUUCUGCUGUGUUGAGGAUGGAAAGGCUCGAGAAUGUUUUCGUGUGAACAGCUUCAACGAGUUAAGAUAAAGGCUUGUCAUAAAUUGAGGGAAGUGACAUGGCUUGUAUUUGCUCCGUAUCUUGAGGUUAUUCAAAUAGCCAAAUGUAUGGGGAUAGAAGUAAUAAUCAGUGCAAGGAAAUUGGGUGAAGUUCCAGAGAUGAUGGCAGAUCUAAACCCUUUUGCAAAACUCCAAUAUCUUGGCCCACGAGUUCUACCAAAAUUAAAAAGCAUCUAUUGGAAUCAGUUGCCCUCUCUACAUGUCAGGCGAAUUUUGUGUCUGAAUGCCCAAUUCUCAAGAAGCUUCCACUUGGUUUUAACAAUGCAAAGGAAUCUAAAACUAUCAUUAGGGGAGAAGAACACUGGUUGAAUGAGCUGCAAUGGGAGGACAAAGUGACCCUUAAUGUUCUUCUUCCUUGUUUCGGAUCCAUUUGAAGGCAUCAACAUGGAUUGAUACUUUGCAGUGGAGAAAUUUGAAUAAAACCUAUGGUAAGCGCUUUUCCAUUUAUUGCAUAUUUAUAUCUAACUUUUGUUUUCCUUUGUGGUUAAAUUUUGCUCUAUAUACGUUGUUGUACGGUGACAUUCUCAUAUCAAUUAUUAGCUUUUUAAUUCUCUUCUCACAUUAACUGCCCUUUUGAUCAUGUAGGAUAUGCUGAUGUCAAAGAGUCGUAAUUUGGGAUGCAAAUGUAAGAAUUAGACAGAUGACCAGUUGUUUUGAAGCGCUCGAAGAAGGAUUAAUUACGUCAUUGAAAGGCUCCAAUUUUGUGACUUUUUUUUUUAAUUUGUUGUUUUUUCUAUUUUUAGAUAGCUUGAUUGUCAGUUGUCGUGAUGUAAUGCUUUAGUGUAGAAAAAUGAUAUUCGGCCAAGACAACAUUAGCAGGGCACCUUGUGCAUGCAUACUAGUGGAUAAUUUCGGCAUGCUAAAUCCAAUUAGGGUGGAUGACCCUUUAUAAGCAUUAGGCUUCUCUCAUACCCGAAAACAAUGUAGAAUACGCUUAUAAGCUGCGGAUCACCCAUUAUAAGUUUUAGGCUUCUCCUUUACUCGAGCGAUGUGGAAUACCUUUAUAAGCAUUAAGCUUCUCCCAGUAUCUUUAUGUUAAAAAUAAUAAUAAUAAAAGAAAUCCAUUUUAAAAUAGACUCUUUUUUCUUUUUCUAUAUAAACAAAUGCAUUCUUCAAAUCAAUUGUGGGCAGAAGAAGUUAGUAGAAAAGAACUAGUCCCCUUUCAUUCCCCCUUAAAGCUCACCAAAGCCUCUUUUGUAAGCUUUUCGGAUUUUCUUUCUAUAUUGCUUAUGAUCUCAUUUUUGAUUGAAUCACUUCUUUUGCAUGCUGCAUAUUUUGUUUGUUGUAUUUGGAUAUUAUCGUAUCUGGAAUGCUGUUAUGAUUGAUGGAACAAGUAAUCGAUAUUUGGUCUGAUGGAAGUUGACUUAUUUAUUUAUUGUUAUUUUAAUUUGAAACUAUGUACAAUUGCAUUUCAUUCAUUUCUCUCUCUCCCCCCCCCCCCCCCCCACACACACACACAUAUAUUUGUUAUGUAUAAUUGCGUUUCAUUUGAUAUUGAUCAUGCUGUAGAUAACCAUGUGAUUGUAGAUGGGGAUUUCAAGUUUGUUGAAUAUUCAAGUAAGUGAAGUAACUGUCAAAAUACUAGUGAAAUUGGGAGCUUUAUUCAUGAGCUUGUGGUUUUGAAAAGUACCACAGUUCAACCGAUGAAGGUUCCUUUUUGGGGUUCUUCUUUUUCUAGGCUGCAAUUAGGAUAUGUACAUGUUAGACAAUCUUUUGCGGGUUUAGCAUAUCUUCUCUGAUUUUGUCUUUUAUUCCCCAAUCUUAUAAUUGCACACCAUGAAUGUUGAGUGAUUGUAUAGAAAAUUUGUGUUAUAACCAAAGCGUUGUGAAGGAGUUAAGUUAGUGGCUUCUGUUUUAUUGGCAUUGAUUGGGUAGAUUAUGUGUUACAGUGAUUCAAUUUGUGCUCCAAAGUUUGCUUUAAUUUCUUUUUUCCCUAAUUAUUUAUGUCAAAUUUAAAUCCAGAAGCAUGUACUGAUUUUUUCUUUUUGUAUUAAUCUGUGAAGGUUAUUUGGAAUGGAAGUAUCUGGGUUGGGUCUAACGGAUUAAAUUAUGACAUUGGGGGGAAGGCAGUAAAGGGUUUGCUCGACACAUUUGGUUCUGUGUUUACUUUGCAAGAAAUAGCUUUUGGUUAUCACAAUGCCGGUGGAAUCCCGAUUUGGCUCGUGAAUUUCUUUGUGACAAAUAGGCAAACACAUCAACCUCUUCUAUCCAUCCUUCUACUGGUAAGGCAAGGGGUAAAGAGUCUUCAAAAUCAUCAAAUAGUAACAUCUCUGAGAAUUCAUUUUAUGCAAAUGGAAAAUCUAGACCUUCUAAGACAAAAUGGCGUCCUGUAUCAGGAGGUACCGUUUCAAGUUUUCUUGGUAAAAAUUAUGUUAAACCUGCACAGCCAGCUAAUGGCACAUUUCUAGCAUCAAAGCCAUUGAAGUUGGAUCCAAAGGGGUUUCCCAUGUCUCCACUUUUGCGGAGAAGAUACUAAACUGAAACAAUCAAAGGAUGACCAUUUGCAGAAGGAUAUGGAAGAUUUUCUGUUUAAAUUGCUAGGAGAAGUGUUCCUAUUGUCCUUUUCAAUGUUCUUUCUUUCUUUCUCUUCUUUUCUUCUUCUUCUUCUUUUUUCUUUUUGUGUGCGUGUGAUCACUAAUUUGGUAUUGUAGUUUAGUUGCAGAUAGUUGUGGAUAUGAUAUGCAAAAGGUAAGGACUAUAUCUUCCUGAUGGAGGCCUCUGCUUUUUCCUUUAUGUGUAAUUUAAUAAAUUGCAUCUUCCUUUGUGAUUGUUAUAUCAUAUCAAAGACAAGUCUUAAAUACUGCUGUCAUAUGUUAAGGUUCAACUUGCAGUUUGAUUAACAUUCAUGGCUCAAAGGCCUGAAAAAACUUGCCAGUAAUUGUAAAAUGACAUUCUUUGCUUUUAAUGCAAUAGAGGGAACAGGGAAGUAUAGCUUUGGAAGCCUGGAUUGGUAACUAUAGAGAGACUUAGUAUUUAAUUGAUAAAAAUUCCCAUAACCCAAGGUCAAGAAAAUUUUAGAUCGUUAAAGACUUCAUUUUGUUUCGGCCAGAAAUGUUUGUUUCGAUCGAAGACUUGAACCAUUUCGAUUGAACCUGAUUAUGAUGCUUUACGUUAUGCAUGUUCCUCUUAAUCAAGAAAAGUUGAGGUGAUGAUUUUAUAUUUCUAUAUUGUAAGUUGAAAUAAUAAUUGGUCUGCUUGUUUCUGUAGCUUGAUAACAUGAAUUUUCCUUCUCAAGUUAAUUUAAUCAAUAAAGUAAUUCUUCAAAGAAAAUAUGCCCAUUCUAUAAUCAUUUUCUUAAUUAACAUGUUUUUUUCUUCACACUUCAGAGCAUGUUGAAACUAAUUGAUCGCUCGGCAGAGACUUUGGGUGAGAAGACAAAAUUUCUCGGUAAAUCCUCUGAAAAGGUAUGCAUAAUUCCGCAGUAUUAAAUAACCAAUGGUCAUAAUUUUUGUACAGGACUCUUUUCUUGUGGAGAUAAUUAAAAGUGGCUGAUGAUCCAGUUUGUAUAUCAUAGAGGGAGCAUCAAUUCCUUUUGUUUUCAGUGGCUAGGCAACACUUUCAGGGCAAAGUAAGGAAAUCUAUUUUAGGCAAGUAAAGCCAUGUAGAUGUAAUAGUUAACAUGCACUGACAAUAACUUUGUAUAAUGUCAGUGAACGAUACAAGAGGAAUCUGUUGACAAUCAUCCAAGAUAGAUGCUAAAAUUAUUAUGCAUGCCAGUUGCUUAAUAAUUUUCUUACACUGGUAUUGAAGAGGAAAAUGAAUAUGCAAUUUGUAUAUGUGCCAUGUGAGAAUUUGGAUAUCUAUCUAAGUAACAAGGAGAGUAUUGCCUCAUCUUUAGACAAUGAAUCUUGAGAAUUUGGAUAUUCAUGUAAAUGUUCAUUUGUUUGUAUUUUGAACUAUUAUGAGAAUCUUUUAUAUGCCAAAUUAGUAAUGCAAAUGUUCAGAUUAUUUUUUCUGUUGAUCGUGCAUUUGUGUCUGCACACAACCAUUGUAUAUCACUUCAUUCUGAUGCGCAAGUGUCUGUAGUUUAGAAGAAAAGAAAUAAUAAUGAUAUAUUAUUGCUUGAUUCAUGAUUAUUAAAUGAUUAUGGCUUUAAAAAACCUACAAAUUCCUUUUGUUGAUAUAUGAAUGUACCAAGUUUGCUAUAUCUUAGAUUACCAUUUCCAAGAUAACAAGUUCAAAUUUUUUCUUUAUCCUUUUCCUUCACAGUUGCAUUUUAAGUGUAAGAUUUGUUAUUAAUACCUGGUUUCCCGUCAUUAUGAUUUCAUAAACAGUGUAUGGGUAUGUGCUCUACUUUUGGAGGGCCUCCACGUGAAAGAAAAUUGUAACAAUUGAAUUCUUCCGGAUGGUAUGGUAUUUAAUUUAUUUUCUCAACCUCUUGUAAGACUAAUAUAUUUUCCUUUAGUAGACACGGCAUGGUGGGAAGGGUUUUUUAUUGAAAGAAUUCUGAUAUUUCUUAGACUUUGUUUUGGAAGGGGGUGCAGGGGUUUCUCAUCCAUAUAUGGUUACUUGAUUAGCUUUUGACUGUAUUGCCUCAAUCGUGCAAAGGAAGAUCCAAAUACAAACGAAAGAGAAUUGUUUAGACACCCAGAAGAUGGAAAUGAACUACAGAAGGAAGUUUUUGCUGCUUUAUUUAGUGCUCCUGAGAAAUCUGAUGAAUUUCCUGAAAUUACGGUGAAGACCAAGUGUGAGGUCCAAAGCAUUAGGAAAGGUGGUGAGUGAACUGCCGGAGCAAUUGGUACAGAAUACAAGGCUAAUGUGGUGGACUUGCAGCAAGAUAACCGGAACAGUACGUGCUCUUAUAUUAACUAUAUUGACUGGAUUUGCUAGUGUGUGCAUUUUCGUGUGUAUACUUUUGUAUUUAUGCAUAUUAAUGUGUGUAGGAUUCUUGAUUUCUGCCACUUAUUGGAGAACUAAUGGAAAGCUUUAUACUGGUAUAUCUGCAAUAACUAAUGGAAACUAUGAUAUUAAUAUUUUCUCUCGCUUGGAGAAUGCGUAACAGAUAUACUUUGUGGCUCUGGAAUACUAAAGAUUCUGCAAUAACUAAUGGAAACUAUGAUAUGAAUAUUUUCUCUCACCUGGAGAACUUUGUAACAGUUACACUUUGGGGCUUGGAAUGUCUAAAGAAUUUUGUCUGCUUCAGUUAGAUCAAAUAUCUUUUAGUUACAUACAUUAUAGAAAAGAUAAAGUUCUCUGAAUCUGAAAGACUUAAAAUUUUGCAUAUUUCUUGAUAGGGAAAUAUCUGUAGAUACUAGUUCAUGCAUUGUGGUAGCAUCAGUGUUAAAGAAAAACAGCAGUAAGUUAUUAUAUAGAAUUAGGUUCACUUGCUUUAAAUCCUGGUCUGGUCAACCAUAUGAACCUGUAAGUGGUUCUGUAGAAAUAUAUAUAUACGGGGAGAAAGUAGCUAAAUUUUCCUUUCAUUUAUGGGUUUGGUCAUUUUUUCCCCUUAUUUAUGUUUUCUCACACAUUUUUUAAAUGCCCCAGACAUGCAAUUUUGUAUGUGUCAAUUGCCUUUUAAGUUUUAAAAACCAUAAAGUAAGAAUACAGUUUCUUGUCAGGCUAUUGAUGCAUUUGCUCGGGGGGAUCAUGCUCGAGCAGGAAAACUUCUAGAACAGGUAAGGUUUCCAUCUACAGCCAUUUAUUGACAACAUAUAUAUUUUCAUUCAGCAAGCACUGUUAGCAUUCAAGAUGCUGGCAGAUUCACUUGAUUCUUAUUAGUUUGUUUAGUAGCAAAGCAUAUAACCUGUAUUUUAAAGCUAAGUUGUGCUAUUGAUUAUGUUAACUUUAUUGUUCACAUAAAGUGAUAUUGAGGAAAUAAUCAAUGUAGGAAAAUUAGGUGAAGAGAUGAUGUCAAAUCUUGAACCUCUUACAAAACUCCAAGUUCUUUACUUGAAGAAGCUACCAAAUUCGAACAGCAUCUACUGGAAGGCCUUGCCAUUCCCUGAUGUAUGCAGAAUUUUUGUAUUUAAAUGCCCAGAGCUUAAGAAGCUGCCACUGGAUCUUGAGAGGGCAGGCCAAGGUAAAAUUCUUAUCAAGGGAAAGAAAGAUGGGUGGAAACAACUUCAAUGGGAGGAUCAAGUAACUCAGAAUGCAUUGCUUUCAUUUUAAAAAUCAACCAACAAGUGAUUGAAGGGGGCAUCAUCAACGUAAUCAACAUGGAUGGAGAGAUUCUGGAGCAGAUCAGCGGGGUUUAGUACGACCUGUGGUGGUUUCUUUUUUGUGACUUUUUUGCCUUUCAUUUUUUCACUUCCUGUCAUAUUAUCAUUUCUUUGUCUGUGUUUCUAUUGCUAGUGUUGCUGCAUGCUUGCUGUCCUUGACAAAGUUAGCUAGUUUUUUUUGUUUAUUAAAUUUUGUAUGUUCGGUCGGGACAGUCACAAAGUACUACUUGUUCUAUAUGGGGGUGAUGUGAAUCAACUUUUCAAUUAUAUAUUCUGUGGUAAUUGUGAAUUCAAUUUCAUUUAUCUCCUGCAAAUUAUGAAGAAAGUGCAGAGUUACAAUAUGGAAAAGUUCACUGGCAAAUACUUUGUAAAAGCUUCGGAGUGAAACAGGAAAUGCACUUGCAACUAAGGACAAAUUGGUGGCCGGCUAAUGCAUUCAUUUUAGGGAAAAGGACACAGACCCUCAACGUUUUAAUAAGGGACAUAAAACUCCCUAAUAUUUUAAAAAAAAUACUCAAACCCCCAUUUGUUAAUAGUAAAUUCUAAGUUUAAAGUGUAAUUACCAUUAUACCUUUAUAGCAUAUUAAAAAAUAAUUAUUCAUUAUUCAAUUUAUUCUUAUAUUAUUAAUAAAAUUACGAAUAUAAUUUCAUUAUCUAAUUUUUUCAUUUAAUUUUUGUUAAAUUUUCUCUUCAAACUAAAUAAAUUUAAUCCAUUGCUUAAGAAUAAAAAUAAAUUAAAUUGAUUACUAAUAUAAUAAAAAUAACAUAUAUUUAAUAUAAAAAUAACAUAUAUUAAAUUAAAAUAAAUUUAAUUUAUAUAUAGAGAAUUGUUAUUUUUAAGAAAUUAUCAAUUUAAUUUAUAUAUAAGAAAUUAUAAGAAAUAACAUAUGGAGAAUUGUUAUUUUUAUUAUAUUAAUAAUCAAUUUAAUUUAUUUUUAUUUUUGAGCAAUGGAUUAAAUUUAUUUAGUUUGAAGAGAAAAUUUGAUAAAAAUUAAAUGGAAAAAUUGGGUAAUGAAGUUAUAUUCAUAAUUUUAUUAAUAAUAUAGGAAUAAAUUAGAUAAUGAACAAUUAUUUUUUAAUAUGCUAUAAGGGUAUAAUGGUAAUUGUACUUUAAAAUUAGAAUUUACUGUUAACAAAUAGGGGUCUGAGUGUCUUUUUUGAAACAUUAGGAAAUUUUGUGUCUCUUAUUCAAACGUUGGGGGUUUCUGUGUUAUUUUCCCUUCAUUUUAUGUACAUUCAUCUUUUUAAUUAUUGAAGAUAAGUGGUUCGUUGCUUUUGUUGUAGAUAAAAUUCAGACGACCUCAAUUGUGACAUGACAAUAUUUAAAACAUCUCUUAAAUUAUUAUAAAUUUAAUUUAUCUUAACUUUAUUGAAAAGAUAAAAGAAAAAUGUGGUGUAUGGAUAAAUUUUUUUUUAUCUUCUUAAUCAAAUGGAAUAAAUUAAAAUUUACAAUAAUUUAAAAUAUUUUAAAAAUUAUUAUUUCAUAAGAGAUUAAUAUGAAAUUAAUCGUUUUUACUUUUUUAAUGUGAAAGGACAAGAAAAGAGAAAGCAUGUGUCCCUGCUUUUUAGUUUUUAUUUUAUUUGAAAUCGGAGUUAUCCCAUAUACUUUACUAAUUUAGCUCUAACAUUACAAUGUUUUUAGGCUACACUUUUAUUUUUCUUUUUCCCCCUUUUUUUAUACAUGCAUGUGGAUUACUUUUCUCUAAGCUCCUUAAUAUUUAAGACAAAUCAUAAAAGCAAUUGAAGUAUAACAAGAUGAUCAAAACAUUUAACCAAAAAAAAAGAAAGAAAAAAGAAAGAAAACAUUGAAAAUGGAGAUGUUGAUUAAUUUAGAAGAGAUGCAAGCAAAAGAUAUUCCCAAAAAAAAGAAAAAAAGAAAAAAACAACGUUAGUUCAUCCAUGUCUGUCAAUGCGUUUUUUAUGGUUUUUUUUUUCCAGUUGUUUGUUGUAAUAGAUUGAUUGUAAAUUGAUAUGAAUUUGAUGUUGUAAUAUGUUCGCUUUUGUGGAAUUAAAUUUGAAUAUUCAAGAUUAUUCAAGUCUUAUCUAGUAUGUGUUCAAUUGUGUUGUCGAUAAUUUUGCAUUCGAAUAAUUUUUCACCUAAAAUAUUAGCAUGAGUAGUAGUCCUUGAAAUUUUGGUCAAAAUUAUUGUUAUUGUUUGUUUUAGAGGAAAUUUUUUUAUUAAAGCCUCGUUAACACUAUACCUUAUUAAGAUUAUAAGUUAGUGUCAGUGCAGGAUUUACAGCAACAAAUCUUGUCUAGCCACGUGUCAAAAGUACAAAUAAAUCAAGAGUAAGCACAUGACAUGGAUUAGGAUCCAAUAAGAUUUAAAUCCCAAGGAAAAGGACAAUUGUAUCCUAAAGUUUCAAUAAGAGAUACUGAGAUAUCUUUUGACUAAUGUUAUUUUUUUAGCUUUAUUAAUAAAAAGAUCAAAUAGUUUAUAACAAAUAAAAAUAUAGUAUGAAGCUAAAUGUGAUAAUAUAUACAUUUUACAUAAUUUCAAUAAAAAAAAUUUCAAUAAAAAACAUUUUAAUGUUUUACGAUCUAUUAGACAUAUUUUAUUAAAUUAAUAGGAAUUUUCUGAUAAAUAGCAACAUAAUAUUAAAAUAAAUUUAUAAAGAUUUAAAUGUAAAAUAAUUUUAGUAUAAUUAAUACGUGGGAUAUAUUUUGUAAAUUAUAAAAUUACUUAACCCAAUGAUUUUUAAAAAUCUUUAAAAUAAAUAAAAAUAAAUUAUUCACAUUUUGAUGUAAAUAUUUAAAACAUUUUUAUACAUUAGUCCACAAUUAUUUAUGUUAUAUUUGUAUUUAUUAGAAAUUUUGAAAGUCAAAUGUUUUUCACCUCUAUCUUAUUAGAAUUAUUGCACACAGAGAAAGAGCCAUAUAUGCUUUAUAGCUUUAAAAUCGAUUUGUUUUAUAGCUGGGAACAGAGAUGAUCAUUAUUAUAAGGAUUAAAAAAAAGAUAAAGAAUAUUAAUGAUUAGCGAAAUCUCUAUGGAAAUUGAAUUUAGUAAGAAAAAAUUGAGCUGAUUUUAGCGGUAUAGUAAUAUUUUAUAUAGAGAAAAGUAAAAGCUGCACCCAAGGUUAAGGGAAAUGGUCAAAACUCUUUUUUAAUCAUAAUACUCUUUUUCCUACAUAAUUUAAAAAUUUGACAUUAAUAUUUUAUAAUAAAUAAAAACAUAUAAUCCUAAAAUAAAUAAAAUAAUAUAUAUUUUAAAAUAAUCUCAAUAUUUAAAAUAUAUUUUAACAUUUUAUAGUCUAUCAGAUAUAUUUUAUUUUUUUUAAAGUAAAUUUUAUAAUAAAUACAAAACAUACUAUUAAAAUAGAUAUAAAAAUUUUAAAGUAUUUUGAAUAUUAUAUAAAAUAACUUUAAUAUUGUUAAUGCGUGAGAUGCAUUUUAUUAAUUAAAAAUUCUAUUUAACCCAAAGAUUUAUUUAUAAUAAAUUAAUAAUCAUAUUUUUGAAAUUAUUUUAAAUAUUAAAAAAUAUUUUAAUAUUACUAACUAUUAGAUAGACUAAACUAUUUAUAUUAUUUUCUAUUUAUUAUAAAAUUUCAAAGUUAAUCUUUUUAACUACUAUUCAAAAGAUAUUAUGAUAAAAACAGAAUUUUUCUGUUUUAUUAAAAAUUUAGAGUUUACACCUAUUUUUUCAAAUAUUCGGGGUGUAACUGUUUUAUUUAAAUAAAAUCUCAGUUAAAAAUGUACAGAGAAGAAAUUUCUGUUGGUAUUUUAGUCUUUUACCAAUUAUCACGAUUAGGCCUUGGCCUUGAAACAUUAAUUGUUUCACUUUUAGCGCUAGUGGCGUUGAAAGUUGUCAAGAAAAAGCAAGACCAUAUUCCACAAAAGCAGCUCUUUUAUUAAAGGCAAAGUAUAAAGUAGUCAAGAAUCGAAUAUCCUGUCGUCUACUCUUUUUUAAAUUCUUCUUUUAUUAUCUUUUAGAAUAGUUUUUGGUAAUUACAAUCAUUAUUCAGAGUUAUUGUUAUCUUCUGGGGCAGUCUCUGUUCAUCGAAGUCGUUACCUUUUUUUCAUGGAUCAGUUCCAGUGCCAAGCAGUAAUUUUCUUAGAACUCGGAUCUUUAAUUCGAGUUUCUUUGUGAAUUAAUAAUAAAAAAUUUUCAUUACACGCAAUUUAAGCUACGAAUUACUUUUUGCAAAGUUGAAUAUGAAAUUGGAGAAAUUAAAUAAUUUAGAAUGUUGGUAAAAAUUGACUAACAUAUCCCCAAUUACAGUAAAACCUCUCUACAGUCAUAACAUUAUAACAAAAUUAAUUUUAUUACUAUGUUGAGGUAAUAUAGGUUUAGUUACAAAAUUAUUGUUUUAAUAUGGUUAGUGUCAAGUGAUAUAAAGGUUAAGUAUGCAGUACAUUGAUAAUUAAAUAAUGAAGCGUGUCAAAUCUAACGUAUAUAUAUUAAUGAUAUAGAUAGACAUAGUUUUAAAAAACUAAUUAAUGUAUAUUUAUGUACUGUUAUGAAUAUGGAAAGUCAAGCCUACACUUUACAUUAUCCUUAAUUUUUUCUCUCAGUUAAAUUCUACAAAUAUUGUACAAUGAUUGGGUAAGAACUCUAAAUUAAGAAUAAAUUAUUGUCACAAAUAAUUUUAAAAAAUAUUUUAUUUCAUCUUAAACCUUUAAUGUAAGUAAAUAUAUAUAUAUGUGUGUGUGUGUGUGCAUAUUUUGCAAGGUAUAGAUAAUUGUUAGUAUAUGGAGACAAGUCUUUUAAGGUAGGACCUAGGAAAAUUUAUAACUUACUACAUUGGGGAGUUUUUAUUCCUUUUUAUAAUUGGCUCAUAUUGAUACAUUCUUACACAAAAUAUUACCAUUGACAUAUUUUACUACAAUUGGUUUAGAACAUUUGUUAGGAAAAAAAAAAGAAAAGAAAACAUUCAUUGGAUGUAGCUCUCCCUCGUAUGCUUUUUUCUCCAAAUAUUCCUGCGUCCACAGAAACAAGUCAGAGCACGCCGGUUGUUUUCCCGGCGUAAACCCUCUGACGCUCAAGUCAGAUAUGAAGGCUCUGGGAAUGCUUGCCACAGAUCUUAUGGUUUUUCUGUAGUUUCUAUUCUUUAGAGUUUCAUUUAUCUCUGAAUAUAAUCUCAAAAAUGCUAACCCUUUUACCUUCCUUGGCUACCUUUUUAUAGGCUUCCUCUGAAUCCCGGUCUUCCGUAGUCCACGCCCGUUAUUCUCCCCACCCUCGGAUGUGGAUGCCCCAUUAUCGCCAUUGUGGGCGAAUGGAGAUGGACUUCGUGCCUUGAUUCUCGGAUAGGAAUGCACGUCUUGCCAACUGUCGUUGACUGGGUCUCCUCGCCUCUCGACCUCUAGCCGGAAUGGCCUUAUGCCUCUAACAAGAGUUCGACCUCGUGAAUGGCAUACUCGCGGACGAGCCGAAUAUUUCUGCUCAUGUUCCCCUGCUACCUGGCUCUUACAGGACAUACCUGUUCGCAGAACUCCGCCAUCAAAUAUCUGCUCAUCACGUCUGGUCUCGUUGAAGUAUUUCCCUCAAACAACAUAUUUUACUACAAUUAGUUUAGAACAUUUGUUAGGAAAAAAAAAGAAAAGAAAACAUUCCUUGGAUGUAGCUCUCCUGACUAUUUAAAUCUUUUAAGGAAAAAAAGAAAAAAGAAAAACUGACACAUUCAAAUCUUGAAGCAAUUACAUUAAAACCUCUCCAUAAUGAUAGGAAUAAUCUCCAUUUAGUAAUAAAAAAUUUUGUUCGCAAUCUAGGCAGAGUUAUAAAUAAGAAUAAAAUCCUCAUUGUAAUAAGUUGUAUUUAUUAUGGAUCCCAUCCUAAGGAACUUGUCUCUAUAUAGUAAUAAUUAUUUGCAUAUUAUAAAUAUAUAUGUUGCAUUAGAUUAAAUGAACUUGUCUCCACAUACUACUUAGACAAUGAGAGAAAGUUAUUAAAGAGAACACAAAUAUUUAGAGAUUUUUAAGAUUACUUUGCAUGUUUAUAACAAUAAUACAUUGAUAUAUGUAUUAGUUUUUUGAUAUAUUAGAUUUGACAUGCUCUAUUAAUAAAUUAUUAAUACGAUGCAAACUUCAUCUCUCUAUCCUUGCAAUAAAAGUAACUAAGUUAUAACAAUAAUUAUUAAUAAAUUAUUAAUACGAUGCGUACUUCAUCUCUAUAUCCUUGCAAUAAAAGUAACUAAGUUAUAACGAUAAUUUUUGUAACUACAUGCUUAUUAGGUUUUAACUACUUCAUAAUAAUAAAUUAAUUUCGUCCUAAUAUUAUAAUUAUGUAGAGUUGUAGUGUAUAGACACACCCAAUUUAAAUAGUAAAUCAAAUAAAAUUGUCCCCACAAAAAAGAAAAAAGGGGUAAAGGAUUGUUAUUUCUUCAAACAUUAGGAGCACGUUUGUUCAAGUGCGAUGCCUUUCUUUUGAAGGCAACGUCAGUGGGUACCCAAUAGGACGUGUGUAAAUCUUUCCAAAAUUUCUCCGGUAUAACGGACAGAGAUCAUUACUUUUCUCUUCCAUAGACCACAGCAGCUUCAGUUAAUCAGACUCAAUCAAUUUUCUUGGUUUCUUCGCUUAUCAAAAUUCCAAAAUAUGGGUAGCAUAUUUCAAAUCACAUGCGAUGGUGCUUUUUUCAAUCGUUGCUUGGAUUGCUUUCUUGGAAAAGUAGCAAACACAAGUAAGCUCCAAGAUAACCUUGUUGCCUUGGAGACUGAAUUGGGAAAACUAAUCGUAGCAAAGAACGAUGUGAUGAUGAGGAUUGUCAAUGCUGAACGGCAACAACUGAGAACGCUGGACCAAGUGCAAGUGUGGCUUUCGAGGGUGGAAGCUGUUAAAACUGAAGCUGAUGAAUUGAUAAGACACGGCUCUCAAGAAAUUGACAAAUUAUGUGUUGGAGGCUACUGUUCCAAGCACUGCGCGUCAAGCUACAAGUUCGGGAAACAAGUGGCUAAAAAGCUACGGGAUGUGCAGACUUUAAUCGGCGAAGGAGUUUUUGCGGCGGUGGCUACUGAGGUGGUGCCUGAGAGAGCUCCAGAACCUGUAGCAGAUGAAAGACCCACUGUGCCAACAAUAGUAGGCUUGCAAUCACAACUUGAACAAGUUUGGAGAUGUCUUGUAGAAGAAUCAGUGGGAAUCAUUGGCCUAUAUGGUAUGGGCGGUGUUGGUAAAACUACACUAUUGACCCAUAUCAACAAUAAAUUUCUUGAGAGUCGAACCAGUUUUGAUUGUGUGAUUUGGGCCGUAGUUUCAAAGGACUUGCAACUCGAAAAAAUUCAAGAAGAUAUUGGGAAAAAGAUCGGUUUGGUUGAUGAUUCAUGGAAGAGUAAAAGUGUAGAGGAGAAAGCUCUCGACAUCUUCCGGAGUUUAAGAGAGAAGAGAAUUGUAUUGUUGUUAGAUGAUAUAUGGGAGCGGGUUGAUUUAACAAAAGUGGGCAUUCCACUUUCGGGACCAAAGAAUACUACCUCAAAAGUCGUAUUCACAACCCGUUUCAUCGAUGUUUGUGGUAGCAUGGAAGCUGACAAGAAGUUCCAAGUGGCAUGCUUAUCAGAAGAGCAUGCUUGGGAACUGUUUCGAAAAAAAGUUGGGGAAGAAACUCUUGAGAGUGAUCAUGAUAUCGUUGAGCUAGCCCAAACUGUGGCCAAAGAGUGUGGUGGUUUGCCACUCGCACUUAUUACUAUUGGUCGAGCUAUGGCCUGCAAAAGGACAGCCGAGGAGUGGAGACACGCAGUUGAAGUGCUAAGAAGAUCAGCUUCUGAGUUUGCAGGUUUGGGAAAAGAGGUGUAUCCUCUUUUAAAGUUUAGCUAUGAUAGUUUGCAGAAUGAGACGAUUAAAUCUUGUUUCUUAUAUUGUUGUUUAUAUCCCGAGGAUUAUGGCAUUCUUAAAUGGGACUUGAUUGAUUGUUGGAUUGGUGAGGGAUUCUUAGAGGAAUCUGACAGGUUUGGUGCAGAAAACCAAGGAUACUACAUUGUGGGCACUCUUGUUCAUGCGUGUUUACUAGAAGAGAUAGAAGAUGAUAAAGUAAAAAUGCAUGACGUUGUUCGUGAUAUGGCUUUAUGGAUAGCUUGUGAAAUUGAGAAGGAGAAGAGAAACUUUUUGGUUUGUGCAGGUGCUGGAGUAGGAGCGGUACCAGAUGUUGAAGGAUGGGAAAAUGUGAGAAGAUUGUCAUUGAUGCAAAACCAAAUUGAAAUUCUGUCAGAGGUUCCCACAUGCCCUCAUCUCCUCACUUUAUUUCUUGACUUUAAUUAUAAAUUGGAGAUGAUCACUGAUGGCUUCUUCCAAUGUAUGCCUUCUCUCAAAGUUUUGAAGAUGUCAAACUGUGGGCAUGUCAAAGUUUUGAAAUUACCUUUUGGGAUGUCAAAGUUGGGUUCACUACAACUUCUUGAUAUUUCACAUACCGGCAUAAGAGAGUUACCAGAAGAGUUAAAGUUGUUGGUAAAUCUGAAAUGUUUGAAUUUGAGGUGGACACAUAUGUUAAAUAAAAUUCCACGGCAGCUAAUAUCAAAUUCUUCAUGGUUACGUGUGUUGAGAAUGUUCGCUAUUGGCUUUGAAAAUUCUAAAGAACCAUCAGAAGACAGCGUUUUAAUUGGUGGGGGUGAAGUUUUAGUACAGGAAUUGCUCGGUUUGAAAUAUUUAGAGGUAUUGGAGUUGACCUUGCGAAGUUAUCAUGCUCUCCAUUCUUUUUUGAGCUCAAAUAAGUUAAAAAGUUGUAUUCGAUCUCUUUUCCUCAAUAAGCUGGGAGAUACAAAGUCGAUUGAUGCUACGGCUUUGGCAGAUCUAAAGCAUCUCAAUGAAUUAUAUAUUCUUUUUUUUNNNNNNNNNNNNNNNNNNNNNNNNNNNNNNNNNNNNNNNNNNNNNNNNNNNNNNNNNNNNNNNNNNNNNNNNNNNNNNNNNNNNNNNNNNNNNNNNNNNNNNNNNNNNNNNNNNNNNNNNNNNNNNNNNNNNNNNNNNNNNNNNNNNUCUUUCGCUAUACGGUUGUAAUGCUGUGGAAGAAAUAAUCAGCGUUGGGAAAUUUGCUGAGGUUCCUGAGAUGAUGGGACAUAUAAGCCCUUUUCAGAAUCUCCAAAAGCUUGAUUUAUCACAUUUGCCAGCUUUGAAGAGCAUCUACUGGAAGCCAUUGCCUUUCGCUCAUCUGAAAGAAAUGGUGGUGCAUUGGUGUGAUCGGCUUAAAAAGCUUCCGCUCGAUUCCAACAGUGCAAAAGAGCGUAAAUUUGUUAUUCGUGGAAGAGCAGACUGGUGGAACCGUCUUCAAUGGGAGGAUGAAGCCACUCAAAUUGCUUUCCAUUCCUGUUUCCACCUAAUGAAAUAUAAAUUCCUUAGCGGUGGUUGCAAAAUUUGAUUUCUAGUGAGUGCUUUUUUCUUAAACUCUUACAUUUAUUUCAGAUUCGUUUUUUGUCUCCUGCAAAUCACAAUUAAAUGCUGAAUUAUAUGGAGUCAAUGCUUUAGAAAAUUUUCAAGGCACUGCCAUUUCCUUUUUUCCAUUUUUUUUUGGGUCGAAUUGAUGCUCUGGCUUUUUACUUUUUGUUGUCAAAUUUUGCUCUGUUUUUUCAAGUUGAUGCUUGAAUAGUUGAAUUCAAUUAAUGCUCACAUAAAUUUGUUUAGUUGCCGUAAAAGGAUAUAAUUAGACUGAAGUACACACUUCUAGAAUGAAUACAAAAUGUUAAGUAUACUAGCCCUCUUUACAGAAAAUCAAAUGAAAAUCAAUUUUUUGGGGCUUUGAUUUUCUAUGGUCUAUUAUAUACUCUUUUUAAUAUCUUCUGUUCUAACUAUAACCAAAUCCUUUGUUCAAGGAUUUUUAUUUGGGGUAUUGAUAACUAUCCACCAAAAGAGUGAACACUUGGAUGCUGCUCAAGGAUCUCUAAUCAAUAGCUGGAAGCAACUGAGAAGGCGGUCGCUGCUGUUUACAAAGUGAUGCAGUAUUUGCCAUUCAUCUUAAUAAUUAUGAAGCUUUGGUAAAAUUUUCAAACAAAAUUGAACAUGUUGUUUGAGAUUUGGUUCAUGAUUUUGGAUGAAUAUCGUUGUUCCGUUUGAGUUGGAUGUGAAUUCAAAAUCUAUAUAUUCUUUGGUUUUCAAGUCUGAACUCAAUUUCUUUUUCUCAAGCAUGUUAUGCAGAAAUGAUUUUUACUAAAUCAUUUUUGAUGAAUUGUUUAAAUUAAACACUUGGAAUAAGAAUUGUAAACGUUUAUCAUAAGCAUGCUAAUAUGAUAAAUUGUUUUAUGAACGACUAAUUAAUUAAUCAAUUAAUAUUAAAUUAUAUAUUAAUCAAUUAGAUAUGCGUUACAUGUCAUGUUUAAAAACUAUUUAUUUAUAUUUCAAACAAAUUUGACUGGAUGUUGUGUAGGUAAUACUACAUAAUUUCAAAACAAAAAAAAGUAAUAAAAACACGUUAAAUUUUGUUUUUAUGAAGAAAAAUUUAAAAUUUUAUUAAAUAGGUGAAAAUAAUAAAUGGAUUCGUGUAUGGUUUGAGAUUCUUGACAUAAUUAUGAAAUAAGCCGGAUUCGACUUAGUUCAAUUUUGACGCGAUAAGAAGACGACACCACACAAACACACGACAAGAACCGUUACCUGAGAAGAUUGCCAUCAGGAAUUUUGAAAUUGAUUUCACUACAAUAUCUUAAUCUUUCAGAUACUCCCAUCACUGAGCUGCCAUAAGAGCUAAAAGCCUUGGUAAAUCUUAAGUGUUUGAACUGUACACAAAUUAUCUCUCUACAAUUCAAAAACAACUGAUUUGUUACUUUUCAAUGCUACAUGUUCUGCGAAUAUUGAGUUGUGGUUAUCUUGUUGAAAUAUCAGAAAAUAGAGUUCUAUUUGGUGGUAGUGAAUUGUUGGUUGGGGAGUUACCUAGUUUAAAACGUUUAAAUGUAUUAAGCAUCACCUUACAAGGUUUUUCUGCUGUCCAAAAACUUAUGAGCUCUCAAAAGUUUCAAAGCUGUACAAAAUGUUUGGAGCUUAUAGACUGUGAUGAUUCAAAGUCUUUUGCCUUGGCAGAGUUGAAGCAUCUCGAGAAACUAGUUUUUCGAAUUGUGGAAGAGUUUAAGUUCUGCUGUGUUGAAGUUGGAAAAGCUCAAGAAUGUUUUCGUUUGAACAGCUUUCCCCGAGGUAAUAUAAAGGCUUGUCAUAAAUUGAGGGACGUGACAUGGCUUGUAUUUGCUCCAAAUCUUACGGUUAUUCAAUAGAAAAAUAUAUGCAGAUGGAAGUAAUAAUCAGUGCAAGGAAAUUGGGUGAAGUUCCAGGGAUGAUGGCAGAUCUAAACCCUUUUGCAAAACUCCAGUAUCUUCGUCUGCGAGUUCUACCAAAAUUAAAAAGCGUCUAUUGGAAUGAGUCACCCUUUCCACAUGUCAGGGAAAUUAUUGUAUCUGAAUGCCCAAUUCUCAAGAAGCUUUCACUCGGUUUUAACAAUGCAAAGGAAUCUAAAAUUGUCAUUUAUUACAUGUUUAUAUCUAACUUUUGUUUUCCUUUAUGGUUAAAUUUUACUUUAUAUAUGUUGUUAUACGGUGACAUUCUCGCAUCAAUUGUUAGCUUUUUAAUUCUCUUCUCCCAUUAAUUGCCCUUCUGAUCAUGUAAGAUAUGCCGAUGUCAAAGAGUAGUAAGUUGGGAUACAAAUGUAAGAAUUAACCAGAUGACAUGUUGUUUUGAAGCUCUCGGAGAAGGACUAAUUAUGUCAUUCAAAGCAUCCAAUUUCGCUACUUUUUUUUUCAUUUGUUGCUUUUUCUAUUUUUAGAGAGCUUGAUUGUCAGUUGUCGUAAUGUAAUGUUUUAGUGUAGAAAAAUGAUAUUCGGCCAAGACAUCAAUAGGAGGGCACAUUGUGCAUGCACACUAGUGGAUGAUUUCGGCAUGCCGAAUCCAAUUAGUGUGGAUAACCCUUUAUAAGCAAUUGGCUUCUCUCAUACCAGAGCAAUGUAGAAUAUAUUUAUAAACUGUGGAUUACUCUUUAUUAGGCUUCUUCUAUACUCGAGCAAUGUGGAAUACCUUUAUAAGCAAUAAGCUUCUCCCCUACACUUUAUGUUAAUAAUAAUAAUAAUAAAAUAAAUCCAUUUUAAAAUAGACUUUUUUUUUCUUUUUCUAUAUAAACAAAAUGCAUUCUUCAAAUCAAUAGUGGGUGGAAGAAGUGAGUAGAGAAGAACUAGUCCCCUUUCAUUCCCCUAAAACCUCACCGAAACCUCUCUUGUGAACUUCUCAGAUUCUCUCUCAAUAUUUCUUAUGAUCUCGUUUUUGAUAGAAUCACUUCUUUUGCAUGUUGCAUUUGGUGUGUCUUUUUUGGGUAAUAUCUUAUCUGGAAUGCUGUCAUGAUCAAUAGAACAAGUAAUCAAUUUUUGGCUUGACGGAAGUCGAUUUAUUUAUUUACUAUUAUUUUUAUUUGAAAUUUUGUACAAUUGUGUUUCAUUCAUUUCUUUCCUUUUUUUUUAAUAUUUAUUAUGUAUAAUUGUGUUUCAUUUGAUAUUGAUCAUACUCUAGAUAACUAUGUGAUUGUAGCUGGGGAUUUUAAGUUUUGUGAAUUCAAGAAACUGUCAAAAUGCUAGUGAAAUUGGGACCUUUAUUCAUAAGCUUGUGGUUUUGAAAAGUAGCCCGGUUCAACUGAUGAAGUUCCUUUUUGGGAUUCUUUUUUUUCCUAGGCUGCAAUUCGGAUAUGUACCUGAUAGACAAUCUUUUGUGGGUUUAGCAUAUCUUCUCGGAUUUUGUCUUUUAUUCCUCGAUUUUAUAAUUACACACCAUGAAUGUUGAGUGAUUGUAUAGAAAAUUUGUGUUAUAACCAAAGCAUUGUGAAGGAGUUAAGUUAGUGGCUUCUGUUUUAUUGGCAUUGAUUGGGUAGAUUACGUGUUACAGUGAUUCAAUUUGUGAUCCAAACUUUGUUUAAAUUUCUGUUUUCCCAAAUUAUUUAUGUCAAAUUCAAAACCAGAAGCAUGUGCUGAUUUUUUCUUUUUGUAUUAAUCUGUGAAGUUUAUUUGGAAAGGAAGUAUCUGGGUCUAAUGGAUUAAAUUAUGUAAGUGGCAGAAAUUCCUACACACAUAAAUAUGCAUAAAUACAAAAGUAUACACAAAAAAAUGCACACACUCAUACAUCCAGUCAAUAUAGUUAAUGUAAGAGCACAUACCGGUUUGGUUAUCUUGCUGCAAGUGCACCGCAUUAGCCUUGCAUUCUGGUGCCAACUCCUCCGGCGGUUCACUCACUACCUUUCCCAAUGCUUUGGACCUCCAUUCGGUCUCCAUCAGAUUUCUCAGGAGCACUAAAUAAAGCAGCUAAAACUUGCUUCUGUAGUUCAUUUCUGUCUUUCGGGUGUCUAGGCAAUUUUCCUUCGUCGGUAUUUCGAUCUUCCUUUACAUGACUGAGGAAAUACAGUCAAAAGCUAAUCAAGUAACCAUAUAUGGAUGAGAAAUCCCUCCACCCCCCUUCCAAAACAAAUUCUAAGAAAUAUCAGAAUUCUUUCAAUAAAAACCCUUCCCCCCAUGCUGUGCCUGCUGAAUGAAAUAUAUUAAUCUUACGAGAAGUUGAGAAAAUAAAUUAAAGAACAUACCCUCCGGAAGAAUUCAAUUGUUGCAAUUUUCUUUCACGUGGAGGUCCUCCAAAGUUAGAGCACAUAUCCGUACACUGUUUAUGAAAUCAUAAUAACAGGGGACCAGAUAUUAAUAACAAAUCUUGACACCUAAAAGUCAACUGUGAUGAAAAACAUUAAAAAGAAUAUGAACUUGUUAUCUUGGAAGAAGAUAAUUUAAGAUAUAGCAAACUUGGCACAUUCAUAUAUGAACAGAAGGAAUUUGUAGACGUUUUAAAGCCAUAAUCGUUUAAUAAUCAUGAACCAAGCAAUAAUAGAUGAUUAUUAUGUUGGGUGCAAGCGGAAGUGCAGAAAAAUUUUUAUUUAAGAUCAGAGUAUUUUGCUGGAAAUUUCUGAAACUUUAUUGCUUAAUUCAUUUUUUCGUUUCUCUCUUACUUUUCAUACAACCAGAGUUCUAUAUUUAUAUGCAUUAUAGACAACUCUAGAGAUUACAUUAAUCAUGCUUUACAUUUCCAAAGCCACAUUGCAAACAUCAAUUCUACCCUUUACUUCACGUUGAAAAACAAACCAAAUAAUCCUUCAAACUUCUUGCUCAAUUUACUAGAUUACUAAUUAUAUCUCAACACCCCCUCUUAAUUAGUAAUCUUCAAUUGCUUCUUGAAUUUUUCAAACUUCUCAAUAAUGAUUGCUUUGGUCAGAAAAUCUGCUGGCUGCUCAUUAGUGCUGAUAAACUCCAUAUUAACUUCUCCUUUGCUUACUAAGUCACGGAUGUAGUGAUAACGCAGCUCAAUGUGCUUAGAUUUAGCAUGAAAUACGAGGUUCUUUGUUAGAGCAAUGGCUGACAUGUUGUCACAAUAAAUUGUUGUUGCAGCAUCUUGAUUGAACUGCAAAUCCUUGAGAAUUCUUCUAAGCCAAACGGCUUCACAAGCUGAUUCAGUUGCUGCAAUGUACUCUGCCUCGGCUGAGGAUAAAGCUACUGACUUCUGCUUCCUUGAGCUCCAUGAAAUCACAUUUGUACCAAGACAAAAUAAAUAACCUGAUGUGCUUUUUCUGUCAUCAAGGGAACCAGCCCAGUCACUGUCAGUAAAACCAACAAGCUUGCAAUUGUCUUCUUUUUCAUACAUGAUCCCCUGCUUUUUUGUUCCUUGAAGAUACCUUAAGAUUCUCUUUGCUGCAAUAUAAUGGGACUUCCUUGGAUCAUUCAUAAAUCUAGAAAGAACACUAACUGAGUGCAAAAUGUCAGGUCUUGAGUUGGUUAGAUAAAUCAACGAACCAACCAAGCUUCUAUAGAUUCUUGCGUCAGCCUUUUCUUCUUUUUCAUCAUGUUUCAAUUUUUCAUUCAAACCCAUAGGAGUAGGUGCUGGUUUGCAUUUGAACAUGUGGAAUUUCUUCAACAAAUCUUCUACGUAUUUUUCUUGACAAAAGAAGAUUUUUCCUCUGGCUUGCUUCACUUGAAUGCCAAGAAAAUACUUCAUUAAGCCCAAGUCAGUCAUCUCAAAUUCAUCUAGCAUGCUUUUUUUAAACUCUUCCACCAUUUUCAGAUUAGUGCCACAAUAAAUUAGAUCAUCAACAUAAAGGCAAACAAUAAGGAAAUCAGUACCUUCCUUUUUGACAUAAAGAGAAGGUUCACUUGAGCUUCUGUCAAAUCCAUUUUUAACGAAAUAUCUAUCAAUUCUGCUAUUCCACGCUCGAGGGGCUUGCUUCAAGCCAUACAAGGCUUUUCGGAGUUGAUAAACUUUGUUUUCUUCACCUUUCACUUCAUAUCCUUUAGGUUGCUCAACAUAAACCUCUUCUUCAAUUUCACCAUUUAGAAAUGCCGAUUUUACAUCUAGUUGAAACACAUGUAAUUCCAUUUGGGCUGCCAAGGCAAGAACAGUUCGAAUAGUCUCCAUUCGAGCUACGGGAGCAAACGUUUCUGUAAAAUCAACUCCAGGCAGCUGAGAGUAUCCUUUGGCAACGAGCCGCGCCUUAUAUUUUUUAACUGAACCAUCUUCAUUGUACUUGAUUUUGAAGAUCCAUUUCAGCCCAAUUGUUUCUUUUCCAUUUGGCAAAUUAACCAUCUCCCAAGUUUUAUUUUUCACAAUGGUGGCCAUUUCCUCGUUCAUUGCUUGGAUCCAAUUUUCAUUUCUUGAGGCCUCCUCAAAGUCUUGAGGCUCACAAGAAAAUAAAGCAAGUUCACAUGACUCAUAAAUUUCUCUCAUUGACUUUAUCUUCCUUGGAGGGCUUUCAUCAUCCGAAGAACUUUCUGCUGCUGAAUUUGGAGAAUUUGGUUCCAAAUUAUUUUGCUGUGAAGAAUUUGGUGGAGAUACAGGAGCUUCGAAAAAGCUAGAUGCUUGAGAUUGAUCUUUUUCCCACUGCCAAGCUGAUGCCUCAUCAAAUACAACAUCUCUUGAGAUAACAAGCUUAUUUGUUGUAGGAUUCAACAACCGAUACCCUUUAGACUCAUCACUAUAGCCAAUAAACAAAUAUUUUUCACCUUUUUCAUCAAACUUCUCUCUGUUUUGAGCUAGAAUAAGAGCAUAAGCAAUACUCCCAAAAAUCUUCAAGUGAUCAACAGUUGGCUUUCGGUUGUGCCAAGCUUCAAAUGGAGUUUUGUCUCUAACAGCUUUUGUAGGAGACCUGUUGAGGAUGUACACAGCUGUAUGACAUGCUUCUGCCCAUAAGUUGUUAGGAAUGCCUUUGCCUUUUAACAUGCUUCUUGCCAUCUCUACAAUGGUACGGUUCUUCCGUUCUGCAACUCCGUUUUGUUGUGGACUUCGGCUGACAGUAAGUUGUCUUUGAAUUCCAUUAUCCCUGCAAUAAUUCAUGAAUGGAGUGUAGAUAAAUUCACCACCACGAUCAGUUCUCAAGGUCUUCAUUUUGCAUCCACUUUGCCUUUCUGCAAGAGCUUUAAACUGAAGAAAAGUUGAGAAAGCUUCUGAUUUUUCAUUCAAAAAAUAAAUCCACAUCAUCCUUGUAUAGUCAUCAACAAAAAGAAUGAAAUAUCUCCUGUUAUUGAGAGAGAGAGUCCUUGUAGGACCACAAAUAUCAGCAUGCACCAACUCCAACGGAGCUUUGGCUCUCCAUGAAUUUUUAGGAAAUGGAAGUCUAUGCAUUUUUCCAUAUAUACAGCCCUCGCAAACUUUUUCAUAUCUUCCAACAUCAGGUAAGCCAAUCACCAUGUUCUUUUGCUUGAGCAAAUUCAGCCCUUUAUAGUUUAAAUGACCAUAUCUGAGAUGCCAUAAAUUUGACAAAUCUGAAUUUUCAGUUUUGAGAGCAACAUUCUCAUCAAGUGGCAUAACAAGAGGAAAAACUUUGUUCUUUGACAUUUCAACAACGGCCACUGUAUGAUUAUUAGUUUUAUCAAUGAUUUUGCAUUUUUCAUCAUCAAAAUAAAUUGAAAAACCCUUUUGAAUUAGCUGCCCCACACUCAAGAGGUUUUGAGUUAAAUUUGGAACAUAAAGAACGUCAUAAAUGAGCUUUUUGUUACCUCCCUUUGUAUGGACAGCAAUAGUGCCUUUUCCCACAGCUUUCUGCAUCUUUCCAUCUCCAAGCUUCACUUGCGAAUUAAAACUUUGGUCAAGGUUGAUGAAAAUGUCACGUUCUCCAGUCAUGUGGUUGCUACAACCGCUAUCCAAGUACCACAAAUUAUAUGAUUCACGUUCAGCACCUUUACUUGAAUAAAACAAGUAAUCUCCAUCACAUUCUUUUGUAAAAUUUGCCUCAUUUUUGCCUUUCUUAUUUUGAUACCAGCAAUCCCUUUGAGAAUGGUUAGGAAUGCGACACCUUGUGCAUUUAUAACGACAAUCUUUUGAUUCAUGAUUAGACCGAUUACAAAUGAUGCACUGAGAAUCUGAAUUUUGCUGUGAAUUCCCUCUGUCAUUUUUCCACUUGUUGCGGUUGUCGUUCUGUUCUCUUUGCCCUAUGCCACGCUGCUCGUUUCUUUGAGACGAGCCUCCGUUCUUCUGGUCUUUCUUGCUGCUUUUAUUCUGAUCUGAAUUAUUAAUCUUUGACUGAAAAGCUUGCUCUGUAGGCUGACUUGAAGGUCGAUUGAUUCUUUGCUCAUGAGACCGUAAUGAUCCUGACAAAUCUGAAAAAGUCAUCUUGGACAAAUCCUUUGAUUCUUCAAUGGCUGCUGCUACAUGAUCAAACUUUGGAGGAAGACAUCUCAGCACCUUUUCAUUCACCUUCUUGUCUUCAAUGGAGUCCCCACAACCUUUAAUCUGGUUCACAAUCUCAGUAACUCUACUGCAAAAAUCCUGAAUUCCUUCUCUGUCUUUCAUUGAUAAAUUAUCGAACUCUUUCCACAAAGUCUGUAACUUGAUGGUGACUGCCUUUUCAGAACCUUGAAAUUCUUGUUUUAGGAUUUUCCAAGCAUUUUUGGCCUUUUUGACACCAAAUAUUCUGGGGAAAAUUGACUUACUAACACCUUGCUGGAUAUAUCGAAGUGUCGUGGCAUUUCUCUGUAUGUUUUCUUUGUACUGCUGUUGAUGUGCUGGAGUCCAAUCUGAAGAACUUGCAGAUUCUGGUGGUUCAGCAUAUCCAUCUUCAACAACAUCCCAUAAAUUUUGAGAGAGGAAAAAGGUUUCCAUUUGAUUACUCCAAUAUUCAUAAUGUACCCCUUCAAAUAUUGGAACUUGACUGGGAGCAUAUGAGAAUAAUGUGGGUAGGGUAUUUGAUGUCAUUUUGAGGGUGUUUUGGAAAAGCUCUGAUACCAAAUUUGUUGGGUGCAAGCGGAAGUGCAGAAAAAUUUUUAUUUAAGAACAGAGUAUUUUGCUGGAAAUUUCUGAAACUUUAUUGCUUAAUUCAUUUUUUCGUUUCUCUCUUACUUUUCAUACAACCAGAGUUCUAUAUUUAUAUGCAUUAUAGACAACUCUAGAGAUUACAUUAAUCAUGCUUUACAUUUCCAAAGCCACAUUGCAAACAUCAAUUCUACCCUUUACUUUACGUUGAAAAACAAACCAAAUAACCCUUCAAACUUCUUGCUCAAUUUACUAGAUUACUAAUUAUAUCUCAACAUAUUAUUCCGUUUCUUCUAAGCUACGCAUACUUGCACAUCAGAAUAAAGUGAUAUACAAUGGUUGUGUGCAGACACAAACGCAUGAUCAACAGGAAAAAUCAUCUGAACAUUUGUAUUACUGAUUUGGCAUAUAAGAUUCUCAUAAUAGUUCAAAAUACAAAUAAAUGAAUAUAUAUAUAUUCCCCACCGGAAUCACCCCCUGGAUCCUCACUCAAGGUGUCUUCCGAGCCAGAAGAUCCCUCCUCACCACUAUUUCCGCUCGUGGAGGUUGUUUGGGGGGACAUCCUCCUAGCGCUAGUCCCAACACUAGACCUAAUGGGUUCUAAGGGGAUCCCGGGGUCAAAAGCAGGAUCGGUGAGCAGACUAGACAAGAAACCUAAUUCGUCGUCAUCAAUCUCAACGAUUUUCUCUUUACCCUUCGACAUUCCCUAAACUAUAAUCAGAACACCACCACCAACUACAACCCCAAGCAAAGCACAGAGAAAAGAAAUUAUCUACAACUAACCAAGACCGAGAAAAUAGAAGAAAUACCUGAAGCAGGGAUUCGAUCAGAGAGAGAUAGGGAUGAAAGCUUUAAUGCCGAGGUUCAUUCGCCGGAGAGACAAGAAGGGAGAAAAUGACGAGUUCGUGUUUGAGGAUUUUGGGUUUUCUUACUGAGAAGCAAACUCUUGGGCUGCCAGCAUUUAAUGACACAUAUUCCGAGAAUCUUGCAACCGUAGGUUUGAAAUUCAAAUGGAGGGGUGGAUUUCUGCCACAUCACUUCAUCUGCAAUUAAAUGCGACACGACUCUUGGCAGUCUUUUCCAGUCCCACGCGAGCAAGAACCGAUUGAGUUUCUACUGCUGGUCCAUUACAUUACCCAACACCAGAAACUGGGGGACUGGUGUUUGAGGGAAAUACUUCGACGAGACCAGACGUGAUGAGCAGAUAUUUGAUGGCAGAGUUCUGCAAACAGGUGUGUCUUGUAAGAGCCAGGUAGCAGGGGAACAGGAGUAGGAAUAUUCUGCUCGUCCACGAAUAUGCCAUUCACGAGGUCAAACUCCUGUUAGAGGCAUAAGGCCAUUCCUGCUAGAGGUCGAGAAGCGAGGAGACCCGGUCAACGACAGUUGGCAAGACGUGCAUUCCUAUCCGAGAAUCAAGGCACAAAGUCCAUCUCCAUUCGCCCACAAUGGCGAUAAUGGGGCAUCCAUAUCCCGGGGGGGGGAGAAUAAGGGGCGUGGACUACGGAAGAUCGGGAUUCAGAGGAAGCUUAUAAAAAGGUAGCCAACGAAGGUAAAAGGGUUAGAAUUUUUGAGAUUGCAACUAAGAAAAGAGAGCUCUAAGAACUGAAACUAAAGAGAAGCCAUAAGAUUCGUGGCAAACAUUCCCAGAACCUUCAUAUCUGACUUGAGCGUCGGAGGAUUUACGCCGGGAAAACGACCGGCGCACCCUGACCUGCUUUUGUGUUCGCAUGAAUUUUUGGGGAAGAAACCUUACGAGGAGAGAUCCUGGUCAUGGUAGAGUUGGUCGAGCAGAGGUCCUGGUCUUGGUAGAGAAGGCAACCAGAAUCUCGCAUCAACAAUUAUUUUACUUGAAAUUAUGUACAAUUGCAUUUCAUUCAUUUCUCUCUCUCUUUUUCUUUUUUCCCCCCAUAUAUUUUUUAUGUAUAAUUGCGUUUCAUUUAAUAUUGAUCAUACUGUAGGUAACCAUGUGAUUGUAGAUGGGGAUUUCAAGUUUGUUGAAUAUUCAUGUAAGUGAAGUAACCGUCACAAUACUAGUGAAAUUGGGAGCUUUAUUCAUGAGUUUGUGGUUUUGAAAAGUACCACAGUUCAGCUGAUGAAGGCUUCUUUUUGGGAUUCUUCUUUUCCUAGGCUGCAAUUAGGAUAUGUACAUGAUAGACAAUCUUUUGUUGGUUUGGCAUAUCUUCGCUGAUUUUGUCUUUUAUUCCCCAAUUUUAUAAUUACACACCAUGAAUGUUGGGUGAUUGCAUAGAAAAUUUGUGUUAUAACAAAAACAUUGUGAAGGAGUUUCUGUGCUAAUAGUUAGUGGCUUCUGUUUUAUUGGCAUUGAUUGGGUAGAUUACGUGUUACAGUGAUUCAAUUUGUGUUCCAAACUUUGCUUUAAUUUUCUGUUUUCCCCAACUAUUUAUGUCAAAUUUAAAUCCAGAAGCAUGUACUGAUUUUUUCUUUUUGUAUUAAUUUGUGAAGUUUAUUUGGAAUGGAAGUAACUGGGUCGGGUCUAAUGGAUUAAAUUAUGACAUUGAGGGGAAGGCACUAAAAGGGUUUGCUUGACACAUUUGGUUCUGUGUCUGCAAGAAAUAGCUUUUGCUUAUUGCAAUGCAGGGGGAAAUCCCGAUUUGGCUGGUGAAUUUCUCUGCAACAAACGGGCAAACACCUUGACUUCUUCUGUCCAUACUUCUGCUGGGGAGGCAAGGGGUAAAGAGUCUUCAAAAUCAUCAAAUAGUAACAUCUCUGAGAAUUCAUUUUAUGGAAAUGGAAAAUCUAGAGCUUCUAAUACAAAAUGGUAUCUGGUAUCAGGACGUACCGUUUCAAGUUUUCUUGGUAAAGAUUAUGUUAAACCUGCACAGCCAGCUAAUGGCACUUUUCUGGCAUCAAAGCCAUUGAAGUUGGAUCCAAGGGAGUUUCGCAUUUCUGCACUUUCAGAGAAGAAACUAAACCGAAACAAUCAAAGGAUGACCAUUUGCAGAAGGAUAUGGAAGAUUUUCUGUUUAAAUUGCUAGGAGAAGGGUUCCAGCUGUACAGGGAUGUGAUUCAGAUGGUUCAUGGUAACGUCUUAAAUAUAUUGAUGCCAAUUUAAUACAUAUUGUCCUUUUCAAUGUUCUUUCUUUCUUUCUCCUCUUUUUAUUCUUCUUCUUCUUCUUUUUUCUUUUCAUGUGCAUCUGAUCACUAAUUUGGUAUUAUUCUUAACUUGCAGAUAGUUGUGGAUAUGAUAUGCAAAAAGGUAAGGACUAUAUCUUCUUGAUGGAGGCCUCUGAUUUUUUAAAUCGCAUUUUCCUUUGUGAUUGAUAUAUCAUACCAAAGUCAAGUCUUAAAUACUGCUGUCAUAUGUUAAGGUUCAACUUCCAUUUUGAUUAACGUCGAUUUGCUACUGCUUCCAAAAGUGAGAAUGAGAUACUUUGGUUAAUUUCAGUAGUUGAACCCAAUAGAGUACUUUAUUUAGAUCUUCAUGGUUCAAAGGCCUGAAAAAACUUGCCGGUGUUUGCAAAAUGACAUUCUGUGCUUUUAUUUAGACUUAUUAUUAAAGACAACAUUUUGUUUCAGCCAAAAAUGUUUGUUUCGAUUAAAGACUGAUUUUAUAUUUCUAUUUUGUAACUUGAAAUAAUUGGUCUGCCUGUUUCUGUUGCUUGAUAACAUGAAUUUUUCCUUCUGAAGUUAAUUUGAUCAAUAAAGUAAUUCUUCGGAGAGGAUAUGCCCAUUCUAUAGUCAUUUUCUUAGCUAACAUGUUUUUUCUUCACUCUUCAGAGCAUGUCUAAACUAAUUGAUCGCUCAGCGGAGACUUUGGGUGAGAAGACAAAAUUUCUUGGUAAAUCCUCUGAAAAGGUAUGCAUAAUUCCCGAGUAUUAAAUAAUCAUUGGUCAUAAUUUUUGUACACGACUCUUUUUUUGGAGAUCGUUAAAAGUGGUUGAUGAUCUAUUUUGUAAUAUCAUAGAGGGAUCAUGAAUUCCUUUUCUUUUCUGUGGCUAGGCAACACUUUCGAGCCAAGCUAAGGAAAUCUAUUUUAGGUAAUGUGAAAACCAGUUGUAGGAUGUAAUAGUUUAUUAUGCCCUGCCAAUAACUUUUUGUAUAAUUGUCAGUUUAAUGAAUACAAGAGGAACUCUGUUGGCAAGUUCAUCCAUGAUAGAUGCUAAAAUUAUUUAUGCAUACCAGUUGCCUUAACUAAUUUUUCUCAACACUGGUAUUGAACAGGAAAAUGAAUAUGCAAUUUGUAUAUUGUGCCAUUGUGGAGAAUUUGGAUAUUCUUAUUUAAGUAACAAGGAGAGUAUUUGCCUCAUCUUUAAACAAUGAAUCUUUGAGAAAUGAGGAGUGGGUGAUUGGCAGUGUCUUCAUGUAAAUGUUCAUUUAUUUGUAUUUUGAACUAUUAUGAGAAUCUUUGUAUGCCAAAUUAGUAAUACAAAUGUUCAGAUGAUUUUUCCUGUUGAUCAUGCGUGUGUAUCUGCACACAACCAUUGUGUACCACUUUAUUCUGAUGCGCAAAUAUCUGUAGUUUAGAAGAAAAGAAAUAAUAAUCAUAUAUUAUUGCUUGGUUCAUGAUUAUUAAACGAUUAUGGCUUUAGAAAAUCCACAAAUCCUUUGUGUUCAUAUAUGAAUGUGCGAAGUUCGCUAUAUCUUAGAUUACCUUCUUCCAAGAUAACAAGUUCAUAUAUUUUUUAAUCCUUUUUCAUCACAGUUGAAUUUCAAGUGUAAGUUUUGUUAUUAAUAGCUGGUUUCCUGUUAUUAUGAUUUCAUAAACAGUAAGAGGAUAUGUGCUCUACUUUUGGAGGGCCUCCACAUGAAAGAAAAUUGCAACAAUUGAAUUCUUCCGGAGGGUAUGGUAUUUAAUUUAUUUUCUCAGCUUGUUGUAAGACUAAUAUAUUUCCUUCAGUACGCACGGCAUGGUGGGAAGGGUUUUUAUUGAAACAGUUAUGAUAUUUCUUAGACUUUGUUUUGGAAGGGGGUGGAGGGAUUUCUCAUCCAUAUAUGGUUACUUGAUUAGCUUUUGACUGUAUUGUCUCCGUCGUGCAAAGGAAAAUCCAAAUACUAACGAAGGGGAAUUGCUUAGGCACCCAAAGGACAGAAAUGAAUUACGGAAGGAAGUUUUUGCUGCUUUAUUUAGUGCUGCUGAGAAAUCUGAUGGAUUUCCUGAAAUUACGGUGAAGACGGAGUGGAGGUCCAACGCAUUAGGAAAGGUGGUGAGUGAACCGCCGGAGGAAUUAGUACCAGAACACAAGGCUAAUGUGGUGCACUGGCAGCAAGAUGACCAGACCUGUAUGUGCUCUUAUAUUAACUAUAUUGGCUGGAUUUGUGAGUGUGUACAUUUUUGUGUGUAUACUCACUUUUGGAUUUAUGCAUAUUAACGUGUGUAGGAUUCUCGAUUUCUGCCACUUACUGGAGAACUAGUGGAAAGCUUUAUACUGAUAUAUGUGCUAUAUAACUAAUGGAAACUACAAUAUGAAUAUUUUCUCUCACCUGGAGAACAGUGUAACUGAUAUAAUUUGUGGCUCUGGAAUACUGAAGAUUCUGCAAUAACUAAUGGAAAAUAUGAUAUGAAUAUUUUUUCUCACCUGGAGAACUUUGUAACAGAUACAUUUUGUGCUGGAAUGUCUAAAGAAUGCUUCAGUUUAGAUCAAAUAUCUUUUAGUUAGAAAAGAUAAAAUUCUCUGAAUCUGAAAGACUGAAACAUUUUGCAUAUUUCGUGAAAGGCAAGUAUCUGUAGAUACUAGCUCAUGCAUUGAGGUAAUAUCAAUGUUAAAGAAAAACAGCAAUAAUUUAUUAUACAGAAUUAGGUUCACUUGCUUUAAAUGCUGGUCUGAUCAACCAUAUCAACCUGUAAUGGUCCUGCAGAAAUAUAUAUACGGGGAGAAACUAGCUAAUUUUCCUUUCACUUAUGGGUUUGGUCUUUUUUUUCCCCUAUUUUUCAGCUUUCCUUCUCCUGAAGUAUGUUAACAAUUGCAGAUAAUGACGAAGAGGACCGCUUCCAGGCUCUUUGUAGAGCUGUGAUGGAAUAUAGGGGCACAAUGAAAGAAUAUUGUAAGGCUGUAUGUACUUUCUCUCAUGUCAUUUAUGUUUUCUCACACAUUUUGUAUAUGCCCUGAACAUGCAGCUUUGUAUGUGUCAAUUGCCUUUUACGUUUUAAAAGCCAUAAAGUAAGAAUACAGUUCCUUGUCAGGCUAUUGAUGCGUUCGCUCAGAAGGGUCAUGUUCAAGCAGGAAAACUUCUAGAACAGGUAAGGUUUCCAUCUACAGCCAUCCAUUGACAGCAGAUAUAUUUUCAUUAAGCAGACACUGUUAGCAUUCAAGAUGCUGGCAGAUUCACUUGAUUCUUAUUAGUUUGUUUAGUGGCAAACCAUAUAACCUGUAUUUCAAAGCCAAGUUGUGCUAUUGAUUAUGUUAACUUUAUUGUUAACAUAAAGUGAUAUGGAGGACAUAAUCAAUGUAGGAAAAUUAGGUGAAGAGAUGAUGUCAAAUCUUGAACCUCUUACAAAGCUCCAAGUUCUUUACUUGAAGAAGCUGCCAAAUUUGAAGAGCGUCUACUGGAAGGCAUUUCCAUUCCCAGAUGUAUGCAGAAUUUUUGUAUUAAUGCCCAGUUCUUAAGAAGCUGCCACUGGAUUUUCAAGGGGCGGGCCAAGGUAAAAUUCUUAUCAAGGGAAAGGAAGAUUGGUGGAAAGAACUUCAAUGGGAGGAUCAAGCAACUCAGAAUGCAUUGCUUCCAUUUUUCAAAUCAACUGACAAGUGAUUGAAGGGGGCAUCAUCAACAUCAUCAACUGGGAUGGAGAGAUUAUGGAGCAGAUCAGCAGGGUUUGUAUAUGAUCUUUGGUGGUUGCUUUCUUUUGUGAUUUUUUUUUUCUCAUUUUUUUCCCUUCCUGUCAUUUUAUCAUUUCUUUGUCUCGUUUUCUAUUGCUGAUGUUAGUGUAUGCUUACUGUUGCUUGACAAAGUUUGCUUGCUUCUUGUUUAUUAAUUUUUUUAUGGUCACAAAAUAUUACUUGUUCUAUUUGAGAGUGAUGUGAAUCAAUUUUCAAUUAUAUAUUUUAUGGUCAAUGUGAAUUCAAUUUCAUUUGUCUCCUGCAAUUAUUUAAAAAAUGCAGAGUCAUAAUAUGGAAAAGUCGACCGGCAAAAACUUUGUGAAAGCUUCGGAGUGAAACAGGGAAUUCACUUACUAACAGGGAAUUCACUUACUACUAAGGACAAUUGGUGGCGAGCUAUUCCAUUCAUUUUAUGUCCAUACAUCUAUUUAAUUAUUAAAGAUAAGUGGUCCAUUUGUAAAUUUCAGAUUGUGUCUCUCUGAAAAUAACAAUAUUUAAAAUGUCUCUUAAAUUAUUAUAAAUUUUAAUUCACUCUCGAUUUAAAAUGGAACAUGCUGAUGAAAUUUUUUUUCUUCUUAAUAAAAUUGAAAUAAAUUGUGUUUGCAGUAGUUUGAAAUAUUUUAAAGAUUAUUAUUUUAUAAGGGAGUAAUAUGAAAUGAAAUUUACUUUUCAUGCGUGAAAUGUUGAAAAAGGACACAGCAAGUGUCCCUGCUUUUAUUUUAUUUCAAAGUGGAGUCAUCUCACAUACUUUAACUCUAUCGUUACAAUUUUUCAGGUUACAUUUUUAUUUAUUUAUUUAUUUUCUUUUUUACACAUGCAUGUGGGUUACUUUUCCGUAAGCUCCUUAAUAUAUAUAUUUAACACAAAUCAUGGAAGAGAUGGGAGUAUAUCAAGAUGAUCAAAGCAUGAAACAAAAAUAUUUAAGAAGUAAAACACUGAAAAUAGAGAAGAGAUGCAAGCAAAAGAUAUUCCAAAGAAAAGCAAUCUAUCUCCUUUCGAAGAAUGUUAUGGAAGAGUUGAACCCAGCGAAGAAUGUUAUGGAAGAGCAAAUUAAUGAUAUUUUUGAUAGAGUCUAUUUGAUUAUGUAGCCUGAAUAGAUGUCUUGUUGAAAGAUAUCUCAGUGCAUUAGUUCAUCCUUGACUGUCAAUGUGUUUUUAAUGGUUUUUCCAAAUUUUUAUUAUUAUAGAUUGAUUGUAAAUUUGAUAUGAAUUUAAUGUUGAAAUGUUUUCUCUUUAGUGGAAUGAAUUUAAAAGUGCAAAAGCUUAUUGCACACAGAGAAAUAAACAUAUAUGCUUUAUAACUUUAGCAAUCGAUUCUUUUACAGCUGGAAACAGAGAUGAUGAUUAUCAUAGGGGUGAAGAAAAGGACAAAAAAUGUUAAUGGUUAACGAAAUUUCUAUGCAAAUUGAUUUUAGCAGGAAAAAAGUGAGCUAAAUGAUCUUAAUGUUCCACAAGAAAAAGCAAGAUCUUAAUGUUCCACAAAAGCGUUAUUUAUUUUUUUUUGGUGAGCCACGUGGAGCUCAAUUAUCAUUGUCUUUACUUUAAAAACGUUAUUUUAUUUUCUUUUAUUACAAAUUAAUGCUAACAAGAAAAAGCAAGAUAUAAUAUUCCACAAAAGCAAAUCGUAAUAUUCCACAGAGGAGUAAGAUCCACAAAAGCAAACAACUAGCUGGAUUCUUUUAUUGAACUACAAAUUAAAACAACAAAUUAAAGUUCAAAUAUUUAAAUAGUAGUGCGUUAGACGAUUAGGCUCUUUUAUUAAAGGGAAGUAUAAAGUAGUCCAGAAUCGAACAUCUCUAUUGUCUAGUCUUUUUUUUUUUUUUUAAUUCUUCUUUUAUUAUUUUUCAGAAUAGGUUUUGGUGAUUACUAUUGGGUUAUUAUUGAGAGUUAUUGUUAUCUUCCGGGGCAGUUUCUGUUAAUCGAAAUCGUUAAUUAAAAUUUUAGAACUCUUAUUGGAAGAAUGUUUUUCCGUUAUUUUUUUAUAUUCUAAUUUCAAUUGUAAGAAGUAGUCAUUUUAGAAUUUGGGUCUUGAAUCGAAUUUCAAUGCAUGAAUUAAUAUUUAAAAAAAAAAUUACUACACGCAGUUUAGGUUACAAACUAUUUUUUGCAAAGUUGAUUAUGAAAUUGGAAAAAUUAAGUAAUUUAUAAUGUUUGCAAAGGAAGAGACUAACAUACUUCCAAUUACACUAUAUCUCUAUUAUCAUAAUGUUAAGAUUAAACUAACUUAAAAUAAAUUUUAUUUGAAAAGUUAUAUCAAACGCAGUCUAAUUUUAUUAACUUGAAGAGAUAAUAGUUAUAGAAAUUAUUGUUCUAACUUAAUUAGUACAAGUGGUAUAAAGGUUAAGUGUGCACUAAAUUUGUUUAAAUUUUUUCCAGAAUAACUAACAGAGGUCAUUACUAGAAUUAUAAUUACUAGUCUAUUAGAUAGAAAAAAUUAUUUAUAUUGUUUUAUAUUUAUUAAAAAAUUUUAAAGUCAAUCUUUUUAAUUAUUAUUUAAAGGAUAUUAUAAUUAAAAAAAAUUUAAUGUCUUUAUUAAAAAUUUAAAAAUUUAAAAAUUUAAAAAUUUACAUGACCGCUCUAUAAAUAUUGAAAGUGUAACUGUCAUUUUCUCAUAUAUAUAUAUAUAUAUAUAUAUAUAUAUAUAUAUAAACCACGGUGGUGAAGCUUUAUUUAAUAUUAAUGAUUUAAAUAACAAUAUCUCAAUUAAAAAUGUAGAGAGAAGAAAUUUCGGUGGGUAUAUUAGUCUUUUACAAUUAUCAUGAUUAACCCUUCCUCUUGUAACGUUGGUCAGAAAAGUUUUAAAAUGCCUUGAUUUCUUUUACUUUUAACGUUAGCGGCCUUCCUUAUAUUUUAUUACAAAUUAGUCCUAACAAGAAAAAGCGAGAUCAUAUUCCAAAAAAGCAAAAGUGACAAAAAAACCAGCUGUAUUCUUUUAUUAAACUACAAUUUAAAAUGAUUUUAAAGUGGAUUCUUUUGAAUACAGGUGGGGUAGUCGAAUAGUCUUUUUCAAAUUCUUGUUUUAUUAUUUUUCAAAACUAGUUUUUGGUAAUUACAAUCGGGUCAUUCAUUAGUCAUUAUUCAGAGUUAUUGUUAUCUUCGGGGGCAGUGGGUAAAAGGCUAAAUGAUAAUUACUAAGUGUUUUUCCUUCAAAAGUUAGUGGCUCGUGUUUUGCAAGUGUGUACGUGCGAUGCUCUUUGUCUAAAGGCAAUUACAGUGGGUCCCGAAUCGGACGUGCCUAAUAAAUCUUUUAAAAAUUUUUCUAAUAAAUAUUCCUAAAAUUUCUCUUCCACAGGCAAUUACAGCAGCUUCAGUUAAUCAAACUCAAUCAAUUUUCUUUCUUAACAAAAUUCCAAAGAUGUGUGGCUGUUUUCAGAUCACAUGCGAUGGUACUUUUUUCAAUCGUUGCUUAGAUUGCUUUCUUGGAAAAGCAGCAUACAUACGUAACCUCCAAGAUAACCUCGUUGCCUUGGAGACUGAACUAAGGAAACUAAUCGCAGCAAAGAACGAUGUGAUGACGGCGGUUGUCAAUGCUGAACGGCAACAAAUGAGAAGGCUGGAACGAGUGCAAGUGUGGGUUUCGAGUGUGGAUUCUGUUAAAACUGGAGCCGAUGAACUUAUCACAGACGGCUCUGAAGAAAUUGGCAAAUUAUGUGUUGGAGGCUACUGUUCCAAGAACUGCAGGUCAAGCUACAAGUUCGGAAAACAAGUGGCUGAAAAGCUACAACAUGUGAAGAAUUUAAUCGCCGAGGGAGUUUUUGAGGCGGUGGCCACUGAGGUGGUGCCCGAGAGAGCUCCGGAACCUGUAGCAGAUAAAAGACCCAUUGAGCCAACAAUAGUAGGCUUGCAAUCACAGCUUGAAGAAGUUUGGAGAUGUCUUGCAGAAGAAUCAGUGGGAAUCAUUGGCCUAUAUGGUAUGGGCGGUGUUGGUAAAACCACACUAUUGACCCAUAUCAACAAUAAAUUUCUUGAGAGUCCCACAAACUUUGAUUGUGUGAUUUGGGUCGUAGUUUCAAAAGACCUGCGACUUGAAAAAAUUCAAGAAGAUAUUGGGAAGAAGAUAGGUCUAUCUGAUGAUUCAUGGAAGAAUAAAAGUUUUGAAGAGAAAGCUGUGGACAUCUUGCGGAGAUUAGGAGAGAAGAGAUUUGUAUUGUUGUUAGAUGAUAUAUGGGACCGGGUUGAUUUAACAAAGGUGGGCGUUCCACUUCCCGGACCACAAAAUACUACCUCAAAAGUCGUAUUCACAACCCGUUCCAUCGAUGUUUGUGGCAGCAUGAGAGCUAGGCCGGUUAAAGUGGCAUGCCUAUCAGAAAAGCAAGCUUGGGAACUGUUCCACGAAAAUGUUGGGGAAGAAACUCUUGAGAGUGAUCAUGAGAUCGUUGAGCUAGCCCAAACAGUGGCCAAAGAGUGUGGUGGUUUGCCACUCGCACUUAUUACUAUUGGUCGAGCUAUGGCCUACAGAAAGAAAGCGGAGCAGUGGAGACGUGCAAUUGAAGAGUUAAGAAGAUCAGUUUCAGAGUUUGCAGGUUUGGGAAAAGAGGUGUAUCCUUUUUUAAAGUUCAGCUAUGAUAGUUUGCAGUAUGAUACGGUUAGAUCUUGUUUCUUGUAUUGUUGUUUAUAUCCUGAAGAUUAUGGCAUUCUUAAAUGGGACUUGAUUGAUUGUUGGUUUGGCGAGGGAUUUUUUGGGGAAUCUGACAGGUCUGGUGCAGAAAACCGAGGAUAUGGCAUUUUGGACACUCUUGUUCGUGCAUGUUUAUUAGAAGAGGUGGAAGAUGAUAAAGUAAAAAUGCAUGACGUUAUUCGUGAUAUGGCUAUAUGGAUAGCUUGUGAAAUUGAGAAGGAGAAGAGAAACUUUUUGGUUUGUGCAGGUGCUGGAUUAAAAGAGGCACCGGAUGUUAAAGGAUGGGAAAAUGUGAGAAGAUUGUCAUUGAUGCAAAACCAAAUUAAAACUCUGUCAGAGGUUCCUACAUGCCCUCAUCUCCAUACUCUAUUUCUUGACUUUAAUAAGGAGUUGGAGACGAUCGCGGAUGGCUUCUUCCAAUUUAUGCCUUCUCUCAAAGUUUUGAAGAUGUCAAACUGUGGGCAUGUCAAAGUUUUGAAAUUACCUAUUGGGAUGUCAGAGUUGGGUUCAUCACUAGAACUUCUUGAUAUUUCAAAUACCAACAUAACAGAGUUACCAGAAGAGUUGAAGUUGUUGGUAAAUCUGAAAUGUUUGAAUUUGAGGUGGACAAUUUGUUUAAAUAAAAUUCCAUGGCAACUAAUAUCAAAAUUUCAAGGUUACGUGUGUUGAGAAUGUUCGCUACUGGCUUUGCACGUUUUGAUGCAGCAUCAGAAGACAGCGUUUUAUUUGGUGGGGGUGAAGUUUUAGUACAGGAAUUGGUCGGUCUGAAAUAUUUAGAGGUAUUGGAGUUGACCUUGGGAUGUCAUCAUGCUCUCCAAAUUUUUUUGAGCUCAAAUAAGUUAAAAAGUUGUAUUCGAUCUCUUCUCCUCCAAUUGGCCGGAGAUACAAAGUCGAUUAUUGAUGCUACGGCUUUCGCAGAUCUAAACCACCUCAAUGAAUUAUGGAUUGAUAGGGCUAAGGAGUUGGAAGAAUUGAAGAUUGAUUGUAAAGAAAUAGUACAAAAAAGGCGGGAACCUUUUGUUUUCCGCAGCCUUCACCGUGUUACUAUACAUAGCUGCCAGAAGUUGAAAGAUUUGACAUUCCUCGUUUUUGCUCCAGACCUCAAGUCUCUCGAUCUAGACCGUUGCGAUGCUAUGGAAGAAAUAAUCAGCGUCGGAAAAUUUGCUGAGACUCCUGAGAUGAUGGGACAUAUAAGCCCUUUCGAAAAUCUCCAAACUCUUCAUUUAAGAGCGUUUAACAUCUUUUCUCGACGACCUGCACGAUUGCCUUUCACUCAUCUGAAGGAAAUGGAGGUAAGUGGGUGCGAUCAGCUUAAAAAGCUUCCACUCGAUUCCAACAGUGCAAAAGAGCGUAAAUUUGUUAUUCGUGGAAAAGAAGACUGGUGGAACCGACUUCAAUGGGAGGAUGAAGCCACUCAAAUUGCUUUUCGUUCCUGUUUCCAACCUGAGCGGUUAGUCGCAAAAUUUGAUUUCUGGUGAUUGCGUUUGUCUUUUAACUCUUAUAUAUAUUCUUGUCGUUUGUUUUCUUCUCUGUUUUUAACUCUUAUAUUGCGUUUGUCUUUUGAAAAUCUCCAAUUAAAUGUUGAAUUAAUGGAAUUAAUGCUUCAUAAAUUUGCCGGCACUGCCAUCACUUUUUUUUUUUUUAAUACAAAUUGAUACUUUAUUUAUAUCUUCUUAGCGAUAUAAUUUCCUGUCAAUUGACGAACGAGAAGAACAUACGACUUAAACCAAUUCACGCAUAAACUUGCUGUAAAAAGAUAUAAUCUCACUGAAAUGCACACGUCUAGAAUGAAUAGAAUUAAAACAGGGAAAAUAUUUAAGUAUAUUAGCCCUCUUUACCGAAAAUGAAAUGACAAUAAAUUUUUUGAAAGUUUUGAUUUUCUAUGGUCAAUUCCACCUUUUGCAAUUUCUUCUGUUCUAACAAAAACCAAUUUCUUUGUUCAAGUAUUUUCGUUUGGGUAUUAAUAAUUCUCCACCGAAAGAGUGAACUCUUGCUCAAGGGAUCUCUAAUCAAUAGCCGGAAGGGCGCCGAGACCUGAUCGGACCUAGGCCCAAGUUUGGUCUUAAAGCCUGGGCUUGAGCCUGGCAAUUAAAUUAAAACAUUAAUUGAUUUCUUGAUUGAAUUGUCGUGUAAUUGAUUUAUGGGGGAUGACACAUCAACAUGCUUGAAAACACACUAAUCUCAGCAUCAUCGGUUAAUAACUUUUAGAAUUAUGGGUAAUCAAUAGUUAAGAUUAGUUGUCAUUAAUACUAAAUAUUUUUUUACUAUUUUCGUCUCUUCUAGAGGAUCUUCUAGAAAAAUGCAUCCACAACAAAAUUUAAUACUUUACAUAAUAAACAAAGCAUAAAUGUUAAAUUUAAGAAACUGCAUUGUAUUUCAGCUGAAGUUGACUUUAAUAUUUAGGGUAGAAAAAUAAUAAAUCCUUAAUGUGUUUAAUUUCUAUCACUUGUGUCAUUAAAAUUUUCUAGUCACCCUAACCAAUUACAUCUCAACCCACUUUUUUUUGGAUGAUUUUAUUUUUACACUAUUAUUUUCAUCAUUUUUUUUCCUUUUAACACCAACAUUAGUGUAUGUUACGUAACAUAAUUCAUAUUUGGAUAAUUUGAAAUUUGUUUGUGUUUUAUCUCAAAAUAGAGCUUCAAUCAAUUUGUACCUCAUAAAUUCACAAUAUCUAUGAGGGCUAAUAAGACCAAACUCUGGCAUAUUGUCAAAUGUGCUUAUCCUUUUGCUUGACAUGUCAUUUUAAAAUUGUCAUUCAAUGCCAAAAAAUCACAUCAACUGAUGGCCGACUACUUUAAUUUGAAAGCAUGCAUGCGAUCGCCAAUAAUUAUAACUUAAUUGUUAUUUUGAAAUUUUUUUCUUUAUAAUUUUUAAGUUUAAUACUACUACAUGUGCAGCACAUAAGUUGGAAAAUAUAACAUAAAAUUUGAAAAAUGUGUAGCUUUCGUUCCUUUUUUUUCUUAAAAAUGAGGAAAAAGAAUGUAAUUUUGUUUAAAUUACUGUUGUGAUAACAAUUAUUAUUUUAUUGAUUAAUUGGCAGAGAAUGGUUAUGGUUUCGCAUGGUUGUUAAAACAUUGGAAAAUCCACUACAUCAUCCGUUAAUAACUUUCAGAUUUAUGGUUAAUCAAUAGUUGAGAUUUGUUAUCAUUAAUGUUAAAUAUUUUUUUAAUAUUUUUUCUCUCUCCUAGAGGAUCAUCACAGCAAAAAUUUAAUAUUAUAAAUAGUAAACAAAAUAUAAACAGUUAAAUCUAAGAAACUGCAUUGCAUUUCAGCUGAAGCUAACUUUAAUAUUUAAUGGAGAAAAAUAAUUAAGUCCUUAAUGUACUUUAUUUACCCAUACUGAUACGCUCUUAAUUCGUGAAACUGAGCAACAUCAAAAUUAUCACUACUUCGAGCGAGUGUUUGCUCCAGAAGAAAGAACUGGAAGUUGAGAAAUGAGAAAGAAGAAAAGAAGAAGAGUCACAGCGAGGAAUAAAAGUGGUCCAUUCAUUUCAUGCCUUCCCAAAAUGACAAAAUCCCGCAAUAUAUAACAGACAAUCGAAAAUAACCAAUUUGACAACGCAACAGAAAAUGACAAAAAAGAAUCCAAAACAAACGUAGCCAAUCACAAUGCUUUUACAGAUCAUCCUAAACGACGUAGUCUCGUAGCCAAUCUAGAAGUUUCUUGUUUCGUUUGGGCCGUUGAUUCUCUUGCACUGGCUCAUGGUGAAUGUCCUCUUUGGGUUGACUGACUGUGGGUUCUCGGUUGAGCUCUUCCACUUGCGCCCCCUCUAAUGGCUCUAAUUUGAUAUAUAAAUUCGUAUCAUUCCCUCCUGCUUGAAAACACACAUUGUCCUCAAGGUGAAAUGCUGGAUAGAGCUUACAAAAGGCGUCAAAGUUUUCCCAAGACGAAUUCUUCGGUGAACUGACGGUCCAUUGAACUAACACUUGAAGCGUUGGCUUCCCCUGUUGCAAAACUAUUCGGGUUGCACAAAUGGCAGCCGGUAGCAAAAGAGGAUGGUUAUCCACACUCAACUCUGGUAAAGGAUGUGAAAUAGCAGGGUCGUUGCCAUGAUAAUGCUUAAGGACAGAGAUGUGAAAAACCGAGUGGAUUUUGGAAGUAUUGGGUAACUCCAAUUUGUAAGCUACAUACCCCACUCUAGCAAGUACCGUAAAUGGCCCGUAGUAUCACUUGGCCAACUUCUGACAGGCGCGAGAAGCUAUAGUGGUCUGUCGAUAUGGCUGUAAUUUAACCAGCACUUUAUCCCCUACUUCAAAGUGAGCUUCACGGCGAUGGGCAUUAGCUUUCUGAGCCAUUCGAUGUUGUGCUUGCCUCAAAUUAGCUUUUAAAGAUUGGAGAAGAGUAUUACGUUCAAGGAGAAUGUCCUCCAAAGUUUGGAUUGAAGUAGAGCCCUUAGCAUAAUGAGGAAUAGUUGGAGGCAAUCGGCCAAAUAAAGCUUGAUAGGGAGACAUCUUCAAGCCACUGUGGAAAUGAGAAUUAUAACUAAAUUCUGCCCAACUCAGUAAGGAAACCCACUUCCGUGGUUUGUCUUGAGUGAAAGCUCGUAAAUAUUGCUCCAAUCCUCAAUUUACCACUUCCGUUUGACCAUCCGUUUGAGGGUGGUAUGCCGUGCUAUGACGAAGAGUUGUGCCACUUAAGAGGAAUAAUUGUUUUCAAAAAUUGCUCAAGAACACUGGGUCUCGAUCGGAGAUAAUUGAACUUGGAAAACCAUGUAUUUUAAUGACCAUGUCCACAAAGAGUUCAGCUGUCUUGAGGGCAGUAAAUUGACAGGGUAACGGACCAAAAUGGGCAAAUUUUGUAAGACGAUUGACAACAACCAAUAUGACCGAGAAACCUUGUGCUAACGAAAGACCUAUAACGAAAUCCAUUGUGACCUCAUCCCAAACCAUAUUAGGUAUCGGCAAUGGUUGAAGAAGACCAGCAGGGGCUUGAGUGGAAUACUUAGUUUGCUGGCAUAUUAAACACUCUCGGAUAAACGUUUCCACAUCAUGACGCAUCUUGGGCCAAUAGAAUGUUGAAGAUAAUCUGAUUAAGGUUCUAGUGACACCCACAUGACCUGCCAGUGGUGUAGAGUGAAAUUCUUGCAAUAGUACGACUUUUAAAGAGGAGGUAGGACUGAUGUAAUAACGCUGACGGUGGAGAAGAAAUCCGUUUUGAACAGAGAAGUCAACUGACAGUUUGCCUUGUAAAAGUUGCUGGUGAAGUGAUAUUAAAUCAGGUAAUGUGGUAUUCUCAUUAAGUAAUGACUGCAGCAAUUCAAAUGAAGGAUGGCUGUUGAAAGAAAGGCAAGUGGGGGAGAUGUUGAUGUUAUCCUCAGGAGCUGUUUCAUGGACACGGGAUAGAGCAUCAGCGGCGCUAUUGGUACAACAUGGUCUGUACUCAAUUCUGAAUUGGAAACCCAAUAAUUUGCGGAGAUAAACUUGCUGAUCUAGUGUUUGUAUCACUUGUUGAAGGAGUUCUUUGAUACUCUUAUGAUCCGUGCGGAUAACAAAGAAUCGGCCCAACAAAUACUGCCGCCACUUAUACACAGCUUCUACAAUUGCAUGCAACUCCUUGAUGUAAGUGGAAGAAGCCCGCAAUUUGGGACCCAACUUCUUGCUGAAAUAAGCAAUUAAAUGCCCAUGUUGUGUAAGUACAGCUCCUAUGCCUACAUUAGAAGCAUCGGUCUCAAUGACGAAUUCGAAAGUAAAAUUCGGCAACUUAAGGACUGGAGCUUGCACCAUUGCUUGUUUAAGAGCUUCAAAGGCCUCCAUGGCUGUCAAAUUCCAUUGAAAGGCAUCAUUUCGCAGCAAAUCAGUGAGUGGGGCUGCCAAGGAAGCAUAACCACGGAUGAAGCGCCUAUAAUAUCCAGUGAGACCAAGAAAACCCCUCAACUGUUUGAUAGAACGUGGAAUUGGCCAAUUAAGCAUGGCAUCAAUCUUUUGGGGGUCGGCUUGUACUCCCGAGGCUGAAACAAUACGGCUUAGAUACUCAAUAGCGGCUUGGCAAAACAAACAUUUGGAUAAUUUAAUAAAAAAUUGAUGAAGAUGUAAACAAGCUAAUACUUUCUCAAGAUGAAGCAAAUGCUCGGCCAUGGAGGAGCUAUAAACCAAGAUAUCAUAAAAAAAAACGAUCACAAAUUUCCGGAGAUGAGCUGCAAAAAUCUGAUUCAUUGUGGCUUGAAAAGUGGAUGGGGCAUUUGUCAACCCAAACGGCAUGACAAGAAACUCAUAAUGGCCCUCAUGUGUUCAAAAUGUCGUUUUGUAUAUGUCGCGGUUGUGGACACGAAUUUGAUGGUAUCCCGCGCGCAAAUCCAAUUUGCUAAAAAUGGUGGCGCCCCCAAGUUCAUCAAACAACUCAUCGAUUGUCGGUAUAGGAAAUUUGUCUUUGAUGGUUACGGCAUUUAAUGCACGAUAGUCAACACAAAACCGAUAGGUGCCAUCUUUUUUCUUGACCAAGAGAACCGGGGAGGAAAAAGGGCUUUAGUUCGGUCGGAUUAUGCCCUACUCUGACAUUUCCCUGAUCAGUUUUUCCAUUUCAGAUUUCUGGAAGUGUGGGUAGCGGUAUGGACGAACAUUGACGGGGGCUGUGUUGGGUAAUAAAUGGAUUUUGUGGUCAAUAGUUCUGUGCGGUGGUAGGCUAGAAGGUUGGAGAAAUAGGUGUUUGUAUUGCUGUAAAAGGUUGAGAAAUUGAGCAGGAAGGGAAAAAGGAAAUUCAAGUGAGGAAGUGUCUGUGAUGGAAAAUGAAGGCAAAGCAUCGAUAGCGGGCACUGGUUGUAAGGCACAAAGGCUGGUCACGGUAUCACUUUGAACCAAUACCUGCAAUUGAUUAUAAGUGAUCAAAUUAUUAGAAGACAAAUCACCAUGAAGCAUCACUGGUUGCUCAUUUAAAGAAAACUCCAUAGGACACUUUGCCCAAUUUCUGUAGCCAUUGAAUGCCAAGGACCACAUAUGUGCCCUCAAUUGGCAAAAUGAAGAGGUCUACCAUAAAAGCCGUGCCUUGCAUUGUUAAGUUCACUUGAGGACAGAACUGUUUACACACCAGGAAGUCACCGUUGCCAAUAUACACUCGGAAAUUGGUAGUUGGAUGAAUGGCUAACCCCAAUCGUUCCGCUAACGCCGGUUUUAUGAAAUUGUGAGUGUUGCCACUAUCAAUCAGCACUUGAAAGGUGUGCGAAUCAAUUUCUCCAAUUAAACGAAGAGAGCGAGGAUUGGCCUGCCCUGCUAGAGCAUUUAAGCUAGAGAUGUCACCAGUAAUACCAGCAUCUACCAAUUCUGAUGGUUCCUCGUUAUUUUUGGGUUCCAAUUCUUCAUCAUCCGUGCCCAUGAGAAGUAGAAAUUUACUGCGACAGAGAUGAUUGUUGCUGUAUUUUUUGUCACAAUUGUAACAUAAACCCUUCUCGCGUUUGUCGCAAAGUUCAGCCGAAGACAAACGGCGAAUUGGUAAUGUUGGUGUCGAUAAUAAUGCAGGUAAAGUGUUUGAUUUAUUGGUAUUGUGGGUUUGUGAGGGAAGAGUUGAAGAUGAUACGGGGGUGAUGGCUGUGGUAACAGUUGCAAGUGAUGAGGAUGGAUAAAUGGGUUUGGGUUGUGUUUGGAAACCAUGUGAAAGGGGAUAUGGUUGCUGCCAUUUAGGCCAUGAGCGUGAGCUCUGUUUCACUUCGUCAUAUUUGGCCUCAAAAGCACGAGCUAAAGUUUCCAUUAGUGAAGACGGUCUAGAGAAAAGCAAUUCCCGUCGAAUGUUGGGUUUCAGACCAGUGAUGAAAAAACUAAUCAAAAGAAGUUCAGAAAUUCCAGUGACCUUGUUCAUUAAAUCUUCAAAAGCUGACUGGAAAUCUGCAACCGUGGUAGUUUGACUCAAUUUGGACAAAUCACCUUGGGGAUCUUCACACAAAGAAGCACCAAAACGAUAGCGCAAGUUAGCUAAAAAUUCUUGCCAAGUAGUGAGCAAGUGAUUGUUCUUUAUCCAUUGAUACCACGCUGCAGCGCGACCCUCCAUAUGAAAAGAGACAAUCCGUAGUCGGAGGAUCUCAGGUGUGUCAUGAAAGUCAAAAAAUUCUUCUAUUCGAAAAAUCCAUCCAUUUGGGUCAGACCCAUCGAAUUUGGGCACAUCCAUUUUCAUGGAACAAAGUACUGGAGAAACUUUAGAACCAGUAAGAACGCCAUCAUAUUUAGAAGAUGAAGGGUGUGAAGGGUUGGAGGAACCAACUGGUUUGUUGGAAGACCCAUGAAUUUAUGUACGUAACUCCUCAAAACGAGAGUCAACUGAUGUCAUGAAUUGUUGGAUUGUUUGAUGGAUGGACAGUUGCUACCCAUCAAGUUUGGCGUCAAAAGUUGCUUGAAGGGUCUGUAAAGCAUAAAGAAUUUCAGAAUUUGCCAUGAUCAAUGAAAGCACCAGUGAUACGCUCUUAAUUCGUGAAACUGAGCAAUAUCAAAAUUAUCACUACUUCGAGCGAGUGUUUGCUCCAGAGGAAAGAACUGGAAGUUGAGAAAUGAAAAAGAAGAAAAGAAGAAGAGUCACAGAGAGGAAGAAAAGUGGUCCAUUCAUUUCUUGCCUUCCCAAAAUGACAAAAUCCCGCAAUAUAUAACAGACAAUAAAAAAUAACCAAUUUGACAACGCAACAGAAAAUGACAAAAAAGAAUCCAAAACAAACGCAGCCAAUCACAAUGCUUUUACAGAUCAUCCUAAACGACGUAGUCUCGUAGCCAGUCUGGAAGUUUCUUGUUUCGUUUGGGCCGUUGAUUCUCUUGCACUGGCUCAUGGUGAAUGUCCUCCUUGGGUUGACUGACUGUGGGUUCUUGGUUGAGCUCUUCCACUUGCGCCCCCUCUGAUGGCUCUAAUUUGAUAUAUAAAUUCGUAUCACAUACAUGCGGUUAAUUUUUUAAGAUAAAGGGGAAGGAUGAUGCUCAAAAAUAUAAAUUAUAGAAUUAAUUGAACUCUCAAAUAAGUUUAAAGUUCAUUAUUUUUAAUUACAUGUUUAUAAUUUAUUUUUAUUUCGUAUUAAUCUAUAGAUCUAAAUCCACUUUGGAUUCAUAUACACAUAUAGACAUAAUGUGUAUGUUAAUCUAUAGGUCUAAAUUCACUUUAGGUCUAUAUAGGUAUUUUGACAAAUGUACUCCAAUCAUGCAUAUUGGCAAGUUCAAAUUCAAUUUGGAAUAUGGUCAUGGUACGUUCUUGUUCUUCCCUCUUUACGAGUGCAUUCCCCCCAACCUCAAGCUCCCUCUCUCGUCUUCAAUGUCACUGCUUAUAUCCUUAUGUUGUUCUAGUUUGAAACAGUGGCUUCCACUAUUUCAGGGCCCCCAAAAAUCCAGAAACAUACUAUUCAUCACGAUGACAAAAUUUUGGGCAGGCAGGUGCUUCCUGACUUUCACACGGUAAUUCUCAAAUUCUGAUUUCACCAUAUUUUAAUUACUGAUUAUGCUCUCCAUUAUAAUAGAAGUCGCCGCCACACUAGUGAUUCCAAACUUUAUCUUUUUUCCUUUUUUAAAUUAAUGCAAGUAGCCGCUGUCCUUUUUAUUAAUUAAUUAAUUCGGCCGCCCACAUUUCUUUUUCUAAUGUCUUCUACUGUCGAGUUUAUUUUAUUUUCCCUUUAUUCUUAAAAUAUACUUAUAAUAAUAAAAUAUAAAAAUAAAAAUAAAAAUUAACAUAUCAAAAUAUAAUUUAACAGAAAAUUAAGAUGAAAAAUAAAAAAAAAUAAAUUCUGAACAUAUCAAUCAAUAAAUGAAAAAUAAUAAUUUUUAUUUUUAUUAAAUAUAUUUUUUUCAGUAUUAAUCAAUUAUCUGAAUAACUAAAAUCAUUUAAAAAUAAAUAAACAAAUUAUUCUUUAUAAAAAAAAAAAACUUUUUAUAACACUCACUAUGCUGGUUGUAGGGUAGACGCUUUGGGGACUGAAGUUGGUAACUUCUACAAGUAGUCUUAAGUUGAUAACUUCUACAAGUAGUCUUAAGUUGACUGGCAAAUGUUCUCAGUAUUAUAUUGGUGUGUCGAUAUUAUCUCUAACUGCCUUAUAGAUAAAAAAAUAAUCUAAAUUUAAAAUUUAACAUAAAAUAAAAUAAUUGGUAGAAAAACAAUUAUGGUUCAUUUACUUAUCAGUAAUCAGAAUAGACUGAAAUCGAAAUGAGUUGUAUUACCGUUGAUGUGUUUAUGUUGUCCUCGAAUCGGAAUGAAUUAUUUUAAGUUACUAAAAUAUCCUUGGUUUGUUAUUCUAAUUAUUAUUAUUUAAUAUUUAUUAUAAUAUUUGUCAUAUCAUUAAAAAGAAAUAAUAAUGAUGAUAAUAUUAUCAUUAUUGUUUGUUACAUUAUUAUUAUUCAAAAAAAUUAUUGUUAAUAACAAUAAUUACUUUAUUUCAAUACUAAUAAUGAUAAAAUUAAUAAUAACAAACAACAAUAAUUAUUUAUUAUGCCAAAAAUAACAAUAAUAAUAAUCAUCAUCAUUUUUUUUCCCAAAGAAGCAUUAUCAUCAUUUCAAAAAAAAUAUCAUCAUUAUCAUCAUCAUUUUUGUAGUGGCUGCCUAUCGGCUGUUGCUUUCAUGUGAGAUUGACUUGCGACGCUUCAACGGCUAUUAUUUCUGGCAAUGUCAGGUGUUACUGUUUCAAUUUAGGAAGAAGCUGUUUCGUUGUGCUAACGAUGGGAGAUGUUGUGGCUGCGAUUCGGGGAGCUACUAGUUUAUUGCACUAAUGACGGCAGGUGCUGCUGCUUGAUGCGAGGUCCAUGGCCAGUUGUCAGCAGUUCGACUUUGGUAUGGGUGCUGCUGGUUCGAUUUUAGGUGUUGUCCAAUUUCAUUUUCAGGAUUUUAAUUUUAUUUUUCUUUUAUAUUUUCAUUAAUUAAUCAGGACAAAGUUGGAUUUUAGAAUUUGGAAUGAAGGUAAUUUUGUUAAUCAUGGAAAUGAGAUUCUGAUUGUCGAGAAUGAGCUUACACAAACAACUACAAAUUAAGUGAAAACAAAACGCUUUUUCUCUUUGUGUGAUUAAAACAUGAUAUGUACCAUAAAUAAAUAGGUAAAAAAUAAAUUAAUACAAUCCAAAACAGUAAACUAAUUACAAGAGGCACAAAUUUUUAUGUGAAAUACCAAAAAUAGAAAAAACCACAGCAUCUUAGUAUGAGAUAAUCUUCUACUAUAUUAAUGAGAUUAUAGCACAAAUUCUUCCUUAUAUAACACUAGAGGUUAACAACAUCAAGAAUUUCAAUAAUCUUGACUUACAAUACAGCCUAAUAUUUGUCUCUCUAAUAAGUAGAUAUCUAAAAUAACAGUCUCUAAUAAAUAAGUAUCUCAAAUAACAGUCUCUAAUAAGUAUCUCAAAUAAUAAUUUCUAAUAAGUAUGUAUCUCAAAUAAUAGUUAACAAGAGGAUAAAACAAAAAUUAAGAUUAGUAGGAUUGUAUAAGGCGAUGCUAUCAACUUAUCUUCUAAAUUUGAGAAAAAUAGUUAAAUUCACUUUUUCGAUUGUGACCAAAGAUGGAAACCUUUGCCCCAAAACCAAAGGAAUCACCAUUUCUCUCUCUCUCUCUCUCUCUCUCUCUCUCUCUCUCUCUCUCUCUAUCUCUCUCUCUCUCUCUCUCUUCUUCUACUUUUCUUAAUGUUAGCCGCCACUCGCUUUUAUUCUUUAUAGCAUUUAAAAAGCUACUUUUAAUGGUAAAUUUCAUUUAAGUCCAAAACUUAGUGAUAAUUGUACACCAAACAAUUCUUUUUGGACUAUGAGCUUUUGGGCCUCCAAAUGAGAUGAAUACAACAAAUCUCCCCCUUUAGAUCAUGUGGGGGGCACCACAAGCCUGCUCUCUGCAUAUAGUUUUUCAACUUCUCCUUGAAUAAUGACUUUGUCAUCAUACAUAACCCAUUCUCUGUUGUGUAAAUUUUCUCAAGCUGUAGCUGUUGCUUCUCAAGCACGUCUCGUAUCUAAUGAUAUCUCACAUCAAUAUGCUUAGAUUUCGAAUGGUUUAUCAAAUUCUUUGAACGGCACUCUGACUGUCGCAGUACAUAACAUAGCUGUCUCGUUUUACACCCAGCUCUUAUAGGAAAUUCAUUAUCCAUAAUAUUUUUUUGCAACCUUCAAUAAUUGUUAUAUCAUUUGCUUUAGUGGUAGAAAACGUAACUUAUUACUAAAGUUUAGAUUGCAAUGAGACUUCUCCCCCUGCAAAAGUGAGCAAACAUCCUAGAAGGAAUUUUUCGGAAUCAACAUCUUCUGCCAUAUCUACACACUUGUAACACAGGUUUGUCACCACUAAAAUAUAAACAUGCUCUGGAAAUGCCUCUAAGAUAUCUGAGAAUUUUUCAUUGUUGUCCAAUGCUCUUUUAUAAUAAAUACAAACAUAAUGAAUUUAUAAAACAUUUAGAGUAUUUUGAAUAUUAUAUAAAAUAAUUUUAAUAUAAUGCAUGAGAUAUAUUUUAUUAAUUUAAAAUGCUAUUUAAUCUAAAGAUUUAUUUAAGAUAAAUUAAUAAUUAAAUUUUUUUAAUUAUUUCAAAUAUUAAAAAUUUGUAAUAUUAUUAGUCUAUUAGAUAGAUUAAAUUAUUUAUUUUAUUUUGUAUUUAUUAAAAAAUUUUAAAGUCAAUAUUUUUAAUUACUAUUCGAAGGAUAUAAUGAUUAAAAAAAUCUUAAUAUUUUUUAUUAAAAAUUUAAAAAUUUACAUGACCAUUUCUAUAAAUAUUUAGGGUAUAUAUGAGCCACGGUGGAGAAGAUUUAUUUAAUAUUAUUGAUUUAAAUAAUAUCUAAUUAAAAAUAUACUGAGAAAAAAUUUCGGUGGGUAUUUUAGUCUUUUCAGCAAUCACAUGAUUAGCCUUUGGGCUUUGGCCUUGAAACGUCGGUCAGAAAAGUUUUAAACUGCUUAAUUGUUUUUCACUUUUAACGUUAGUGGCUGCUUAUAUUUUAGGAAAAUGAGAUUCUCACCACAGUGAGAACCACACUGAGCACAGAACGGUGCGUUUUGUGCUCAGUAUAAAUUCUAACUGUAGCGGAAAUAUCGCAACACAAACGCGCCAUUCCAAACCCACGCGCGUUCUCCCUCACGCCAGCAAAUCUCACCACGCUUCCUCCUCACUGUAAGCGCCCCCCCUCCCCGGGGGCGGUCGGCUGCGUCACGCUCCCUCACGGCGCCUCACUCUCUCGGCUCUCUUAGAAAAUUGAAUUGCGGCUUCCGCCGUGGGGUUCUCUCCUCAACUGCCGUUGUCUCGUCUCUGACAGCUGCCUUAAUCAAAUUCUGAAGGUAGUUUGCUUCAAUUCAUUACAUUAAUUUCAAAUUUGGUUUGUGUGGGAUUAUGAGUUUGUGAAGAUUUAGUUCUGUUUCAUGGUAAACUAUUUUUUGCUCAGUGUGUUGAGAAUAUCAGCACGGUUUAAAAUUCUUUUUAGAUUCUGUCGUAAAGUUUUCUUUGUAUUGGGCAAGUCAGUUACUUUAGUUUUGUGUCUGAAAACAAAAACACUUAGCUUAGUGAGUUUUAAGAGAUUUUGCUAUUUUGUUCAACGAAGCUUAAAAAGGGGAAGCUUUUAUGGCGUCUGUGAGCCGAGGCAAUUUGGAUCGGGUGCUUUUUCAGUUCAUUUGUUUGUUUCUUAUUUGGGUUCUUUAUUGUUAGAUGUUCUUUUGAGAUUCUGGCAUCUGGCAUCUGGCUACUUGCUUUUGUGGAGUUUUUUUAUUAUUUGAAUUCUGUGAAUUCUUUGUUUUCUUUCCCAAAUGAUUCCACUCUAUAAAAUAUAUAUUGUGCUUGGCUAGAAUUUUCUUUUAGAUAAUUGCAUCCUGUACAUUGGCUUAACCUGUCAAGAAUGAGAAUGAUGGAAGAUGCCUAUCUUGGAAAGAAUAUAUUGAGUUACAUAGUACCGGUUCCAAAUGAAUAAAUUGGAACUUGCCUAAAACAGGCACCAAUCCACCAUGACACCAAGCCUUUUUAAAAUUUUUUUUUUUUUAAGUUUAAAGAAACUUAUGUUGCUUCUUUAGAUCUGUUUUAGCUUAUGAUGAAUUUUGCUAAUGGUAAAAUCCCUCCCCUUCAAAGUUGGGGGAGGGGAAGCAUCUAUAUGCAUAUGUGUACAUUAUGGAGCUCGAACUACAUGUCGCAGUAAUACAUUAUUCUCUUUGCUUUGCAGGUUUUGAUCAACAUGAGUGAUUGGGAUGUAGGUCUGUGCUUGAGAGGCCGGAGUGAUGACCAGAAUUCUGUCAACCAGACCAAAGACAAUCAACUGAUGAAGUGUUGUUGUUCUCUAUAUUGAUUGUUGGAAAUUAUGUGUUAUUUCCAGAUUUUUAGAAAAUUAUGAUUGCUGGAAAUAAUUAUAUAUGUACAAUCAUUAUGUCCUCCAGCACAAGUGAAUUUCCAAACCCACAACUGAAAGCUUGCGAAAAAUUUGUAGAAAAUUUGUACAUCAAAUCCACAAGCUAAGUGUUGUAUCAGAAUAUGAAUGACAAUAAAACAAAAAUCUGUGUUCUUCAUUCUUAAAAUACUAAUACAAUACAAGUACAUUCUUAUUCUGAGAAAUAACUACCUAUUAACUCCAUAUUCAUUAUCUUGUUGAAAGAGUAGCUGCUGAAAAUGUCCAUGUCGCUGAGCUUGUAUGUGCUAUUAAAAAAAAAUUAAACAUCUUGUUGUCAUCCGAAAAAAUAAAGAAGGCAAGAUGAACAAAUAAAAAACUUAUCACUACUUACGGUGCAAGAAUUUUAUGUAGAUAUUGAAUAAACAUUAUCCUCAAUUAUUUGUCACAAUAAUUUAUAUUCAAUUCAUGGUGUGUUGCAGCAAGCUUCCAUUGUUUAACUAAAUGACAGCUGAAUCUUUACAACUAAUUAUCUUUACAAUCAAAUUUGGAAUUAAUUAAGCAAAUUACCGCUAGAAAUCGACGAGUGAAGCUAAGAGAGUGAGGCUGCAAGUCGAAUUUUUGAGACAGCCGAGAGAGUGAGGCGCUGUGAGAGAUGCAAUGGACGGGCGAGAGAGAGACGAAGCCGAUGGUGAUUGCUGCAUUGGUAGGAUUGAGGGAGAGAGCGAAAGAGCCAGAGCGUGCGUGCUUGUUCUGCCAGAGAGCGCGUAUGUUUUUUCUCAAUGCGCGUGUUGCGUAAUUAUCCAUCUACAGUGACCAUUUUAUAGUUAUCUUGAAACGCACCGUUCGGUGCUAUAUGUGGGGCUGAAUGUUGUGAGCAUAUCGGUGCUGUAUAUUUUAUUAAAAAUUAAUGCUAACAAGAAAAAACCCCUCAAUGAAUGAGGGUGAGAUUGCUAAAAAUUACGACAGGUGAUAUUUUAUUAUUAUUAUUAUUAUUGGGGGAGAAAUCCUCACCAAAGUGAGGAGAUUUUAUCAAAAUCAAAAUAAAAAUAUAACAAGAACUGAAAGUUGGGCAGCCUAAAAGCUAGAUAAACUAAAAUUCAGGCGCCUAAAAACAACCUUAUGCAAAAGAGAAGCAACAUGAGACCGAUCAAGUAAAAGAAUCCACCGCAACACCUAAAUUGGCCAAAUUAUCUGUUGGUAUUACAAGUUUCUUGUUAUAAAAGUGUAGAAUGAAGAAGGUGACGUAGUUUUAAGUUACAGCUGCAUGCCCGAUCGCAAUAUCAAAUAAUGAUUAAAUAUCAAAUAAUACUUAAAAUAGUUGCCUAGACCCGCCACAAUUUAUAUUAACUCUUAAAUUUAUAAAUAAUUAAAUUUUUAAAAGUUCGGAUUUAUAUUAAAAAAUCUUCAUAUAAAUAAAUAAUAUAUGCACUUUUACAACACAGUCUUUAAAUUUAAAUUUUUCUAGAAAAAUCUUCUGUAUAUCUUUUCUAUUAAAAAAUUUCCAUAUAAAUAAAUAAUAUACCUAAUUUAAUUGGACCCAGCGCAACGCAUAUGCAUAGAACACAUUCCGAAAAGCCAUGAUAUUCGGAAAUUGACGAAUGAAAAGUGAGGAGGCAGCAGUCAAUGCUAUUUCGGCUUGGCCCAAAAUUGAUUUAUCAGUUUGACGUGUGCCAGGAAUGAAGAACUGGAAUAUCACCAUCAAGCAAGCAACCUGCGGAGCAAUACCAUAGAAUGCACAAUCCGGCUUUGCAAGGUGACACUGGAGGCUUUUUGAAAAGUGCUUCACGCUCACUUGACAGAUUGAGCAUCCCCUCUGGAUAUUGCCCUCUCUGAUCGAAUCUGAGCACUCAAAUUUCGGUCCUCAGAUGGAGCUACAGCUUUCUCUCCAAUAACCAACAAUUUUCUAAACUCAGCACCUAGUGUGAUCAGAGUUGUUGAUAUUUGUAAAUGGAGAUCCCCGUAUUUGCAAAUGGAGACAUUUACCAAAUCACCAACAUGCUUCAUCCAGUCUACGAAAUUCUGCAGCUGAUUCAAAUCCGGAACCUGAACAAGAGUCGGAGGUAAAUCUUGAGCCAUAUCUAAAGCAGUCUGAAGUUCAAGUACUUGAGCCCUUGACAAUGGUUUUGAAAUUGGAACAUCUUGGAUUACUGCAGACUUGUGCCCCUUGGUUUCAAAGGUAAGGAAAGGCAUUGCUUGAGUACAAUUUGGAGGCAGCUUCUUCACCAAUUUUAUUUGGAGGCGAUUGGCAGCGGAUCCAGCUGCACCAAUUUCAGAGCAAAUACUGACACUACUUCGAACAGCACACUGAAGAAGUGAUAUGUCUACGGCAAAGGCAAUGCAGUCCUCAUUUUGGCUUGAGAUGCAGUAAUCAUCGAAGAGAGUUUCCUUGUGAAACUGGGCAACACAUUGAAUCCCUUCGCCACUGAGAAGGUUGCGGAGGAAGUAAGCUUUCUCUCUAGUGAGGAAGAGGUGGCAUACCUUCCCCAUGUCUAGGGCAGGUAGGAAUCUUUUUUCUAAGAGAUUUACUUCAUUCUCUGUGAGAAAUGCUUUGAACUUCAUCCCUCUGUCUCUAUCCUCACUUAUCAGUAAAAUAGUUGAAAGUGCUACAAGGAGAGAAAAGAAGAGUAUUAAGAUAUAUAUAGACAAGAAAAACAUUAGAUGUCGAUCUUACAAGCUAAUACUUCAAACAGUAUCCUAGAAAGCUAAAAACUGCAAAAUGGCUUGACAUUUGAAAAGAACACAUGCUUUUCCUCCUUAACUUGAGAAAAUGUUUAAUAUAGUGCACCUUACAGAAACAUUUAAGCAAUUAGAACUUUGCACAAAAAUAUUCAAGAAGACUAAACAAAUCAGAUGCAGUGUAUUUCUCCAAGCACAAAUGGCAUUGCAUUUUUUCCUCAACUGUAAUAUUUAUUGAUGAAAAUCAGUACAGGUCCCUCAUUUGUUAUGGAAAGCUUUCUUGUAGUCUGACUGGUUAAUUCACGGAUCUAUAAUUAUCUUGCAAAGUUACAGGCAUUUCUUUCGAUUUAAAGUCUUUGCAUCACCACCUCAUCACACACCUAGCCAAUAUUCCGUCUACUUCUACAACAAAAAGUUUUAAGUAAACGAUCCUAAUGCAUGCAGCCAAAUAAAAUGCAGUAAGAAUAUUCAACUUAAAACUCUGAAAGCCAUCUUGGUGAAUUGCCUCCUUAGGGGAAGUUCCAUGAUUUACUAUACUUGACAGGACUGAGCAAAAGCUUACAUACAACAGAUUUUGAAAAUGAUGAUGCCAAUAGAUACUCAUACAAUCCAUUGAAACUCCUAAGGUCCAUUGUUCACAGAGGUUUACAGAGUUUUGGUUAUCAAAUAGCUCAGACCUUAAUCCCAAACAAAAAACGAGUGAAAAUUAGAUCACCAGCAGCAAAUUGUAAAUUCUAACUUAACUCUUCAUCUCCUUUGUAAACAGGAGACAAAAUGGAGACACGCAAAAUGAAUAAGGAGAACAUUUGAACUCAAAUGAAAUGAGGGCACGAAAGCAAACAAAUGGCAUGCGCAAACAAACCAAGCCUCAAUCAAAAACUAAUUAACCAUUAAAAAACAAAACUGGUCAGCUUCUGGUGUUCUCAAAUUGUAUAACAAGAGAUCGACACAUCGAAUCAGAAGAACUCAAUUCAAAUUUGUCUCAAAAAUCAAAAUUAGAAGAUUUCACAUUUCGAGAGGAACAAGCGACAGGUCAGAUGCAAAAUUUUCAGCCAUAACAUGCCACAAUUAACGGUUUAUUUCCAUGGAUUUAGAGAGCUGACUGACCUUUUGGCUUUUGGAAUUGAGAAGAUCGCGCGCCAAAAUGGAAGAGGGAAAGCGAAAGUGCGGGUUUUAAUAGGGUAUUGGAUUAGCAAAUUUUAUUAGUUUGCGAGGGUAAAAUAGGAAAGUGAUAUCACUAUUAACCUUUUUUUUAAUAAGAAAAAAGAAUAAUAAAGAAUAUUUUAUUGUCAUUUGCAGCAUUUAUUUUUUUUAAAUGCUAUUAGAAAAAUACGACAACAAAGAAAUGCUCUUUUUUUUUUUUUUUUUUUUCUCGAAGGUAAAAUCAAUUAUUUAGCUCCUUAUAUGUAAUCAAACUACAUUUCUUACUUUAAGUCAUAUCCAACGGACCAACAAAGUAAUUAUUUUUUUUUUCAUUCAUUUUUGCAGAAAAUUAAUAACUUAAAAAUAUUGAAAGCUAUUGUAAAAUUUUUUAUUAUCAACCUCAUAGUUUUAUUUUUUGGGAAGAAUUGAAUUUUUUUUUUUAAUUUCCAAGAAUUUCAUUCUCUAGUUUUUCCAUUAAUAUUACUUAUCUUGAUACCCAUCUUAAUUAAAAUCUGUAGUUUUAUUCAAGAGUCAUGCUAUUCAUUCACUCACAGACCAAAGGCUUUCCGCAGCAAUAUUAUUAUUUAAAUUACAACAAAGGGGAAAUCAAAUACGUCAUACAGAAGCUUAAAGCUGAAUCUACAAAAUCUAGAGCUCUCAACUACAUAAAUUACACUUGAUGAUCCUCUACAAGAUGAAGCUUGUUCAAUAUCUCAUCCAAAGCUUGUAAAGUAACAUUAUAACGAUCUUGAGAUUGCCUGCCUUCCUCGACGACCUGCACGAUGCGUUUGUACAAAUCAUCAUACCUGUGCACCGGAUUUUUAAUAUCAAUGCCACUGCAGCUGUGAUCAAGAACAUAAGAGCGUUUAACAUCUUUUCUCCAUCAAGAAAGAAUGUAGUGAGAUGGGAUCUCCUGCAUGCCACUCUGGUUUAGAACACAAAGAAUGUGUCUGCAUAAAUAUCCUCUGAAAUUGAACAACCCACAAACACAAAGCACCUCCAAGUCGGAGGCAUUGUACAAAACAUCGAAAAUAGUUAUGUUUUACAAUCUAUUAGACAUAUUUUAUUAAAUUAAUAUAAAUUUUCUAUAAAAUAAGAAUAUAAUAUUAAAAUAAAUUCACAAAAAAUUAAAGAAUUUUGAAUGUAAAAUAAUUUUAAUAGAUUAAUACGUGAGUUUUUUUAUUAAUAUAAAAAUUAUUUAACUUUAAGAUUUUUUAAAAUCUUUACAAUAAGUAUGACUAUAUUAUUUACAUUUAAAAAUAUUUAAAUAUUAUUAACCUACAAUUAUAUUUGCAUUUGUUAGAAUUUUUUAAGUCAAAUAUUUUGCACUUCUAUAUUAUUAGAAUUAUUGCACACAAAGAAAGAAACAUAUACCUUUAGAAAUUGUUUUCUUUUAAAAUAGAGAUGAUGAUUAGUAUAAGGAUGAAAAAAAUGAUAAAGAAUAUUAAUGAUUAACGAAAUCUCUAUACAAAUUGAUUUUAGUAGGAAAAGAGUGAGAUGAAUGAUUUCUUUUACGGUUAGAAACAUAGAUGAUGAUUAUUAUAACGAAGAAAAAAAGAUAAAGAAUAUUAAUUAUUAAUGGAAUCUCUAUGCAAAUUGAUUUUAGUAGGAAAAAAAAUGAGUUAAAUGAUUUAGAGUGCGUUUGGAAUUGAGAUUGGGCAGCCAUAGAUUUUAAGUUACAAUACUGAAGUGUUUGAUAAAUACUAGCUGCUGCAGAUUGAAAGUUAUAUUGAUAUGAUUUUUCACAUGUAUCAUAGAAAAUAUAUUACAUCUUUAAUAAUUUUUUUAAAAUUUAUAUUUGCUAUAUAUUAUUAAUUUUUUUUUAUAGUUAUAACUUUUUUUCCACAGCAGUUGUAGCUUAAAAGUCACAGCAUCUCAAUCUCAAACAAAUCCUUAGACAUUCAUAGUGUGUUUAUUUUUUGGAUUGGUGAAUCAAAAUUAUUGACAACGCUAACUUCAUCUUCAUUGUUCGCAAUCCAACAGCAGCAGCAAUUGUCACCAAUAAUGAUAUCUCCAAUGAUGAUGACAAUUAUUAUUAUUAUUAUUAUUAUUAUUAAUUUAUUAAUUAAUAUAUUAAUGUUAAUAAUAUUAUUAUUAAGAUUAACAAUAAUUAGUAGUAAUACAAUUUUUUGAAUAAAAAUAAUCACAAUAAUUAAAAUACAAAUUAAUAAUUAUGACAAUAGUUAAUUAAUGUCUUUUUAGUAAUUUGUAAUAAUCUAACUCAUUUUGAUUCUGAUUAUUACAGCUUAAGUAAACAAAUUAUUAUGAUUCCUAUUUUCCUUUCCUAUUUUAACUCACUUCGAUUCCAAUCUAUUCCAAUUUCUAUCUAAUAAAUGCACCAUUAGUGCUAAAGUAAUAUUUCAUACAUAGAAAAAUAAAAACUACACCUAAGGUUAAGGGAAAGGACUUCAAAACUCUCUUUUGAUCAUAAUACAUUUUGUCCUAAUUAACUUAAAGAUUUUGAAUCUAAUAUUUUAUAAUAAAUAAAAAUAUAUUCCUAAAAUAAAUAUAAUAUCAAUAUUUAAAAUAUGUUUUAAUAUUUUACAAUCUAUCAUACACAUUUUAUUAUAUUAAAGUAGAUUUUAUAAUAAAUACAAACGUACUAUUAAAAUUAAUAUAUAAAAAAUUUAGAAAAUUUAGAAUAUUAUAUAAAAUAAUUUUAAUAUAAUGCGUGAGAUAUAUUUUAUUAAUUUAAAAUUUUAUUUUACCUAAAAAUAUGAUAAAUUAAUAAUUACAUAUUUAAAGUUAUUUCAAAUAUUAAAAAAAUUUAAUAUUAUUAGUUUUUUAGAUAGAUUAAAUUAUUUUUAUAAGAGAUAGAUUAAAUUAUUUUAAAAUACCUUAAUUGUUUUUACUUUUAACGUUACCGGCCUUUCUUUUAUUUUAUUGUAAAUUAAUGCUAACAAGAAAAAGCUAGAUCAUAUUCCACAAAAGCAAAAGUGACAAACACAAUCAGCUGGAAUCUUUUAUAAAACUACAAAUUAAAAUGGUUUUUUUUUUUUUUUGAUAAAUUACAUAUAAAAGUGGAUUCUUUUGAAUAUAAGUGGGGUAGGCUCUUUUAUUUUUUUUUAAUACUGUAUAACAAGAUUGUAGACUCCUUGAUUAAGCACAAGUAUAAAGUAGUCGAGACGAUACUUUAUGCUAGGUGUCCAUUGAAUAUUAGAUCUUCAUUUCUUUGGCCAUUUAAUUUUUUCGAGAAAUUUUUCUUACGAUCCCGGCUAAGCUUGAAGAAAAGACAACUCAACGGUUUUUUUAAAACAAGUUUCCGUUUUGGUUGGUGAAAUGAAAACGAAAUAAAGCACUUCCAUCCAAAAAUCAUUCUUCUGGAGAAAGGGAUGACAGAUUAAAGAAAAGGGGUGUACUGAAAGGAGAAAAAAGGUUCUUGCAUGAGAGCUGGACACGUUAAAAGAAGUUGAACAAAUGUCUCAAAAAGAAGCUAUUUCGCUUUCAUACUAAAGCCUAUUUGUAAUAGCAUCAGCAAUGCUCCACUAUCCACAUUCUUGUGCGGAUAUCAUUGCAAUCUACUAAUGGUAUAUAAACAUGCAUGUUGUCCCAUGAUGAUUAAGUUAACACACACUUGGAGGUACUUAAAUUAUGCCAUAAAGAGAUAUAGUUAUUACGCAUACAAAUGUUAUUCAAUGGUUAAAAUGUAUGAUAAAGAAAUCGCUUGAAUUUUUUAUUUGCCGUUACGUAAUUUUUUUAUUGAUUCCGAGUUUGAAUCUUAAAAGAAAUAAAGGGUUAGAAAAUUAAUUUGAACUUUGUCCACUCUUUAACUUAAUGAGUAUAAAAACAGAAAAUGCAGGUAAUUUAAUUUUGACAUCUAACAUUUAAGAGAUAGAGCUUGAAAGAGUCCAAUAUUAAAUUAUAAAAUAAUUGAAAUAAAGUUUGCCCCAUAAGAAAAAUUGAACAAAAAAUCUUAAGUAUGAUAUGAUGCUAGAGAAAUUAUUUAUCUCAAAACUUUUAUUAGGUAAUUAAGUCCUAAGAAUAUGUAAUUACACAUGUAACAAAAAUUAGAGAUGAGGGUCUUUUAUUAAACUACAAAUUGUAUAGUCUUUUUAAAAUUGUUAUAAAUUGGUGGCCCCUACAAUCCUCAAUAAUUGUGCCGAUAUUCACAAGUUGGUGGCCCCUACAAUUAUCAACUGUGCAAGUGCUCAUUCACAAUCUUCCAGGUCAUGCUCUUAAUAAUUGUUUUUUUUUUCUGCAUUCCCUUUCAUGCUCUUAAUAAUUGAAGAGCAUACUUUUCAAAUAUGGAGCCGCAGCUAAUGUCGCUAAUUUAAUUUGGGAUUAAAUUAGGGGACCAUUAUGUUGCAGUGUGCACUAAUUUUUGUGUUUAUCUAAACUCCUUAAAUUUAAGACAUAUUACGGCAUAAAUAAGAAUAUAACAAUAACAAAAGAGUUAAAAAGUGUAGAGAAGAUCUUGCAGAAAUAUAAAUAAUAUCUAUUUUAAAAUAAUAUCAAUAUUUAAAAUAAUUUUUAAUAUUUUAUGAUCCAUUAGAUAUAUUUUAUUAUAUUAAAGUAAAUUUUAUAAUAAAUAAAACAUACUAAAUUUAGAGUAUUUUAAGUAUUAUAUAAAAUAAUUUUAAUAAAAUAUGUGAGAUAUUCAUAUUUUAUUAAUUUAAAAUACCAUUUAACCUAAAGAUUUAUUUAUGAUAAAUUAAUAAUUAUAUUUUUGAAAUUACUUCAAAUAUUAAAAAAAUUAAUAUUACUAAUCUAUUAGAUAGAUUAAAUUAUAUAUAUUAUUUUCUAUUUAUUAAAAAAUUUUAAAAUUAUUUUUAAUUACUAUUCAAAAAAUAUAAUGAUAAAAAAAAAUCUUAACAUCUUUAUUAAAAAUUUAAAAAUUUUCAUGAUCAAUUCUCUAAAUAUUUAGGGUAUAUGUGAACCACGGUGGAGAAGCUUUAUUUAAUAUUAUUGAUUUAAAUAAUAUGUGACAAAACAACUAGGUGGACUACAAAUUAAAGUGGAUUCUUUUGAAUACAAGUGGGACAGACGAUUAGGCUCUUUUUAAUUUUUAUUAAAGGCAAGUAAAAAGUAGUCGAAUAGUCUUUUUCAAAUUCUUGUUUUAUUGUUUUUCAAAACUAACAAGAAAAAGCGAGAUCAUAUUCCACCCCAAAAGCAAAAGUGACAAAACAACCAGCUGUAUUCUUUUAUUAAACUACAAAUUAAAAUGGAUUCUUUUGAAUACAAGUAGGACAGACGAUUAGGCUCUUUUUAUUAAACGCAAGUAAAAAGUAGUCGAAUAGUCUUUUUCAAAUUCUUGUUUUAUUAUUUUUCAAAAUUAGUUUUUGGUAAUUACUGUUUUUCCUUCAAAAGUUAGCGGUUCAUGUUUGCAAGUGUGAAUGUGCGAUGCUCUUUUCUUAAAGGCAAUUACAGUGGGGCCCGAAUGCCUAAAUCUUUUUAAAAUUUUUGCCGUAUAACGAACAGAGGUCAUUACUAAAAUUUCUCUUCCACAGCCUACAGCAGCUUCAGUUUAUCAAACUCAAUCAAUUUUCUUUCUUAACAAAAUUCCAAAGAUGUGUAGCAUUUUUCAGAUCGCAUGCGAUGGUGCUCUUUUCAAUCGUUGCUUGGAUUGCUUUCUUGGAAAAGCAGCAUACCUUCGUAACCUCCCAGAUAAUCUUGUAGACUUGGAGACUGAACUGGGAAGACUAAUCGCAGCAAAGAACGAUGUGAUGAUGAGGGUUGUCAAUGCUGAACGGCAACAAAUGAGAAGGCUGGGCCAAGUGGAAUGGUGGGUUUCGAGGGUGGAUGCUGUUAAAACUGGAGCCGAUGAACUUAUCACAGACGGCUCUGAAGAAAUUGGCGAAUUAUGUGUUGGAGGCUACUGUUCCAAGAACUGCAGGUCAAGCUACAAGUUCGGAAAACAAGUGGCUAAAAAGCUACAAGAUGUGAAGGCUUUAAUCGCCGAGGGAGUUUUUGAGGCGGUGGCUACUGAGGUGGUGCCCGAGAGAGCUCCGGAACCUGUAGCAGAUGAAAGACCCAUUGAGCGAACAGUAGUAGGCUUGCAAUCACAACUUGAACAAGUCUGGAGAUGUCUUGUAGAAGAAUCAGUGGGAAUCAUUGGCCUAUAUGGUAUGGGCGGUGUUGGUAAAACCACACUGUUGACCCAUAUCAACAAUAAAUUUCUUGAGAGUCCCACCAACUUUGAUUGUGUGAUUUGGGUCGUAGUUUCAAAAGACCUGCGACUUGAAAAAAUUCAAGACGAUAUUGGGAAGAAGAUAGGUCUGUCUGAUGAUUCAUGGAAGAAUAAAAGUUUUGAGGAGAAAGCUGUAGACAUCCUGCGGAGUUUAGGAGAGAAGAGAUUUGUAUUGUUGUUAGAUGAUUUAUGGGAGCGGGUUGAUUUAACAAAAGUGGGCGUUCCACUUCCCGGACCACAAAAUACUACCUCAAAAGUCGUAUUCGCAACCCGUUUCAUCGAUGUUUGUGGUAGCAUGGAAGCUGACAGGAAGUUCCUAGUGGCGUGCUUAUCAGAAAAGGAUGCUUGGGAACUGUUUCGAGAAAAAGUUGGGGAAGAAACUCUUCAGAGUCAUCAUGAUAUCGUUGAGCUAGCCCAAAUUGUGGCCAAAGAGUGUGGUGGUUUGCCACUCGCACUUAUUACUAUUGGUCGAGCUAUGGCCUGCAAAAGGACAGCCGAGGAGUGGAUACACGCAGUUGAAGUGCUAAGAAGAUCAGCUUUUGAGUUUGCAGGUUUGGGAAAAGAGGUGUAUCCUCUUUUAAAGUUUAGCUAUGAUAGUUUGCAGAAUGAGACGAUUAGAUCUUGUUUCUUAUAUUGUUGUUUAUAUCCCGAAGAUUAUGGAAUUCUUAAAUGGGACUUGAUUGAUUGUUGGAUUGGUGAGGGAUUCUUAGAGGAAUCUGACAGGUUUAGUGCAGAAAACCAAGGUUACUACAUUGUGGGCACUCUUAUUCAUGCGUGUUUACUAGAAGGGAUAGAAGAUGAUAGAGUAAAAAUGCAUGACGUUGUUCGUGAUAUGGCUCUAUGGAUAGCUUGUGAAAUUGAGGAGAGGAGACACUUUUUGGUUUGUGCAGGCGCUGGAUUAGAACAGGCACCGGCUGUUAGAGAAUCGGAAAAUGUGACAAGAUUGUCAUUGAUGCAAAACCAAAUUAAAAUUCUGUCGGAGGUUCCCACAUGCCCUGAUCUCCUCACUUUAUUUCUUGACUUUAAUGAGGAGUUGGAGAUGAUCGCGGAUGGCUUCUUCCAAUUUAUGCCUUCUCUCAAAGUUUUGAAGAUUUCAAACUGCGGGAAUUUUACUUUUCAAUUACCUUUGGGGAUGUCAAAGUUGGGUUCACUAGAACUUUUUGAUAUUUCACGCACCGAAAUACAAGAGUUACCAGAAGAGUUAAAGUUGUUGGUAAAUCUGAAAUGUUUGAAUUUGAGGUGGACAAGCAAGUUAAUUAGAAUUCCACGGCAACUAAUAUCAAAUUCUUCAGGGUUACGUGUGUUGAGAAUGUUCGCUACUGGCUAUGAAUGUUUUCAUGAAGCACCAGAAGACAGCGUUUUAUUUGGUGGGGGUGAAGUUUUAGUACAGGAAUUGCUCGGUUUGAAAUAUUUAGAGGUAUUGGAGUUGACCUUGGGAAGUUAUCAGGCUCUCCAAAUCUUUUUGAGCUCAAAUAAGUUAAAAAGUUGUAUUCGAUCUCUUUUCCUCCAGUUGGCCGGAGAUACAAAGUCGAUUAUUGAUGCUGCGGCUUUCGCAGAUCUAAACCACCUCAAUGAAUUAUAUAUUUAUGAAGGUAUUGAGUUGGAAGAAUUGAAGAUUGAUUAUACAGAGAUAGUACGAAAAAGGCGGGAACCUUUUGUUUUCCGCAGCCUUCACCGUGUUACCAUAUUUAGUUGCGGUAAAUUGAAAGAUGUGACAUUCCUCGUUUUUGCUCCAAACCUCAAGUCUCUUGAGCUAUUGCAAUGCGAUGCUAUGGAAGAAAUAAUCAGCGUCGGAGAAAUUGCUGAGACUCCUGAGAUGAUGGGACACAUAAGCCCUUUUGAAAAUCUCCAAAGUCUUCAUUUAUCGUAUUUACCAAUUUUGAGGAGCAUCUACUGGAAGCCAUUGCCUUUCACUCAUCUCAAAAAAAUGGAGGUACGUAGAUGCGAUCAGCUUAGAAGGCUUCCGCUCGAUUCCAACAGUGCAACAGAGCGUAAUGUUGUUAUUCGUGGAUACACACUCUGGUGGAACCGACUUCAAUGGGAGGAUGAAGCCACUCAAAUUGCUUUUCGUUCCUGUUUCCAACCUCGUUCCUGAGCAGUGGUCGCAAAAUUUGAUUUCUGGUGAGUGCGUUUGUCUUUUAAAAAGAAGAAUUUAAAAGAAAUUUAUUCUUGUCGUUUUCUUCACUGUUUUUAUUUGAUUUCUGGUUAGUUUCUUUCUCUCUCUCUCUCUCUUUGUCUUCUGCAAAUCACAAUUAAAUGUUGAAUUAAUGGAAUUGAUGCUCUGGUUUUUUACUUUUUGUUGUCAAAUUUUGCCCUGUUCUAUCUUCUUAGCGAUUUAAUUUCCUGUCAAAAGACGAGCGAGAAGAACAUAUAUAUGACUUAAACCAAUUGAUACUUUAUUUAUGUGCAUUGUAUGUAAUAAAUAUUAAGUAUACUUUAUUUUUGCCCUGUUCUCUGUUUUUAUUUCAGUCUCUCUCUCUCUUUCCUGUCUUCUGCAAAAUAUAAUCAAUUAUUUUCAAAAUAUCAUUGAUGAUUUUUCUGCUCUAAUGCUAUGUAAAUAGUAUGUUAAGUAAAACAUAAUCAAUUAUUUGUGUUUUAUCUCUAAUUAGAACAUCAAUCAGUUCAGUACCUCACAAAUAAUUCGCAAUAUCUACAAAAUACUAUAAUGGCUACAAAACAAAUCCUGCUUGCAAAUUGUCAAGGAUACCUAUCCGUUCGCUUGACAAGUCAUUUGAAUAAAUAUUGUUCACAUUCCUUACUCUAUCAAUUAUCCAAAGCACCAUCAAUGGUCCUCAACUUUAGUUUGAAUAGUAUACAUGCCAUCACCAUUACCAAGAAUCAAGCAUGGAAGAGUCAUUCUAUAGAGUUAAUCGAAGCAAGGAAUGAUGUAUCAGAAAAUAUUUGGUGGAGAAUUCAGCACAAACAUAUUUUGGAUGAUCAGAAUCAAUAAAACCUGGUGGUUGCGCCAUAUAAACAUCUUCGGAAAGCUGACCUUGAAGAAAGGCGUUAUUGAUAUCCAAUUGACGAAGAGGCCAGCCAUGACUAACAUCAAUACUAAGAACAAGCCGUACUGUGGUGGACUUAACAACUGGACUGAAAGUGUCAUAAUAGUCCACACCAGGCCAUUGAUUGAACCCUUUGGCAACAAGAUGAGCUUUAAACCUGUCAACAGAACCGUUGGAAUGUCUUUUAAUACAAAAAUCCAUUUGCAGCCAACAAUAUUGGAAGGGAUGGGAGGUGGAACAAGCUUCCAUGUCCCGUUACGAACAAGAGCAUCAUACUCUUCUGACAUAGCUGGACGCCAGUGAAGAUUUUUGAUAGCUUGCGUCACAGUUGUAGGUUCACAAUCAGAAGAAGGGCUAAAAUGAGCACGGAGGUUAAGUUUUUGUAACGGCUUGUGAAUCUUAUUUUUAGCUCGGGUAGUCAUAUCAUGAUGACUUGUGGGGCAAUGAUCUAGUGGAGUUUAGGAAGAUGAUUGAACAGGAAGUGAAGAAGUGCUUUGUGUAGAGGUAGAAGUAGGUUGGGAGGAUUGCUGCGGAGAUGUUACCGGUAGAGAAGAAGGAGCAGUACACGGUGGCAACUCCAGAGGGCCCACAAUAGAUGGAGUAGGUGCCGACAAUGGAGUACUAGGAAAUGAAACAGGAAGAAUUGGUGGAACACUUGCGUAAUUAGGAGUGGUAGAUGAGCUUGUAAUGAUUUGUAUGGAAAAACAAACUCUACAAAUUUAACGUGACGUGAAAUAAAAAUUCAACCCGAUUGCAUAUUUAAGAACAUCUCAAAUGAAUUGCUUACUGCUAUCAUCAUCAUUAUUGUCUAUAUAAUAAUGGAUCUUUAUUAUAUAUAUGUUUCCACUAAAAUAUAUUUAAUUAUUCUUUAUUUUUCUAUUGUUGCGUGUAAGAUUUAUUUGAGUUCUAAGUUAUAUCAAUACAAAUGUUAUCUUAUCCAUAAAAAGUUAGAUCCAACAAUUAUGAAAAUUACUAUAGAGUUGCUUUCAAUUAUUUUUUUAAAAUACCAGGAGUAAAUAAUAAUUAGUUCAAAUGGUGGAGACUAAAAUGCGUUCACCUUUAUUUUUUAUCUGUUAUUUACUUUUGUCAUUACAUUAAUGCACAUGCUAUACAUUUGAGACAUUCCAUUAAUUGCCAAUUAUGUAUGUGAGAUAGUAAUUUAAAUUAAAAAAUAAAAGUGAAAGUUAAUCCUAUGCAAUGUGAAUAAAUUUCUUUCCUUUUUCCUUUACUCUUUUUAUUUGACAAUAAAGUUUCCAUCUAUCAUCUAUCAUCUAUGUACACAAAAUUUCUGCAACAAGUACAAAACAUAAAAAUAUAUGAAUAUUAAGGGAAACACGCAGAAGUUCAUCAUUUCAAUGUUCAGUAUUACCAAUUUUGGCAUUAAGCUUGUACGAAUAUAUUCUACUUCGAAAGCAAAAUAUUAGACUCGUGAUUUUAAUUCAUUCAUUAUCUCUCAUUUUAAUCCCAAAAUAUUCAAGAGUAUCCAAGUUACCAUAAGACUUCAGAGGCUCGAGCCUUAGCCAGAGAUGGUUAAUUGAUAGACUAUGUGCCUGGGUCGAGCACUGGAAGCCUGCAAUGCAGACUGAUUGAUUUAUCAGUUUAACGUGUGCCAGGAAUGAAGAACUGGAAUAUCACCGUCAAGCAAGCACCCUGUGGAGCAAUACCAAAGAAUGCACAAUCUGGCUUUGCUAGGUGACCCUGGAGGCUUUUUGAAAAGUGCUUCAUGCUCACUUGCACAGAUUGAGCAUCCCCUCUGGAUAUUGCCCUCUCUGAUCGAGUCUGAGCACUCAAAUUUCGGUCCUCAGAUGGAGCUACAGCUUUCUCUCCAAUAACCAACAAUUUUCUAAACUCAGCACCUAGUGUGAUCAGAGUUGUUGAUAUUUGCAAAUGGAGAUCCCCAUAUUUGCAAAUGGAGACAUUUAACAAAUCACCAACAUGCUUCAUCCGGUCCACGAAAUUCUGCAACUGAUUCAAAUCUGGAACCUGAACCAGAGUCGGAGGUAUAUCUUGAGCCAUAUCUAAAGCAGUUUGAAGUUCAAGACCUUGAGCCCUUGACAAUGGUUUUGAAAUUGGAACAUCUUGGAUUACUGCAGACUUGUACCCCUUGGUUUCAAAGGUAAGGAAAGGCAUUGCUUGAGUACAAUUUGGAGGCAGCUUCUUCACCAAUUUUAUUUGGAGGCAAUUGGCAGCGGAUCCAGCUGCACCAAUUUCAGAGCAACUACUGACACUACUUCGAACAGCACACUGACGAAGUGAUAUGUCUACGGCAAAGGCAAUGCAGUCCUCAUUUUGGCUUGAGAUGCAGUAAUCAUCGAAGAGAGUUUCCUUGUGAAACUGGGCAACACAUUGAAUCCCUUCGCCACUGAGAAGGUUGUGGAGGAAGUAAGCUGUCUCUCUAGUGAGGAAGAGGUGGCAUACCUUCCCCAUUUUGUCUAGGGCAGGUAGGAAUCUUUUUUCUAAGAGAUUUACUUCAUUCUCUGUGAGAAAUGCUUUGAACUUCAUCCCUCUGUCUCUAUCCUCACUUAUCAGGAAAUAAGUUGAAAGCACUAUGAAGAGAGAGAGAGAGAGAGAGAGAAUUAAGAUAUAUAGACAAGAAAAUAAUUAGACGUUGAUCUUACAAACUAAUACUUCAAGCAGUAUCCUAGAAAGCUAAAAACUGCAAGAUGGCUUGAAAUUUGAAAAGAGCACAUGGUUUUCCUCCUUAACUUGAGAAAAUGUUUAAUAUAGUGCACCUUACAGAAGCAUUUAAGCAAUUAGAACUUUGCACAAAAACAUCAAGAAGACUAAACAAAUCAGAUGCAGUGUAUUUGUCCAAGCACAAAUUGCAUUUUGUCCUCAACUUUAAUAUUUAUUGAUGAGAAUCAAUACAGGUCCCUCAUUUGUUAUAGAAAGCUUUCUUGUAGUCUCACCAGUUAAUUCACAGGUCUAUAAUCAUCUUGCAAAGUUAAGGGCAUUUCUUUCGAUCUAAAGUCUUUGCAUCACCACCUCAUCACACGCCAAGCCAAUAUUCCAUUUACCUCUACAACAAAAAGUUUUUAAGUAAAUAAUCCUAAUGCACGCAGCCGAAUAAAAUGCAGUAAGAAUAUUCAACUUAAAAAUCUGAAAGCCAACUUGGUGAAUUGCCUCCUUAGGUGAAGUUCCAUGCUUUACUAUAGUUGACAGAACUCAGCAAAAGCUUCCAUACAACAGAUUUUGAAAAUGAUGAUGCCAAUAGAUACUCAUUCAAUCCAUUGAAACUCCAAAGGUUCAUUGUUCAUAGAAGUUUACAGAGUUUUGGUCAUCAAAUAGCUCAGACCUAAUCCCAAACAAAAAACGAGUGAAAAUUAGAUCACGAGCAGCUAAUUGUAAAUUCUAACUUAACUCUUCAUCUCCUUUGUAAACAAGAAACAAAAUGGAGACACGCAAAAUGAAUAUGGAGAAAAUUUGAACUCAAAUGAAAUGAGGGCACGAAAGCAAACAAAUGGCAUGCACAAAAAAACCAAGCCUCGAUAAAAAACUAAUUAACCAUUAAGAAAAAAAUUGGUCAGAGAAUGAACUCCAAAUUCAGGAGUCAAGCAAGAAGCUUUCAUUAUUUCAGAAGCUCCUGUACAAAUUAAUAAGUUAUGCUCUUUGGAAGCAAACCUAAAUUCCAAGAGAAACAGAACCCAAAAAAUUUGCAAUUAUACGCAAAGGAAGUGAAGCACAGGAUUCUAUCACACAUAGGAAUUGUAUAACAAGAGAUCGAUAUAUCGAAUUAGAAAACUCAAUUCGAAUUUGUGUCAAAAAUCAAAAUUAGAAGAUUUCACAUUUCGAGAGGAACAAGCAACAGAUGAAGUUCAAAAUUUCAGCCAUAACAUGCUAAAAAUGCUACACUUAACGGUUCAUUUUCAUGGAUUUUCUCGGGAAACAAACAGAAAAUUACGGUUUAGAGAGUUGACUGACCUUUUGGCUUUUGAAAUUGACCAGAUCGCGCGCCAAAUUGGAAGAGGGAAAGUGAAAGCGCGAGUUUUAAUAUGGGUAUUAGAUAAGGAAAUUUUAUUAGGUUGCGAGGGUAAAAAAGGAAAGAGAUAUCAUUAUUUUAUUAUCGAUAAUUAUUAAAUUUUUUUCCAAAAAAAAGAACAAGCAAGGAUUUUUUAUUGUCAUCACUAAGUUAAAAAAAAUUGUUUCAAAAUUACUUGAGUCAUAUCCAAUGGACCAACAAAGUAAUCGUUUUUAUUUUUAUUGAUUUUUGCAGGAAAUUAAUAACUUAAAAAUACUGAAAGCUACUGUAAAAAUUUUUAUUAUCAACCUCAUAAUUUUUUUUUUUUGGGGAAGAGAAUUCAAACUUUUUUUUUAUGAAUAUCGCUGUUUCGUUUGAGUUGGAUGUGAAUUCAAAUCCAAAUAUUCUUUGUUUUUCAAUUUUGAACUCAAUUUCUUUUUCUCAAGAAUGUUAUGCAGAAAUAAUUUUUACUAAAUCUUUUUUGAUGAAUUGUUUAAAUUAAACAAUUGGAAUAAGAAUUGUAACGAUUUAUCAUAAGCGUGCUAAUAUGAUAACUUGUUUUACGAAGGAUUAAUUAAUCAAUUAAUAUUAAAUUAUAUAUUAGUCAAUUAGAUAUGUGUUACAUUUAUCAUGUUUUGUAGGUGAUAGUACAUCAUUUCUAAAAGAAUAUAGUACGUUAAAAUAUUAUUUUAAUGAAGAAAAUUUUAUUAUUUUAUUAUUAGGUGACACAAUAAUAAAUGGAUUUCUGUAAGAAUUGAGAUUCUUGAUAUAAUUAUUACAUAAGGAGAAGUUUAGUUGGUUCAAUUUUGACGUGAUAAGAAGACAACACAGCACAGAAAACCCAAAUUGCCACUUCCACUAAUAAAAGAUACCUGUUUGAAAAGUAAUUAUAAACUAUCUUCUUUGUGUUAUUUCUCAAAACUUUUGUGGCACAAAUGUUAUUUCCAUUGACAACAGUACGAAAUACCACCCCUUUCACUUGAGCAGGAGCAAAGCAAAGGUAUGAUGAGCUAUCUCUGUAUAAUUGAAACGCCAUUACUAAACGAUUCUUGAUGAUGGGAGCCACCGUGCCAGCUUUGUCGCUGAUUUGCAUGAUUUAUUAGUUGUCCAGAUGGCGGAUUUUGUACUGUUACCUUCGUUUCAUUCUUCAGAGCCAUGUACUGUUCUAGGAUACCAGAGAAACCAAGGUGGCAUUGAAGUUGCCCUGGUGGUUAGUUUUCCGAUCAUUUUUUUAUUCAAUUAUUUAUGUUUUUAGAAAAAUGUAGGAAAUAUGUAGAAAUGUUGACAGCUAUGAUUUUGAAACUUUUGCCUAAAAUUGUUAUCAUUACUUGUUGUUUCUUAUUUAAAGAGAAAUUCUAGAAACAUGAAAUGAUUAUUCUACGCUUGUUUUAAUAUUGUGCUAUGAAGAUUACGAAGGUUUGAUUAUAUGUCACUAUCAAUUGCCUUAAUCGUUUGUCGUAAAUCAAUUAAGCAUUUUGAUGCGAAUGAUUCCCUAUUAAAAAAUUCAAGUCAGAGCUGAAUUGCAAAGUAGUUAGUCGUGCUUGCAAUUCAAAUUAAGUAUUGUAUUUUCUCCCUGAUUUGGUUGAUUCAACUAUGUGCAUUUGCUUAUGAACGUUGCAGUAUAGAAAUCGAAAUAUCUUGUCUUUUGCUAAGCCCAGAAGCAAAUUCUUUGUAUUCUACUCAUCAGUUUUCUUCAUUCUCUUUGUUGAAAUUUUAUCUAAACAGCGGUUUCUUCGAAUUUAUGCCUUCGCUUACUCUUUUAAAUUUUAUCCAAACAACGGUUUUGAAAUUGUUUUCACUACAAUACCUUAGUCUUUCAGAUGCUCCCGUCACUGAGUUGCCAGAAGAGCUAAAAGCCUUGGUAAAUCUUAAGUGUUUGAACCGGAGUACACAAAUUAUCUCUCUACAUUUCCAAAGCAAUUGAUUUGUUACUUUUCGAUGCUACAUGUUCCGCGAAUAUUCAGUUGUGGUUAUCUUGUUCAGAUACCAGAAAAUAGCGUUAUAUUUAGUGGUAAUGAAUUCUUGGUUUGGGAGUUGCUUAGUUUAAAACGUUUAAAUGUAUUAAGCAUCAUCUUGAAAAGUUUUUCUGCUGUCCAAAAACUUAUGAGCUUCCAAAAGUUUCAAAGCUGUACACAAUGCAUGGAGCUUGUAGACUGUGAUGAUCCAAAGUCAUUUGCCGUGGCAGAGUUGAAGCAUCUUGAAAAACUAGGUUUUUCAAGUUGUGGAAAUUUGGAAGAGUUAAAGUUCUGCUGUGUCGAAGUUGCAAAGGCUCGAGAAUGUUUUCGUUUGAACAGCCCUCACUGAGUUAAGAUGAAGGCUUGUCAUAAAUUGUGGGAAGCGACAGGUUAUUCAAAUAGAAAAAUUUAUGGAGAUGGAUGUUAAUCUUAAGGUUAUUCAAUUAGAAAAAUUUGAAUAAAAUUUAUGGUAAGUGCUUUUCCAUUUAUUGCAUAUUUAUAUCUAAUUUUUAUUUUCCUUUAUUGUUAAAUUUUGGUCUCUAUUUGUUGUUGUAUGGUGGCAUUCUUGUACAAUUAUUAGCUUUUCAUUUCUCUUCUCACAUUAACUGCCCUUCUGAUCAUGUAGGAUUUGCUGAUGCAAAGAGUCAUAAUUUGGGAUACAAAUGUAAGAAUUAGACAGAUGACAUGUUGUUUUGAAGCUCUCAAAGAAGGACUAAUUAUGUCAUUGAAAGCCUCCAAUUUUGUGAUUGGUUUCUUUUUAUUUUAUUUGUUGUUUUCUCUAUUUUCAGAUCACUUAAUUGUUAGUUGUUGUAAUGUAAUGUUUUAGUAUAGCAAAUUAUAUUCGGCCAAGACAGUGAUAGGAGGGCACAUUGUGCAUGCACACUAGUGGAUUUGGCAUGCCAAAUCCAAUUAGGAUGGAUAACACUUUAUAAGCAUUAGGCUUCUCUCAUACCUGAGUAAUAUAGAAUAUGUUUAUAAGUUGUGAAUCACCCUUUACAAGUGUUAGGCUUCUGCUAUACUCAGUGAUGUGAAAUAUAUUUAUAAGCACUAAACUUCUCCCAUACACUUUAUGUUAAUAAUAAUAAUAAUAAUAAUAAUAAUAAUAAUAAAAUAAUAAUAAAUAAACCCAUUUUAACAGACUCUUUUUUCUUUUUCUAUAUGAACAAAUGCAUUCUUCAAAGCAACUGUGGGGAGAAGAAGUGAGUAGAGAAGAACUGAGCCCCUGUCAUUCCCCUAAAACCUCACCAAAACCUCUCUUGUAAGCUUCUCGGAUUUUCUUUCUAUAUUUCUUAGGAACUCAUUUUUUAUUGAAUCACUUAUUUUGCAUGCUGCAUUUUUUGGUUGUCGUAUUUGUGUAUUAUCUUAUCUGGAAUGCUGUUAUGAUUGAUGGAACAAGUAAUCGAUUUUUGGUCUAAUGGAAGUUGAUUUAUUUAUUUAUUGUUGUUUUUAUUUGAAAUUAUGUACAAUUGUAUUUCAUUCAUUUCUCUCUCUUUUGCUUUUUUCCCCCCAUAUAUUUGUUAUGUAUAAUUGCGUUUCAUUUAAUAUUGAUCAUACUGUAGGUAACCAUGUGAUUGUAGAUGGGGAUUUCGAGUUUGUUGAAUAUUCAUGUAAGUGAAGUAACCGUCACAAUACUAGUGAAAUUGGGAGCUUUAUUCAUGAGUUUGUGGUUUUGAAAAGUACCACAGUUCAACUGGUGAAGGCUCCGUUUUGGGAUUCUUCUUUUUCUAGGCUGCAAUUAGGAUAUGUACAUGAUAGACAAUCUUUUGUUGGUUUAGCAUAUCUUCGCUGAUUUUGUCUUUUAUUCCCCAAUUUUAUAAUUACACACCAUGAAUGUUGGGUGAUUGUAUAGAAAAUUUGUGUUAUAACAAAAACAUUGUGAAGGAGUUUCCGUGCUAAUAGUUAGUGGCUUCUGUUUUAUUGGCAUUGAUUGGGUAGAUUACGUGUUACAGUGAUUCAAUUUGUGUUCCAAACUUUGCUUUAAUUUUCUGUUUUCCCCAACUAUUUAUGUCAAAUUUAAAUCCAGAAGCAUGUGCUGAUUUUUUCUUUUUGUAUUAAUCUGUGAAGUUUAUUUGGAAUGGAAGUAACUGGGUCGGGUCUAAUGGAUUAAAUUAUGACAUUGAGGGGAAGGCACUAAAAGGGUUUGCUUGACACAUUUGGUUCUGUGUUUACUCUGCAAGAAAUAACUUUUGCUUAUUGCAAUGCAGGGGGAAAUCCCGAUUUGGCUGGUGAAUUUCUCUGCAACAAACAGGCAAACACCUCAACAUCUUCUGUCCAUACUUCUGCUGGGGAGGCAAGGGGUAAAGAGUCUUCAAAAUCAUCAAAUAGUUACAUCUCUGAGAAUUCAUUUUAUGGAAAUGGAAAAUCUAGAGUUUCUAAUACAAAAUGGCAUCUGGUAUCAGGACGUACCGUUUCAAGUUUUCUUGGUAAAGAUUAUGUUAAACCUGCACAGCCAGCUAAUGGCACUUUUCUGGCAUCAAAGCCAUUGAAGUUGGAUCCAAGGGAGUUUCGCAUUUCUGCACUUUCAGAGAAGAAACUAAACCGACAAUCAAAGGAUGACCAUUUGCAGAAGGAUAUGGAAGAUUUUCUUUUUAAAUUGCUAGGAGAAGGGUUCCAGCUGUACAGGGAUGUGAUUCAGGAGGUUCAUGGUAACGUCUUAAAUAUAUUGAUGCCAAUUUAAUACAUAUUGUCCUUUUCAAUGUUCUUUCUUUCUUUCUCCUCUUUUUAUUAUUCUUCUUCUUCUUUUUUCUUUUCAUGUGCAUGUGAUCACUAAUUUGGUAUUAUUCUUGACUUGCAGAUAGUUGUGGAUAUGAAAUGCAAAAGGUAAGGGCUAUAUCUUCUUGAUGGAGGCCUCUGAUUUUUUAAAUCGCAUUUUCCUUUGUGAUUGAUAUAUCAUACCAAAGUCAAGUCUUAAAUACUGCUGUCAUAUGUUAAGGUUCAACUUCCAUUUUGAUUAACGUCGAUUUGCUACUGCUUCCAAAAGUGAGAAUGAGAUACUUUGGUUAAUUUCAGUAGUUGAACUCAAUGGAGUACUUUAUUUAGAUCUUCAUGGUUCAAAGGCCUGAAAAAACUUGCCGGUAUUUGCAAAAUGACAUCUGUGCUUUUAUUUAGACUUAUUAUUAAAGACAACAUUUUAUUUCAGCCAAAAAUGUUUGUUUCAAUUAAAGACUUGAACCAUUUUCAUUUAACCUGAUUGUGAUGCUUUACAUUAUGCAUGUUCCUCUCAAUCAAUAAAAGUUGAGGUCAUGAUUUUAUAUUUCUAUUUUGUAACUUGAAAUAAUUGGUCUGCCUGUUUCUGUUGCUUGAUAACAUGAAUUUUUCCUUCUGAAGUUAAUUUGAUCAAUAAAGUAAUUCUUCGGAGAGGAUAUGCCCAUUCUAUAGUCAUUUUCUUAGCUAACAUGUUUUUUCUUCACUCUUCAAAGCAUGUCUAAACUAAUUGAUCGCUCAGCGGAGACUUUGGGUGAGAAGACAAAAUUUCUUGGUAAAUCCUCUGAAAAGGUAUGCAUAAUUCCCGAGUAUUAAAUAAUCAUUGGUCAUAAUUUUUGUACACGACUCUUGUUUUGGAGAUCGUUAAAAGUGGUUGAUGAUCUAUUUUGUAAUAUCAUAGAGGGAUCAUGAAUUCCUUUUCUUUUCUGUGGCUAGGCAACACUUUCGAGCCAAGCUAAGGAAAUCUAUUUUAGGUAAUGUGAAAACUAGUUGUAGGAUGUAAUAGUUUAUUAUGCCCUGACAAUAACUUUUUGUAUAAUUGUCAGUUUAAUGAAUACAAGAGGAACUCUGUUGGCAAGUUCAUCCAUGAUAGAUGCUAAAAUUAUUUAUGCAUACCAGUUGCCUUAACUAAUUUUUCUCAACACUGGUAUUGAACAGGAAAAUGAAUAUGCAAUUUGUAUAUUGUGCCAUUGUGGAGAAUUUGGAUAUUCUUAUUUAAGUAACAAGGAGAGUAUUUGCCUCAUCUUUAAACAAUGAAUCUUUGAGAAAUGAGGAGUGGGUGAUUGACAGUGUCUUCAUGUAAAUGUUCAUUUAUUUGUAUUUUGAACUAUUAUGAGAAUCUUUGUAUGCCAAAUUAGUAAUACAAAUGUUCAGAUGAUUUUUCCUGUUGAUCAUGCGUGUGUAUCUGCACACAACCAUUGUGUACCACUUUAUUCUGAUGCACAAAUAUCUGUAGUUUAGAAGAAAAGAAAUAAUAAUCAUAUAUUAUUGCUUGGUUCAUGAUUAUUAAAUGAUUAUGGCUUUAGAAAAUCCACAAAUCCUUUGUGUUCAUAUAUGAAUGUGCGAAGUUCGCUAUAUCUUAGAUUACCUUCUUCCAAGAUAACAAGUUCAUAUAUUUUUUUUAAUCCUUUUUCAUCACAGUUGAAUUUCAAGUGUAAGUUUUGUUAUUAAUAGCUGGUUUCCUGUUAUUAUGAUUUCAUAAACAAUGAGAGGAUAUGUGCUCUACUUUUGGAUGGCCUCCACAUAAAAGAAAAUUGCAACAAUUGAAUUCUUCUGGAGGGUAUGGUAUUUAAUUUAUUUUCUCAGCUUGUUGUAAGACUAAUAUAUUUCCUUCAGUACGCACGGCAUGGUGGGAAGGGUUUUUAUUGAAAGAAUUAUGAUAUUUCUUAGACUUUGUUUUGGAAGGGGGUGGAGGGAUUUCUCAUCCAUGUAUGGUUACUUGAUUAGCUUUUGACUGUACUGUCUCCGUCGUGCAAAGGAAAAUCCAAAUACUAACGAAGGGGAAUUGCUUAGGCACCCAAAGGACAGAAAUGAAUUACGGAAGGAGGUUUUUGCUGCUUUAUUUAGUGCUGCUGAGAAAUCUGAUGAAUUUCCUGAAAUUACGGUGAAGACGGAGUGGAGGUCCAACGCAUUAGGAAAGGUGGUGAGUGAACCGCCAGAGGAAUUAGUACCAGAAUACAAGGCUAAUGUGGUGCACUGGCAGCAAGAUGACCAGACCUGUAUGUGCUCUUAUAUUAACUAUAUUGGCUGGAUUUGUGAGUGUGUUCAUUUUUGUGUGUAUACUCACUUUUGUAUUUAUGCAUAUUCACGUGUGUAGGAUUCUCGAUUUCUGCCACUUACUGGAGAACUAGUGGAAAGCUUUAUACUGAUAUAUGUGCUAUAUAACUAAUGGAAACUACAAUAUGAAUAUUUUCUCUCACCUGGAGAGCAGUGUAACUAAUAUAAUUUGUGGCUCUGGAAUACUGAAGAUUCUGCAAUAACUAAUGGAAAAUAUGAUAUGAAUAUUUUUUCUCACCUGGAGAACUUUGUAACAGAUACAUUUUGUGCUGGAAUGUCUAAAGAAUGCUUCAGUUUAUAUCAAAUAUCUUUUAGUUAGAAAAGAUAAAAUUCUCUGAAUCUGAAAGACUGAAACAUUUUGCAUAUUUCGUGAAAGGCAAGUAUCUGUAGAUACUAGCUCAUGCAUUGAGGUAAUAUCAAUGUUAAAGAAAAACAGCAAUAAUUUAUUAUACAGAAUUAGGUUCACUUGCUUUAAAUGCUGGUCUGAUCAACCAUAUCAACCUGUAAUGGUCCUGCAGAAAUAUAUAUACGGGGAGAAACUAGCUAAUUUUCCUUUCACUUAUGGGUUUGGUCUUUUUUUCCCCAAUUUUUCAGCUUUCCUUCUCCUGAAGUAUGUUAAUAAUUGCAGAUAAUGGCGAAGAGGACUGCUUCCAGGCUACCGGCAAAAACUUUGUGAAAGCUUUGGAGUUAAACAGGGAAUUCACUUACUGCUAAGGACAAUUGGUGGCGAGCUAUUUCAUUCAUUUUAUGUCCAUACAUCUAUUUAAUUAUUAAAGAUAAUGUACGCAUUUGUAAAUUUCAGAUUGUGUGUCUCUGAAAAUAACAAUAUUUAAAAUGUCUCUUAAAUUAUUAUAAAUUUUAAUUUACUCUCGAUUUAAAAUGGAACAUGUUGGUGAAAUAUUUUUUCUUCUUAAUAAAAUUGAAAUAAAUUAUGUUAGCAGUAGUUUGAAAUAUUUUAAAGAUGAUUAUUUUAUAAGGGAGUAAUAUGAAAUGAAAUUUACUUUUCAUGCGUGAAAUGUUGAAAAAGGACAAAGCAAGUGUCCCUGCUUUUAUUUUAUUUCAAAGUGGAGUCAUCUCACAUACUUUAGCUCUAUCAUUAGGAGCCGGCUAAGUUACGUUAAACGUAAUUUACGCCAGGCACAGCAAUAAUGACAAGUCCCAUGACUAGUAUUGUUGCUGUGUCUGACGUAAGUUACGUUUAACGUAACUUAGCCAAAGCCCUAUCAUUAAUAUAUAUUUAAAUUUAACACAUGCAUGUGGGUUACUUUUCCGUAAGUUCCUUAAUAUAUAUUUAACACAAAUCAUGGAAGAGAUGGGAGUAUAUCAAGAUGAUCAAAGCAUGAAACAAAAAUAUUUAAGAAGUAAAACACUGAAAAUGGAGAAGAGAUGCAAGCAAAAGAUAUUCUAAAGAAAAGCAAUCUAUCCCCUUUCGAGGGCAAACUUAUCAGGUUUAAGAAAAGUACAUGCUUUGGAUUGGUAGUUGCAGCCUUGCAGGAUAAUUGUUUUUGCCACUAUAUUAGUUGGAGGAGUUGAACCCAGUGAAGAAUGUUAUGGAAGAGCAAAUGAUAUUUCUGAUAGACUCUAUUUGAUUAUGUAGCCUGAAUAGAUGUCUUGUUGAAAGAUAUAUCAGUGCAUUAGUUCAUCCUUGUCUGUCAAUGUGUUUUUAAUGGUUUUUCCAAUUGUUUUUUUUUUUUUUGAAACUGAUUAAGCAUCAGGUUACUGCAUUACACAGAUAUAUAUACAACUGCUAUGACAGCAGGUCAUUACACUGAUAUUUACAAUCAGAUAUAUAUACAUGGGACUUAUAUUAUUACAUUUUUAUUCUAUGAAGUACAUGCCCAUCCCAAAUACCCCUCACGGAGGAGGGAUGUCUCUACUCCACUCGCAUUUCGCAAGGGAGAAAGACGUUUAUAGAAAUCUCCACACAAUUAUGUUUAAUUGGAGGAGGUUGAGUCCGUGGGGACUCGAACCAUUGCCCUCAAAGUCAUGCUUAACUUUGAGGGCAAUGGUCCACCACUGGGCUACAAGCCCAAGUGGCGGUUUUUCCAAUUGUUUAUUGCUAUAGAUUGAUUGUAAAUUGAUGUGAACUUAAUGUUGAAAUAUUUUCUCUUUAGUGGAAUGAAAGUUAAACAUUCAAGAUUAGAUUAUUCAAGGUCCACAUAGUAUGUGUUCCGUUGUGUUGUCUGUAAUUUUGCAUUUAAAUAAAUUUGAGUGCUGCCGUUUCGCUCCCACAAUCUCUCGCCUUUUUUUAAUUUUAAAAAUUAAAAUAUUAAUAAAAAACAAUAAAGAAAAUCGAAUCCUUUAUGUCAUUCCAUCUUUACAACUCUCUCUCACAAACUCCAUCUAACAGACUUCUCUCUUACUAUCUCGGUCGAACAAGACCAGUGACAAUGAUGACACGACCGCCGACGAUGAGAUGGUCAUCGCUAAAGAAUCGGGCCGUGUAUUUUACAAUUUCUUGGUUUGUGACAACAAUGGAAAACUCCUGAAAAUUUUGAAUUUGUAGUCGAGCAAAGGAAGAAGCAAGUUAUCUUCAAAGCAUUUUCCAGUAAUAGCUGAUGAAAUUUAAUACUUCAAGCUGGCCCUUUGCUGUCACAACUAGAUGCAUUUGCACUGUCAUUACAAUUUAUGGAAAUUAAAGUAAUUAAUGGUUCUAAUUAAUAGCUUCCCAAAAAACCAAUCUGCCCUUGUGAGAACCAAAGCAUUAAUUUCUUGUAAGAGCUGCAGAAGGCCAGAGAAUUUCAGAUCGUGAAAAGGAGUGUGUGAGUGAGAGAGAGAUCGUGAAAUAGUGAGAGACAAUGAGAGAGAGAGCCGCUCGACUGAGAUGGUGAGAGAGUUGCAAAAAUGGAGUAAGGAGCAGAUAAGAUUAUGUUUUCUUUAUUAUUUUUUAUUAAUAUUUUAAUUUUUUUAAUUAAAAAAGGGCGAGAGAUUUUGGGAGUGAAACGGCAGCAUGUUCCAAUAAAUUUUUACCAAAGUUUCUCUCGUGUUUCUCUCACCUUUCUAGAUACCAAGCAUUUUCCAAUAAAUUUUUACUAAAAACUUAGCAAGCCCUUGAAACUUUGGUCAAAAUUAUUGUUAUUAUUACUUUUAGAGGAAAAACUUUUAUUAAAACCUCAUUAACACAAUUCUUAAUUAAAAUUAUAAGUUUGUGUUGGUGUAAGGAUUUGCAGGAGCAAUUACUGCCUAGCCAAGUGUCAAAAGCACAAAAUAAAUCAAGAGAAAGUAGACAUGAAUUAGGAUCCAAUGAAAUUUAAAUCCCGGAGAAAAGAAAUAAUCAUGCAGAUUAUCAAGAUUUCAAUAAGGGAUAUUGAUAUCCUAUUUUGAUUAAUAAUAUCCUUUUACUGUGUUAACUCAAAAAAUAUGUAUAUUCUAAUAUUUUACAAUAAAUAGAAAUCUAAUAUUAAAAUAAAUGUGAUAUAUAUAUAUAUAUAUUAAAUAAUUUAAAUAUAAAAAAUAUUUUAAUGUUUUACAAUCUACUACACAUAUUUUAUUAAGUUAAUAUAAUUUUUCAAAUAAAUAGGGACAUAAUAUUAAAAUAAAUUUAUAAAAAUUUAAAUUAUUUUGAAUUUAAAAUAAUUUUAAUAUUAUUAAUAUGUUAGAUAUGUUUGAUUAAUUAUAAAAAUUAUUUACGCAAAUUUUUUUAAUAUUUUCAGUAGAUAUAAAUAUAUUACUUACAUUUUGAUUAUUUAACUAUUAUUAUUCUACAAUUAUUUAUAUAAUGUUUGCACUUAUUAGAAUAUAUUUAAAGUCAAAUCUUUUGCACUUCUACCUAGCUAGAAUUAUUGGACGCAGAGAAAUAAGCAUAUAUGCUUUAUAACUUUAGAAAUCGAAUUAUCUAUACAAAUUGAUUUUAGCUGGAAAAAAAGUGAGCUGAAUGAUAUAGGCGAUUAGUGUGGUAAUAUUUCAUAGAGUUAGACUAUUGAAUUUGGCACCCCUCCAAUCUUCUCAUGAUUACCUUUUUGAGUUAUUAAUACACUUCUAAUUUUUCGUUUAAUUUUUUUUAUUGUUAUACUCAAAGUAGUAUUGUGAUAUUUUAUAUUUCUUUUGCAAUCUUAUUAUUAUUUUACACAAAAUUAAAAAGUUUUCUAGGUGAUGAACUUUUGAGUUUUGAACAUUAAUCAUUGGCUUAAAUUUCAUAUAUUUUACAUUAUAAUUUGAAAUUAAGUACGAAAAUAUUUAAUAAAUUAUGAAAAGAUUAACAGAUUAUUCUAAAUUGAUACAACUUAUUUUAGUUAAAUAAAAAGUAACAGGUAAAAAAAAAAAGGAUUGGUUAUGAAAUUUGUUGGAAAAAAAUCUGUGUGUGUUUAAUUUUUAUUUGUCCUUAAUUGUAAUUUAUUUGAAGUGAGGUUUUAUAAGGAUAAUGAAGGGGUGCCAUAGUUUCACUCUAUUUCAUAUGGAGAGAGAAGUAAAAGGUACACCUGAGGUUAAUGGAAAGGACUUCGAAAGUUUCUUUUGAUUAUAAUACUGUUUGUUCUAAUUAACUUAAAAAAUUUUACUUUAAUAUUUUAUAAUAAAUUAAAUUUUAAUCUUAAAAUAAGUAUAAUCAUAUAUUUUAAAAUAAUCUUAAAAUAAAUACAAUCAUAUAUUUUAAAAUAAUCUUAAAAUAAAUACAAUCAUAUAUUUUAAAAUAAUCUUAAAAUAAAUACAAUCAUAUAUUUUAAAAUAAUCUUUAUAUUUAAAAUUUAUUUAUUUGUACAUAUUUUAUAAUAAAUAUAACACAUACUAUUAAAAUAAUAUAUAAAAAAUUAAAGUAUUUUGAAUAUUAUAUAAAAUAACUUUAAGAUUCUUAAUAUGUAAGAUAUAUUUUAUUAAUUUAAAAUUCUAUUUAAAAUUUUAUUAAUUUAAAAUUCUAUUUAACCCAAAGAUUUAUUUAAGAUAAAUUAAUAAUCAUAUUUUUUAAAUCAUUUCAAAUAUUAAAAAAUAUUUUGAUAUUACUAGUCUAUUAAAUAGAUUAAAUAUUUUUAUUAUUUUGUACUAAUCAAAAGUUACAGCUCGAAUGAUAUUAUGAGAACAGAAUUUUUAUGUCUUUAUUAAAAAUUUGGGUUUGUAUAAUUAUUUUUUCAAAUGUUAGGGGCAUAGCUGUCUUUUUACUUUUAUAUAUGUGAACCGCGGUGGUGAAAAAGUGUGAUUUAAUAUUAGUUAUUUAAAUAAUAUCUGAAUUAAAGAUGUACAGAGAAGAAAUUUCGGUGGGCAUUUUAGUCUUUUAACGAUUAUCAUGAUUAGGGAUUAGGUCCUGCUCUUGAAACGUUGGUCAGAAAAGUUCUAAAAUGCGUACAUUAUCUUUACUUUAAAAAAGUUAUUUUAUUUUAUUACAAAUUAAUGCCGACAAGAAAAAGCAAGAUCUUAAANNNNNNNNNNNNNNNNNNNNNNNNNNNNNNNNNNNNNNNNNNNNNNNNNNNNNNNNNNNNNNNNNNNNNNNNNNNNNNNNNNNNNNNNNNNNNNNNNNNNAUAAAGAUGAAGAAAAGGGCAAAAAAAUAUUAAUGAUUAACGAAAUCUCUAUCCAAAUUGAUUUUAGCAGGAAAAAAGUGAGCUAAAUGAUGUAGACGAUUAGUGGUAAUAUUUCAUAGAGUUAGACUAUUGGCACCCUUCCAAUCUUCUCACGAAUCCUCUUUUUGAGUUAUAUUUAUUUUAUUUUUAAAAUAUCUUUUUUCUCUUUUACUACACUUCUAAUUUUUCAUUUAAUUUUUUUAUUGUUAAACUCAAAGUAGUAUUGUGAUAUUUUUAAUUUCUUUUGCAAUCUUAUUAUUACUCUGCAUAUAAAUUAAAAAGUUUUUUAGGUGAUGAAUUUUUGAAUGUUAAUCAUUAGCUUAAAUUUCACAUAUUUUACAUUACAAUUUGAAAUUUAAUAUGAAAAUAUUUAAUCAAUAAGAAUUAUGAAAAGAUUAAUAAAUUAUUCUAAAUUUAUACAACUUAUUUUAGUUAGAUCAGAAGUAGCAGGUUAACAAAAGAAAGGAUUGGUUAUGAAAUUUGUUGGAAAAAAAUCUAUGUGUGUUUAAUUUUUAUUCGUUGUUAACUCUAAUUAAGUAGGUUAAAUAUUUUUGUUAUUUUUUACUUAUCAAAAAAUUUAAGAUCAAUAUUUUUAGUUACCAUUCGAAGGAUAUUAUGACAAAAACAGAAUUUUCACUUCUUUGUUAAAAAUUUGGGGGUUUGUGUAACUAUUUUUUCAAAUGUUAGGGGCAUAUCUGUCUUUUUACUCUAUAUAUAUGAACCAUGGUGGUGAAAAAGCGUGAUUUAAUGUUAUUUAUUUAAAUAAUAUCUCAAUUAAAAAUGUAAGGAGAAGAAAUUUCGGUGGGCAUUUUAGUCUUUUAACGAUUAUCAUGGUUAGGCCCUGGUCUUGAAACGUUGGUCAGAAAAGUUCUAAAAUGCGUUCAUUUGUCUUUACGCCAACAAUAAAAAGCAAGAUCUUAGUGUCCCACAAAAGCAAAUCGUAAUAUUCCGCAAUGGAGUUAGAUCCGCAAAAGCAAACAAAUUCUUUUAUUAAACUACAAAUUAAAGUGGAAUCAUUUACUAAACAACAAAUUAAAUUUGAAAUAUUUAAAUAGUCGUGCGUUAGACGAUUAGAGACUCUUAUUAAAGGCAAGUACAAAGUAGUGAAGAAUCGAAUAUUUCUAUUGUCUAGUCUUUUUUUAAAAAAAAUUUUCUUUUAUUAUUUUUCAGAAUAUGUUUUGGUGAUUACUAUUGGGUUAUUAUUCAGAGUUAUUGUUAUCUUCCGGGGCAGUUUCUGUUCAUCGAAUUCGUUAAUAAAAUUUUAAAACUCUUAUUGAAAGAAUGUUUUUCCGUUAUCUUUUUUAUAAUCUAAUUUUAAGUGUAAGAAGUAGUCAUUUUAGAAUUUGGGUCUUGAAUCGAAUUUCAAUGCAUGAAUUAAUAUUUAAAAAAAAUUUACUACAUGCAGUUUAGGUUACAAACUAUUUUUUGCAAAGUUGACUAUGAAAUUGGAGAAAUUAAGUAAUUUAUAAUGUUUGCAAAGAAAGAGACCAACAUACUUCCAAUUACACUAUAUCUCAAUUAUCAUAAUGUUAAGAUUAAACUAACUUAAAAUAAAAUUUAUUUAAAAAGUUUAUCAAACGCAGUCUAAUUUUAUUAACUUGAAGAGAUAAUAGUUAUAGAAAUUAUUAUUCUAACUUAAUUAGUAAAAGUGGUAUAAAGGUUAAGUGUGCACUAAAUCUAUUUAAAUUUUUUUCCAGUAUAACUAACAGAGGUCAUUACUAGAAUUAUAUUACUAGUCUAUUAGAUAGAAAAAAUUAUUUAUAUUGUUUUAUAUUUAUUAAAAAAAUUUAAAGUCAAUCUUUUUAAUUACUAUUUAAAGGAUAUUAUAAUUAAAAAAAUUUUAAUGUCUUCAUUAAAAAUUUAAAAUUUUAUAUGACCGUUAUCUAAAUAUUUAAAGUGUAACUGUCAUUUUCUCAUAUAUAUAUAUAAUUUCAUCAACCCCUUAUACUUUAUGUUAUUUAUAUUUUAUUCAUGAAUAUUAUAAAUUUUUUGAAAUAUAAAAUUUCGUUUAACCCUUUAUACUCAAUUUUAUUUUAUUAAAACCCUAGAGUAUGAAUUCGUCCCUAUAAUAUUAAAUUCUCAAAAUAACUUCCAUUUAAUUAAAAAAUAUAAUUAUUAUUAAAUGAAUUAUAAUUAUUAUUAUUAUGUUAUUAUAAUCAUAAAAAGCGAGAUCAUAUUCCACAAAAGCAUAAGUGACAAAACAACCAACUGGAUUCUUUUAUUAAUCAACAAAUUGUAUAGUCUUUUUCAAAUUGUUAUAAAUUGGUGGCCCCUACAAUCCUCAAUAAUUGUACCGAAAUUCACAAGUUGGUGGGCCCUACAAUUCUGUUCCGAUAAUUUAACUGUGCAAGUGCUCAUUCACAAUCUUCCAGGUCAUGCUCUUAACAAUUGUUUUUUCUUUUCUGCACGCCCUUUCAUGCUCUUAAUAAUUGAAGAGCAUACUUUUCAAAUGUGAAGCCGCAUCUAAUGUCGCUAAUUUAAUUUGGGAUUAAAUUACGGGACUAUUAUAUUGCAGUGUGCACUAAUUUUUAUGUUUAUCUAAACUCUUCAAAUUUAAAACAUAUUAUGGCAUAAAUAAGAAUGUAACAAUAACAAAAGAGUAAGAAAGUGUAGAGAAAAUCUUGCAGAAAUAUAAAUAAUAUUUAUUUUUAAAAUAAUAUUAAUAUUUAAAAUAAUUUUUAAUAUUUUAUGGUCCAUUAGAUAUAUUUUAUUAUAUUAAAAUAAAUUUUAUAAUAAAUAAAAACAUACUAUUAAAAUGAAUAUAUAUAGAAAAUUUAGAGUAUUUUAAGUAUUAUAUAAAAUAAUUUUAAUAAAAUAUGUGAGAUAUUCAUAUUUUAUUAAUUUAAGAUACCAUUUAACCUAAAGAUUUAUUUAUGAUAAAUUAAUAAUUAUAUUUUUGAAAUUACUUCAAAUAUUAAAAAAAUUAAUAUUACUAAUAUAUUAGAUAGAUUAAAUUAUAUAUAUUAUUUUUACUUAUUAAAAAAAUUUUAAAAUUAUUUUUAAUUACUAUUCAAAAAACGUAUUCAAAAAACAUAAUGAUAAAAAAAUCUUAACAUCUUUAUUAAAAAAUUAAAAACUUAUAUGAUAAAUUCUCUAAAUAUUUACGGUAUAUGUGAACCACGGUGGAUAAGCUUUAUUUAAUAUUAUUGAUUUAAAUAAUAUGUCAAUUAAAAAUGUACAGAGAAGAAAUUUCGGUGGGUAUUUUAGUCUUUUAAGCAAUUAUCAUGAUCAGAUCAGCCUUUAGCCUUCAAACGUCGGUCAGAAAAGUUUUAAAAUUAAUGCUAAAUUGUUUUUCACUUUUAACGUUGGUGGCCUUGAAAUUGCUUGUAUUUUAUUAAAAAUUAAUGCUAACAAGAAAAAGCUAGGUCAUAUUCCACAAAAUCAAAAGUGACAAAACAACCAGCUGGUUUCUUUUACUAAACUACAAAUUAAAAUAAAUUUUUUCGAUAAAUUACAAAUUAAAGUGGAUUCUUUUGAAUACAAAUGGGACAGACGAUUAGGCUCUUUUUAUUAGAGGCAAGUAAAAACUAGUCAAGAAUCGAACAGUCUUUUUCCAAUUCUUGUUUUAUUAUUUUUCAAAACUAGUUUUUGGUAAUUACAACCGGGUCAUUAAUCAUUAUUCAGAGUUAUCUUCCGGGGCAGUUUCUGUUCAUCGAAUUCGUUAAUAAAAUGUUAAAACUCUUAUUGAAAGAAUGUUUUUCCGUUAUCUUUUUUAUAAUCUAAUUUUAAGUGUAAGAAGUAGUCAUUUUAGAAUUUGGGUCUUGAAUCGAAUUUCAAUGCAUGAAUUAAUAUUUAAAAAAAAUUUACUACAUGCAGUUUAGGUUACAAACUAUUUUUUGCAAAGUUGACUAUGAAAUUGGAGAAAUUAAGUAAUUUAUAAUGUUUGCAAAGAAAGAGACCAACAUACUUCCAAUUACACUAUAUCUCAAUUAUCAUAAUGUUAAGAUUAAACUAACUUAAAAUAAAAUUUAUUUAAAAAGUUUAUCAAACGCAGUCUAAUUUUAUUAACUUGAAGAGAUAAUAGUUAUAGAAAUUAUUAUUCUAACUUAAUUAGUAAAAGUGGUAUAAAGGUUAAGUGUGCACUAAAUCUAUUUAAAUUUUUUUCCAGUAUAACUAACAGAGGUCAUUACUAGAAUUAUAUUACUAGUCUAUUAGAUAGAAAAAAUUAUUUAUAUUGUUUUAUAUUUAUUAAAAAAAUUUAAAGUCAAUCUUUUUAAUUACUAUUAAAGGAUAUUAUAAUUAAAAAAANNNNNNNNNNNNNNNNNNNNNNNNNNNNNNNNNNNNNNNNNNNNNNNNNNNNNNNNNNNNNNNNNNNNNNNNNNNNNNNNNNNNNNNNNNNNNNNNNNNNNNNNNNNNNNNNNNNNNNNNNNNNNNNNNNNNNNNNNNNNNNNNNNNNNNNNNNNNNNNNNNNNNNNNNNNNNNNNNNNNNNNNNNNNNNNNNNNNNNNNNNNNNNNNNNNNNNNNNNNNNNNNNNNNNNNNNNNNNNNNNNNNNNNNNNNNNNNNNNNNNNNNNNNNNNNNNNNNNNNNNNNNNNNNNNNNNNNNNNNNNNNNNNNNNNNNNNNNNNNNNNNNNNNNNNNNNNNNNNNNNNNNNNNNNNNNNNNNNNNNNNNNNNNNNNNNNNNNNNNNNNNNNNNNNNNNNNNNNNNNNNNNNNNNNNNNNNNNNNNNNNNNNNNNNNNNNNNNNNNNNNNNNNNNAUUGUGGGCACUCUUGUUCGUGCAUGUUUGCUAGAAGAGAUGGAAGAUGAUAAAGUAAAAAUGCAUGACGUUGUUCGUGAUAUGGCUUUAUGGAUAGCUUGUGAAAUUGAGAAGGAGAAGAGAAACUUUUUGGUUUGUGCAGGUGCUCGAUUAGAAGAGGCACCGGGUGUUAAAGAAUGGGAAAAUGUGAGAAGAUUGUCAUUGAUGCAAAACCAAAUUGAAACUGUGUCAGAGAUUCCCGCAUGCCCUCAUCUCCAUACUCUAUUUCUUGCCUCUAAUAGGAAUUUCAGGAUGAUCACGGAUGGCUUCUUUCAAUUUAUGCCUUCUCUCAAAGUUUUGAAGAUGUCACGCUGUGGGCAAUUCGAAGGUUUUCAAUUACCUGUUGGGAUGUCAGAGUUGGGUUCAUCACUAGAACUUCUUGAUAUUUCACAUACCACCAUAAGAGAGUUACCCGAAGAGUUAAAGUUGCUGGUAAAUCUGAAAUGUUUGAAUUUGAGGUGGACAGGUGCGUUAAUUAGAAUUCCACGGGGACUAAUAUCAAAAUUUUCAAGGUUACGUGUGUUGAGAAUGUUGGGUACUGGCGGGUUCAUUUUUUAUGAAGCACCAGAAGACAGCGUUUUAUUUGGUGGGGGUGAAGUUUUGAUACAGGAAUUGCUCGGUUUGAAAUAUUUAGAGGUAUUGGAGUUGACCUUGGGAAGUUAUCAUGCUCUCCAAAUUCUUUUGAGCUCAAAUAAGUUAAAAAGUUGUAUUCGAUCUCUUUACCUCUAUUUGACCGGAGAUAAAAAGUCGAUUAUUGAUGCUACGGCUUUCACAGACCUAAACCACCUCAAUGAAUUAUGGAUUGAUAAUGGAAUUGAGUUGGAAGAAUUGAAGAUUGAUUAUACGGAGAUAGUACGAAAAAGGCGGGAACCUUUUGUUUUCCACAGCCUUCACCUUGUUACGAUAUAUAGUUGCCAUAAAUUGAAAGAUUCGACAUUCCUCGCUUUUGCUCCAAACCUCAAGUCUCUUUCGCUAUUCAAAUGCCGUGCUAUGGAAGAAAUAAUCAGCGUCGGAAAAAUUGCUGAGAAUCCUGAGAUGAUGGGACAUAUAAGCCCUUUUGAAAAUCUCAAAAGUCUUGAUCUAUCAUAUUUGCCGGAGUUGAAGAGCAUUUUCUGGAAGCCAUUGCCUUUCACUCAUCUCAAAGAAAUGGGGGUAAGAGCAUGUGAUCAGCUUAGAAAGCUUCCACUCGAUUCCAACAGUGCAAAAGAGCGUAAAUUUGUAAUUCGUGGAGAAGAAGACUGGUGGAACCGACUUCAAUGGGAGGAUGAAGCCACUCAAAUUGCUUUUCGUUCCUGUUUCCAACCUGAUUCCUGAGCGGUGGUCGCAAAAUUUGAUUUCUGGUGAGUGCGUUUGUCUUUUAAAAGAAGAAUUUAAAAGAAAUUUAUUCUUGACGUUUUCUUCACUGUUUUUAUUUCAGUCUCUCUCUCUCUCUUUUUGUCUUCUGCUAAUCACAAUUAAAUGUUGAAUUAAUGGAAUUAAUGCUUCAUAAAUUUGCCGGCACUGCCAUUACUUUUUUUUUUUUUAAUACAAAUUGAUACUUUAUUUAUAUCUUCUUAGCGAUUUAAUUUCCUGUCAAUUGACGAACGAGAAGAACAUAUGACUUGAACCAAUGCUCGCAUAAACUUGCUGUAAAAAGAUAUAAUCUCACUGAAAUGCACACGCCUAGAAUGAAUAGAAUUAAAACAGGGAAAAUAUUAAGUAUAUUAGCCCUCUUUACCGAAAAUCAAAUGACAAUAAAUUUUUUGAAGUUUUGAUUUUCUAUGGUCAAUUCCACCUUUUGCAAUUUCUUCUGUUCUAACAAAAACCAAUUUCUUUGUUCAAGUAUUUUCGUUUGGGUAUUAAUAAUUCUCCACCGAAAGAGUGAACUCUUGCUCAAGGGAUCUCUAAUCAAUAGCCGGAAGGGCGCCGAGACCUGAUCGGACCUAGGCCCAAGUUUGGUCUUAAAGCCUGGGCUUGAGCCUGGCAAUUAAAUUAAAACAGUAAUUGAUUUCUUGAAUGAAUUGUCGUGUAAUUGAUUUAUGGGGGAUGACACAUCAACAUACUUGAAAAUACACUAAUCUCAGCAUCAUCCGUUAAUAACUUUUAGAUUUAUGGGCAAUCAAUAGUUAAAUUAGUUGUCAUUAAUACUAAAUAAUUUUUACUUUUUUUGUCUCUUCUAGAGGAUCUUCUAGAAAAAUGCAUCCACAAUUAAAUUUAAUACUUUACAUAAUAAAGAAAGCAUAAAUGUUAAAUUUAAGAAACUGCAUUGUAUUUCAGCUGAAGUUGACUUUAAUAUUUAGGGUAGAAAAAAAUUAAAUCCUUAAUGUGUUUAAUUUCUAUCACUUGUGUCAUUAAAAUUUUCUAGUCACCCUAACCAAUUACAUCUCAACCCACUUUUUUUUGGAUGAUUUUAUUUUUACACUAUUAUUUUCAACAUUUUUUUUUCCUUUUAACACCAACAUUAGUGUAUGUUACGUAACAUAAUCCAUAUUUGGAUAAUUUGAAAUUUGUUUGUGUUUUAUCUCAAAAUAGAGCUUCAAUCAAUUUGUACCUCAUAAAUUCACAAUAUCUGGCAUAUUGUCAAAUGUGCUUAUCCUUUUGCUUGACAUGUCAUUUUAAAAUUGUCAUUCAAUGUCAAAAAAUCACAUCAACUAAUGGCCGACUACUUUAAUUUGAAAGCAUGCGUGCGAUCGCCAAUAAUUAUAACUUAAUUGUUAUAUUGAAAUUUUUUUCUUUAUAAUUUAAGUUUAAUACUGCUACAUGUGUGGCACAUAAGUUGGAAAAUAUAACAUAAAAUUUGAAAAAUGUGUAGUUUUCGUUCCUUUUUUUUCUAAAAAAAUGGGAAAAAAGAAUGUAAUUUUGUUUAAAUUACUGUUGUCAUAACAAUUAUUAUUUUAUUGAUUAAUUGGCAGAGAAUCGUAAUGGUUUCGCAUGGUUGUUAAAACAUUGGAAAGUCCACUACAUCAUCGGUUAAUAACUUUCAGAUUUAUGGUUAAUUAAUAGCUGAGAUUUAUUAUCAUUAAUGCUAAAUAUUUUUUCUCUCUCCUGGAGGAUCAUCCACAGGCAGGUGCUUCCUGACGAUGACAAAAUUUUGGGCAGGCAGGUGCUUCCUGACUUUCACACGGUAAUUCUCAAAUUCUGAUUUCACCAUAUUUUAAUUACUGAUUAGCAUAUAUUCAAGUGCUCUCCAUUAUAAUGGAAGCCGCCGCCUCACUCGUAAUUCCAAACUUUAUCUUUUUUUCCUUUUUUAAAUUAAUGCAAGUAGCCGCUGUCCUUUCUAUUAAUUAAUUAAUUCGGCCGCCCACAUUUCUUUUCCUAAUGUCUUCUACUGUCGAGUUUAUUUUAUUUUCUCUUUAUUAUUAAAAUAUACUUAUAAUAAUAAAAAAAUAAAAAUUAACAUAUCAAAAUAUAAUUUAACAGAAAAUUAAGAUAAAAAAUUAAAAAUAAAUAAAUUAUGAGCAUAUCAAUCAAUAAAUGAAAAAUAAUAAUUUUUAUUUUUAUUAAAUAUAAAUUUUUCAGUAUUAAUCAAUUAUCUGAAUAAAUAAAAUCAUUUAAAAAUAAAUAAAUAAAUUAUUCUUAAAAAAAAAAAAAAAACUUUUUAUAACACUCACUAUGCUGGUUGUAGGGUUGACGCUUUGGGUACUGAAGCUAGUAACUUCUACAAGUAGUCUUAAGUUGACUGGCAACAACUAUAUUGGCAUUUAGAAAUAAUGUACUGCAACCAUAUUGGCAUGUUCAAAUGUUCUUAUUAUUGUAUUGGUGUGUCAAUAUUAUCUCUAACGGUUUUAUAAAUAAAAAAAUAAUCUAAAUUUAUAAUUUAACAUAAAAUAAAAUAAUUGGUAGAAAAACAAUUAUGGUUCAUUUACUUAUCAGUAAUCAGAAUAGACUGAAAUCGAAAUGAGUUGUAUUACUGUUGAUGUGUUUAUGUUGUACUCGAAUCGAAAUGAAUUAUUUUAAAUUACUAAAAUAUCCUUGGUCUGUUAUUCUAAUUAUUAUUAUUAUUUAAUAUUUAUUAUAAUAUUUUUCAUAUCAUUAAAAAAAAAUAAUAAUGAUGAUAAUAUUCUCAUUAUUGUUUGUUACAUUAUUAUUAUUCAAAAAAAUUAUUGUUAAUAACAAUAAUUACUUUAUUUCAAUAAUAAUAAUGAUAAAAUUAAUAAUAAUAAACAUGACAACAACAAUAAUUAUUUAUUAUGCCAAAAAAUAACAAUAAUAAUAAGAAUAAUAAUCAUCAUCAUUUUUUUGCCAAAGAAGCAUUAUCAUCAUCAUUUCAAAAAAAAAAUCAUCAUCAUCAUCAUCAUUUUUGUAGUGGCUACCUAUCGGCUGCUGCUUUCAUGUGAGAUUGACUUGCGACGCUUCAACGGCUAUUAUUUCUGACAAUGUCAGGUGUUGCUAUUUCAAUUUAGGAAGAAGUUGUUUCGGUGUGCUAGCGAUGGGAGAUGUUGUGGCUGCGAUUCGGGGAGCUACUAGUUUAUUGCACUAAUAACGGCAGGUGCUGUUGCUUGAUGCGAGGUCCAUGGCCAGUUGUCAGCAGUUCGACUUUGGUAUGGGUGCUGCUGGUUCGAUUUUAGGUGUUGUCCAAUUUCAUUUUCAGGAUUUUAAUUUUAUUUUUCUUUUAUAUUUUCAUUAAUUAAUCAGGGUAAAAUUGGAUUUUAGAAUUUAGAAUGAAGGUAAUUUUGUUAAUAAUGGAAAUGAGAUUCUGAUUGUCGAGAAUGAGCUUACACAAACAACUAUAAAUUAAGUGAAAACAAAACACUUUUUCUCUUUGUGUGAUUAAAACAUGAUAUGUACCAUAAAUAAAUAAGUAAAAAAUAAAUCAACACAAUCUAAAACAGUAAACAAAUUACAAGAGGCACAGAUUUUUAUGUGAAACACCGAAAAUGGAAAAAACCACAGCAUCUUAGUUUGAUAUAAUCUUCUACUAUAUUAAUGGGAUUAUAGCACAAAUUCUUUCCUAUAUAACACUAGAGAUUAACAACAUCAAGAAUCUCAAUAAUCUUGACUUACAAUACAGCCUAAUAUUUGUCUCUCUAAUAAGUAGAUAUCUAAAAUAACAGUCUCUAAUAAGUAUGUAUCUAAAAUAAUAGUCAACAAGAGGAUAAAACAAAAAUUAAGAUUAGUAGGAUGUGUAUAAGGUGAUGCUAUCAAUUUAUCUUCUAAAUUUGAGAAAAAUAGUUAAAUUCACUUUUUCGAUUGUCCGACCAAAAAUGGAAACCCUUGCCCCAAAACCAAAGGAAUCACCAUUAUGUUUUUCUCUCUCUCUCUCUCUAUCUCGUUCUUUUCUUCUUCUUUUCUUAAUGUUAGCCAUCACUUGCUUUUAUUCUUUAUAGCAUUCAAAAAGCUACUUUUAAUGGUAAAUUUCAUUUAAGUCUGCAACUUAGUGAUAAUUGCACACCAAACAAUCCUUACAUAGUGUUUUGGGCCCUCAAAUGAGAUGAAUACAACAAAUCUCCCCCUUUAAAUCAUGUGGGGGGCACCGCAAGCCCGCUAUUUGCAUAUAGCUUUUCAGCUUCUCCUUGAAUAAUGACUUUGUCAUCAUACAUAAUCCAUUCUUCGUUGUGUAAAUCUUCUCAAGCUGUAACUGUUCCUUCUCAAGCUGUAAUUAUUCCUUCUCAAGCACGUCUCGUAUCUAAUGAUACCUUACAUCAAUAUGCUUAGAUUUCGAAUAGUAUAACAGCACUCUGACUAUCGUAGUACAUAACAUAGCUGUCUUGUUUUACACCCAGCUCUUGUAGGAAAUUCUUCGUCCACAAUAUUUUUUUGCAACCUUCAAUAAUUGUAAUAUCAUUUGCUUUAGUGGUAGAAAAGGCAACUUAUUACUAAAGUUUAGAUUGCGAUGAGACUGUUCCCCCUGCAAAAGUGAGCAAACAUCCUAGUAGGAAUUUUUCGGAAUCAACAGCUCCUGCCAUAUCUACACACUUGUAACACAGGUUUGUCACCACCAAAAUAUAAACAUGCUCUGGAAAUGCAUCUAAGAUAUCUGAGAAUUUUUCACUGUUGUCCAGUGCUCUUUACCGAGGUUGAAGAGAAACCACUGACUACACUAACUGUAUAGGCAAUAUUUGGUCUUGUACAAAUUAUGGCGUACAAUAAACUGCCAACUGCUGAAGCAUAAGGAACUCCUCUCAUGGAGAAAUGGGUUUUACUCUUGAGAUUUUUGGGACCAUGAAGAAUAAAGAUGUAAUUUCUUAUACUGCCAUUGUUUCGGGAUAUAUAAAUAGAGAACAAGUCGAUAUAGCUCGACAGUGUUUUGAUCAGAUGCCAGAACGAGAUUAUGUCUUAUGGACUACCAUGAUUGAUGGGUACCUUCGAGUGAAUAGGUUCAGAGAGGCUUUGACACUUUUUCAGGAGAUACAAACUUCAAAUAUAAUGGGAGACGAGUUUACCAUUGUUAGCAUUCUUACAGCUCGUGCGAAUCUGGGGGCACUAGAACUGGGAGAAUGGAUAAAGACUUAUAUUGACAAAAACAAAGUCAAGAAUGAUAUAUUUGCGGGGAAUGCUUUGAUAGACAUGUACUGUAAAUGUACUGUAAAUGCGGAGAUGUUGAGAAAGCUCAAAAGGUAUUCAGGAAGAUGCUUUGAAAGGUCAAAUUCACAUGGACGACCAUGAUUGUUGGCCUUGCCAUCAGUGGAAAUGGUGAUAAAGCUCUUGAUAUGUUUUCCCAAAUGCUCAGGGCUUCGAUCAAACCAGAUGAGGUAGCUUAUGUUGGUGUUCUGUCUGCCCGUACUCACAAUGGUAACGAAACUUUUGUGAUAAAUAGUUGCAACUUAAGGUGAGAACUGGAGGAAGGGAAAUAGAUUGAAGUUGUUCAAUCAUCAGUAGUUGCUACUUGGUUUUAAGUUGUUCAAUCAUCGGUCGUCUCUAUUUGGUUUUCUCCAAUAUCUCAUCUUCAAUUUUGACUCAGAUUGUAUCUUACCACUAGUAAUUACAUAGACUUGCUGCCAAAGGUAAGAAUGGGAAUAAAUUAAAUAGAUUAUGUCGAAAACGAAAUAAAUUUACUAUUGUUCUGUUCAUUCUAUUUGUUUCCUACAAAAUAUUUCUCCUGCCUAAAAUUUUUUGAAUCAGUAAGUUUUUACCUUAUGGAUGAAUUGUGUUGAGAGUAAUUCCAUUUCUCAGUCUCUUUAUGUUUCAAUGAAGACGUAAAACUUGUGUUCUAGUGCACCAACGUUUAUGCUUCUUACAAUUUGACUUUAAUUUACUUUGUAAAAUUUUUGUCAAAAAGUACUAAAAAGUAGUGCACCAAACACCAACUUUAUUACAGAGAGGACUUUAGUUAAAUUUUAAGAAAACACUCAAAAGAAAGAGUUGUAAAUUAUUAUAAAAAUAUUUCACAUAAAUAAAAGCCAUCCCAUGCUGCAAAGAUCUUGCUAUAAUCACCAAAAACUAUCGGGAGCUUUUAGGGUUUCCAUAAAAAUGCCAUUUCGUUCCAUGUAUAUGAUUCUAUAGUCUCACUGGCAAGUAAACCACAGCCCAACAGCACUGACUGUCCAUGAUGAUUCACCCCAAUGAACGAAACCAGCGUUGCAUCAUAUCUUUCUGUCAAGCAUGUAAUAUCAAUUGAUUUGAGCUAUUAACAUCAUUUCCAAAUACUCCAUUGGCAUCUACAUUACCAUUUCCCUCGGCAUCAAUGAUAAGAGUUCGAAACAGUCUAAUCUUUUGAACUUCUUCAGCACCAUCUAAGAGCAAUGUUCUUUUGGUUCCAAUACCCAUGUGCUUAUGAUAUUUGUAAAAUAAUUAUUUGUAAAAUAAUUAGUUCAAUUUUGACAUAAUACGGAAUAAACACAACCUGCCAAUCUAAGUUACUAUCUUUUCCCGUCAUCAGGUACCUGUUUGAAAAAUAAUUAUAUACAAUUUUAUUUGCGUCGUCCCUCUAAAAAUUUGGGACUCAAAUGUUAUUUCUAAUUGCUAAAAGUACGAAAUUGCCCCCUUUCUCUUCAGCUAAAGGAGUGCAAAGUCAUCUGUAUAAUUGAAUCUGCAUCAUCAGUUUCUAUUGCUGGCUGGUGUUACUGCAUGCUUACAGUUGCUUGACAAAGUGAGCCAGUUUUUUGUUUAUUAAUUUUUUUUCUUGUCGAGACAGUCACAAAGUAUUACUUGUUCUAUUUGAGAAUGAUGUGAAUCAAUUUUUCAAUUAUGCAUUCUGUGGUAAUUAUUGUGAAUUUAGUUUCAUUUGUCUUGUCUCCUGCAAAUUUUGAAGAAAAUGCAGACAUACAAAUUUACAAUAUGUAUUUGCGUUAGUAUAAAAACAAUUGUUAGAUGAUUAAAGCGAUUUAUUUUUUUUUUUACAGCAUUUGAUUGUAUUAGUUAAAAUCAUUUUUUAAGGAUAAAAAUAAAUAGAAAAUUAUUCUCAUGUAGUGUGGAAAUCUUUUCUAAUUUCUUGUUGACUUGUACAUUUAUUUCAGAAUUUCCAUUCAUUAAUUCUACUGUUUUAAUCUUUGACUUAGCUACCGUAGUUGACUUUUUAUAUCAAAGGCUUAAACAGCAUGCAUUUUUGAAUUGACUGAGAAUAAUUUGGUGGACAAAUUACUAGUAAAGGACUUCAAAUGGUUGAAUUGACUGUGGGUUUUUCAUGCCCAAGUCACUCGUCACGUCGUUUCAUCGAAACAAAGUGCCCGGUGCAAAUGGUGUGAUGUAAAACACCUUUUUAAAUUGUCAUUUUUUUUCCUUUGCUUUUGCUUUAAUUUUCUAAAUGCUCAACGCCAUAAAUCCAUGUAUUCUUAAUUUUCGUUUGCUGUAUUGAUUCCCAACCCUCUAUGUCACAAGGUUUUGAAUGCCAGUAAUUAAGUUAAAUUAAACAUAUUUUAAGUCCUACUUUAAAUUAUUGAAAAAUGUAUUAUGGUUGAACUGAAUUUUAACUAAAAAAUAUAUACAAAAUAAAAGAUUAAUCAUAUCUUUUUAUGAGGAAGGUCAGUCAUCAUUCUGACCACAGACACUUAAAAUUAAUUGAGUGGAAUAUUGCAAAAUAUAUAUAAACCAUGCCAAAACUAGAUGUUUGAGUAAUGAAAACGAGAAUUCAUAUGACUCAGAAAUAUGGUCGCUUUCCUUUUUCUGAAAGGCAAAAAAAAAGGGGGAACCAAAAAGGACCAAAAUGAACAAAAAUGGAAGGCGAAGGUAAGCAGACAUGUUAUAUGUUUUACCUAAGAUGCCAAAUGCAACUCCCCAUUGAUGGUGAUCGAACAUUAUGGCCAUUUUCUUAGUAAACAAAAAAUGAAUUUUGAACACUCAACAACGAAACUUGAGCAGAAGAUCAAGCAAGGGCCUCGAUCUCAAAGAAGAUACUAUGAAACCCUACUUAAUGGUUAAAUAACUUUCAUUCAGCUUUGGACCCUAUUUCGUGAUACGGAAAGACAAACCUUUCUUGGCCGGCAGUGUCCCAGAUCUGGGCUUUGAUGAUCUAGAGGUUGAUGGUGACAGUUCUGGUUUGGAACUCGACGCCAAUGGUUUAUUUCGAUUCAAAGCAAAACUCAUUCUUGGUGAAUCUCGAAAGAAUCUGAGACUUGCCCACGGCCGAGUCACCGAUCACCACUACCUUGAAUACAUAGUCUAUUUUGUCAGGAAUCAUAUUCUCUCGUUGUUGAUGACGAUGAUCGGUGCCAUCACCACUCAUUUCUUCGUUCAUUCAUUCUAUGUCCAUUGAUCUUUUUGAAUUAUUGAAGACAAGUGGCUCACCGCUUUUAGUAUUGGUAAAAUUCAGAUAAUCUCUAUUCCGAAAUAAUAAUAUUAAAAAUAUCUCUUAAAUCAUUAUAAACUUCAAAUCUAUUUUAAUUUUAUUUAAAAGAUAAAAGAAAAAUAAGUUAUGUUGGUGAUUUUUUAUUAUCUUUUUAAUAAAAAUAGAAUAAAUUGAUGUUUAUAAUUAUUUAAAGUAUUUUAAAGAUUGCUAUUUUAUGAGAGAAUAAUAUUUCAUUUUUUUUUUCGUGUGAAAGACCGAAAAAGGACAAAGCAAGUUUCCCUAAUUUUUAUUUUAUGUGAAAUUGGUCAUCUCAUAUACUUUACCCUUCAACACUCUAAUUUUUUUGGUUAUAAUUUUAUUAUUUUUUCUCUUUUACACAUGCAUGUGAAUUACUUUUCUUUAAGCUCCUGAAUAUUUAAGACAAAUCAUGGAAGAGAUGAGAGUAUAACAAGAUGAUCAAAAUAUGUAACAAAAAAAUUUUAGAAGUGAAAAAUAUGUUAGAGUCGAAGUAAAACUCUGAGGUGAUGUUUGAUUUGAAGAAAAUGGAGGAGAGAAAAAGAGUGGAAUGGAGAGGAAAAGAGAGAAAAGGAGAGGAGAGGAGAGGAGAGUGAACUUUUUUUCUAAUGUUUGGUUUGUCACAUAAAUAUACAAAGAAAGGAAAUCUCCAAUUUUUUAUUUAGACAAUUUUAACCUUAAUAAGUAUUAAGCUUUCAAUAUUUAUCAUGUGUAUAAUUUAAAAAAAGUAAAUGGUAGAAAGCGGUUUCUGAUUCCGGCCACAUCGCCGGCAAUGGAAGGUACUUAUCAGAACAUCAAGAACCGGCCAUCAUUCCCUAGCCAUCACUGCUGUAGGAACACUGCUAAAAAGCUGCCGAUUGAACCGCGAAAAGUCGUGGAAAUCGUUGCCUCAAAUCGGUGAGUUUCGCCUUUUUCUGGUCAUGCCGUCGCCUUGGCUUUGUCCAUCAACGCUGCCACUUCCAUUUCAACCAUCCAUAGCCACUAUUAACCGCCAAAUCGCCGCCGAUCAGCGGGAUCUGUGGAAGUUAAAAAGUUUCUAAAAUUUUUUAAUUGGAUUUGAACAACAUACAACCAUUUUUUGAUCUCAAUAACGACAUAGUAAUGUUGAUCGUUGGUCGGCAAGUCGAAUGGUAGUGGCGGUGAGUAACACGCGCCAAUGACAUCGGCGGCGGCGGCGGCACUAUCCGGCUACUGUUAAAAUUAAUAUUUUAUAUUUGUAGAUUAAAUAAAUUUAUUUUAUUAAACUUUUUAAAUCAUUAUUUAAAUUUAAUUAAUUUAAAAUUAUCUAUGAUGUUGAAUUGAUAAAAUAAAUUUAUAAAUAAUAAUUAUGUGAUUACAUUAAAUAAGUUAAAAAGUUGAAGGGUUAUUUUUGGAAGAUUUAGUUUCCAACACAAAGGGAAUUUGAAUUCUUCACUUCUUAGUGUGGAAUUCAAAUUCUAUAUUGUAAUGGAUAUUAAAUUCCAAUAGAAAUUAAAUUCUUAUAAGUUAUGUCAAACCAAACAACGGAAAUAAAAAAAAAGAAUUUAAAUUACUUUCCUUUCCUCCACCCUCUCCUUCCAACCAAAUACAUCCUGAAAAUAGAGAUAUUGAUUAAUUUAGAAGAGAUGCAAGCAAAAGAUAUUCCACAAAAAAAAAAAAGCAAUAUGUCCCUUUGGAGGGCAAACUUGUCAGUUUUAAAAAAGUACAUGCUUUGGAUUGAUAGUUGUAGGAUAUUUGUUUUGUCACUAUGUGUUAGUUGGAGAAGUCAAGCCUUGUGAAGAAUGUUAUGAAAGAGCAAAGGAUAUUCCUGAUAGCUGAUAGAGCUCUAUUUGAUUAUGUAUCCAAUGAAUGGAUGUGUUGUUGGAAGAUAUUUGAGUGCAUUAGUUCAUAUGUGUCUAUCAAUGUGAUUUUAAUGAUUUUUCCACUUGUUUGUUGUAAAAGAUUAUUGUAAAUUGAAAUGAACUUGAUGUUGUAAUAUUUUCUCCUUAGUAGAAUUUCACCUAGUAUGUAUUUAGUUGUGUUGUCUAUAAUUUUGCAUUCGAAUAAGUUUCACCUAAAAUAUUAGCAUGAGUAGUGGCCCUUGAAACUUUGGUCAAAAUUAUUGUUAUUAUUUCCGACUAGAUGUAAAUUUUUUAUUAAAUCUCGCUAACACAAUUCUUAAUUAAAAGUAUAGGUUAGUGUUGGUGCAAGACUUGCCACACCAAAUUCUGCCUAACUGUCAAAAGUGCAAAAUAAAUGAAGAGAAAGCACAAAUACACGACUUGAAUAAGGAUACAACGAAACUUAAAUUCAAGAGAAAAUGAUAGCUAUAUCUCAAGAUUUGAAAAAACGGUCAUGUAGAUUUUUAAGAUUUCAAUAAGCGACUGAGAUUCAAAUAAUAUCCUUUAAUUCUAUUAACAAAAAACAAAGACUCAAAUAUUUUAUGAUAAAUAAAAAUAUAAUAUUAAAAUAUAUGUGAUAAUAUACACAUUUUAAAUACUUUCAAUCCAAAAAAAUAGUUAUGUUUUACAAUCUAUUAGACAUAUUUUAUUAAAUUAAUAUAAAUUUUCUAUAAAAUAAGAAUAUAAUAUUAAAAUAAAUUCACAAAAAUUUAAAGAAUUUUGAAUGUAAAAUAAUUUUAAUAUAUCAAUACGUGAGUUUUUUUAUUAAUAUAAAAUUUAUUUAACUUUAAGAUUUUUUAAAAUCUUUACAAUAAGUAUAACUAUAUUAUUUACAUUUAAAAAUAUUUAAAUAUUAUUAACCUACAAUUAUAUUUGCAUUUGUUAGAAAUUUUUUAAGUCAAAUAUUUUGCACUUCUAUAUUAUUAGAAUUAUUGCACAAAAAGAAAGAAACAUACACCUUUAGAAAUUGUUUUCUUUUAAAAUAGAGAUGAUGAUUAGUAUAAGGAUGAAAAAAAGGAUAAAGAAUAUUAAUGAUUAACGAAAUCUCUAUACAAAUUGAUUUUAGUAGGAAAAGAGUGAGAUGAAUGAUUUCUUUUACAGUUAGAAACAUAGAUGAUGAUUAUUAUAACGAAGAAAAAAAGAUAAAGAAUAUUAAUUAUUAAUGGAAUCUCUAUACAAAUUGAUUUUAGUAGGAAAAAAAUGAUUAAAUGAUUUAGAGUGCGUUUGGAAUUGAGAUUGGGCAGCCAUAGAUUUUAAGUUACAACACUGAAGUGUUUAGUAAAUACUAGUUGCUGCAGAUUGAAAGUUAUGUUGAUAUGAUUUUUCACAUGUAUCAUAGAAAAUAUAUUACAUCUUUAAUAUUUUUUAAAAAUUUAUAUUUGCUAUAUAUUAUUAAUUUUUUUUUAUAGUUAUAACUUUUUUUCCACAACAGUUGUAGCUUAAAAGUCACAGCACCUCAAUCUCAAACAAAUCCUUAGACAUUCAUAGUGUGUUUAUUUUUUGGAUUGGUGAAUCAAAAUUAUUGACAACGCUAACUUCAUCUUCACUGUUCGCAAUCCAACAGCAGCAAUUGUCGCCAAUAAUGAUAUCUCCAAUGAUGAUGACAAUUAUUAUUAUUAUUUUUAUUAUUAUUAUUAUUAUUAUUAUUAUUAUUAUUAAUUAAUUAAUUAAUUAAUUAAUUAAUUAAUUAAUAUAUUAAUGUUGAUAUUAUUAUUAUUAAGAUUAACAAUAAUUAUUAGUAAUACAAUUUUUUGAAUAAAAAUAAUCACAAUAAUUAAAAUACAAAUUAAUAAUUAUGACAAUAAUUAAUUAAUGUCUUUUUAGUAAUUUGUAAUAAUCUAACUCAUUUUGGUUCUGAUUAUUACAGCUUAAGUAAACAAAUUAUUAUGAUUCCUAUUCUCCUUUCCCAUUUUAACUCACUUUGAUUCCAGUCUAUUCCGAUUUCUAUUUAAUAAAUGCACCAUUAGUGCUAAAGUAAUAUUUCAUACAUAGAAAAAUAAAAACUACGCCUAAGGUUAAGGGAAAAGACUUCAAAAUUCUCUUUUGAUCAUAAUACAUUUUGUCCUAAUUAACUUAAAGAUUUUGAAUCUAAUAUUUUAUAAUAAAUAAAAAUAUAUUCCUAAAAUAAAUAUAAUAUCAAUAUUUAAAAUAUGUUUUAAUAUUUUACAAUCUAUCAUACACAUUUUAUUAUAUUAAAGUAGAUUUAUAAUAAAUAUAUAAAAAUUUAGAAUAUUUAGAAUAUUAUAUAAAAUAAUUUUAAUAUAAUGCGUGAUAUAUAUUUUAUUAAUUUAAAAUGUCAUUUUACCUAAAAAAUAUGAUAAAUUAAUAAUUACAUAUUUGAAGUUAUUUCAAAUAUUAAAAAAAUUUAAUAUUAUUAAUCUUUUAGAUAGAUUAAAUUAUUUUUUAUAAGAGAGAUUAAAUUAUUUUAAAAUGCCUUAAUUGUUUUUACUUUUAACGUUACGGGCCUUUCUUUUAUUUUAUUGCAAAUUAAUGCUAACUAGAAAAACAAAAACAAAAGUGACAAACACAACCAGCUGGAAUCUUUUAUAAAACUACAAAUUAAAAUGGAUUUUUUUUUUUUGUUGAUAAAUUACACAUGAAAGUGGAUUCUUUUGAAUAUAAGUGGGGUAGGCUCUUUUAUUUUUUUUUUAAUACCGUAUAACAGGACUGUAGACUCUUUUAUUAAGCACAAAUAUAGAGUUGUCGAGACAAUUAGGGUCUUUUAUUAAACUACAAAUUGUAUAGUCUUUUUUAAAUUGUUCAGAUAUUUAUAAAUUGGUGGCCCCUACAAUCCUCAAUAAUUGUACCGAUAUUCACAAGCUGGUGGCCCCUACAAUCCUUAAUAAUUGUUUUUUUUUUUUUCUGCAUUCCCUUUCAUGCUCUUAAUAAUUAAAGAGCAUACUUUUCAAAUGUGGAGCCGCGGCUAAUGUCGCUAAUUUAAUUUGGGAUUAAAUUAGGGGACUAUUAUAUUGCAGUGUGCACUAAUUUUUAUGUUUAUCUAAACUCCUUAAAUUUAAGAUAUAUUAUGGCAUAAAUAAGAAUAUAACAAUAGCAAAAGAGUUAGAAAGUGUAGAGAAGAUCUUGCAGAAAUAUAAAUAAUAUUUAUUUUAAAAUAAUAUCAAUAUUUAAAAUAAUUUUUAUUAUUUUAUGAUCCAUUAGAUAUAUUUUAUUAUAUUAAAGUAAAUUUUAUAAUAAAUAAAAACAUACUAUUAAAAUGAAUAUAUAGAAAAUUUAGAGUAUUUUAAGUAUUAUAUAAAAUAAUUUUAAUAAAAUAUGUGAGAUAUUCAUAUUUUAUUAAUUUAAAAUACCAUUUAACCUAAAGAUUUAUUUAUGAUAAAUUAAUAAUUAUAUUUUUGAAAUUACUUCAAAUAUUAAAAAAAUUAAUAUUACUAAUCUAUUAGAUAGAUUAAAUUAUAUAUAUUAUUUUCUAUUUAUUAAAAAAUUUCAAAUUAUUUUUAAUUACUAUUCAAAAAAUAUGAUGAUAAAAAAAUCUUAACAUCUUUAUUAAAAAAUUAAAAACUUACAUGAUCAAUUCUCUAAAUAUUUAGGGUAUAUGUGAACCACGGUGGACAGAGGUCAUUACUAAAAUUUCUCUUCCACAGGCAAUUACAGCAGCUCCAGUUUAUCAAACUCAACCAAUUUUCUUUCUUAACAAAAUUCCAAAGAUGUGUAGCUUUUUUCAGAUCACAUGCGAUGGUGCUUUUUUCAAUCGUUGCUUGGAUUGCUUUCUUGGAAAAGCAGCAUACAUACGUAACCUCCAAGAUAAUCUUGAUGCCUUGGACACUGAACUGGGAAGACUAAUCGCAGCAAAGAACGAUGUGAUGAUUAGGGUUGUCAAUGCUGAACGGCAAUAAAUGAGAAGGCUGGACGGAGUGCAAGUGUGGGUUUCGAGUGUGGAUGCUGUUAAAACUGGAGCCGAUGAACUUAUCACAGACGGCUCUGAAGAAAUUGGCAAAUUAUGUGUUGGAGGCUACUGUUCCAAGAACUGCAGGUCAAGCUACAAAUUCGGAAAACAAGUGGCUAGAAAGCUACGAGAUGUGGAGACUUUAAUCGCCGAAGGAGUUUUUGAGGCGGUGGCUACUGAGGUGGUGCCUGAGAGAGCUCCAGAGCCUGUAGCAGAUGAAAGACCUACCGAGCGAAAAGUAGUAGGCUUGCAAUCACAACUUGAACAAGUCUGGACGUGUCUUGUGGAAGAAUCAGCGGGAAUCAUUGGCCUAUACGGUAUGGGCGGUGUUGGUAAAACCACACUAUUGACCCAUAUCAACAAUAAAUUUCUCGAGAGUCCAACCAACUUUGAUUGUGUGAUUUGGGUAGUAGUUUCAAAAGACCUGCGACUUGAAAAACUUCAAGAAGAUAUUGGGAAAAAGAUAGGUUUGGUUGGUGAUUCAUGGAAGAGUAGAAGUGCAGAGGAGAAAGCUCUCGACAUCUUCCGGAGUCUAAGAGGGAAGAGAAUUGUAUUGUUGUUAGAUGAUAUAUGGGAGCGGGUUGAUUUAACAAAAGUGGGCGUUCCACUUCCUGGACCACAAAAUACUACCUCAAAAGUCGUAUUCACAACNNNNNNNNNNNNNNNNNNNNNNNNNNNNNNNNNNNNNNNNNNNNNNNNNNNNNNNNNNNNNNNNNNNNNNNNNNNNNNNNNNNNNNNNNNNNNNNNNNNNNNNNNNNNNNNNNNNNNNNNNNNNNNNNNNNNNNNNNNNNNNNNNNNNNNNNNNNNNNNNNNNNNNNNNNNNNNNNNNNNNNNNNNNNNNNNNNNNNNNNNNNNNNNNNNNNNNNNNNNNNNNNNNNNNNNNNNNNNNNNNNNNNNNNNNNNNNNNNNNNNNNNNNNNNNNNNNNNNNNNNNNNNNNNNNNNNNNNNNNNNNNNNNNNNNNNNNNNNNNNNNNNNNNNNNNNNNNNNNNNNNNNNNNNNNNNNNNNNNNNNNNNNNNNNNNNNNNNNNNNNNNNNNNNNNNNNNNNNNNNNNNNNNNNNNNNNNNNNNNNNNNNNNNNNNNNNNNNNNNNNNNNNNNNNNNNNNNNNNNNNNNNCAGGAAGUCCUAGUGCGUGCUAUCAGAAAAGAUGCUGGGAACUGUUUCGCGAAAAUGUUGGGGAAGAAACUCUUGAGAGUGAUCAUGAGAUCGUUGAGCUAGCCCAAACUGUGGCCAAAGAGUGUGGUGGUUUGCCACUCGCACUUAUUACUAUUGGUCGAGCUAUGGCCUACAGAAAGAAAGCGGAGCAGUGGAGACGUGCAAUUGAAGAGUUAAGAAGAUCAGCUUCAGAGUUUGCAGGUUUGGGAAAAGAGGUGUAUCCUCUUUUAAAGUUUAGCUAUGAUAGUUUGCAGAAUGAUACAAUUAGAUCUUGUUUCUUGUAUUGUUGUUUAUAUUCUGAAGAUUAUGGCAUUCUUAAAUGGGACUUGAUUGAUUGUUGGAUUGGUGAGGGAUUUUUGGGGGAAUCUGACAGGUUUGGUGCAGAAAACCAAGGAUAUGACAUUUUGGACACUCUUGUUCGUGCAUGUUUAUUAGAAGAGGUGGAAGAAGAUGAAGUAAAAAUGCAUGACGUUAUUCGUGAUAUGGCUAUAUGGAUAACCAGUGAAAUUGAGAAGGAGAAGAGAAACUUUUUGGUUUGUGCAGGUGCUGGAUUAGAAGAGGCACCGGAUGUUAAAGAAUGGGAAAAUGUGAGAAGAUUGUCAUUGAUGCAAAACCAAAUUGAAACUCUGUUUGGGGUUCCCACAUGCCCUCAUCUCAUCACUUUAUUUAUUGACUUUAAUAGGGAGUUGAAGACUAUCGCGGAUGGCUUCUUCCGAUGUGUGCCUUCUCUCAAAGUUUUGAAGAUGUCAAACUGUGGAAAGCCUUAGAAAGGUUUGGAAUUACCUUUGGGGAUGUCAAAGUUGGGUUCACUACAACUUCUUGAUAUUUCACACACCUGCAUACAAGAAUUACCACAAGAAUUAAAGUUGUUGGUAAAUCUGAAAUGUUUGAAUUUGAGGCGGACAAUUUGGUUAAAUAAAAUUUCAUGGCAACUAAUAUCAAAAUUUUCAAGGUUACGUGUGUUGAGAAUGUUCGCUACUGGCUGGUUCAGUUUUCAUGAAGCACCAGAAGACAGCGUUUUAUUUGGUGGGGGUGAAGUUUUGAUACAGGAAUUGCUCGGUUUGAAAUAUUUAGAGGUAUUGGAGUUGACCUUGGGAAGUUAUCAUGCUCUCCAAAUUCUUUUGAGCUCAAAUAAGUUAAAAAGUUGUAUUCGAUCUCUUUUCCUACAGUUGUUCAGAGAUACAACGUCGAUUAUUGAUGCUACGGCUUUCGCAGAUCUAAACCACCUCAAUCAAUUAUGUAUUAGUAACGGUUCUGAGUUGGAAGAAUUGAAGAUUGAUUAUACGGAGAUAGUACGAAAAAGGCGGGAACCUUUUGUUUUCCGCAGCCUUCAACGUGUUACCAUAGAGGAGUGCCAUAAAUUGAAAGAUUUGACAUUCCUCGUUUUUGCUCCAAACCUCAAGUCUCUUUCGCUAUACGAUUGCGGUGCUAUGGAAGAAAUAAUCAGCGUCGGAAAAUUUGCUGAGACUCCUGAGAUGAUGGGACAUAUAAGCCCUUUUGAAAAUCUCCAAAUGCUUUAUUUAAUGGCAUUGCCGGAGUUGAAGAGCGUCUACUGGAAGCCAUUGCCUUUCACUCAUCUGAAAGAAAUGGAGGUACUUGGGUGUGAUCAGCUUAAAAAGCUUCCACUCGAUUCCAACAGUGCAAAAGAGCGUAAAUUUGUAAUUCUUGGAGACACACAGUGGUGGAACCGUCUUCAAUGGGAGGAUGAAGCCACUCAAAUUGCUUUUCGUUCCUAUUUCCAAACCUGAUUCCUGAGCGGUGGUCGCAAAAUUUGAUUUCUGGUGAGUGCGUUUGUCUUUUAAAAGAAGAAUUUAAAAGAAAUUUAUUCUUGUCGUUUUCUUCUCUGUUUUUAUUUCAGUUUGUUUCUCUCUCUCUCUUUUUGUCUUCUGCAAAUCACAAUUAAAUGUUGAAUUAAUGGAAUUAAUGCUUCAUAAAUUUGCCGGCACUGCCAGUACUUUUUUUUUUUUUUAAUACGAAUUGAUGCUUUAUUUAUUUCUUCUUAGCGAUUUAAUUUCCUGUCAAAAGACGAGCGAGAAGAACAUAUGACUUAAACCAAUUGAUACUUUAUUUAUGUGCAUUGUAUGUAAUAAAAUUUUCUCUGUUUUUUUCAAAUUGAGGCUUUAUUUAUAUUUUCUUCGUGAAGAGUGAUUUAAUUUCCUGCCAAAAGACAAACGAGAAGAACAUUAGAGUCAAACUAAUGCUCACAUAAAUUUCCCGUAAGAAUAUAUAUAUAAUUAGACUGGAAUGCACACCUCUAGAUUGAACAGAAUUAAAGCUGAGAAAAUAUUGAGUAUAGUAGCCCUCUUUACAGAAAAUGACGCGAAAGUUAAUUUAGAAAGAUAUAUUCUUGAUUAAUCCAUUUUCUGAAGUUUUUUAUUUUGUAUGGUCAAUUAUACCUUCAUACUAAAAAAAAAAAAAAAAAAGAGAAAAUAUGUAAUCCAUGAAUGGUUAAUUUUGUUUGUUUGUUUUUUUUUCUUAAAUAUCAUUCUUUUUCGGCCACCCAAGGACAUUUUCACAAAUACCUUUUGUGUGCAGAAGUCUUCCAAACCAUCAAUGGAAAAAUAAAAAAUAAAAAAAACACGGUCCAGUAUACCUCAAAAUAUCAUUGAUGACUUUUCUGGUCUAAUGCUAUGUAAAUAGUAUGUUAAGUAAAACAUAAUCAGUUCAGUACCUCACAAAUAAUUCGCAAUAUCUACAAAAUACUAUAAUGGCUACAAAACAAAUCCUGCUUGCAAAUUGUCAAGGAUACCUAUCCGUUCGCUUGACAAGUCAUUUGAAUAAAUAUUGUUCACAUUCCUUACUCUGUCAAUUAUCCAAAGCACCAUCAACUUUAGUUUGAAUAGUAUACAUGCCAUCACCGUUACCAAGAAUCAAGCAUGGAAGGGUCAUUCUAUAGAGUGCAGAACAUGACUCUAUGCGGUAGUCAAUUUGACACACGACGAACACCAUAUGCUGCAUAACAUACAAAUUAAUUUCCCAUAUGUGAUGCAAUUUUCUCCUCAACAUAUGCGCAAUUCUUUCCAUUCCGGCAUUUACACUCAAAUUUUCCUUCCUUUCUCUUUGUGGUUGAAUCUUACACCACAACUCAUGUGAUGCAAUCUCCUCUCGCUGCCUAAAUUGCACUCUCAGCAAAGCAGCAUAUGUAAGCAAGCUUGAAGAUAAUCUUGCUGCUCUGCAGAAGAACGGCAAAAGUUAAUCGAAGCAAGGAAUGAUGUAUCAGAAAAUAUUUGGUGGAGAAUUCAGCACAAACAUAUUUCGGAUGAUCAGAAUCAAUAAAACCUGGUGGUUGUGCCAUAUAAACAUCUUUGGAAAGCUGACCUUGAAGAAAGGCGUUAUUGAUAUCCAAUUGAUGAAGAGGCCAGCCAUGACUAACAUCAAUACUAAGAACAAGCCGUACUGUGGUGGACUUAACAACUGGACUGAAAGUGUCAUAAUAGUCCACACCAGGCCAUUGAUUGAACCCUUUGGCAACAAGAUGAGCUUUAAACCUGUCAACAGAACCGUUGGAAUGUCUUUUAAUACAAAAAUCCAUUUGCAGCCAACAAUAUUGGAAGGGAUGGGAGGUGGAACAAGCUUCCAUGUCCCGUUACGAACAAGAGCAUCAUACUCUUCUGACAUAGCUGGACGCCAGUGAAGAUUUUUGAUAGCUUGCGUCACAGUUGUAGGUUCACAAUCAGAAGAAGGGCUAAAAUGAGCACGGAGGUUAAGUUUUUGUAACGGCUUGUGAAUCUUAUUUUUAGCUCGGGUAGUCAUAUCAUGAUGACUUGUGGGGCAAUGAUCUAGUGGAGUUUAGGAAGAUGAUUGAACAGGAAGUGAAGAAGUGCUUUGUGUAGAGGUAGAAGUAGGUUGGGAGGAUUGCUGCGGAGAUGUUACCGGUAGAGAAGAAGGAGCAGUACACGGUGGCAACUCCAGAGGGCCCACAAUAGAUGGAGUAGGUGCCGACAAUGGAGUACUAGGAAAUGAAACAGGAAGAAUUGGUGGAACACUUGCAUAAUUAGGAGUGGUAGAUGAGCUUGUAAUGAUUUGCAUGGAAAAACAAACUCUACAAAUUUAACGUGACGUGAAAUAAAAAUUUGAAAGGUGGAUGGGUCAAAACAUAAAUAAGCACUUUGAGAUAAAGGAAUAUCCUAGAAAAACACAAGGCUUAGAGGGUGGUUCGAGUUUAUGUGAUGAAACACAAACAUUCAAAAAAUUUUAAGUUUAUAUUAAUUAGGAGUGGUACCAAAAAUUAAUUAGCUAUGGGGUUGUUGGAUGUGUUUUGGAUAUUUACAGUUAAGUUUGAGUAUCUCAACUUAAAAUUUGUAGUUUUCACUUGAAAAAAUUCAGUUAAAUUUUGCAAUGCAGACUGAUUGAUUUAUCAGUUUAACGUGUGCCAGGAAUGAAGAACUGGAAUAUCACCGUCAAGCAAGCACCCUGUGGAGCAAUACCAAAGAAUGCACAAUCUGGCUUUGCUAGGUAACACUGGAGGCUUUUUGAAAAGUGCUUCACGCUCACUUGCACAGAUUGAGCAUCCCCUCUGGAUAUUGCCCUCUCUGAUCGAGUCUGAGCACUCAAAUUUUGGUCCUCAGAGGGAGCUACAGUUUUCUCUCCACUAACCAACAAUAUUCUAAACUCAGCACCUAGUGUGAUCAGAGUUGUUGAUAUUUGCAAAUGGAGAUCCCCAUAUUUGCAAAUGGAGACAUUUAACAAAUCACCAACAUGCUUCAUCCGGUCCACGAAAUUCUGCAACUGAUGCAAAUCUGGAACCUGAACCAGAGUCGGAGGUAUAUCUUGAGCCAUAUCUAAAGCAGUUUGAAGUUCAAGACCUUGAGCCCUUGACAAUGGUUUUGAAAUUGGAACAUCUUGGAUUACUGCAGACUUGUACCCCUUGGUUUCAAAGGUAAGGAAAGGCAUUGCUUGAGUACAAUUUGGAGGCAGCUUCUUCACCAAUUUUAUUUGGAGGCGAUUGGCAGCGGAUCCAGCUGCACCAAUUUCAGAGCAACUACUGACACUACUUCGAACAGCACACUGAAGAAGUGAUAUGUCUACGGCGAAGGCAAUGCAGUCCUCAUUUUGGCUUGAGACACAGUAAUCAUCGAAGAGAGUUUCCUUGUGAAACUGGGCAACACAUUGAAUCCCUUCGGCACUGAGAAGGUUGUGGAGGAAGUAAGCUUUCUCUCUAGUAAGGAAGAGGUGGCAUACAUUCCCCAUUUUGUCUAGGGCAGGUAGGAAUCUUUUUUCUAAGAGAUUUACUUCAUUCUCUGUGAGAAAUGCUUUGAACUUCAUCCCUCUGUCUCUAUCCUCACUUAUCAGUAAAAUAGUUGAAAGCGCUACAAGGAGAGAAAAGAAGAGUAUUAAGAUAUAUAUAUUAUAUAGACAAGAAAAACAUUAGAUGUCGAUCUUACAAGCUAAUACUUCAAACAAUAUCCUAGAAAGCUAAAAACUGCAAGAUGGCUUGAAAUUUGAAAAGAGCACGUGCUUUUCCUCCUUAACUUGAGAAAAUGUUUAAUAUAGUGCACCUUACAGAAGCAUUUAAGCAAUUAGAACUUUGCACAAAAACAUCAAGAAGACUAAACAAGUCAGAUGCAGUGUAUUUGUCCAAGCACAAAUUGCAUUUUGUCCUCAACUUUAAUAUUUAUUGAUGAGAAUCAAUACAGGUCCCUCAUUUGUUAUAGAAAGCUUUCUUGUAGUCUCACCAGUUAAUAUGGAUAUUAGAUAAGGAAACUUUAUUAGGUUGCGAGGGUAAAAAAGGAAAGAGAUAUCAUUAUUUUAUUAUCGAUAAUUAUUAAAUUUUUUUCCAAAAAAAAGAACAAGCAAGGAUAUUUUAUUGUCAAUUGCAACCUUUAAUUUUUUUAAAUGCUAUUAGAAACACAAGAUAACAAAAAUGUAGUGAGAUGGGAUCUCCUGCAUGCCACUCUGGUUUAGAACACAAAGAAUGUGUCUGCAUAAAUAUCCUCUGAAAUUGAACAACCCACAAACACAAAGCACCUCCAAGUCGGAGGCAUUGUACAAAACAUCAAAAGCCCUUGAAUCCUUCUCGUUGCCACCAACCUCGAAUUCUUCCUUCACUAUGUAUGUUAUAGGUCCAUCAGAACUAAUAUGUUUUGUGCUAUAGUAAGAGUACAUAGCCUCCACCUCCAUCUGAAACUUCCUUAACAUUUCAUUUGUGUACAGUUUUGAGAGUUGAAAUUCAUAGUAACAUCUUGGUUUCCGGAUACAACUUGAAUUUCUUGAAUCCAUAUCUGCCAAGGCUACCAGUUGAUAAUUCGCCUGCAGUGCUUGAUCAUACUUGUCUAAGAAUUCUUUCAAAGGAGUAUUCUUAUCAAGAUAUCCUUCAAAGUAUGAAGUAGAAACCUCAUUCUGCAGGAACGAAAACACUCCUGAUAAAAAAGCUUCCUUCAAAUAAAUAGGAGCCCACCUUUUAUGAUCUUCAUAUAAAGUUUGAAUCCAUCCGUGAUCCUUUAUUCCAUGACAUUGAAUCAUGUCUUCCCAAGCUGCUUCAAAUUUCUCAGGCCUGAGAGAGUGAUAAAUUGCUCUAUGUAAUGCAGCUUUAAUAGCUUCAUAUUCAAACAAUCCUUGGAGUUUCUCUGGAAUUUUUUUGCAUGAUGCAUGACAAUGAAAAGAAAUGAUAAGCUCUUGGGAAAACAUCACCAACAGCAAUUUGCAAGAUUCUACAUUGGUCAGUGAUGAUUGUUUGUGGAGAGCGCCCUAACAUACAUGUAAGCCACGCCGUAAACAACCAUGUAUAUGAUUCUAUGGUCUCACUGGCAAGUAAACCACAACCCAACAACACUGAUUGUCCAUGAUGAUUCACCCCAAUGAAUGAAACCAGUGGUACAUCAUAUCUUUCAGUCAGGCACGUAGUAUCAAUUAAGACCACAUCACCAAAGUACCUAUAUGCAACUCUUGACCUGGUAUCAGUCCAGAAUAGGUUUUUCAAGCAUCCCUUUUCAUUUAGAUCCACUACAUUAAAAAAGUUUGGAUCUGUCAACUGCAAAUGACAAAAGAAACUCUGGACAGCUUGUGCAUCUCCUGGUUUAAGCUUCAAUUGAUUUGAGCUAUUAACAUUAUUUCCAAAUACUCCAUUAACAUCUACCAUUUCCCUUGGUAUCAAUGAUAAGAGUUCGAAACAGUUUAAUUUUUUGAACUUCUUCAGCACUAUCUAAAUGCAAUGUUCUUUUGGUUCCAAUACCUAUGUGCUUAUGUGACUUGUAAAACUUUCCGCUUCUUGGGCUUAACAAGUGGUUAUGCUCAAGCUCGACUUCAAUGAUUCUCCACCUUUUGGUUUCCAUCAACCUAAACUUUAUCAUUGCUGGACAGCCAGUUCUUGUUUCUGGUCUUGGGCGGUUUGCCUCGCUUUUCUUCUUGAAGCCUGCACUACUACAGCUCAGCUUUCCUCUAUACUUUUCUCUACUCUUUCGGUACCAUGGAUUGCUAACUCUAACACCAAAACCCUGUUCCUUGGCAUAGCAAUUGUAAAAGUAAUAUACAUCAUCAUACAUCUCAAACUCCAUUCCAACAGUAGGAGGCAAGGGAUUUUGGAUUAUCCCAGUUUGUCCAACAUAUUCAGUCAUCGCACAAUCUCCUACAACCUCAAAAUCAUCAGUGUCAUCAUCACCUACUGGUUCGGUGUUGAGAGAAACUUCAUCCAUCUACAAUGGAUGUUCAAUGAAGUGAGCUUUAAGGAGAAAAAGCAAAAUCUGUUCAAGGAAUGAUAAUAUAAUCAUACAGUUACUUUCACAAAGCUUCAUAUUUCAUCACUGCUUUACCAACAUGCAACUGCCAGAGAACAAACAGACAUGUCAUAGACGCUUGAAUUAAGUAUUGGUACAAAUGAGCACACAUCAUGUGGGACAAAAUUUCAGUCACUAAACCCAAUACCACUUUUUACAUCAUACCAAGGAACAGAUUAAACCCGACACCUUCUUUUAAACCAUACCAAGGAACAGAUUAAAUCAUCAAUGAAAAAUUAAUCACAUAAUAACUUAACCAGACAAAUGAAGAGCCUGAAACAGCACAAAACUUGAAUCUGAUUAUGAUAAUUGUUGAGUCCUUGUAUCUACAGCUUUCCUUCAAUGAUAAGACAAUGAACAUAAACGAGACACAAAAAAAUUAUUUUAAACUGACAGCCCAUGAUAUAAAUCAAACAAAAUCAACUCCUUUUUUUACACAUUACAUCUCAUAUUCAUUUACAUUGAAACACAAAAAGGAAGCAGGAGUGGGAAAAAAACAACAGCAGAGGAACUUAUUUCCAUAAGGUUUACGAAAUAAGGAAUCUAUUAAAACCCAAAACUUGAGGUCACCACUAAGAAUUUGGUUCUCAUUAUUUUUUUCUUCAUUUUUCACCAAUUGAUGAACUUAAAAUACAAUCAUAAAUGAUAAAACCCCAUCUCCAUCUUUUUGAACUAGAGCUAAAGCAAAGCAUUUUAAGAUGUUUCAUCAUUUUUUUUUUUAAAAAAAACUCAAUAGUACAAUGUUUUUCAAUGCUAAAUGCACAAUUCAAUCUUCUCCUAAUUUACUCUAAUAAUCUCUUAAUUAAGGAAGAUUAAGCUUCAGUUGUAAGCUAAAACAAAUUUCUUAAAUCAAGCCCCAAUGCUUUAUGCUAUUCAACAAGGGCUCAUAAAUGAUAAAACUACUUCUAUAAAGAUACCCAUUUUCUAAAUUAAUUUCACAAACUGAAAUCAAACUCCUGAAACGUAACGAGCAUUAAUAUAAUCAAGCCCGAACAAGAAUUGAAAAAUGAUACAUAAACUCGUUUACACAUUUCGACAGACACUUUGCAAUCAAUGAGCAAAAAAUUAAUGGAGAAGAUAAAAUUCAAACGAAACAUGCCUUACAUUGAUAAAUUAGAAGGGCAAAAGAAAUUUUAGUACGAUAUGCGAUCAGGGUCUUGCCACGGUGAUGUUAUUUGUGAAGUUCGAGCGACUCAGCAGCCUUCGAGGUUGAAAAUUUGAUUGACCAAAAGCUUCCCGUUCGUUGAUUCUCUAAUAGUAGAAACGAGACUGGCAGUAUACACAAGAAGUUCGCCGAUUUUAAAUUCCGUUGUUUGAGAUGGAAAAUUUUUUGAAAAAAUUAAUGUGUUCGAUGAAAAUCAAAAUCUCAAAAACCUCUUGUUUUUCAUUUUUUUGGAAAAAACCAUUGAGAUCCUUACUAUUUUUUCUUAUAUCAUCUUCCUUAAUAAUUUGCAAAGUCUAUCGCAUAGCACCCAUGUAUGAUGUAUGCUGCGUUGUAAUUUACAAAAUUGCACAUGAAUAAAUCCAGCUAAAAUUUGUUAAAAGAAAAUAAUAAUAACAUGUUAAAACUUUAAAAUUUGAUUAUUCGAAGAAAUUUUAAUUUAGUUAAGUAGGUGACAUGAUAAUAAAUAGAUACGUAUAAUGUCCGAGAUUUUUUAUAAGAUUAAUAAAUAUGAUAAAUUUGGAUUAGUUCAAUUUUGACAUAAUUCAUAAUAAACACAGCUUGCUAAUCUAAAUUGCCACCGUUACUCAUCAUCAGGUACCUGUUUGAAAAAUAAUUACAAACAAUUUUAUUUGUGUUGUUUCUCUAAAAGUUUGAGACACAAAUGUUAUUUCAAAUUGAUAAAAGUACGAAAAUUCCCCCUUGCUCUUCAACUAAAAAUGAAACAUGCAAAUAUACACACUAAUUUAGAUGUGUGAAUAACAAAUAUGGAACGACACAUGCAAAGUCAUCUGUAUAAUUGAAACGCCAUGCACUAGUAGUAGGUAAGAGAAACCAAGGUUGAAGUUGCUCCAAUGGUUACUGUUAAUUUAUUUUUAUUUAUGAUUUUUUUUGUAAAAUGUAAGAAAUAUGUAGAAAUGUUGCCAGCAAUGAUUUUGGAACUUUGCAUAAAAUUUUUAUCAUUAUUGUUUUUGGUAUUAAGAAAUCCGAGGCGGUGAUUAGACGUAUGUUGCAACAAUUAAGAAAUUUCUUAUUGGAGAUAAUUUGGUAGGUUUGCAGCAAUUAGAGAAUAAUUUUCCUGCCAGUUAAUCAAUCAAUAAUAAAUUUCAAAUUGCAGAAAAUAAAAUAAUACAGCCUCACUUAGAAUCAUCUUUUCUAUCUCUUUCAAUUGUGGCAAUCAUUUGCAACAAAUAAAUCAAUUUGAUGCACAUCAUUUCCCCAAUUCAAAGUUCAAGUCACUGCUCAAUUACAGAGUAGUUAGUGGACAUGCAUGCAUGUUUAAUUAAGUACUGCAUUGUAGUAUCGAAAAUCAUAACAUCUCACCAAUAUCAGAUUAUUAACCAUGGAAAUCAUAUCACAAUAUCAUAUAGAAUUCACAAAUCUGAAAAUCAUCACCAAACAAGUACCCAGAGAAAUAAUCUCGUCAUAUCCAGACCUCAACGGACGGGCAAUGACGUACUAUUUGGGUAACGUCACACCCUGGAGCUACACGGAUAAAUAGGAAAAUACCAUCUCAUAUCUCAUCAUAUUUGUGCAUGCAUAAUCUAGUCCCCAAGGGACAAAAGCGCCCAAGCACACGGCCCAAAGCCUCUAUGUGUACUCAGACGGGCCCCAAAGGCCUGUAUCUCAUAUGUAUCAUAUGUAUCAUUUGUAUCUCAAUAUCUGUUUGUAUCUCAUUUCCGUAUAUCUAUAAUCAUCAUACCGCAUGCAUAUGCCCCCAAAAGACAAAAGCGCCCAAACACAUGGCCCAAAGCCUUUAUAUGUGUUUAGACGGGUCCCAAAAGCCUCUUAUCUCAUCUUAUCUGUAUCACUGUAUCUGGAGAGAAGGGUACUGUCUAAUGAUUUAAAAAACAAUCAUUAUACUCAUAUUUACAUACCUCUUAAUCAUAUUUGAAAUCAUAUCACAUUUGAAUCCACUUUUCUAAUCUUUAAAAUAUUAUCAUGCUUUAUUCAAAGUCGAUACGCAAAAUCAAUAACCAAACAUUUUAAAUCAAAUUAUUAACCAUGGAAAUCAUAUCACAAUAUCAUAUAGAAUUCACAAAUCUGAAAAUCAUCACCAAAUAAGUACCCAAAGAAAUAAUCUCGUCAUAUCCGGACCUCAACGGACGGGCAAUGACGUACUAUCUGGGUAACGUCACACCUUGGAGCUACACGGAUAAAUAGAGAAAUACCAUCUCAUAUCUCAUCAUAUCUGUGCAUGCAUAAUCUAGUCCCCAAGGGACAAAAGCGCCCAAGCACACAGCCCAAAGCCUCUAUGUGUACUCAGACGGGCUCCAAAGGCCUGUAUCUCAUAUGUAUCAUAUGUAUCAUUUGUAUCUCAAUAUCUGUCUGUAUCUCAUAUCCGUAUAUCUAUAAUCAUCAUACCGCAUGCAUAUGCCCCCAAAAGACAAAAGCGCCCAAACACAUGGCCCAAAGCCUUUAUAUGUGUUCAGACGGACCCCAAAAGCCUCUCAUCUCAUCUUAUCUGUAUCACUGUAUCUGGAGGGAAGGGUACUGUCUAAUGAUUUAAAAAAUAAUCAUUAUACUCAUAUUUACAUACCUCUUAUCAUAUUUGAAAUCAUAUCACAUUUGAAUCCACUUUUCUAAUCUUUAAAAUAUUAUCAUGCUUUAUUCAAAGUCGAUACGCAAAAUCAAUAACCAAACAUUUUAAUAAAAUACCAAUGCAUAAAUAAAAUUCAUUUCGAGAAAUCAUUAAAUCAGAACAUUUAAAAUACUUAUUUCGCAAACAUGCUUUACUAUCAUCGCUAACUAUGAAAAUAAGUUUUGUAUAUUCCACUUUCAGUGAUGGUGUUCACGGUCGGUUAUCGUCCAUAUCUGCAGACCGAUUCUCGCUCGCGAAUCCUCCUAAAUCAAGGAAACGACAUAAUUAUUUUUUGUAAAUCGGAAUUAUGACUAAAUUUUAUGCAAUAAACUCAAAACGAACAUCUAUUCAUAAUUGACAACUCCUAUAUCCAUAAAAUUACUAAAAUAUCCUUGAGUCCGUAGAUCAUUAACAUGCUCCGAAAUCGUAAAUCACUGAAUUACCCUCGGAAUCGUAAUUACACCCGAUCCUCAAUUAUAGGAAUUACUAACAGAUCCACAGGCUUAGAAAUUACAAAAUUGCCCUCGUAGUGUGAAAUUACCAAAAGCCGGAAGUUGGUCAACAAUGGCUAGGAAGCUCAAAUCGUAAAGUUCCAAUCACGCUGAGUUCAAUGGUACCGGCGGUGAGCUCCAACGCGCGACAACGAUGCCAGAAUCUAGCUCGGCAGCCGUGAAUUCCACCAAUCGACCGGCGGCACAACAGUGACUCUCGGUGCCUAUGGAUGGUCGAAAAUGGAAGAGGGAGCCGUGGGGAACAAAAUCCAACCGGUGGUGUCACCAAAACCGGUGAAAAUCCCGGCGGAGCAAAGUGAAACAGUCGCGGGUUUCAUGCUUCGAUCGCCGGUGUUCCGAUUGGUUUUUGGCGAGGAGGAUGGCAAGGGAACGACAGCCGGCUUCUAAGCUUCAGAUUGGUACCAAGCUCGGCCGAAACGAUGGCCGGAAAUGGGAGAUAUGACCGGGUCAAGGUCGCGGGUUCCGGGUCGGGUUUUUUGGUCUGUAGUUGGGUCGGUUUGGUAGCUUCUCUCUCACUCUCUGUUACACGUGCAUAUGUUUCCUCUGUUUCCAGCUUAUUCUUUUGCUUUUACUAACUUCUUAACCGCCUCAUACUUAUUCAUUUUUAAUUCACAUAUGUUACAAUAAUUCCCGAGUAUUAAAUAACCAGUGGUCAUAAUUUUUGUACAAGAUUCUUUUUUUUUUUUGGAGAUCGUUAAAAGUGGUUGACGAUCCAUUUCGUAAUAUCAUAGAGGGAUCAUCAAUUCCUUUUCUUUUCUGUGGCUAGGCAACACUUUUUGGCCAAAGUAAGGAAAUCUAUUUUAGGUAAUGUAAAAACCAGUUGUAGGAUGUAAUAGUUUAUUAUGCACUGACAAUAACUUUUUGUAUAAUUGUCAGUUUAAUGAAUGCAAGAGGAACUCUGUUGGCAAAUUCAUCCAAGAUAGAUGCUAAAAUUAUUUAUGCAUGCCAGUUGCCUUAACUAAGUUUUCUCAGCACUGGUUUUGAACAGGAAAAUGAAUAUGCAAUUUGUAUAUUGUGCCAUAGUGGAGAAUUUGGAUAUUCUUAUUUAAGUAACAAGGAGAUUAUUUGCCUCAUCUUUAAACAAUGAAUCUUUGAGAGAUGAGGAGUGGGUGAUUGGAUGUGUCUUCAUGUAAUUGUUCAUUUAUUUGUAUUUUGAACUGUUAUGAAAAUCUUUAUAUGCCAAAUUAGUAAUACAAGUAUUCAGAUGAUUUUUCCUAUUGAUCAUGCAUUUGUAUCUGCCCACAACCAUUGUAUAUCACUUUAUUCUGAUGCGCAAGCAUCUGUAAUUUAGAAGAAAAGAAAUAAUAAUCAUAUUUUAUUGCUUGGUUCAUGAUUAUUAACGAUUAUGGCUUUAAAAAUCUACAAAUUUCUUGUGUUCAUGUAUGAAUGUGCCAAGUUUGCUGUAUCUUAGAUUACCUUCUUCCAAGGUAACAAGUUCAUAUAUAUAUAUUUUUUAAAUCAUUUUCCAUUACAGUUGAAUUUCAAGUGUUAGUUUUGUUAUUAGUACCUGGUUUCCUGUUAUAAGGAUCUAAUAAACAGUGUACGGAUAUGUGCUCUACUUUUGGAGGGCUUCCACGUGAAAGAAAAUUACAACAAUUGAAUUCUUCCGGAGGAUAUGGUAAUUAAUUUAUUUUCUCAACUUCUUGUAAGACUAAUAUAUUUCCUUCAGUAGGCACAGCAUGGUGGGAAGGGUUUUUAUUGAAAGAAUUCUGAUAUUUCUUAGACUUUGUUUUGGAAGGGGGUGGAGGAAUUUCUCAUCCAUAUAUGGUUACUUGAUUAGCUUUUGACUGUAUUGUCUCUGUCGUGCAAAGGAAAAUCUAAAUACUAACGAUGGGGAAUUGCUUAGGCACCCAAAAGGCAGAAAUGAAUUACAGAAGGAAGUUUUUGCUGCUUUAUUUAGUGCUGCUGAGAAAUCUGAUGAAUUUCCUGAAAUUACGGUGAAGACCGAGUGGAGGUCCAAAGCAUUAGGAAAGGUGGUGAGUGAACUGCCGGAGGAAUUUGUACCAAAAUACAAGGCUAAUGUGGUGCACUUGCAGCAAGAUAACCAGACCGGUAUGUGCUCUUAUAUUAACUAUAUUGACUGGAUUUGUGAGUGUGUGCAUUUUUUUGUGUAUACUCACUUUUGUAUUUAUGCAUAUUAACAUGUGUAGGAUUCUUGAUUUCUGCCACUUACUGGAGAACUAGUGGAAAGCUUUAUAUUGAUAUAUCUGCAAUAACUAAUGGAAACUAUGAUAUGAAUAUUUUCUCUCACCUGGGGAGCUGUGUAACAGAUAUACUUUGUGGCUCUGGAAUGCUGAAGAUUCUGCAAUAACUAAUGGAAAAUAUGAUAUGAAUAUUUUGUCUCACCUGGAGAACUUUGUUACAGAUACCCUUUGUGGCUCUGGAAUGUCUAAAGAAUGCUUUAGUUAGAUCAAAUAUCUUUUAGUUAGAAAAGAUAAAAUUCUCUGAGUCUGAAAGACUGAAACAUUUUGCAUAUUUUGUGAAAGGGAAAUAUCUGUUGAUACUAGCUCAUGCAUUGAGGUAAUAUCGAUGUUAAAGAAAAACAGCAAUGAUUUAUGAUAUAGAAUUGGGUUCACUUGCUUCAAAUGCUGGUCUGAUCAACCAUAUCAACCUGUAAUGAUUCUGCAGAAAUAUAUAUACAUGGAGAAAGUAGCUAAAUUUUUCUUUCAUUUAUGGGUUCGGUCUUUUUUCCCCUUAUUUUUCAGCUUUCCUUCUCCUGAAGUAUGUUAACAAUUGCAGAUAAUGAUGAAGACGACAGCUUCCGGGCUCUCCUUAGAGCCGUGAUGGAAUAUAGGGGCACAAUGAAGGAAUAUUGUAAAGCUGUAGGUACUUUUUCUCCUUUCAUUUAUGUUUUCUCACACAUUUUGUAUAUGCCCUGAACAUGCACCUUUGUAUGUAUCAAUUGACUUUUAAAUUUUAAAAGCCAUAAAGUAAGAAUACGGUUCCUUGUCAGGCUACUGAUGACAUUCGCUCAGGGGGAUCAUGUUCGAGCAGGAAAAUUUCUAGAACAGGUAAGGUUUCCAUCUACAGCCAUCCAUUGACAGCAGAUACAUUUUCAUUCAGCAGACUCUGUUAGCAUUCAAGAUGCUGGCAGAUUCACUUGAUUCUUAUUAGCUUGUUUAGUGGCAAAGCCUAUAACCUGUAUUUCAAAGCCAAGUUGUGCUAUUGAUUAUGUUAACUUUUUUGUUAACAUAAAAUGAUAUGGAGGAAAUAAUCAGUGUUGGAAAAUUAGGUGAAAAGAUGAUGUCAAAUCUUGAACCUCUUACGAAACUCUAAGUUCUUUACUUGAAGAGGCUACGAAAUUUGAACAGCGUCUACUCGAAGGCCUUGCCAUUCCCUGAUGCAUGCAGAAUUUUUGUAUUUAAAUGCCCAGAGCUUAAGAAGCUGCCACUGGAUCUUGAAGGGGCAGACCAAGGUAAAAAUCUUAUCAAGGGAAAGGAAGAUUGGUGGAAACAACUUAAUGGGAGGAUCAAGUAACUCAGAAUGCAUUGCUUCCAUUUUUUAAAUUGACUGACAAGUGAUUGAACGGGGCAUCAUCAACAUCAUCAACAGGGAUGGAGAGAUACCGGAGCAGAUCAGCAGGGUUUGAAUAUGACCUUUGGCGGUUGCUUUUUUUUUGUGAUUUUUUUUUCAUUUUUUCCUUCCUGUCAUUUUAUCAUUUCUUUCUCUGUUUCUAUUGCGGGUGUUACUGCAUGCUUACUGUUGCUUGACAAAGUUUGCUAGCUUUUUGUUUGCAGUGUUGCUAUACACUCCGAGUCAAGCCUCGAAAAUUUAUUAAACGAAGCCGUUUCGACAGUAACAAUUCUUUUCUUUUCCCUUUGCAUGUCUCUUUCAUCUGCUGUUUCUCUAUCACUUUUCAUUUUUGAUUUCCUUGCUUCUCAGCUGCCCCUAAAUUGUUAUUCUAGCAAUAUACUUUCUCAUCUUUGAAUUUUCAUCCUUGAGUACUCCCACAGCCGUAAUUUCAUCAUCAUAGACUUCACUUGGAAUGCUGUAUUUUUUCGAUUCUUGAGCUACUUCAAUUACAUCUUAGUAUAGGAUCCUCAUCUUCCUUUAUUUCUUCAUCUUAUGAGGUAAUAAAUGGAUUUCACAACUCAUCUACUUUUAAGCAAUUACAUAUUAUACCUUGAAUGAUUCAACUGUUCUGACAGUUAAAGAUUUUAUGCUCAACCUGCAGUGCUACGAACAUUGUCCAUGAAAGAUGAGUUUCAGCAUAUAAAAUGAAAUAUAGAUGUUUAAUCUAAAAUAACCCUUCACUGCCAGAAACCUAGGUCACAAAAUUCACAGAUAAUGAUAAAGAGCUAAAAAAUUUGAAAAACUCUACAGAUCACACAUCAAGCAAGAUAUCAUGUUUUUUUCCCUCAUUCAGUGGUGAUUGAUUCGCUUUUUGAUGAUGGAUAUGGUAUAAAAGUGUUGACCCAAUUUCAAGCAAACACAAAUAGAAACACAAACACAAUCGGGACUAGAGUUGUGGGCGAUUAUCUUAGGUGUACAAGUGAAACGGUGGUGGCUGUCGAUGGUGGUAGUGGGGUGGUUGGGUAUGCGUGAUGGCUAGAUUUUAGGACAAUAAUGAUUGGAGUUGACCUCAAUCAACGAAGGAAAGUGACAACAAUUUUGACAUCAAACGGUGCAUUUUUUAGCUUAGUAAAAUGGAGCCGUUUCGAUUUUGGGGUUUAAUCCGGGGUUUGACUCGGUGCAAGUAUCAUUUUCCUUUUGUUUAUUAAAUUUUUUUAUGGUCACAAAGUAUCACUCGUUCUAUUUGAGAGUCAUGUGAAUCAAUUUUUCAAAUUUUCAAUUUUAAAUUUUGUGGUCAAUGUGAAUUCAAUUUCAUUUGUCUCCUGCAAUUAUGAAAAAAUUAAAUAGUCAUAAUAUGGAAAAAUACACCGGUAAAAACUUUGUAAAAGCUUCGGAGUGAUACGGGGAAUUCACUUACUACUAAGGACAAUUGGUGGCAAGCUAUUCCAUUCAUUUUAUGUCCAUCCAUCUAUUUAGUUAUUGAAGAUAAGUGGUCCAUUUGUAAAUUUCAGAUUGUCUCUCUCUCCCUCUUGAAAUAACAAUAUUUAAUAUAUCUCAUAAAUUAUUAUAAAUUUUAAUUUACUCUCGAUUUAAAAUGGAGCAUGUCGAUAAAUUUUUUUUCUUCUUAAUAAAAUUGACGUAAGUUGUGUUUACAGUAGUUUGAAGUUUGAAAUAUUUUAAAGAUUAUUAUUCUAUAAGGGAGUAAUAUGAAAUGAUAUUUACUUUUCAUGUGUGAAAUGAAAAAGGACGAAGCAAGUGUCCCUGCUUUUAUUUUAUUUCAAGGAGGAGUCAUCUCACAUACUUUAGCUCUUAACAUUACAUUUUUUCUGGUUACAUUUUUUAUUUAUUUAUUUUUUUUUUUUUACACAUGCGUGUGGGUUGCUUUUCUGUAAGCUCCUUAAUAUAUAUUUAAGACAAAUCAUGGAAGAGAUGGGAUUAUAUCAAGAUGAUCAAAGAAUGUUAAAAAAGAAAAAAGAAAAAAAAAAGAAGUAAGACACUGAAAAUGGAGAAGAGAUGGAAGCAAAAGAUAUUCCAAAACAAAGCAAUCUAUCCCCUUUCGAGGGCAGACUUAUCAGGUUUAAAAAAGUACACGCUUUGGAUUGGUAGUUGCAAUCAAGGGAAAAUAAAUAGGAUCCAAUGAAAUUUAAAUCUCGGAGAAAAUAAAUAAUCAUGCAGAUUUUCAAGAUUUUAAUAAGGGAUACUAAUAUCUUAUUUUGAUUAAUAAUAUCCUUUCAUUGUGUUAACUCAAAAAAUAUAUAUUUUAAUGUUUUGCAAUAAACAGAAACGUACUAUUAAAAUGAAUAUAUAAAGAAUUUAGAAAAUUUUGAAUGUUAUAUAAAAUAAUUUUAAGAUAAUGCGUGAGAUAUAUUUUAUUAAUUUAAAAUGUUAUUUUACCUAAAAAAUAUGAUAAAUUAAUAAUUACAUAUUUGAAGUUAUUUUAAAUAUUAAAAAAAUUUAAUAUUAUUAAUCUUUUAGAUAGAUUAAAUUAUUUUUUAUAAGAGAUAGAUUAAAUUAUUUUAAAAUACGUUAAUUGUUUUUACUUUUAACGUUACCGGCCUUUCUUUUAUUUUAUUGCAAAUUAAUGCUAACAAGAAAAAGCUAGAUCAUAUUCCACAAAAGCAAAAGUGACAAACACAACCAGCUGGAAUCUUUUAAUUACUAUUCAAUAAUUCGAGACGAUUAGGGUCUUUUAUUAAACUACAAAUUGUAUAGUCUUUUUAAAAUUGUUAUAAAUUGGUGGCACCUACAAUCCUCAAUAAUUGUACCGAUAUUCACAAGUUGGUGGCCCCUACAAUUCUGUUCGGAUAAUUUAACUGUGCAAGUGCUCAUUCACAAUAAUUGUUUUGUUUUUUUUUUCUGCAUUCCCUUUCAUGCUCUUAAUAAUUGAAGAGCAUACUUUUCAUUUUCAAAUGUGGAGCCGCAGCUAAUGUCGCUAAUUUAAUUUGGGAUUAAAUUAGGGGACCAUUAUAUUGCAGUGUGCACUAAUUUUUGUGUUUAUCUAAACUCCUUAAAUUUAAGACAUAUUAUGGCAUAAAUAAGAAUAUAACAAUAGCAAAAGAGUUAAAAAGUGUAGAGAAGAUCUUGCAGAAAUAUAAAUAAUAUCUAUUUUAAAAUAAUAUCAAUAUUUAAAAUAAUUUUUAAUAUUUUAUGAUUCAUUAGAUAUAUUUUAUUAUAUUAAAGUAAAUUUUAUAAUAAAUAAAAACAUACUAUUAAAAUGAAUAUAUAGAAAAUUUAGAGUAUUUUAAGUAUUAUAUAAAAUAAUUUUAAUAAAAUAUGUGAGAUAUUCAUAUUUUAUUAAUUUAAAAUACCAUUUAACCUAAAGAUUUAUUUAUGAUAAAUUAAUAAUUAUAUUUUUGAAGUUACUUCAAAUAUUAAAAAUAUUAAUAUUACUAAUCUAUUAGAUAGAUUAAAUUAUAUAUAUUAUUUUCUAUUUAUUAAAAAAUUUAAAAUUAUUUUUAAUUACUAUUCAAAAAAUAUAAUGAUAAAAAAGAAUCUUAACAUCUUUAUUAAAAAUUUAAAAAUUUACAUGAUCAAUUCUCUAAAUAUUUAGGGUUAUAUGUGAACAACGGUGGAGAAGCUUUAUUUAAUAUUAUUGAUUUAAAUAAUAUGUCAAUUAAAAAUGUACAGAGAAGGAAAUUUCGGUGGGUAUUUUAGUCUUUUCAGCAAUUAUCAUGAUCAGAUCAGCCUUUAGCCUUGAAUCGUCGGUCAGAAAAGUUUUAAAAUUAACGCUAACAAGAAAAAGCUAGGUCAUAUUCCACAAAAGCAAAACUGACAAAACAACCAGCUGGUUUCUUUUACUAAACUACAAAUUAAAAGUGGAUUCUUUUGAAUGCAAGUGGGACAGACGAUUAGGCUCUUUUUAUUAAAGGCAAGUAAAAACUAGUCGAAUAGUCUUUUUCAAAUUGUUGUUUUAUUAUUUUUCCUUCAAAAGUUAGUGUGGCUCAUGUUUGCAGGUGCGAAUGUGGGUCCCGAAUCAUUACUAAAAUUUCUAUUCCACAGCCCACCGCAGCUUCAGUUAAUCAAACUCAAAUCAAUUUUCUUUCUUAACAAAAUAUUCCAAAGAUGUGUAGCAUUUUUCAGAUCACAUGCGAUGGUGCUCUUUUCAAUCGUUGCUUGGAUUGCUUUCUUGGAAAAGCAGCAUACAUACGUAACCUCCAAGAUAAUGUUGAUACCUUGGGCACUGAAUUGGGAAAUCUGAUCGCUAGAAAGAACGAUCUGAUGAGGAGGGUUGUCGAUGCUGAACGGCAACAAAUGAGAAGGCUGGACGGAGUGCAAGUGUGGGUUUCGAGGGUGGAUUCUGUUAAAACUGAAGCUGAUCAAUUUAUAAGAGACGGCUCUCGAGAAAUUGAAAAAUUAUGUGUUGGAGGCUACUGUUCCAAGAAUUGCAUGUCAAGCUACAAGUUCGGGAAAAAAGUGGCUAAAAAGCUACGGGAUGUGCGGACUUUAAUCAGUGAAGGAGUUUUUGAGGUGGUGGCUGACAGAGCUCCAGAGUCUGUAGCAGAUGAAAGACCUACUGAGCGAACAGUAGUAGGCUUGCAAUCACAACUUGAACAAGUCUGGAGAUGUCUUGUAGAAGAAUCAGCGGGAAUCAUUGGCCUAUAUGGUAUGGGCGGUGUUGGUAAAACUACACUACUGACCCAUAUCAACAAUAAAUUUCUCGAGAGUCCAACCAACUUUGAUUGUGCGAUUUGGGUUGUAGUUUCAAAAGACCUGCGACUCGAAAAAAUUCAAGAAGAUAUUGGGAAAAAGAUAGGUUUGGUUGGUGAUUCAUGGAAGAGUAAAAGUGUAGAGGAGAAAGCUGUCGACAUCUUCCGGAGUUUAAGAGAGAAGAGAUUUGUAUUGUUGUUAGAUGAUAUAUGGGAGCGGGUUGAUUUAACAAAGGUGGGCAUUCCACUUCCCGGACCAAAAAAUACUACCUCAAAAGUCGUAUUCACAACCCGUUUCAUCGAUGUUUGUGGUAGCAUGGAAGUUGACAGGAAGUUUCAAGUAGCAUGCUUAUCAGAAAAGGAUGCUUGGGAACUGUUUCGAGAAAAAGUUGGGGAGGAAACUCUUCAGAGUCAUCAUGAUAUCGAUGAGCUAGCCCAAAUUGUGGUCAAAGAGUGUGGUGGUUUGCCACUCGCACUUAUUACUAUUGGUCGAGCUAUGGCCUACAGAAAGAAAGCGGAGCAGUGGAGACGUGCAAUUGAAGAGUUAAGGAGAUCAGCUUCAGAGUUUGCAGGUUUGGGAAAAGAGGUUUAUCCUCUUUUAAAAUUCAGCUAUGAUAGUUUGCAGAAUGAUACGGUUAGAUCUUGUUUCUUGUACUGUUGUUUAUAUCCUGAAGAUUAUGGCAUUCUUAAAUGGGACUUGAUUGAUUGUUGGUUUGGCGAGGGAUUUUUUGGGGAAUCUGACAGGUCUGGUGCAGAAAACCAAGGAUAUGACAUUUUGGACACUCUUGUUCGUGCGUGUUUAUUAGAAGAGGUGGAAGAUGAUGAAGUAAAAAUGCAUGACGUUAUUCGUGAUAUGGCUAUAUGGAUAACUUGUGAAAUUGAGAAGGAGAAGAGAAACUUUUUGGUUCGUGCAGGUGCUGGAUUAAAAGAUGCACCGGGUGUUAAAGGAUGGGAAAAUGUGAGAAGAUUGUCAUUGAUGCAAAACCAAAUUGAAACUCUGGCAGAGGUUCCCACAUGCCCUCAUCUCCAUACUCUAUUUCUUGACUUUAAUAGGGGGUUGGAUAUGAUCGCGGAUGGCUUCUUUCAAUUUAUGCCUUCUCUCAAAGUUUUGAAGAUGUCAAACUGUUCGAAUUUGAAAUUACCUGUUGGGAUGUCAGAGUUGGGUUCAUCACUAGAACUUCUUGAUAUUUCAGAAAACAGCACAAGAGAGUUACCGGAAGAGUUAAAGAAGUUGGUAAAUCUGAAAUGUUUGAAUUUGAGGUGGACAGAGCAUUUAAAUAAAAUUCCACGGCAACUAAUAUCAAAUUCUUCAAGGUUACGUGUGUUGAGAAUGUUCGCUACUGGCCGGUUCAAUUUUCAUGAAGCACCAGAAGACAGCGUUUUAUUUGGUGGGGGUGAAGUUUUGAUACAGGAAUUGCUCGGUUUGAAAUAUUUAGAGGUAUUGGAGUUGACCUUGGGAAGUUAUCAUGCUCUCCAAAUUCUUUUGAGCUCAAAUAAGUUAAAAAGUUGUAUUCGAUCUCUUUACCUCGAGUUGACCGGAGAUACAACGUCAAUUAUUGAUGCUACGGCUUUCGCAGAUCUAAACCACCUCAAUGAAUUACGGAUUGAUAAUGGUAUUGAGUUGGAAGAGUUGAAGAUUGAUUAUACGGAGAUAGUACGAAAAAGGCGGGAACCUUUUGUUUUCCGCAGCCUUCAACGUGUUACCAUAGCGGAGUGCCAUAAAUUGAAAGAUGUGACAUUCCUCGUUUUUGCUCCAAACCUCAAGUCUCUUCGGCUAUUCUAUUGCGGUGCUAUGGAAGAAAUAAUCAGCGUCGGAAAAUUUGCUGAGACUCCUGAGAUGAUGGGACAUAUAAGCCCUUUUGAAAAUCUCCAAAUGCUUGAUUUACAAGGUUUGCCACAUUUGAAGAGCAUCUUCUGGAAGCCAUUGCCUUUCACUCAUCUGAAAGAAAUGGAGGUACUUAGGUGCGAUCGGCUUGAAAAGCUUCCACUCGAUUCCAACAGUGCAAAGGAGCGCAAAUUUGUUAUUCGUGGAGAAGAAGACUGGUGGAACCGACUUCAAUGGGAGGAUGAAGCCACUCAAAUUGCUUUUCGUUCCUGUUUUAAAAGUGAUGCUUUAUUUAUAUCUUAUUCGUGAAAAGUGAUUUAAUUUCCUGCCAAAAGACGAACGAGAAGAACAAUAGAGUCAAACUAAUGCUCACAUAAAUUUCCCGUAAGAAUAUAUAAUUAGAUUGGAAUGCACACCUCUAGAUUGAACAGAAUUAAAGCUGAGAAAAUAUUGAGUAUAGUAGCCCUCUUUACAGAAAAUGACGUGAAAGUUAAUUUAGAAAGAUAUAUUCUUGAUUAAUCCAUUUUCUGAAGUUUUUAUUUUGUAUGGUCAAUUAUACCUUCAUACUAAAAAUUUCUGAAGUUAUAAAUUAGUGCAACUUGACAAUUUUUACUGAUGAUAUCUUCUAUUUUUCCCUUUUUUUUUUUUUCACUUUCAUAGACUGGCAGCGGAUCCUGCGGCACCAAUUU
rnacentral:lncRNA from 1 species